rnacentral:lncRNA from 1 species
AAAGACAUGCUUAACAUGUCAAAAUAUGGUGAUUGGCUACCCUCUUGGUACAGCAACCAACAACAAGACUUGCUUAUAGAGAAAAACGAACACAACAUACAGCAAAACAUAGUCACUAGAGGACCAACCAACCAGGUACAGGUUUUACGCACAGCCUGUAGGCGGGGCGGCAACACAUCCACGACACACUAGAAUAUGGACUUGAUUCCUCUCGGAAAAAUGAAUAUGGACUAGACAAACAGACAUUAACACAGGACAACAAUUUUAGUUCACAGGAUUACGAGCCCAAAGUUCUGAUGCGAGAAUAUUCAUUUAAGUUUUACACACACACCGUUUAGUGCCAGACAACCUUUGAAAAAGCGUUAUAUCCUCAGAGACACAUGGACACCACAAUGCAAGGUAUUGAAUGGGGCCACGCUCUUCCCCCUUCACUUGCCGCUACUUAGGAGUUAGGACCACAUGCCGCGAUCUGCUCUUCGAGCUGCAUCAAAAGAUGAAUAAUAGGUCAAUUAUUAAGAUAAGUACCUUCCGAAAAAUGAUUAAGAUAAGUCUAUGGCACAUAAUGGUGCUCAAGGCACAUGGUUUCACUAAUCAGCCAUGCUACAAGUUGGCUAGUUUCUUAUUUGGGCAUUUGGCGAAGCUUAAUUUAAGCUAGGAAAUAAGAAGUUCUGCCACUUUUUUAGAGCUACCAUGUACAUCUACCAAACGUGAUGAAAAAAUUACAGGAUAAUCAUUCAACGGCAAAAUGAGAAUUUCCAGUACCUCCAACUAAGUGCUCCAAAACCAAACGUCAAAAGAAUAAGAUUAACGAUUUAAGAUUGUUCCCUUUUCUCUAUCUUAAUAUAAAAAUCUGUGGGUUAUGAAACUAGUGAGAAGUUGGUAUCAAAUCCAACAUUAGGCACAUAAGGUGCUACCUCGAUCAUGACCUCCAACUCAUGUCGCACAAUAAAUAACUCAUUCCUAACAAGAGCCAAGGACACGAGGCACCUGAAAUAAUGCAAAAAACACCACACGGUCAAAUUCUGAAGAGGUUAAUAGAACUGAGAUGAAAUGCCGUAUAUUUCGAAAAAGAAAAAUCUCUAGCCAUAUAAGAGUUUAGUUGUGCUGUAAACAGAAGUCUAGAGCCAAUAAAUGACAAAAGAAUCAUCAAAGAAUAGAAUAUUCAGAUAAUGAACCGAGUAAUAUCAACAAUGUGAAUGCAGAUGAACUGAAAAAGCAAAGCAUGGUUACUUCUUAAUAAUGUUAGAUUGGUAUGAGCUGUAAAUAACGACCAAAAAGACAACAUGAGUUGGCAGGUUUAAAUAGAGACAUUGAAAAAUAAUGCUGCCAAUAAUUAUUGUGUAACAUAUGUAAUAAGCUAUUGAGUUCUGACCCUUCUUUAUAUUUUAUGGCAUUGAAAUUGCCGAAGUGCAUGCAGGCGAGGUUCACUUGCUGUGCACCAACAUUGAAACAUGCAAAAAAAUAAAUAUGCGGAUCAGGAAAUUAGGAACUUAUUAUAAACUGAGACGUCAACUCAAUAAUAUCCUCAAGGAGCCAUUUCGUAUCAUGAUUGUCAACUCAACAAAUUAUUUGAUGAACCAGAAAAAGCACCAUUGGUGUUACGUAAAAUAGCAGAUAGUAGUACCAGAAAUGUUUACAAAAUGACAAAGUCUUUCUUGCCGGACCUUAACAUGGUCAUGAAUACCAAAAAUUCUGCUACAGAAAACAUAACUAAAUUCACGUCUUCUAAUUUUGGGUAUACGACAGCCAAAUAACGCCCAUGCCGUACACACCCGCCGUCUGACACAUCUGAAUAGAAACAACAACAUUCAGGUGGAGAAAUCGAAAAAAUGGCCAUUAGCGUUAUGUAGAAUAGCAGAUCAUUAAUACCAGCCAUACUUUGUUCAUUGUCAACCUAAAAUAAUGACAUUGCCUAAACUGAAGAUUCAAUAGUAUAAGAAACAUUCGCAAAACGACAAAAGUUGCCCUCACCAAGCUAUACCAUUACCAUUGGCAAGAGUACCAACAAUUCCAUUACAUGAGAUAUAUAACUAAACUCAGCUCUUCUAUGUAUGGCUAAUACAACGGCGGCCGCAAACAACACGAACCUUAUGCGGUCAUGCCCCAUGAGCUACACACCCUAUGCUGACGCACCCGAAUAAAAACAACAUCGAUGUCGUGGACAAACAAGAAAAACCACCGUUAGUGAUAUGCAUAGCAGCAUAUCAUUGAUACCUGAAAUGUUCACAAAAACGACAACUUUAUACUCAUCAUGCUACUGACGUUAACUGGGAUACCGGUAACUCAGUUACAGGAAACACGACUAAACUCGAUUCUUCAAAUGAUGGCUACAUGACAGUGCAAGCAACAUUCUUUUUUUGUGACAAAUAGAAUCCUUUGCCCAGUAUAAUAAACAGAUCUAAAUCGCACGACAUUGAUUCCGUGGAAAAACUAGAAAAAACACCAUUAGUGAUACAUAUAAUAGCAGAUCAUUAAUACCAGAAGAAACACCAUUAGUGAUACACAGAAUAGCAGAUCAUUAAUACCAGGAAUAUUCGAGAAACUACAACAGUUUAUCCUCAUCAUAACAUUGAUAUUCAUCGGGAUACCGGUAACUCCGUUACACUGAACACAACUAAACUCGACUCUUCCAAUUACGCCUAUGGGGCAGUGCAACCGACAUAUAUUAAUCCUUUGCCCAGUACAGUAAACAGAUCUGAAUCGCACGACAUCGACGCAGCGGACAAACAUUGAGUUAAAAAUAAGCGGGUGGAAGAGAGAGAAAGGGUUCGUGAUGGUCAAUUGGUCAUCACCUAGAGGUGCACCGCAUGAGCUGCUGCGUCAGGGCUUCCACCUCGUCGAAGUCCACUUGGGGCUGCUCCCUCCGAUUUCCAGAGCAGACAAGUUGAGUCAGUACCAGAGACCAAGAGCAGAGGGAAAGAUAGAGGGCGGCCGUACGGACAUCAGGGUGUCGAUGUCGUCGAUGAUCUCGUGGGCGUCAUUGAUGAAGAGGCGGGAGACCUCAACGGCGGUGCCCUCCUCCCGCAGCUCCUCAAACAUGUCUUCGUCCACCACACACUGGAUCGACGUCGACCACGCCAAGGCAAAGUCAAAUGCCAACCCAGGCCAAAAUCCACAACCACACGACUAGAAGGGAGGGGAAGGGAAGGGCCUCACCUCGGUGUACAUGCCGGCGAUAUGGGCGUUGAGCUGCGCCCUCAGUGCUGCGGCUGCCAUGGCAAGGCGAGGAGAGGUCUGGCGGUCUGGCGGACUGAGCAGUGGAGAAAGGGGAAUUCGGCUGCGGAGUGAACAAGGACGGGAGGAGGAGAGGAGGUUGUAUAGCUGGGCUCACGAGGGUCUCUCACGUAGGCGUUUGGCAGCGAGUACUGUACUAGCUGUACCCCGUCGUCGGCCGGGCGCCAUUAGUUAGCUUGGAAACGGCCCGCGUGCGUACUGCGUGCGAUGCAUGCAUGCAUGGAGCCACCGGUUAUGUGUCCACGUGUUCAUGGAAGUGAGCGUCUGUUUCAACUUAGUUUCUUUUCCUUUCAAAAGAAAACUUUAGUCUCUUAUUUUAUGUUUUUUAGACAAACUGCGAAGCUUUUUAUUGCACCUUCACAAUAUUUAUAGGGACGAAUAGAAGACCACCCAUUCUCCUCUGUCUCGAGAGCAUUCCACCACUUAUUGGCGAAUUACAAUUUUAACCUGAUUCACCGCCUACGUGGUCUUUAUGCCUAGUCAUUCGAAAGAACACUUGCCCUCCCCCCUCCCUCUUAUGGCGGCUGCUGGCACGGAGUUAGCCAGGGUUUCUUCCUCAAGUUCUAUCAUGAUCGCGUACUUGACAUAAGAGCUUUACAAGCCGCAUUGACCUUCAUGGGAGUCCGGGCUGUGUCUCAGUCACAGUGUGGCUGAUCAUCCAAAAAGACCAGCUAAGCAUAAUUGGCUUGGCCAGCCUUUACCUAACAAACUAACUAAUACUGUGAAGGCUCAUCAAACGGCACUUUGAGCUUUCUUCAGGAUUUGGCCUGAACUAUUCGGCAGAUUCCCAUGCGUUAUGCACCUGUUUGCCACUUUGUUCUCAACUAUUCAGAUUCUAGCAAACGGAUGCCAUUAGGUCAAAGCCGUGGUGCAUGCUCUGUAGUUUUCUAGCAAGGUGAGACAACUUUAGCUAUGGGGUGAUCUAAUCAAACAUGGCGGUCAACCCCUAGGAAUAAAGCAUGAUUCAAGAGUUUGUAAGCUUCAACAUUCGAGCUCCUAAAUUCAUGGCUAAUGAUACAAUUAAUAAAGGUAGCCUUCCGAUCUAUGAUCUCAUGUAUGAUUGCUCCGUAGAUAGCUGCGCUCUUCUGAUGUAUAUUUUCAAUGAUCACCUUGCAAUUUGAAGCCACCUGAAUCUUCCUCUCAUAGAGAUUAUCAGUAAGCAUAAGGGCCACCCUGAUUGCUAAAGAUUCGAGAGAUGCAAGAAACGAUAUAUGUGGGAACACAAUGGCCAACACAUCCGGAAAAUUGCCUGCUCGAUCUCUGCAUAUAGCUCGCACUGCGCCUCGAGUGCCGCCUGGUCCAACUGCCACAUCCACAUUGACCUUCACCAUAUCAUCCCAAGGAGCGAUACAUUGAUUUGGCAUAAUCAUGGGUGUCCCAGGAACUAGACUUUGAGUGCUUUGGGUAGCUCUCAGCUCAGCGAAGUUACUCUGCACAUAACCCUGAAAAGUGAAAGGGCUUUUAUAUAUCUCCUAAUGUAUAGCUUUGUGCGGAUCUCCCCAUAUCAUCCGCAAAAGUGAUCGUAAAAGUGAUGAAAUCCUCAUGCGAUAACACCUCAUGCAUGGUGAAUAGACAAUGUUUGGUGUCAUCAUUUACAUUCAGACUCAAUCGCUCGACAAUUUGCUCGUAUGAUAGUGCCCACGUGCUCCUUGAAACCAAGCAAUUUAGCAGGGUGUGCCUCAACGUAUCCAUGACCGGCACAAACAGCAAGCACUAGUCGUCGACAUGUUUCUAUGAUGAAGGACACUGUGAGUAUUGUGCGAAUCUCCACAGGAACACCUUGAUUUCGAGUGGACUUUUAUAUGCCAUAAGUCUGUCCAUCCUUGACAAUCAGCCUCUGAGUUUUAUCAGCCGCCCUGCUUAUACAGCCAUGAUUCUCUGAUGAUCUUGGUUCACUGUAUCAUCUUUUAAGUGGAACGCACAGUGAGCAUACCCCUUCUAUCCUCACUCCAAGCCCAAAAAUCAUAUAUCUGUCUCGUGCAAGGGAUCUUCAAUAUAGUCUCGGCAUCAAUGGGAAUAAGUAUCGGUUGAAUAAGCUGCUCAUCCCUUGACGACGCAGUGUGAUCAAUGAGUUCAACGACCCUUGUCGUCGGCGGCGGUAUUAAUGAGGUUAUAGGCCUCUUUAUAUGCUCUCUAGAUAUCUAGUUGUCGUUCCAGAUAUCAGUUGAUUCUCCCUCUCCUAUUCUCCUUAUCAAACCCUGAGUCAUUAUGUCUUUCCCAUGCAAAAUAGCACAUCAUAUCUGUCAUGAAUCUGGUCCAAGGUUGCAUUAAAAAAUGAAUUAUUUGGAUAGUAGACAACUUUUAAGAUUAGUGAACUUAGAGAACUGGGAUGAUCCGACAAGCAUUAGGCUUGCCUGACAAUUAGGGCUUGAUUGAAGAUCUGAAGGUCACAGACACUGAGGCAUCCCAAAUACUUCGGUCUCAUCAUAACAUCCCAUGAGACCCAGCAUGGCUUCCAUCUCCCCUGUUUACUUCCCUGCCAAAAUUGUCUGACAAAGAGGUGACACUCGUGCAACGUCCUCGCGGGACACGGAAGCAGGCCAUGGAAUAUACUGGAAUUGCCAAUGCCACAGACUUUAUCAAAACCUCUUUACCCACAGUUGACAGGAGCUUUUCCAUCCAUCCUCUCAGCUUUUCCCAAACUCUGUCACGUAACUAUUUGAAUGUCUUUGUUCUUGGACUGCCCGACAUCAGUUGGCACAUCCAAUUACCUGUCACUGAGCAACUCAUUUGAGACGUUCAAAGUAUUCUUGACAUCUUCCCUGAGAGCUUGAGGGCAUCCACUACUGAAAAAUAUAAAGGAAUUGACAUGAUUUAUUCUUUGUCUGGAUGCCAACGAAUAAUUCUCUAGUAGGUUUAAUACUUCAACUGCCCCGUCAUGACUUGACUUAAAAACUGGCAGGCUGGUCCAUACAUGGGUGACAUGGUUUCUUACAUGUGGGACCAUAUGUCAGUGUUAAAACCGGUGGAUCUCGGGUAGGGGGUCCCAAGCUGUGGAUCUUGGAUCGAUGGGUAACAGGGAACGUAGAGACAACGUUUACCCAGGUUCGGGCCCUCUCAAGGAGGUAAAAGCCUACGUCCUGCUUGAUUGUAUUGAUGUGGGUGUAUGACAAUUACAUAGUUGAUCUACCACGAGAUCGGAUGAACUAAACCCUAGGUGGGUAUGGUCGUAAUGGUUCCCCGAGCCCUCGCCGCCCCGCUGUGAGUCACCGCCGCCCCGGCAUGCUGUGCAUUUUUUUUAUACGAUGAAUAGUUUUUUGUUCAUAUAUAAUGUAUAUGUAGAUGCUUAGUGUUUAUUAAUCAUGUGUAUGUAUGUAUGUGUGUGUAUAUGUAAAUAUUGAUAUGAUGAAAUUUUUUUGUUCAUAUAUAAUGUAUAUGUAGAUGCUUAGUGUUUAUUAAUCAUGUGCAUGUAUGUAUGUGUAUGUAUAUGUAAAUAUUGAUAUGAUGAAAAAAAUUGUUCAUAUAUAAUGUAUAUGUAGAUGCUUAGUGUUUAUUAAUCAUGUGUAUGUAUGUAUGUGUAUAUAUAUGUAAAUAUUGAUAUGAUGACAUUUUUUUGUUCAUAUAUAAAGUAGAUGUAUAUGUAUGUAUGGAUGGAUAUCAAUGGAUGUAUGUAUAUAGAAAAUUCAUAGAAAAUUAACCGUAACUAGGAUGAAAAUAAUUUAUAUAUGAAUACCGAUCAGAAAAAUAUGACGAAUCUGAAUGUGCCCUUCGUUCGUCUAUCACAAGCAGCUAGCAUAGCGAACUUGGAACCGUCCCCCUCUGGUUCAUCAGCCCAAAAUUAAUGCAAACUUGGGGAAAACAUUCCCGGAUGUUACCCCCCUUCACCUAUAUCGUGUAGUGCCACGUUAGAACACCCCUAACUCUCUCGAGAAUUCAUCAUGUCCCCGAUAACUUCGACCUGAGGGCGGGGGGGGGGGUCCGCAAGUAUCCGUGACGACCAUGAGAGAGGCGGCCCGCAAAAUAUCCUCUCUCGAAAGAUAGCAUGACUCAUCAGACAUGAGGUGGGAGUGGUCCUCGACGAUCGUCUAAUACUGACUGUUAUAGAACUUGUCAACUUUGCAUGAUGUUUGCCACUAAUCCAUUGCUCAUAUGCAUAUGAUUCCUUGUUGUGAUAUGAAGUCCAUGUUUGCCACUAAUCCAUCUCUCAUGUUUGUAUAUUGCCGUGUUGUAAUAUUUGCAGAAACUUUGGAUAGAGACUUAGAACAAGAUGUCACAGCCCUAGAAUUGUUUGCAACUAGUGGGGAUUGUUGAAACCCUAGCACCAAAUGAGUUCAACCAGGUUCAAACUUAAAUGUUUUCAAUGAUCCCAAAAUACCCUUAAAAAUGUUCAUCAUUUUUGAAUUGGUCCAGCACCUCUCACAAAAAUGAUGCACAUAUUUUAAGGCCAUCCUGGAUUUUUGAAUUAAAUCAUAUGCUAUUUGCAAUUGGAAAUUUAAAUGCUAUAUAAUAUUUUAAAUGCUCAAUUAAUUCUGAACUUAAGUGAGGGCUGUUGGGAAUAUUCCAACCAGAGCCCACAAUUAUUUUCAGGAUGUUUGGAAACGUUCUGGUAUUUUUAAUAAAGCCCAGAAGUUACAGAUAAAUAGAAAACAGAAAGAAUUAGAAAAGAGAGAGAGAAGAGCUCACCUAGCCCACCUGGCGGCCCAACUAUGCAGCCCAGCCCAGCACCGCAGCCCCCUCUGUCGUCUUCCUCCUCAUGCCAGUAGGCAGGGCGUGUGGUCGCCGCGCGCGCGCCGGCUCCUGAUUCCACCGCGACGCCCCGGCUCUUCUGGAUGUGCCACAGAGACGCCCCGCUCCUCUCUCACUCUCUCUCGUUCUUUCCCCCUCCUAUGUCUCGCUCUCUCUCCCGAAGCCGAGCGGAGCCGUCGCCGCCGCUCGUUGUCGCCGCAGCCACUGACCACCCCUCGCCCUACCGAUGAGUCUAGAAGCUCCGCCGCGACGCCCUCGCCCUUCCCACCGAGCCACGCUUUGCCGGAGGCCCUGCAUUGCCGCUAUUGGGUCGUCUUCAACCUCGGUACCCGCCGGACGCCGUUCAUCGAUUCGCCUCGCUCCGGUCGCCCCCGAGCCCACUGAUCUGCUCAUCGACCUCCCCGUGAGCUCCGCCGCUUUCGCCCUCUUCUUUCCCGCGCAUUUGCACCCUCUAGGCCAUAGUUCCACCAUGGCCGAAGCUCGCCUCCGCUCGAGCUUGUCGCCGGCGUCGCUCCAGCGACCAUUUGGUCAUCCGUGCUACCCAACAUGCUUGCCGCAUCACGUAGUGCCUCGUUAGCGCCUCAGUUUCCGCGUUUGCACGCCGCAGCCCAACCCCGCACAUGGCCGAACUCCAUCCGCCGCCUUGGAUCUCGCCAUCGUUGGCUCCAGCCACGAUAGACCCGGCCUCCACCACCACUAGACGCGCGCCUGCAGGAGCUCUCCAACGAGCCCAAGAACGGCCUCGCCCGUGCCCUGUGGGCGUUUUCCGCGCCGCGCCACCGUCUCGGGCCUCGCCGGCGCCGAGUCGCCGAUGGGUUUGACCCCGCUGACCAUUGACCAUGUGGGCCCAGUUUGACCCCCUGGGUCACUAACAUGUGGGCCCCAGGCCACUAACUAAACUAGGAUUAGUAUUAGUUUAACACUAACUAACUUUAGUUAGUUAACUAACUACUGACCUGGACCGCGUCUGUUGACCAGAUGACAUCAGCAUGAUGCAAGGCUGACGCAGUAAAUGCUUUUCUGUAUUUUAAAUAAAUCUAAAUGAUUUAUUUAUUUUCAGAAAAUCCCCUAAACUUCCAAAAAUCAUAGAAAAUAAUCUAUAACUCAGAAUGAAAUAAAUUAUAUAUGAAAAAUUAUCAGAAAAAUUCAAGGAAUCUAUUUAUGGCAUUUGCAUGCAUGUUUGAACAACCUAGGGUUGUUGUACAGGGCAAUUUGCAUAAUUGACAUUUAAAUAAGCACAUAUGGAGUUUGAAUUUGAACCUUGGUUCAAACCAACUUCAUUUAAUAUGAUUGCUAGUUGCAUUAGCUCAAUCAACAGCAUAUUGCCAUGACAUUAUCAUGCAUCAUAACUGUUGCAUUGCAUUGAUUGUGUUCCUCUUUGUUUGCCGGUAUUUGUCCCCUCUCGAUGGACGUGGUUCCAAUGAUGAGUUCGAUGACACCGAUGAAGAACUAUACUAUCUUCAAAAGUGCCAGGCAAGCAAAACCCCCUUGUUCAUUCCGAUACAAUCCCACUCUCUCGCUCCUGCUCUCUUUUACUGCAUUAGGACAACAACGAUUCAUCUGUUACUUGUUGCGGUAGUUGAACCCCUUAUCCUCUGCAUGACCUGUCAUUGCCACAGUAAAUAGAUGAAACCCACUAGCAUGAGUAGGAGUUGUUUGAGCCCUGAUGUGCCUACUCAUUCAUGCUUCUUUGUCAUGCCUGCUAUUUCUUAGAGUUGUGUCAGGUCUGAUUCAUCGGGGAUGAAUUGGAAAGUUGUGAACAUGUCCUACUGUGUGUGAGCUAAGUGUGUUGAACACGAUUUGGUAAAGGUAUCGACGAGAGGCCAUGUAGGAGUACAUGGUGGGUUGUUUCAUUAGAACCGUCCUUAAGCACUGAGAUCUGUAUGUGUGAUUUAAGAAUCAGUUACUACCAUGCAUUGGGAUCCUUAAUUGACCCUCUCGGCUUCUUAACCACCCUAGUCCUCUGUCCAGGAGUUACAACUAGUUUCUGGUGUUUAUAGGAUAUGUGUUGGCGGCCGUGCAUAGCGCUGACCCUAGGGGUGGGCUAUGAUGCGGUAGAUACACCGUGGCCGGGUAUACCGGGCGCCCGUUUGGUGUCUUGGAACCCUGUACACAUCGUUCAGGGCCGUAUGUGGAAACCUCGGUUGGACUCCCUGCGGAUGAAACCUGGAUAGGCGAUAAACCUGGACUAGACUUGAGUGUUAGGUAGGCCGUGGCCAACAUCCUCGUUGGGCUUCCGCUUGAAGGUUGCCGAGUACAUGUCGUGUAAACGAAGGUAAGUGGUGAGAGCAUGUAUGAAGAAGUACACCCCUGCAGGGUUAACAUCAUCUAUUCGAAUAGCCGUGUCCGUGGUAAAGGACUGCUUGGUUGCCUAUACAGUUCAUAGAUAACUUGAAGUGGAUAGUCUAAAACUUGCACGAUAAGCGUGAGUGCUAUGGAUGGCGUUCUCGUAGGGAGACGGGAGCAGAUCCAUAGUGGUGUAUUGAUAUGGUGAAUAUGUGGACUCGUGUGCGCCACCUCAAAAGAGUUGCUUGCAGUCGUAGUUCAGGUUAGACACUGAGUCAAAGCUGGCUUGCUGCAGUUAAACUCCACUACCCCUUUGUUGAUACCGAUGCAUAUGUAGCUAGUUCUGAUGUAAGUCUUGCUGGGUACAUUUGUACUCACGUUUGCCUAUUCUAUGUUUUUGUAGAGAGACGUCAGUCUCGCUAGUAGUUCCGUGUGGACUUCGAUGUUUAGCUUGAUACCUCAGCUACGAUCUUGUGCCCUCGGCAGGAUCUGGUAGAUAGUCAGGCUUCUCAGCCUUUUUCAUUUGUAGAUGUCUGUACUCAGACAUGUUAAGCUUCCGCUUGUGUUUUGGUUUGUAUGUUAUGAUUGUUGUGUCAUGAGACCCAUGUUUGUAAUAUCUCGCUCCUUGGAGCCUAAUGAAUAAAUACUUGAGUCGUAGAGUUAUGUUGUGAUGCCAUGUUGUAUUUACACAUAUCGAGCAUAUUGUGUGUAUGAUUGAAAUGCUUGGUAUGUGUGGGAUCCGACAAUCUAGUUGUUUAUCCUUGGCAGCCUCUCUUAUGGGGAAAUGUAGUCUAGUGCUUCCAUGAGCCAUAGUAGUCCGCUACAGCCAGGUUCACCGGAGUCCUGCUAGCCCAGCACUACUGCUCAGGACACUUGACUGGCCGGCAUGUGAUUCAGUUCGUUCCUGUGUCUGUCCCUUAGGGGAAAUGUCACGCGGUGACAUCCGGAAUCCUGCCUAGCCUGCUACAGCCCAGGUUCCCGGAGUCCUGUUAGCCCAGUGCUACAGCCCGGAUUCACACGCUGCUGACCGACAUGCUCGAUGUUGAUUCAUGUAUGCAUGGCCCCAUAAGUUAGUGCCACUUUGGGUUCACGACUAGUCAUGUCGGCCCGGGUUCUCUGUCAUAUGGAUGCUAGCGACACUAUCAUAUACGUGAGCCAAAAGGCGCAAACAGUCCUGGGCCAUGGUAAGGCGACACCCGUGGGAAUACCGUGCAUGAGGCCGCAAAGUGAUAUGAGGUGUUACCGGCUAGAUUGAUGUGACUUGGAAUCGGGGUGCUGACAGCUUUGGUAUCAGAGCCUGACUGCCUGUAGGAAUACCAAGACAAACUGGUCGAAGUUGUGUCUAGAAAUGCUUUAGUUAUGCAGGGGAAUUUAUUGUGGAAGGGAACGUAAGGCUCUUUUUACUCCUUUACCUUAUGGCCUUCUGAUCUGAGUCAACCUCUUCUCUUCUCCGGGGAUUAAGUACUAGGCCUUCUCAUCUAUCUAUUAGGAUGACGUGUUACUAAUCCAUAGACUUAUAGAAUUGUUGGUUUUAGGCCUCAAUUCAGUUCCUAGUACUUUUAAUAUGUUGUACGUUGAACCACAACUUUGAUAUUGUGAUGUUAAGUGGUUAUGCCACCAUUUUGCAGGAUGUCUCAAAUCUUUUUCGAGCAUUUACAGCCGUUAUGCUGUCCGACUCAUCCCAGGUCUCUACAUAGUUUGAUGCAUUUGCAAAUCCUUUCUUUCCGUUCCCUAUGUCCUUUUGGGCCAGAUUAAGCACACUACACGAUCUGUGAGGUACUCCGUUGCCUCGGCGUAUAUGUUGGAGCUACUAUUAUGACCCUAGGUGUCUUAGGAAACCAUCUAGUAAUCUAGCCAUGUUUUGUGUUCCCGGUGUGAUGAAUCUGGCCACCAUUCUCGAAAGCAUCCCGUGAUGCCACUUAGAAGUAGGCAUUCUACUCCUGGGUUUUUGAACCCGACAUUCACCCUACUUCAUGUUGUUAGUAUUUGCUAGUUCCCUUAAGAUAUUAGUAACCUUUGUGAUAGUCCUCGAGGUCCGUGGUAUAUCCCUCUUCAAAUACCAUGAACCAAUAUGGCAGAAGUUCGUUGAACCAAAAGAUCACAAUAAGAGUGCUCUUGACGAGCUCUCCAUUCAAAUCGUGAGUCUGCCAGUCCUUCUUCUUCUGCAUGGGUUAUCCGGAAGAAAUAUGUUGAACUUGUUCAACAUACUAAUCCAUGCAUCCACAUCUCAAAAACAAUUAUAUGUUCCUUGAGUUGUCCCCCUUUAGUUGUAUUCCGACCUUAGCCUAUCAGUUGAUAGUCAAGAGUAUGUUUGCAUUCGUGUUUAUCGGUGCCUUUUACUCUUCUGGUCCGUCAAGCCAUUCUAUUUCGGAAUGACUAGGAGAAACAAACUCCAGUACCUCAUUCAUUUCUAGGAUUGGGUCAAGGCAGUUGUAUUCUGCAGAUCAAAUGCAAUCAAGCUUUGAUUCUGUUCUACCCUGAAGUAUUGCCCUCUUGAUGUCAGGAAUGUCAUGAUAAUUGCACCAACUCUUAUGAAUUCUUGAUGCAGUGAUACUUCUCACCAUCAUCAUUCUCUCCUCGGUUCCGUGUUUUUGCAACCGGAGUACCGACAAGUGAACCAUGAUGUGUGAAAUCAAUACUCCUGACAACUAGUUGCUUGGUAGUAAAUGGACAAUAUUCUCAUUCUUAGCGUGUUGGGUUUUGACUCAUGAUUCUAAGAUAGAUUGUGCUACCUAGUCCUUAUUUCCGGUGCACUCUUCGAUCAAUGAGUUAGGAUUAUUCAAUCCCUCACUCUUUUGAUCAUAUCAUCUUGCCUUGAAAAGCAAGGUUGUUCUCGAGCUUAGUAUCAUAUCAGUGGUUCGUGAUUUUCUGAUUAUCUUCUCGGAAGUAUCACUAGGUUGUCCCCUGACUGUUAUGUUGAGUUCGUGAUCAAGUUGGUUUUCUUAUAAAUCACCCCUUCUCCAAGAAUCUGUGUUGGAUAUCCCUGAGCUAGUUGGUUGAGCUAGACAACAACUUGGAGAGUUGGAAGAUAAAAGCUUGUAUGACUUAGUUCAUGUUAAGGGAUAUCUUUGUGUGUGUGUGUGUUUGUGUGUAUUGAAGAAAGAUGAUAUCCUCACCAGUUGGUCCUCGUGAUCAGUUGUUGAACCUAUUGUCUUGUUAAAAGUCUGACUUGAGUAUGGGCUAUCGUCAAGUCAAAUCAGAACCAACGAUGUUCGUAAUGCUGUCCUACUCGUGGUUGAUCCCUCGAGCAUACACCAUUACAUCUUUUGGUUUGACCAAUGCUAUCACCAUGUUCACAUGAUGGUGGAAGUCCAGUGAUAUGGAAAUUUCGAUGAGUAGCUAUUGAGUCCAUCAGCAGCAUCUUGUCUCCCCCAUGAUUCUGUUAAACAUUAAGCUAGUGUUGGAAACUUUGUAAACAAUGCCCUCAUGUUCCGUUCAUGAAGCAUAUGUUUGGAUGAAAGUAGUGACUUCCUCUAAGCUCACGUGCAAUCGAUGCAAGUUGUCGCCAUGAAUUCGAGAAAGCUUGUUUUUGCUUCCUCGGGAAUCAUCCCAAGUCGGCCAUGCACGUGCAAAGUAUUCUGUGGUAUGUUAGACUGAUCAUCUUCGUUCCAUAUGAAUUCCUAGCACCCAAGCCACUGAUUGACUUGUUCAAGGAAAAGAAGUCUAGCGCGCGUAAAGACUUCGAUAUCCUCGAUGAUGGUUCCCCACCUGAACCCGGUAGUGUUUUAUUAUAAGACUACUACGUGGUCAUGCUUGUCUUGGAUAGCGUGUUCACAAGUUUGUAGCAGAACCAGCUCAUGUUUUGGAGCUUGCUAUCGUAGUUCAUUCACCGAGAAUAUCGCAACGUCAUCUCGUCGAAUUGUGUUGCAAACUCUCAUUUUUCUUUCUAGACUUGAUGAGUCUGGAUUAUCCUGACACCGGCCAGAUCUGAAUCUCAGGCAGAUAUGAUGGUUGGAACUUUCCCAACAAUUGCAUUUUGUUCCCAGCUUGCGCCGCCAUUGUGCCAAUUCCCCAUGGGCUGCCCUUCUCAGUAGUUGCUGUCCAGGAUCAUCUUCAAAAGUGGUCCUGUCAUGGGUCCCAUCCAUUUUCAAUGAUAGGCAAAUAUCAUCCAUUGCGUUGACUUCAACAAGGUAGUCCACAUCAUCCAUUCUAGUCCGGGUAUGCCAUCCCUUCGUACUCCGCCAGAGGAUUGUUGUGGUUUGCCUUAGGCUAGUAUACAGAGUGUCAAUGAUCUCUGAAUCAAAAGUAAUUCUUUUUGCCACUUAAGGGAGUAUUUCUGCGAGUCACCUUCCUUAAGGUGUCUCGUUGUGGUAUCAUGGCAACCCAACUCCUCGCUAUGUUGACACCGUUCACCACCCUCCUAGGUGUGGGAAUUCUGCUACUUAUUUAAACCUUGUCAUAUGCUCAUAUCCAGCAUUCUUGAUGUGUGUAUCGUGUCUCAUCUCGACAGAUGUCGCUAUGUCUCGUUCUGUGAGUUGAAUGCCGGUUGCUCGAUCUUCGAGAAGAUCGAUUCUUCGAGAGUUCCUUUUCUUCCCAUUAUCAUGUUGGAUGGAGUUCUCAGAGCAAGACAUCGAGACAAAGAUGGUGAUCGUGUCAACGUUCCUAUGAAGUGCAACCUGGAUCGUGAAGACCGUGUUAGCUUGUGCCCCCUCUGUCUUCUUACCUCACGUCUUGAAUCUCGGGACGAGAUUCUUGUUUAGUGGGGGUGAGUUGUCACAGCCCUAGAAUUGUUCGCAACUAGUGGCAUUGCAUCCAUGCAUCAUGUUUAAAUUUCAUGAAACUUGAAAUGUGGAUUGUUGAAACCCUAGAACCAAAUGAAUUCAACCAGGUUCAAACUUAAAUCUUUUCAAUGAUCCCAAAAUACCCUUUAGAAAUGUUCAUCAUUUUUGAAUUGGUCCAGCACCUCUGACAAAAAUGAUGCACAUAUUUUCAGGCCAUCCUGAAUUUUUGAAUUAAAUCAUAUGCUAUUUGCAAUUGGGCAUUUAAAUGCUAUAUAAUAUUUUUAAAUGCUCAUUUAAUUCUGAACUUAAGUGAGGGCUGUUGGGAAUACUCCAACCAGAGCCCACAAUUAUUUUCAGGAUUUUUGGAAACGUUCUGGUAUUUUUAAUAAAGCCCAGAAGUUACAGAUAAAUAGAAAACAGAAAGAAUUAGAAAAGAGAGAGAGAGAAGAGCUCACCUAGCCCACCUGGCGGCCCAACUAUGCAUGCAGCCCAGCCCAGCACCGCAGCCCCCUCUGUCGUCUUUCUCCUCACGCUAGUAGGCAGGGCGCGUGGUCGCCGCGCCCGCGCCAGCUCCUGCUUCCACCGCGACGCCCCGGCUCUUCUGGAUGUGCCACGGAGAUGCCCCGCUCCUCUCUCACUCUCUCUCGUUCUUUCCCCCUCCUCUGUCUCGUUCUCUCUCCCGAAGCCGAGCGGAGCCGUCGCCGCCGCUCGCUGCCGCCGCUCGCUGCCGACCACCCCUCGCCCUACCGAUGAGUCCAGAAGCUCCGCCGCGACGCCCUCGCCCUCCCCACCGAGCCACGCUUCGCCGGAGGCCCUGCAUCGCCGCCAUCAGGUCGUCCUCAAGCUCGGUACCUGCCGGACACUGUUCAUCGAUUCGCCUCGCUCCGGUCGCCCCCGAGCCCACUGAUCUGCUCAUCGACCUCCCUGUGAGCUCCCCCGCUUUCCCCUCUUCUUUCCCGCGCGUUUGCACCCUCUAGGCCAUAGUUCCACCAUGGCCGAAGCUCGCCUCCGCUUGAGCUUGUCGCCGGCGUCACUCCGGCGACCAUUUGGUCAUCCCGUGCUACCCAACAUGCUUGUGGCAUCGCAUAGUGCCUCGCUAGCGCCUCAGUUUCCGCGUUUGCACGCCGCAGCCCAACCCCGCACAUGGCUGAACUCCGUUCGCCGCCUUGGAGCUCGCCGUCGUUGGCUCCGGCCACGAUAGACCCGACCUCCACCACCACUAGACGCACGCCUGCAGGAGCUCUCCAACGAGCCCAAGAACGGCCUCGCCCGUGCCCUGUGGGCAUUUUCCGAGCCGCGCCACCGUCUCGGGCCUCGCCGGCGCUGAGUCGCCGGUGGGUUUGACCCCGCUGACCGUUGACCAUGUGGGCCUAGUUUGACCGCCUGGGUCACUGACGUGUGGGCCCCAGGCUACUAACUAAACUAGGAUUAGUAUUAGUUUAACACUAACUAACUUUAGUCAGUUAACUAACUACUGACCAGUGGGUCCCACUAGUCAGGUUUAACCUGGACCGCGUCUGUUGACCAGAUGAUGUCAGCAUGACGCAAGGCUGAUGCGGUAAAUGCUUUUCUGUAUUUUAAAUAAAUCUAAAUGAUUUAUUUAUUUUCAGAAAAUCCCCUAAACUUCCAAAAAUCAUAGAAAAUAAUCUAUAACUCAGAAUGAAAUAAAUUAUAUAUGAAAAAAUAUCAGAAAAAUUCAAGGAAUCUGUUUAUGGCAUUUGCAUGCAUGUUUGAACAACCUAGGGUUGCUGUACAGGGCAAUUUGCAUAAUUGACAUUUAAAUAAGCACAUAUGGAGUUUGAAUUUGAACCUUGGUUCAAACCAACUUCAUUUAAUGUGAUUGCUAGUUGCAUUAGCUCAAUCAACAACAUAUUGCCACGACAUUAUUAUGCAUCAUAACUGUUGCAUUGCAUUGAUUGUGUUCCUCUUUGUUUGCCGGUAUUUGUCCCCUCUCGAUAGACGUGGUUCCGACGAUGAGUUCGAUGACACCGAUGAAGAACUAUACUAUCUUCAGAAGUGCCAGGCAAGCAAAACCCCCUUGUUCAUUCCGAUACAAUCCCACUCUCUCGCUCCUGCUCUCUUUUACUGCACUAGGACAACAACGAUUCAUAUGUUACUUGUUGCGGUAGUUGAACCCCUUAUCCUCUGCAUGACCUGUCAUUGCCACAGUAAAUAGAUGAAACCCACUAGCAUGAGUAGGAGUUGUUUGAGCCCUGAUGUGCCUACUCAUUCAUGCUUGUUUGUCAUGCUUGCUAUUGCUUAGAGUUGUGUCAGGUCUGAUUCAUCGGGGAUGAAUUGGAAAGUUGUGAACAUGUCCUACUGUGUGUGAGCUAAGUGUGUUGAACACGAUUUGGUAAAGGUAUCGAUGAGAGGCCAUGUAGGACACUAGUGCAGAACCGGGCAAUAGCACCGGUUCGUAAGGCCCUUUAGUGUCGGUUUGGUAACCGGCGCUAAAAUGUAGGCACUAAAGGCCCCCCCCCCCCAUUUAGUACCGGUUCAACAUGAACCGGUGCGAAAGGGCAACCACAUGGCACGAGUCAGCUUCGGGGGCAGGGAGCCCUUUAGUACCGGUUGGUGUCACCAACCGGUAUUAAAAUGUUGGGGGGGGGGUUUGGGUUUAUGAUUUGUUUUUCAUUUAAUUUUGUGUUUUCCAUUUAAUUCUUUUUCGUUUGCUGGUAUUUUANNNNNNNNNNNNNNNNNNNNNNNNNNNNNNNNNNNNNNNNNNNNNNNNNNNNNNNNNNNNNNNNNNNNNNNNNNNNNNNNNNNNNNNNNNNNNNNNNNNNNNNNNNNNNNNNNNNNNNNNNNNNNNNNNNNNNNNNNNNNNNNNNNNNNNNNNNNNNNNNNNNNNNNNNNNNNNNNNNNNNNNNNNNNNNNNNNNNNNNNNNNNNNNNNNNNNNNNNNNNNNNNNNNNNNNNNNNNNNNNNNNNNNNNNNNNNNNNNNNNNAGUAGGAUUUUCUACAAGUGCUUGCCACAGAACUAGUUAAGGGUUUCAACGGUGCAAAAAAUUUCAAAAAUUCUGAAAAAAAUACUGAACCAACACACCUAUAAUAUAACAUGAUCCAACGGAGGGAUUAAAAAAAUACGACUGUAUGUGUCCUGGACAAAAAACAAAUAGUUCAGUAUAUAUUUAUGUCGCAGUGAGCUGAAAUGCUUAUUAUUUUUGCCGACGACACAUAGAUGCAUAUUUUGACAAUCCCUCCGUUGGAUCAUCUUAUUACAUUAGAGAUAUGCUUUAGGGACACUUAACUAGUUCUGUGGCAAGCUAUGGUAGACACAGUUAUAUAUAUGGUCCUGUGCUAUGCGGUCCUGUGCUAGGAGCUUGUCCCGCACCUCUUUGAACUGUUAAGAAGGAGAUCAAUAUACAUGUGUAUUAGUUGUGUGACUAGAUAUCGAUAAUGGUGUAAAAAUUGUGAAUAGUGUUCUGACAAUCGAUAUCGUACCCACUUUUGUCUUUGAGAUUUGCUCCUUUCGGACGCCAUCAUGCGAAUGUUCUCGCAAAUGUAGUAUGCACAUAGAUCAUUCCCUGGCACCUGCCUCAGGGCCGUUACGAAAAUGGAAUUUUGAUCAGAUAAUAAUUAAUCAAGCAUGAUAAUUAAAGAGAUGGCAGCUAGCUAGUACUACUUAAUUACUUACCUUGGGCCGAUACCAUUUCAGACUUUAUUUCUAUGGGCCUGGAGUGACCCUGAUGAACUUUGCCCAAGCCCUGCCCGCCGACAAAGAUAAUGAAUAAAUGGGUUAUUAGAUAGUUGUUAUCAAGAAAUGACGAACUAAUUAAAUAGGCUGAGAUAUAGUUAAUAAUGAUUGAAAUUACCUGUUGACUAUCCCGUUCACGAUGGUGUAGUCACUUGCUUUCUUAAGUAGCGAGUCUAGUACUUCAACUAUUCGUUCAUCAACUUUAAUGAUUAACAAGAUCCAGUGAUAUCUGCAUGCACACACGUUUGCAUGUCUUAAUUAAGCAGGCAUAUGUAAGCAAAAACAUGUAGCUAUAGCUAGUAGGGAAAAACAGAAUUUGUAGUACAAGACAGUGUGACUCACUGGAAGUUGUAAGGAAGUAGUAUAUCUUCAUUGUAUUUGAGUUCCUUGAAUAACUGUAGCAUACUUUCCUCUACACAUUUUGCGUGACAUGGAUCUAAUUUCCAUGUGUAUUCAUUAAUGGUAUUUGGGUCAACGAACCCAAUGCCAUAGCAUCCACCUUUUUUCAUUUCAUAAAUCUUCAUCCUGCAUAAUACCACAGAAAAGAAUAUUGUGAGGAUAAUUACAGGUAAUGAUUGAUCAAAAUGAUCAGCUAGCUUGAGACUUAAAUUACAGAAAGGAAUCACUUACAGAAAAUAGCAACUGUCGAUAGAUUUGUCAAGUGCGUCUUUAUUGUAUAGCUGAAAAAGUUCUGAAUACUCAACGGUCACAACUUUCUUAUGGUAGUAAUGCUCCUCAUUGACAUUCACCAUGAGGGACUCUCGAUUGGAAAUCUUGGUAAUGUCCAUGUACCAUUGAUGCAAUUCAUACAUUCUCAUUGGGAGCUUACUGACCUCCUCUGGCUCGACCAAAGGUUGGCCCCAGGCAUAUUUUCGUUUUAUUUCCUCCUCUCUAGUCGGAGACAUGGGAUCGAUAUCGAGGAGUUGUCCAACAGUGAUCCCGAUCAAUUGAGCCUGCGCAAUAUGCUCCUCGGUUAUUACCACAUCGCCCACCCCGGGAACGUUAAUGGUUUGCCCACAAUAAUAUUGGGCGCGCCUACUCUCAUGUGUUGUUGGCACAACAAGCGGGGGGAUUGAGUGCGCAACCUGUUCUCCCAGCUGGGGAACGGUUUUACCGCUCCUUUUGCUAGCUGAUUUGCUCGAGCUCGAGCUCGCCUCUUUCUGUAGACGUGCUCGAUUUAACUUCCUGAGGUGGCGCUCAUAGUCUGUGUCAACAGGCUUGGGAGCUGGUGGUUUAGCCAUACGAAUGAAGUGGUCAAUCUUUUCCACAGGCACUUUCUCCCUUGGCGGCGGUGGCGGUUUCGGUGCAAAAUGGGCUUCCACCUCGGCCUUUGAUAUGGCUACGUUUUCCUCCUCGGACUUGUCGUAAGGCCUCUGCGAAAGAGGCGCGAGGCUUGGACCAUAUUGAAAUCGCUUGCCUCCGCCCGUACCUGUAGUACUACCUCGACUUGUACCGCUACGCACCAUAGCUGAGGCGGCUCUCUUCCGUGAUUGCUGAGGCGGCGAAGAUGGCUGACGUGGCUGAGUUGGAGGAGGAGGAGUGGCCUGAAGCUGUGCCGGACUUGGAGGAGGAGUGGCCUGAAGCUGUGCCGGACAUGGAGGAGGAGUGGCCUGACGCUUUGCCAGACUUGGAGGAGGAGUGGCCUGAAGCUGUGCCGGACUUGGAGGAGGAGUGGCCUGACGCGUUGGUGGACUUGGAGGAGCGGGAGUCUGCUGACUCGGUGGCGGACUGCGACGAGGAGUCGGAUGACGCGGUGUCGGUGGCCUUUGAAAGAUGAUGCAAUCCUUUCUCCAUAGGAUGAUACGAUGGUUGGCCUCUCCUAGUGUGUGCUCAUCGUCACCUCCAGGAAUGUCAAGCUAUAGCCCCGAAUAUUGGUCCACCACCUCAUCAACCAAGACACGAGCAUAGCCCGCUGGAAUCGGGUUGCAAUGGAAGGUUGCCUCGGGGGGAUUUGUAAAAGCAAGGGCGUCCGCCACCUUCAUGGAUAUGUUCUUCAUUUUGAAGUGUAGCUCGCAGUUAGUGUUCUCCAUGAUGUCAUCCACUGGGUAGCUAUCCAGCAAUGCGUCGCCUGGAGCGGAGCCCACGCUGCUUCUCGGCAUGGAUGGGACGGUGCUAUCCAUUGGUGGAUCAUCCGCUAGCUGCUGAGACCCCCUUUGCUGGCUAAGUGAGUCGAUCUACUACUGCUGCCGUUGGAAUUUGAUUUCCAAGUCCGCGUGCGCUGAUUCUAGGCCUUGAAGGCGUUCAUAGUCUAGCUUCCUCUGCUCCUCCUCCAUAUUCCUCUUCUUAUCCUCCGCAAUCUUCUUUCUCGCACGGGUUCUGUAGUCGGUGUUCCAGUCCGAAAACCCCUCAUACCACGGAAUAGCGCCCAUGCCUCGUGUUCUUCCCAGGUGUUCAGGAUUUCCCAGGGCACGCGUAAGCUCGUCGUUCUCUCUAUUGGGCUCGAACAACCCGGAUCAAGCCUCUUCUAUUGCAACAAGUAGCUUAUCUUCGGCUCCGUCCAGACACGCCUUCUUGGAAACUUUUCCUGUCUUCAGGUCCAACUCCCCCCCAUGCGCAUAGAACCAAGUCCGGCACCUGGGGGGCCAGCGCAAUGUUUCUGGAGUGACACCUGCAUCCAGCAUCUCUUUCUCAGACUUAUCCCACUUAGGCAAUCCCACCGCAUAGCCACCUGGCCCCAGCUUAUGGAACUUAUCCUUUUUUGCGGCAUUGGCCUUGUUUAUUCUCGACCGUUCCUUAGAUAAUUCUGAAUCCUUGAAUUUCACGAAAUCGUCCCAAUGAGCACUUUGGUUCUCUAGUUUUCCCUCGAAUACUGGACUCUUCCUUCCUCCGUUGACGUACUUGGCCCAUUCACGAAUCUUGUGGUUCCUGAAUGCAACCGCCAUCUUCCUAAGAGCAUCGUCCUUGACUUUCUCCACAUCUGCAUUUGUGAAAUGAUCUGGUAGGGUGAAAUGUUCCAUGAGCGUUUCCCAAAGCAACUAUUUUUGUCUGUCGUCGACAAAAGUAACUCCUGGACGUGGCUUUGAUGGCUCUCUCCAUUCUUGAAGGGAUAUCGGGAGUUGGUCCUUCACAAGAACUCCGCACUGACGAACGAACUUGUCCGCAAUCUUCUUAGGCGCGAAUGGUUCUCCAUUAGGUCUGAUUGCCUCGAUAUUGUACUUUAUGCCCUCCUUCAACUUUUUGUUCGGGCCUCGUUUCGUCCUGUUGCCUGAAGAUUUGCUCGAUCUGGAUGGCUGAAAGAAGAAAGAUCGAUUCGUUAAUAUAUCUUCAAGUCAUAUAAAACAUGUGAUGAUCACCAGAUGCCUGCUUAGAUAAAUAUAUAUACCUCGCCGGUCUUUGUUGUUUCAAGAUCAACAUUUUCAUCGUCAUGUUCAUAGUUGACGACUUCAUCAAUUCAGUCGUCGCGAUCGAAUAUCAUAUCACCCUCCCCGGUGUUGUUUAGAUAUUCGGAGCCGUCAUAAUCUUCUUCAUUCUGAUCAUCAUCUGGCCCGCGAGGAUUGCGUAUGAUAUUGAACAGGGCCUCUUCUCCCUCUCUGCCGGUAUUGUCCGCCAUAGGUUUUGUUUAACUAAUCCAAAAGAAAUAUAUUCAAAUUACAAUGCAUGGAUGCAAUCAAUUAAUAAGGAAAAACUGAAUCAAUCAUAGUACAUAAUAAGCAUCAUCGAAUAUAAUCUCGAAUAUGUCGUCUCGAAUAAUAGAUAUAAUCUCGAAUACAUCGUCUCGAAUAAUAGAUAUAAUCUCGAAUACAUAGUCUCGAAUAAUAGAUAUAAUCUCGAAUACAUCGUCUCGAAUAAUAUAUAAUCUCGAAUACAUCGUCUCGAAUAUUAUAUAUUGAGUACAUCACUGGCUAGGUAGCUAAUAAAGAUCGAAUACUACAGAAGAAUCUAGGACACUCGCGGUUCCUGCGGCGCGGCGGUGGACACCCAAAGAGAAGGAACCCUCACAGGAUCAUAGCUGAAGUGAGAUCCCUGAAGAAACUGCCAGGUAUUGGAGAACCCUCUAACGCAACCAUGUAGCGAUGGACGUGCUCGUCCUCCUCCCUGACACGGUGACGUACCACCUCCGGCGGGGCCGGCUCCCUCCGCACCGACACUGGCCCACGCGAACGCCACCAAACGAGAUCAGGGUCGACGAUGAGACCCGGGGCCGGGUUCCUCAUCAAGCGGCGCACCCCUCCAGGAAGCACCUCCCAGUGCUAGCCCGGCGGAGCCCAGUCCCGGACAUGGGUCAGCCGGACAUCGUCGCGGACAGGUCGACGGCGAGGAUGCGGGCCGGGCAUCGUCGAGAACAAAUACUAGCUAUAUGCCCGCAAAAAGUAACAUUUUUUUAAUGAUUGGAUUUUGAUAACUAAAAUUUCUAACAUUUCUAUAUAUCUAACAUUCCUAUAACAUUUCUAACAAUGCUAUAUAACUAACAUUUCUAUAACAUUUCUAAUAUUUCUAUAACUAAAAAACAGAAAAAAAAUUAUAACAUUUCUAUAUAUAUAACUAACAUUUGUAUAACAUUUAUAAUAUUUCUAUAACUAAAAAGAGAAAAAUUUCUAACUUUUUUAUAACUAUUUUUAUAACUAAAAAACAGAAAAAAUUUCUAACAAUUCUAACUAUUUUAUAACUAUUUCUAUAACUAAAAAACAGAAAAAUUUCUAACAAUUCUAACAUUUCUAACAAUGCUAUAUAACUAACUAUUUCUAUAACUAAGAAAAGAAAAAUUUCUAACAAUGAUAUAUGUGUGUGUGUGUGUGCUCACCGGCGAGGCGAGAGGCGACGGGGGGCGGCGACGGGGACGGCGACGGGCGCGCUGACGACGGGGAUGGCGACGACGGGGACAGGGACAGGGCGGUGACGACGGGGACGAGGCGGCGAUGACGGGGACGGGGACGACGCGGGACGAGCCGGGACGGUGCGGCGGUGAUGAUGGGGACGACUGGGACGGGGACGAUGUGGCGGCGACGACGGGGACGGGGGCGGCGACGAGGGUUAUGGAGACGGGGGCGGCAGGCGACGGGGUAGAGGAGAAGAAGCAGACGAGAAACUGAAAUUUUUGAAGUGUUUAGUUAUAUAGGAUGGACCUUUAGUACCGGUUGGAGCCACCAACCGAUACUAAAGGCCUAUUUUGGCCAGGCCAAGCGGCAGGAACCGUACCCCCUUUAGUGCCGGGUGGUGUCUCCAACCGGUACUAAAGGCCCCCCCCUUUAGUACCGGUUGGUGCUACCACCUGGCACUAAAGGGGGUGCGCUGGCGCAGGUGCGGUGUGAAAUGUUUAGUCCCACCUCGCUAGCCGAGGGGCGUCCACACUGGUUUAUAAGCCCCAGUGCGGUAGCUGCCUCGAGCUCCUCUCCAAAGCAGACCUACUGGGCCUAAAUGUUCUGUGUUGCCCUGUGGGCCUACUGGGCCUUUGCUGGCCUGCAUCCUGGCCCAACAAUAGGUUGGGUUUCUAGUCGUAUGCAGGCCGCUGUGGCGCAGUAGGUGGGCUUCUUUUUCUUAUUUUUUUGCUUUAUUUAUUUUUGUUUGAGUUGUUUUUUUGUUGUAUUCAGAGUUUCUUUCUGAAUAUUUUUGCUUUAGGUAGAAAAAAUUACAAACUUUAUGUUAGUACCGGUAGUUUACAAAUUUGAAUAGUUUAAAUUUUGAUUUAUUUGAAAUUUGUGUGAAUCACUAGUUUGUGAAUAACUUAACUUUGAGAAUAGAUUUUUCAGUGAUUCUUUUUUCUUAUGUUUAAUAUUAGUGUGUUUUAUCAUUAUAUUCAAUUUGGUAAUGCUUAGGUUAUUUAAAAAAAUGAAAUGCCUUUUGUAACGGAUGAGUUUUCGUCCGAAACCCUGAUACUUCGAAAGAGAUUGUCCAUUUAGUACACGAAGUGCAUCUAGUUUUUGCGGUAACCCUCUCUACUUUUUUGCACAUGCUAUGUGGGUGAAAUUAUGAUACCAUGCCAACUUUCAACCUUUUCUGAGUUCAUUUGAAAUGCUUUUCAAUUUCAGGGUCAUUUAGCUUAAAAAAAAUCAGUAAAGGCAUGAAAGAAUUUGUUUGCACAUAAAAUUUCUUCGCGUUUCAAAUGCCAAAACACAUAACUACCCUAACUAUUACAGAGAUUCCCUCCUAGGUGUGAAACACAGAAGAAAGUGAUGAUAGUGAAGCCGAUCACAUCCCAGAUCUUUGGGUGUGAAACUUUUUCUUCGCGUGUGUCCCUUUGCACCGUAACCAUGGAAAAUCUUCAUCAUUUAGCGGGAUGCUCGGGUCAAUAUUCAGUGUGAAUGGAGCAAUUUCAUCAAACUUUUCAUAAUCUUCUGACAUGUCUGUCUUGUCAUCCAUUCCCACGAUGUUUCUCUUCCCAGAAAGAACUAUGUGCCUCUUUGGCUCAUCGUACGAUGCAUUCGCUUCCUUAUCUUUUCUUUUUCUUGGCUUGGUAGACAUGUCCUUCACAUAGAAAACCUAUGCCACAUCAUUGGCUAGGACGAAUGGUUCGUCAGCAUACGCAAGAUUGUUGAGAUCCACUGUUGUCAUUCCGUACUGCGGGUCUUCCGUUACCCCGCCUCGUGUCAUAUUGACCCAUUUGCACCGAAACAAAGGGACCUUCAAACCACGUCGAUAGUCAAGUUCCCAUAUGUCCUGUAUAUAACCAUAAUAUGUUUCCUUUCCUGUCUUCGUUUCCGCAUCAAAGCGGACACCACUGUUUUGGUUGGUGCUCUUCUUAUCUUGGGCGAUCGUGUAAAAUGUAUUACCAUUUAUCUCGUACCCUUUGAAAGUCAUUAUAUUCGAAGAUGGUAACUGGGGCAGCAAGUACAUGUCAUCUUCAAUAGAGGUGUCAUGCAUGGUACGUGUCUGCAACCAGCUGGCGAAACUCCUAGUUUGUUCACGUGUAAUCCAGUCAUCAGACCGCUUCGGGUGUUUGGAGCAUAGCAAAUUCUUGUGUUUAUCCAUAUACGGAGCCACCAAGGCGGAAUUCUGUAGAACUGUGUAGUGUGCUUCAGUGAGAGAUUGUCCGUCCAUACAUAUUAUUUGUUCCCCUCCUAGCAUGCCUUUUCCAUCCAGUCUGCCCUUAUGCCACGAUUCAGGAACACCAAUCGGCUUAAGGUCAGGAAUAAAGUCAAUACAAAACUCAAUGACCUCCUCAUUUUCAUGGCCCAUGGAGAUGCUUCCUUCUGGCCUAGCACGGUUAUGAACAUAUUUCUUUAAGACUCCCAUGAACCUCUCAAAGGGAAACAUAUUGUGUAGAAAUACAUGACCCAAAAUGUUAAUCUCUUCGCAUAGGUGAACUAGGACGUGCGUCAUGAUGUUGAAGAAGGAUGGUGGGAACACCAACUCAAAACUGACAAGACAUUCCACCAAAUCAUUCUCUAACCUUGGUAUGAUUUCUGGAUCGAUUACCUUCUAAGAGAUUGCAUUGAGAAAUGCACAUAGCUUCACAAUGGCUAAUCGAACGUUUUCCAGUAGAAGCCCCCUCAAUGCAACCGGAAGCAGUUGCGUCAUAAUCACGUGGCAGUCAUGAGACUUUAGGUUCUGGAACUUUUUCUCUGCCAUGUUUAUUAUUCCGUUUAUAUUCGACGAGAAGCCAUACGGUACCUUAAUACUAAGCAGGCAUUCAAAGAAGAUUUCCUUCUCUUCUUUGGUAAGAGCGUAGCUUGCAUGACCUUGAUGUAUGCCGUCUUUUCCGUGCAUACGUUGCUGGUCCUCCCGUGCCUCAGGUGUAUCUUUUGUCUUCCCAUACACGCCCAAGAAGCUAAGCAGGGUCACACAAAGAUUCUUCGUCACGUGUAUCACGUCGAUUGCGGAGCGGACCUCCAGGUCUUUCCAAUAGGGCAGGUCCCAAAAUAUAGAUUUCUUCUUCCACAUGGGUGCGCGUCCAUCAGCGUCAUUCGGAACAGGUUGUCCACCAGGACCCUUUCCAAAGACCACCUUCAAAUCCUUGACCAUAUCAUGUACAUCAGCACCGGUACGGUGGCGAGGCUUCAUCCAGUGAUCCGCCUCACCGGAGAAAUGCUUGCCUUUCUUUCUUACGGGAUGCCUGCUCGGAAGAAAUCGACGAUGUCCCAGGUACACAUUCUUCUUACAAUUAGCCAAAUAUAUACUGUCGGUAUCGUCCAAACAGUGCGUGCAUGCACGGUAUCCCUUGUUUGUCUGUCCUGAAAGGUUACUGAGAGCAGGCCAAUCAUUGAUGGUCACGAACAACAACGCCUUUAGGUCAAAUUCUUCCCCCAUGUGCUCAUCCCACGCACGUACACCUGUUCCAUUCCACAGUUGUAAGAGUUCUUCAACUAAUGGCCUUAGGUACACAUCAAUGUCGUUGCCGGGUUGCUUAGGGCCUUGGAUGAGCACUGGCAUCAUAAUGAACUUCCGCUUCAUGCAUAACCAAGGAGGAAGGUUAUACAAACAUAGAGUCAUAGGCCAGGUGCUAUGGUUGCUGCUCUGCUCCCCAAAAGGAUUAAUGCCAUCUGCGCUUAGACCAAACCAUACGUUCCUUGCAUCAUCUGCAAACUCCUUCCCAUACUUUCUUUCGAUUUUUCUCCACUGCGACCCGUCAGCAGGUACUCUCAACUUUCCGUCUUUCUUACGGUCUUCUCUAUGCCAUCGCAUCGCCUUGGCAUGCUCUUUGUUUUGGAACAAACGUUUCAACCGUGGUAUUAUAGGAGCAUACCACAUCACCUUGGCAGGAAUCUUCUUCCUGGGGCCCUCGCCCUCGACAUCACCAGGGUCAUCGCGGCCGAUCUUAUAGCGCAAUGCACCGCAUACCGGGCAAGCAUUCAAAUCCUCAUACUCACGGCGGUAGAGGAUGCAAUCAUUAGGGCAUGCAUGUAUGUUCUUCACCUCUAACCCUAGAGGGCAGACAACCUUCUUUGCUUGGUACGUACUCUCGGGCAAUUCGUUGUCCUUUGGAAGCAUAUCCUUUAUCAUUACCAGCAACUUUCCAAAUCCCUUGUCAGAUACACCAUUCUUUGCCUUCCAUUGUAGCAAUUCCAGUGUGGUGCCCAACUUUUUCUUGUCACCUUCGGAAUUCGGGUACAACAAUUUUUUGUGAUCCUCUAACAUGCGCUACAACUUCUUCUUCUCCAAAUCACUUGCGCAGUUUCUCUUUGCAUCAGCAAUGGCCCGACCUAGAUCAUCAACGGGCUCAUCCCAUGCCUCUUCUUCAGCUUCUUCCCGCGUUGUAGGCUCAGCUUCUUCCCGCAUUACCGGCUCAGCUUCUUCCCUCAUUGUUGUAUCAUCAUAUUCAGGGAACCCAUGGCCAGGAUAGCUGUCGUCGUCCUCUUCUUCUUCAUUGUCUUCCAUCAUAACCCCUCUUUCUCCAUGGUUGGUCCAAACAUUAUAGUGGGGCAUGGAACCGGACUCAAACAGGUGGACGUGAAUGGUUCUUGACGUAGAGUAAUUGCGACCAUUCUUACAGCCAGCACAUGGACAAUGCAUAAAACCAUCCGCUCGCUUGUUUGCCUCAGCUGCAAGCAGAAAAGUACGCACGCCAUUAAUGAAUACACAGCACCGAAAACAUCAAAUUAAUACAAUACAUAAAGUUCAUACAUAAAGAGCAUACAACACUUCAAUGCAACAAACAAAUAACUCUCUAGCUAAAGAAUUUAAAUGCAACAACAAAUGCAAUCAAUAUCGCAACUAAGGUAACAAUUGAUCCAACAGCAUAAUGAUACCAAGCCUCACUAUGAAUGGCAUAUUUUCUAAUCUUUCUAAUCUCCAAGCGCAUUUUCUCCAUCUUAAUCUUGUGAUCAUCGACGACAUCGGCAACAUGCAACUCCAAUUCCAUCUUCUCCCCCUCAAUUCUUUUCAAUUUUUCCUUCAAAUCCUCGUUUUCUCUUUCAACUAAAUUUAACCUCUCGAUAAUAGGGUCAGUUGGAAUUUCGGGUUCAACUACCUCCUACAUACAAAUAUCCAUGUCAACUUGAUGGGCAUAAUUUGUCAUAAACACGAAAUGCAAUGAAUAGUUUUAAAAGAGAAUAUACCACAUCCGAAUCAUAACCCAGACGAGGGCCGACGGGGACGGAUAUCAGAACCAUGGCACUAUGCAUAAAAAACAAUGUAUGGGUAAGAUAAUUAUACGAGUAACUAUAUAUCCAAAUCACACAAACAUCAUUUUUUAUAUAAAACUUCAUGAACAAGAGCUCACCACAAGGUGGUGCCGGCGACGGGAUGUUGCGAGCGAUCGACGGUGGUUACGACGGAGAUUUGGAAGGUACUAAGUAAACCACACCUACAUAUGCAAAACUAAGUGUUAUUUUUGACCUCAAAUUGCAUAUAAAUCAAAUACUAGCACAUAUAUAUAAUUCCUCCCAAAUUACUAAACUCAAAAAUCAAUCACUAUAUAAAGCAUUGCACGAGCUAAUCUAGCAAUGAGAGAUGAAAGGAAAGAGUUGCUAACCUUUGUGAUCAUUUGAAUGGAUGGGGCCUUCAAAUCUUGGGCAAAAUGUGUGAUGAGCUUGAGAGGAAGAGGGGAAAGAACAGAGAGGAGAGGGGAAAGGGGAAGAAAAGAGCGAGCUUAGGUGGACGAAGGGUCUAUGUAGGAUGACCUUUAGUACCGGUUCAUGAUACGACCCGGUACUAAAGGUGCUGGAGGGGCCCUGGACUGACAACAUCCUGCCACCACUCACUUUAGUACCGGUUCGUGGCAUGAACCGGUGCUAAAGGUUCACCACGAACCGGUACUAAUGAGAGCGGCCCGGCUAGCCGUGUUGCUAAGUACAUGUCGUGUAAAUGACGGUAAGUGGUGAGAGCGUGUAUGAAGAAGUACACCCCUGCAGGGUUAACAUCAUCUAUUCGAAUAGCCGCGUCCGCGGUGAAGGACUGCUUGGUUGCCUAUAUAGUUCAUAGAUAACUUGAAGUGGAUACUCUAAAACUGGCAAGAUAAGCAUGAGUGCUAUGGAUGGUGUUCUCGUAGGGAGAUGGGAGCAGAUCCAUAGUGGUGUAUUGAUAUGGUGAAUAUGUGCACUCGUGUGCGCCACCUCAAAAGAGUUGCUUGUAGUCAUAGUUCAGGUUAGACACUGAGUCAAAGCUGGCUUGCUGCAGUUAAACUCCACUACCCUUUGUUGAUACCGAUGCAUAUGUAGCUAGUUCUGAUGUACGUCUUGCAGGGUACAUUUGUACUGACGUUUGCCUACUCUAUGUUUUUGCAGAGAGACGUCAGUCUCGCUAGUAGUUCCGUGUGGACUUCGACGUUUAUCUUGAUACCUCAGCAAUGAUCUUGUGCCCUCGGCAGGAUCUGGUAGAUAGUCAGGCUUCUCAGCCUUUUUCAUUUGUAGAUGUCUGUACUCAGAAAUGUUAAGCUUCUGCUUGUGUUUUGGUUUGUAUGUUAUGAUUGUUGGGUCAUGAGACCCAUGUUUGUAAUAUCUCGCUCCUCGGAGCCUAAUGAAUAAAUACGUGAGUCGUAGAGUUAUGUUGUGAUGCCAUGUUGUAUUUACACAUAUCGAGCAUAUUGUGUGUAUGAUUGAAAUGCUUGGUAUGUGUGGGAUCCGACAAUCUAGUUGUUUAUCCUUGGCAGCCUCUCUUAUGGGGAAAUGUAGUCUAGUGCUUCCAUGAGCCAUAAUAGUCCGCUACAACCCGGUUCACUGGAGUCCUGCUAGCCCAGCACUAUUGCUCAGGACACUUGACUGGCCGACAUGUGAUUCACUUCGUUCCUGUGUCUGUCCCUUCGGGGAAAUGUCACGCGGUGACAUCCGGAGUCCUGCCUAGCCUGCUACAGCCCGGGUUCCCGGAGUCCUGUUAGCCCAGUGCUAUAUCCCAGAUUCACACGCUGCUGACGAACAUGCUCGAUGUUGAUUCAUGUAUGCCUGUCCCCGUAAGUUAGUGCCACUUUGGGUUCACGACUAGUCAUGUCGGUCCGGGUUCUCUGUCAUAUGGAUGCUAGCGACACUAUCAUAUACGUGAGCCAAAAGGCGCAAACGGUCCCGGGCCAUGGUAAGGCGACACCCGUGGGAAUACCGUGCAUGAGGCCGCAAAGUGAUAUGAGGUGUUACCGGCUAGAUCGAUGUGACUUGGAAUCGGGGUCCUGACACAAGAAGACUUGUUGGGGGAUAUAAUCCACGAUGGAGUUGAUCCCUUGUCAUUUCUCAACGACACCGAUGGUCAAGAAGGAGAGGAUGACGGCUCCGGUGAUCCAACAAGGGAGGAGGAAGGAGAUCAUGACGGCUCCAGUGACCGAAUGGCGGAGGAAGGAGAUCAUGAUCACGGCUCCAAUGACGAACGGAGGAGGGAGUCUUAACUGUUGCAAAGUCCGGCGAGGUAUAUAUAUGUUUUAAUUAAUCAUGUGUUGACUUGAUGCAUUAAUUUUUUUGUAUGUACAUAUAUUAACACUUCUUUCUUCUUUAAGCCCUCCGGAUCGAGCCAAACUUUUGUAAGGAGACGAGUCCUGAAGAAAAGGUUGCGCUAGGAUGAAAGGUUCACGAUCACAGAAGUCGUGAAAGAUGGCCAACUGAUUGCUCCCAAGCGGACCAAGGAUGCAUUUGUACAUCAGUGCAGAGUUGUUGUAAGGGACAUCGUCCUGAUCAACAUCCAACAACGGAAUAAGAAGAAGGACCCUAAAGUUUCUUAUGUCCAGGAUAGACUGAAAGAUGAUCUUUGGACCUCGUUGAUGAAAAUUUUCAUCCUACCGUCAGAGGAGGAUCCCAAUAACCCAGUUACAGAGCGAAAGGUCAAGGUGUUUGUUCUUAAGAAGAUGGCAGAACUAUUCAAGAACUAGAAGAAACAUUUGAAAACAAAAUUUGUCAAGAAAGACCAGACUCAUAAUUCAUCAGUCAAUAUGAGAAGAUAAGAGAUCACUGGCCCGCAUUUGUGGCUUACAAGAAAUCGGACAAGGGUAAGCAAAGGUCACUGACAAACAAGCAAAAUGCUGCAAAGAAGAAGUAUCACCAUACCACGGGGUUAGGUGGCUACAGCAAAGCCCGACCAUUGUGGGACAAAGCUGUGUAAGACCUGCUUGCUAAAGGGGUCCAACUAGCGGCAUUGCACUGGCCAGAUCGAGCAAGGACUUGGUUCUUUAGGGUUGGGGGAACUUUGGACCCAGGAUCAGGGAAGUGUGUUUGGACGAACGAUCAACUUACAAUACCCAUCAAGAAUCUUGAGAAAGCAAUCAAGGCAACACAGGAAGGGACGUUCAUUCCUGACAGAGAGAAGGACAAGCUGAGACAGAGGGCCUCGGGAAUCCUGAACACCCUGGAUGAACAUGAGGCACAUCAGGAUCCAUUGCAUGGGUGCAUGGGUUUGCCGACAACGGUGGUUAUAGAAGCCGGGAGAGAAAGAAGAAAGAGGAAGCACUCGAAAUGCAGAAGCUUAGUGCAAGAUUAGCGUAACUAGAGGAACUUGAGAGCCAGCAAUCUACCGGCCAACCAUCUCAGCGGCACGAAGAUCCUUCCUUCGACGCUGCCCCAGAAGCGACCCCACCAUCUCAGCGGAGAAGCAGCAUGCCUUCCAUGGAUCUCGUUCAGCCUGAUUUCACUGCUCCUCGCUACCCUGUGGAUAGUAUCACGGAGGUUGAACAUUGUGUGCUAAUGGCGAAAUGCCAGAACCUGACCUUGAAGGCGAAGGCCGGCUCUGUUGUACCUCCUCGAGCUGAGGGAAAUUUCCAUUGUCGUCAGAUUCCACAUGGCUAUCCUAUUGUGACGGUGGAUGAAAUAAUGGAGGGAUUUUAGGGGCGGGAGCUUGACUACCCUACAAUUUAAGGGGAUAUUCUUUUGGAAAAUGCUUUAAGGAGUAACUGUCUAUGGAGAAAGGAGUACAUCAAGCUUCCAAACUGGAAGCCUCAGCAGACUCAGCUGCAUGAGGCCCCUCAACAGACUCAGCCAGAUGAGGCCCCUCAGCAGAGUCCUCUUCCGCCUUUGCUAUCUCUGACGCGUCACCGGACUCUGCCUCCUCCUCUUCCGCCUCCUCCGGCGCGUCAGCGCACCCCGUCUCCUCCUCCUCCUCCUCCGGCGCGUCAGCAGAAUUCGUCGCCUCAGCAAUGGCGGAAGAGAGACAUCACCACUCUGGCGGCUAGCAGUACAAGAGGCAGGAAGAAAUUCAAAUUUGAUCCAAGCCUCAAGGCUCCUGCAAAGUUACAAUAUGAGAGAACUGAAGAGGAAAACGCGGACAUCAUGGAAGCUAAAGUGCAUGCCCAUUUUGAGCGGAAACGUCCACCUCCAAAGGAAACAAUAGAUCCGGUGAACGCGAAGCACACUCUGGAUGCCCUUAAGCGACCACCACCGCCUCUGCCGCAACCCAACUAUGACCGUUGUAUUGAAAAGACAUAUGAUGAAGUGCGGUAGUUGGGAAGUACUUCCAGUGCUGCAAGAGAAGCAAAACGAAGAAGUGGCAAAACAAUUCCCCAGCUGGGCUUAGAGGAGAAGCAAUCGUGCCCCCCGCUCAAGGUGUCUAGUGAUAUCGCUAAUCAUCCGGGGCUACUGCCCGGUACCACUCUUAGUGAUUACGUGGGCGAUGAUGUACAGUUUGAAAUGGAUGAGGUAGUAGAUAUCUUUAGAUACAAGCACGGGAAGCCUCUCGUCAAACCUGAUCAUCCUCCACUAACAAUGAUGAUACGAAGAUUGCAUGACUGGUACAUGGAAAGCUGCAGGAAGAAUGGGACUGAUAGUUUGAUGGUGAGAAUUAAAGAUGAGCACGACCUCAUUGGAGUCGACCUAAUGCCUAUUGAAUUUGUGGAAUUAUUUCAGUUACUCAAUCAAGAGGCCCUCGACAAACAACUUAUGACUUGCUAUUGUCUGUAAGUAUUACUUUCGUAAUUAAGUCUCUAGCUCAUCUCGUUCAUUACAUGUAUAUAUAAUUAUCCUCACUAUAUUAUAAAGAUUGAAGAUCGUCGAAUGCAAAAAAUGACAAAUAUAUGACAUUGGGCUCAUUAGCCCAGAUACAGUAAAUGAAUGGUCGGUAGAAAAUAGAGUUGGAGAUACUGCGCAAAACUUGCUAAAAGCAUUCAUUCGACAUCAAACAAAAGGGAAAUACUCUAUCCUUACAACUUCAAGUGAGUGUUACUGUCUUGUGCAUAUUCGAUUUCACUUACUCGAGGUUAAGUAAUGUAAUUGAUGAGUUAUGCGUGCGCAGGUUCCACUUUAUUCUGCUAUCCAUUAAUCUUGACGGGGGAGUAGUAAUUGUCUUAGACUCGAGACGUAAAGAUCCCCAAGAUUAUGCGGACAUGAGUGGAAUGCUCCAGAAUAAGUUCAAUCAUUAUCGCACCGUAUCGGCAACUUUCGCUCAUUUCCUAAUAUCAAGAAAUCAUUUUCUUUGCUUGGCAGGGUUUGGAAAAAGUUCACCGGAAUGGUUCCGUGUCUGAAGAAGGAGCUAUGAUUUGCGCACACUAUCAGAGAUAUACCCCGCGGUGUAAACCGGCCGGAAGUAUAACCCGGCCAGACUUGGCGGUUUACUUGAGGCCCGGCUGAGACUUGAUGAUUCACUGGUGACCCGUUUGGACCUGGCGGUUUAUGAUUUAUUGGUAAUCCGACAGGCGGGUCAGAGGAGCGACAAGACCCAGCGGCCCAACGGGCGGUUCAUGAAGGCCGGUUCAUACUAUGGUGGUCCAGUUUAAGAGAAAAGGCAUGAGGAAUAUUUGUCUUACAAAGAGUUAAGACCUGGACUUGUAUCCGGGUUGUAUUAGAGAUAGACUAGUCCUAAUCCUAAUAGGACUCCACAUGUAAACCGCCCCUUCAACAUAUAUAAGGAGGGGCAGGGCUCCUCAAAGGAGGACAAGAUUCACAAGUUCCACAAGUUGGACAAGUUAGGUUUAGACAAUAGCUCUCGAGAUAGAGCACACUUGUAAUCAUGAUCAUCAUCAUCAAUAUCAAUGAAGCAGGAUGUAGGCUUUUACCUCCACCGUGAGGGGCCGAACUUGGGUAAAACAUCGUGUCUCUCGUCCCGCUCAACCCCUCUCAAGCUACCACAUAGAUGCGUGGCCUCGCGACUAAGUCCUGACACUAAGGACAUCUGCCGUGACAAUUCCACGACAAUUGGCAUCCACCGUGGGGCCUGCGCACGGUGGUGUUGAGAUUCUUGGAGGGAUCUUUCCCAGGGAUCAAGAAGGUUACAACUUUCCAGAUGAAGAAAAGCUCAACUCGGAAGGGUUUUCAUCACCUUCGAGUUCACCGGUCCAGAUUUUACAAAUCCAUGAGAUUUAAGGCAAAGAAGAAUUAGGGUCAAGAUCGAUCCACAACCGCUAUCUUACGAUUUAGUCAGUUGUUUUCAAAUCGCCAAAGCGGAAGGACGCAUCCGAUUAAAUUAAUGCCUCGUGUGUGCCUGCUCGCUUAAGAAGGAUUACUCUUCGGGCCCGUCUUGAAUCGGUUGUGCUUUAAGCCGCCGCGACCUAGAGUACCUUGCCGGCUCUGACCUCCUCUGGCUUGUUCCACGCGUGGCCAAGCUGCCCGCCGGUUCACAUGCUCCAAGCAAAUAUACUGAUAAAGUUUCUCGAUGAGAUCAUCACAUCUACGGAAGACUCCGGGUCGUUCCCGUGGCCUUAGAUGGGUUCCGAGUCAGCUUUGCCAUGAGAUGGUUUUGGCAAUUCUCCGUGAUUUAGCGGACUUGGAUGUGGAUUAAUCAAAUCACCACAACCCGGCCCCGCUUCAGAGCUGCUGCCGCUGGCUCACUGUUCAACCCACCUCCAUCAGUACACUUUGGGGCCACCUUGUGUUAAGCCGUCAAUGAUCGAGUCCGCAGCUGCGGAGACCUCAAACCGCUCGAAUCUGCUGCUGCAGAUAGGACGGCCACAGUCGACCCGUUUAUGCCACGGCUUUCCACCUCCAAACCGGCUACCUCCUGCUGCCGCUUUGCUUUGCAUCUUCGCCACCGAGCGAUGUCACCGAGUCUCCCUCGCCUUCACACGCAGCCGCAAGUCGCCGAGCCAUAGUGGGUUUGCCUUGUUCUCCAACGCCCGCGUCUCCCCUGGCCGUGCUCUGUCCCCGUCGUGGUCAAGUGGCCUCCGAUCGAGCAACACCGCCGCCGGGUCAAGCCCCUGCUACAAACCGCCUCGUCGGCCUCUGGCUUGAAUCGCCAUCGAGUUGCCGCACAGAUAACCCGGCGCCGUCGCCGAGCUACAACAAAUUUUUUCCCAAAGCCAGACCGCCGCUGCAACCCGUCGAAGCACUGGAACGAUGAAGGAUAUGAGUCUUCCCCGCAUCAUGCUGCCUCCCCGAAUCCGCCUCUGCGCUUACCACCAUCGCCCAAGUCACCGCCGUCCGAGCCGCCCUGGAUUGGGAGCUCACGAUUGUUGCCUCUAUGGUCGAGGACCCAUCUUCGGUCGAUCUGCCGUGGCCCACUCUGUCAACUCGGUCGCCUCAAAUUUGGGGGCUCCUCUCAGCCACUGCGCUGUAAGCCGACAGAACCACCGCCGCCUCCAAGUGGCCCGCUCCCGAGUCGCCGAGCCUCUCCCACCGUCCUCAGAGUACGCGCGCCCGGCGGGCUGACUCCAUCUCCUCCCGCGCACCGGCGCCUUCUGAACCAGCCCUGGUCAGGGUUCCACCGCCGACCCGGCCUAUUUUCGUGCGUUGACCCGGGCUUGUCUCACCCUUCUGCCGUGGGUGUUUUCGUUGCUACAAACAUUAUUUAUGGAACAUCGGACGGCCGAGCAAAUCAGGUGAUAUCCAUCUAAAUUUGUUUUAUUAACACAUAUUAUUUCCAUCAAAGGACAAAUUACUUUGAUUUGUAUAUUUUUAUACACAGGAUUAUUAUUCAUUACAAACGUGGUUUACACCACGGAUUGAUAAUAUUCCGCCUAGGGAUAAUCCGAGACAUAUCACAUAAUGAAUGGACGCACACCAGCUAUUGCCCUUGCGGUCCAGUCUACAUCAGCUUGUUGGGAUCACGUCUGCUCAUUGUCAAUGGACGUGCACAAAUCGCUGCCAACCGUGCGGUCUGGUCUAUGUCAACUCACCAGGCCGCACCUGUCUGCAUGAGCUGUUUCUUGAGUAUGAGCAAGUCAUUACUUGGGUAGCCCGCUUUUCUUCCCACAACUUGGAGGCAAAUUAUCAUCAAUCGUCGUCUGCACUGGAUGGUUCAAUGGACAUGCACACAAGUCGCCGCCACUACAGUUUGGUUAAACUUCAAAGAGCCAGUUGGAAGGAACCAUUGGCCGAGUUGCUGACAUGGCUCAUACGGGAUCAUUUAUAACCCGCCGCAGUCACCUCAACCUUCUAUGGAUUCACAUCGUGCUAUCAACGCCAAUGAUAUACAAGUUAUGCCAGUUUAUAUCACGGUCAAAUAUGGAGAGUCUCAAGCCAACUCCUCGAGUCACCUUUGAAACUCGGGGGCUACGAUGACAUGACUCAGCGAAUCUUGCCAGUUUUAUCAAAUUUAAGAAUCCCAGGAUGAUGGAGGGAAGGAUAACCCAGUCCCGGAGGCUACUGUUAUAUUGAUGAAAGUUUAAAGGCCAUCAGAAAAUUUCCGGUUUAGAAAGUAUAUAACAGUUACAAAAUCCCGGCUCAAUGAAGAAGAUCCGGGUCAUCAGAAAGGAUUCCUGUUUAAAAUCCGGCUCAAGGGAAGUCAGUAUGACUGCAGCUCUCAAAUAUACGGUUUACAGUCUGGUUCAAGGGAAAUCUGUUCUCCCACAAAGCUCUGAAGCACUCAAUUCUGGUUUAACAAUGUCCGGUUCAAAAAGGAAUUAACUUCUUGCAAGUUCGAGUUUAAAGGCCGUCAGAAAAUUUUCUGGUUGAAAAUGAAGAUUCCGGUUUAAAAUCCGGUUCAAGGGAAAGAUAUCUCUCACAAAGCUUUGAAGCUCUCAAUAUCCGGUUCCAGAUCCCGGUUCAAGAAGAAUUUAUCUCUUGCGAAAAGUUAAAAAUUGCCAAAGAGGACCUGCUGCCAUGAUGCGCGGUUCAAACAUGGGUAUCCCGCCUUAGUGGCCAGACAUAUUAUUGAUCAUAUGGGGGCGUCUGCUUCAUAAAGCGGGGUAUCUGUUCUUUUACAUCAUGUGUGGUUACACGGAGUUGUUCUAAAGCGGCCUCCGGUUUACCCCUUGAGUUAGCUUUUUAAAAGCAUCAUGUUAUAUCACUUGGGGUUUUGGUCGUGUCCGAACCAAUACAAUACCUUUUGAUAGGCGACAGCCACCAGAUCACUUGGGGACUUGGUCAUGUCUGAACCAGUCAUGCCUCUUGAUUGGCCUAAGGCCACAUAAUCACUUGGGGGCUUGGUCGAACCCGAACCAUUGCCAUGCCACUUGAUCGACAUAAAUGCCACGGUUUCAUUUGGGGACCUGGCUGACUAGAACCAUCGCUACACCUAUCGGGAGCUUGGUCGUGUUCAGCCAUGGUAACGCCAUCUGAUCAGCUCAAAUAAACCUUUUUUUCUUUGCAAACGGUUUUUCAUUGCCUUUGUUUCACACUUUUCUUUGAAAGCUUUUUCUUUCUUUUUAUUGCGUUUUUUAAACCGACAAAGUUUUCAGCCAGUUUAAACUAUCAAUUGACGGAGCACGGUUCAUUUCAAUCUGGAGACUAUUUGCCCGGUUUGAUCUUUUUUGUUAACAUCCUAUUAUGGAGUAAACCGGUGUUAUCACAGCCUGGCACAGUUUUAUCAUAAACUGGCACAAUAUGGAAGGAGUUAUCAGUACUCAAGAUUGGGGUUAUAACCUUUACUACAAAAAGUUGGUAAAACCAACAAUGUGAUUCAAUGUCAUAGGUAUGAUCUAUUUCAUAUUUGAUUAUUCUUAAAGGCAGCCUUGGUUAUAAACCCGGGUUAUAUGUUGGGCAUCAUGACUCGUCCGGCGGUAAACCACCAGGACACUUUAAACUUGUUGUAUGUAGAAACAGGUUUGUUAAACCGGCCUGGCUUUGGACUAUAAUUCGCCAGUAUAUAUAUUUGGAUUGCGCCAUUGGAAUCAUGCGCUUAUAAAUCAUUGAGUCAUAUUAUUCAAAUAGCCAAACUUGGCUGAAUUUUCAUUAUGAUAUUGAAUGAAUAAGGUUUUCAUACCGGAUUAUAUUAUCUUGAAUAGCCAACAUGGUUGGAUUUUUAUGGUUAUUAAUAACCGGUAUUAUUAAGUUUUCAAAGUCGCUUUAGCGCAAUGGCUAUUAUUUUAUCAAAGGAUAUGAUUUAUUCUACAAUGAAAGGAAUAGUCCUGAGUCGUUGCAUGCUUACAACCCGGCACUUGGGGGCUACAUUAUUCAAAUUGAGAUUACAUGCAAGUCUCUUGUCACUGCAAGCAUGCACCAUGACACUUGGGGGCUAAUGCAAAGUCAUUUUUACUAGUCUUAUUGAAGACCCGUAUUAUAAUGAGCCGGCCCUUGGGGGCUACCAAUUUCUCCUGUCAACAAUUCAAGGUACACAAGUUUUCGUCCAUAAUAUUGAAGAAUCCAUUGCUCAGUUGGUAAAGCACAAAGCUCUUAACCUUGUGGACGUGGGUUCAAGCGCUACGAUGGAAGCUACAUUAUAAUAUGUUAUUUUCAUUAAAGUAUAUAUAUCAAGUCCCGGUUCAGUAUUAUCUUACUAAGCCGGUCCUUGGGGGCUACACAUCACUGCUAAAAUCUACAUAACUAUAUUUACAAAGUUCCUGCUCAUUAUUGCAUAAUGACCCGGCCCUUGGGGGUUACACUGAUUGAAGUUUUUAUAAGCAAUUACAAGUCCCAGGUUGCUGCAAGCAUGACAACCCGGCACUUGGGGGCUACAUAUAUGGAGUAUUCAGUUUAUAUGAUUGAGAUGAACAAACCGGAUUUCUUCAAGGUUGAAACACUUAUUGGAGCAAGUCUUAAGUUAUCACUAUGUUCUCCUCUUAAGACUUGGGGGCUACAGGUAUUAUGCAUAUAAAGGAGGAACAUCUUCAUUUUAUCAGUUUUGAGCAAAUCAGGAAGAUCAAUUACAUGACCCGGUGUCGACAACAAUUAUGACCCGGCGCCAUCAAUAUUUAUAAACUGGCCAUUUUGGUAAUAUUAAACCGGCAAGUUUUACAUCUUCAAACCGGCUGAAUAUCAGAUAAGUAUUUCAAGACCCAUAUUUCUUAAAACGGCGCUCUGGGAGAUGAGUCAGAGGAGUUAUUCUUCACAAUAUUUCUCUGUGACAAGCCAAUGUCGGCAAAUUGAUUAUGAAGCUGGUCUGUUGACCCGGACUUCCCAAAGGAGGAAAUAACAAGGACUUAAGGGUGAUCAGGUGCCGGUUUACAAAGAAUUCUUAACUCGGAGCAUAACCUGUCAAAUUUGUUCUUGUGUUUAUUUUGCAGCAUAAGUUUACCAUGGAUAAAUGCAAGCUAAACUUGGGGGCUAAUGUCGAAGAUAUACCCCGCGGCGUAAACCGGCCGGAAGUAUAACCCGGCCGGACUUGGCGGUUUACUUGAGGCCUGGCUGAGACUUGACGAUUCACUGGUGACCCGUUUGGACCUGGCGGUUUAUGAUUCAUUGGUAAUCCGGCAGGCGGGUCAGAGGAGCGACAAGACCCGGUGGCCCAAUGGGCGGUUCAUGAAGGCCGGUUCAUACUAUGGUGGGCCGGUUUAAGAGAAAAGACAUGAGGAAUAUUUGUCUUACAAAGAGUUAAGACCUGGACUUGUAUCCGGGUUGUAUUAGAGAUAGACUAGUCCUAAUCCUAAUAGGACUGCACAUGUAAACCGCCCCUUCAAUAUAUAUAAGGAGGGGCAGGGCUCCUCAAAGGAGGACAAGAUUCACAAGUUCCACAAGUUGGACAAGUUAGGUUUAGACAAUAGCUCUCGAGAUAGAGCACACUUGUAAUCGUGAUCAUCAUCAUCAAUAUCAAUGAAGCAGGAUGUAGGCUUUUACCUCCAUCGUGAGGGGCCGAACCUGGGUAAAACAUUGUGUCUCUCGUCCCGCUCAACCCCUCUCAAGCUACCACAUAGAUGCAUGGCCUCGCGACUAAGUCCUGACACUAAGGACAUCUGCCGUGACAAUUCCAUGACACACUAGCAAGUAAGUAGUACUAGCUAGUUCCGCGCAUCUCUCAUUGAUUCUAGUUUCAUCGGUACCAUUUAUCAUGCUUGAUUAUCAGUUUGAUUGAACUUUAUUCUCGUAAAGUGCUUGUGGUAGGAAGGCGGGAAUAAUUUAUGUGGGUACUAGGUUUGCGGGUUCAUGCGCCACUCAACCUCCGAGCGGGGCUACUCUCACAAACAAUUUGAAGUACGUAAACAAUAUUCAUAAUUUUAUUUUAUUACCAUCGAUUGUGUUCAGUUUCAUUCAUAUAUAUGUAUUGAACCCCUUCUUUAAAUUAGAUGUGGCAGAUGCGGGAUGAACUCCUACCACAUGAUCGCAUACGAGAAAUUCAAGAGGAAUUGGCGUGAUUCUUUCUUGAGAAGGUCAUACAUAAAGACGGAGAAUACCAUACGGAAAUUCAAUGGGAGUUUGGCGCUUGAUGAUGUCAGGGAUGUUAUAUUGUAUAUAUGUAGUAGCGUCGGAUAGACAUAAAAAAACUUGUUGUUUGACCAAGCACGAAGAAAGAGAGGUCACUUCUCUCUAUAUAUGUUCUAUAUGUUCAUGAUCAUGAUGUUGUGUAAUUAAUGGUUCCUUCAUUUGCUUACUAGCUAGCGUCGAGUUCUCUCUAUAUGUAGUAGCUACUGUCGACCAAGCACGGAGAAAGAGAGGUCACUUCUCUCUAUAUGUAGUAGCUAACUAACACAACAUGAAAUCCCUAAACCCUCCAAAACCCCUAACCCCCCUUCAAAAAAACAAAAGCCCCAGCGCCUGGGAGCUGCUAAUGUGUAGCUGCCUUUUAGUCCCGGUCGGUGUUACCAACCGAGACUAAAGGUCCUCCUUCCUGGGCGCCCCACAGCGGCCAUGUGGACUUCCUUUAGUCCCGGUUCGUAAGCCAACCCGGACUAAAUGUUUUGGGCAUUAGUCCCAACCAUUUUGUCCCAGUUCCAGAACCGGGAAUAAAGGCCCUCUGGAACCGGGACUAGUGCCCUGUUUUCUACUAGUGCAUUCAUUGCAUGGCAAUCCCUACUCCUCGCAUUGAAAUCAAUUGAUGGGCAUCUCCAUAGCCCGUUGGUUAGCCGCGUUGAUGUGAGACAUUCUUACUUUUUUGUCUUCCCUAUAUUUACCCCUAUCAUCAUACUCUAUUCCACCCAUAGUGCUAUAUCCAUGGCUUGCGCUCAUGUAUUGUGUGGGAGUUGAAAAAGCUGAAGCGCGUUAAAAAGUAUGAACCAAUUGCUCGGCUUGUCAUCGGGGUUGUGCAUGAUAAAUACUAUGUGUUAAGAAGACUGAGCAUGACAAGACUAUAUGAUUUUGUAGUGAUAUCUUUCUUUAGCGUUGAUAUUUUGAAAGACACGAUUGUUUUUGGGAUGCCUGAGUAUUGAUGUCUUUCUGUCAAAUUAUAGACUAUUGAUUUGAAUAACUCAUGUCUUAAUAUUCAUGCGAUGAUUAGAUAUAGGAUCAAGAUUAUGCUAGGUAGCAUUCCACAUAAAAAAUUACCUUUUUAUCAUUUACCUGCUCGAGGACGAACAUGCAUUAAGCUUGGGGAUGCUGAUAUGCCUCCAUCGUAUCCACAAUUAUUGAUUGUUCCAUGCCAAUAUUAUACAACUUUUACAUACUUUGGCAGCAAUUUAUAUGAUUUAUUGGACGAACCUAUUGAUCCAGUUCCUAGUGCCAGUUCCUGUUUUUUGCAUGUUUUUUGUUUUGCGAAAUAUCCAUAUCAAACGAAGUCCAAAUACAAUAAAAAUUUACGGAGAAUUAUUUUGGAAUAUAUGUGAUUUUUGGGAGUUGGAAUCAAUGCAAACAAGGGCCCACAACCAUCAGAAGACACCUGGGCGCGCCAGGCAGCCUAGGCGCAUGGUGGCGUGUUGUGCUCUCCUCGUACGUCAGUUGGAGCUCUACUUCGGGUGCAAGGAAGCUUAUAUCCGGAAAAAAACCAUGUUAAAAUCUCAGCGCAAUCGGAGUUAUGGAUCUCUGGGAAUAUAAGAAACGGUAUUCGGCCAGAAAACAGGAAUGUGAAACAGAAGAGAACAAAGAGGGAGAUCCAAUCUUGGAGGGGCUCGUGCCCCUCUGCCGCCACGGAGGCCAUGGACUAGAGGGGGGAAUCUCCUCCCAUCUGGUGGGGAGGCCAAGGAAGAAGAAGAAGGAGGGGGCUCUCUCCCCCUCUCUCCCGAUGGUGCCGGAGUGCCGCUAGGGCAAGGAUUGUGACGACGAUCUACAUCAACAAUCUUGCUACCGUCAACACCAACUUUCUCCCCCACUAUGCGGAAGUGUAACACCUAUUUUCCCCGCUAUAAUCUCUACUUAAACAUGGUGCUCAACGCUAUAUAUUAUUUCCCAAUGAUAUGUGGUUAUACUAUGAUGUUUGAGUAGAUUCGUUUUGUCUUGUAGGCUAAUCGUGAUCUUGGUUGGUAAGAGUGUAUAUUUUAUUUAUGGUGCUGUCCUACGGUGCCAUCUGUCUCGCACAAACAUGAGGGGUCCCUAAUGUAGGGUGUUUCAAUACAUUCAUAAUUUGCUUAUUGUCGGUUGCCGGAGUGAAAGAAGCCUGAACACAGAUAGGUGGGUUAUUGCGUAUGGGUGUAAUGAGGACUUGAUACUUAAUUCUAUGGUUUGGUUUUACCUUAAUGAUCUUUAGUAGUUGUUGAUGAUUGCUAGAGUUCCAAUCAUAAGUGCAUAUGAUCCAUGUAGAGAAAGUAUGUUGGCUCAUGCCUCUCCUUCAUAUAAAAUUGCAAGAAUGAUUACUGGUCUAGUUAUCGAUUGCCUAGGGACAAAUGACUUUCUUGCUUGACAAAAGCUACCCACUUUUAGUACCUUGCAAUUUAUUUGUAGUUUUAUUCUCGCAAAGUACUCAUAGUUUUAUUCUUGCAAAAUAGUUUCAUACUUGUUUUAGGUAAAUCAAACGUCAAAGUGUGCGUAGAGUUGUAUCAGUGGUCGAUAUAACUUGAGGGAAUAUUUGUUCUACCUUUAGCUCCUCGUUGGGUUCGACACUCUUAUUUAUCGAAGAGGGCUACAAACGAACCCCUAUACUUGUGGGUUAUCAGGAGGAUAUUAUAACCACAUUGGGCUUCUACUUAUGAGGAUUAGAUGAUCUAGUUCUAGCUCUAAUUAGAUCAACUAUGAUCAACUAGAACUAGAACUAGAGGGAACUAUAGGAGGCUCCAAACUUUUAAAUGUCCAUAGAGUAAAAAAACCUAGUAUAUAUAGGUUGGAGGUGAGGGACAGGGCAGCCAAGGAGGGAAAGUCCAUCCUUGGGGCACUAUCCUUGGGAGGAGUAGUUGGACUCCUCCCCCCCCCCCACACACACAAGGAAGGAGGGCGCCACUUCCUAUUGGGCCAAGAUCCCCGGCAUGGCUUUUUAAGUCCCGUUGGUAUUAAAUUUAUUAUAAAAUCCUUCUAAUAAAAAUUAGACCCUUUUAUAUAAAAUUUCAUAGCCCCAGAAACAAUUUACGCCUAUAUUAUUUAUCGCUAAUACACGGUAUUACCUGAUACUCUCCGAAAUCUUUUCGGUGACCCUGAAACGCUUACGGAUAUUUAUGAAACAAUUCAACAAAUAUAUUCCCACUAUUCCCAUCCUACUAACACUCAGCAAAUCGUGAAUGCCUUAAUCUUGUGACCCCAUAGGUUCGAUAACUCAUAGACAUGAACGAAACCCCUUUGUUCAAUGACCGAUAGAAGAAACAUGGACGUCCAUAUCGAUCCCCACAAGUAGGGAAAACCUUAGUAGUAGCGUGGGGUUUUGGUAUAGCAGUAGCACGGACGGGCGCGCUACUAGUAUGGUGCUACAUCGAAAUUUAGAAGUAGGGUAGUUCACACACGCGCUACUACUAACUCAUAUAGCAGUAGCGCUGGCCCUACCCAGCUCUACUGAUAGUUACUAGUAGCGCACCCAGGACCCGUGCUACCACUACUCAUCUGUAUUUCAUUUCUCUAUUGUUUUAUAGUGUAUUUAUACACCGUUAUACAAGUUUUGAUACAGUAGCAAUUUAGAUAUUAUUAUAUCAUUAUGAUCACGAUGAAAUUGUUAUAUCACGCACUAAUAUAAUAAUUCAUCAUGCUCAUAAUGAUAUAACAACUCAGCAUCAUCAUCAUCACCAUAAUAACUCAAAGUCAUUAUCGUAAUAACAGGUCAUACUCACCAUCAUAGUCAUCUAACAACUCAUCAUUCUAGCACAUCACUCACCAUUAUCAUCAUAAUAACAACUCAUCGUCAUCGUCAUCAUAGUCAUAACCAACACUAGUUAAUUGUUCUUAGCACAUGAUCAUGAGUACUAUCUAGGACCCGUUACCCUCGCUAAGGUAAAAUAACAUAAAACAGGAUAGCCCCUGACUCUCCAUUAUGGAGAAUGGAGAUCAUACUGUCUCCAAUUCGUGGGUUUGGUACCAUGUUGCCUCCAUGUAGCUCCCUGCGAUCAUUCAUAACUUAUUUCCAUCCUUUUAUUGUGGGAUAUUCAUCUCCUCGAGAAAUCGUGUAUGCACAGCGAAGAAUCGUAGGAAGACUUGGUCGUAAGCUAAUAAUAUCAAUGGGACCUUUCGUAUGCAUCAGAUGAGGCACACAAUCCUGCUUUCUUUUUAGGAGCAUAAUAAUAACGUAGUUAGCAAUGUAGUUUAGCUUUAGAGGAAUGUAUGCAAAAGAUGCACUGGUGUCAUAAUAGUAAACAUUCUUACCAUUCCAUUUCCAUGGAUGUUACUGUAGUUCAACACAUGGAGUAGUGGCACUUAUUGACCAUAAAGUGGAGGAGAUUCAUAAUUGUUAUUGAAAGUCUCAACAUCAAUAAUAAAUGAGACAAGAUGAUCUUUCUCCUUGUAAGUUAAUUUAGAGCCAUCGGUGUAGUAGGUUUUGUCUAAUGUCUUUCGUACAUUUUUUGAAGAAUGGAAAUAAACCAUCAAUGAUUUUUAACAAACAAUAUAAAUUACUUAAAAUAUUUAUUUGACAAACUCACAAAAAGGUAGAAUUAGAAGUGUGUCCACAUCCACCCAAAUGUCAAUAUUAUCAUGAAUUCCAUCUUCGGGUUGAAUAUCUAAGGUUAUUUUCGCAUCCUCCUUAAAUUCAUAGGCCUUGCAAAGUCCUCUGCAAAUUGAGCAACCAAAAUGUGAGCUAUUUGGUGCAUUAAAUAUGUGAACCCAAAAAGUGAAACCAUACUUCGUCCUAAGGUGAGCUCUCUUUGUCUCUGUUCUCUCCCUAUCUUUGCCAAGCUUUUCUAAGACAUACGGUCUUGCAUGAAUUGGGAUUUACUAUACAAAUUGUCAAAAAUGGAAAUUACAGGUUGAAGCCCAAAAUCACAAGUAAUGCUUAAUUACAGAAAAAUACUUGUCGUCGGUAUGUACCGUAAAAACGUCGAAACUCUCCUUCGGCACGAUGGUGAAGCGCAUACUUUUUGCAGAUGAGGCAUACUGUCACACAUACCCUGGUCAUCUUCACGGUAGUGACACUCAGGGAUCCUAUCGUCGUUAGACAUUUCUUGUGUUCAUAAGUCAAAGAUUAAAAAUCGACGACACAUAACAGGAACUCAAUACAUAGAUCAUUAUUAUUCACCACAGAUUGACUCUCGGUCUGUUGAGUCUUUCCUUGAAAACUCUCAACUCACGUGGUGUAUAUGGUGGGCACUGCCUCUCUGAUAUAUUACACCAAAAUGUCUUGUAAAGGGGAAUGAAGGAGAAGCGACCCCCACGACAACAGUCGGGAUUCUUCCUCUCUGAUAUUUGCGACGUCGGUGAUGGUCGCUCCUCCCUUCACUCGAAAGUGCAUUACAUCAAAAAGUCUAGCACCUUCAAAUGAAGAAGAAGUGUCCCCGACGACAACAGUCGGGAUUCUUCCUCUCUCAUAUUUGAAUAGUAUAUGGUGGACUCUCCCUCACGGAUAUUUCGAUCGUUGGUGACGAUCUCUUCACCUCCUCCUCUCAUGCAUUACCAAGGUAUAUCACGAGAAGAAGGAAAGGAAGCAACCCCCAUGACAACAGUCAACAUUCUCCCCUCUCAUAUUUCGAUAGUAUAUGGUGGACUCUCCCUCCCGGAUAUUUCGACCGUCGGUGAUGGUCUCUUCCCCUCCUUCUCUCAUGCAUUACCAAGGUAUAUCAUGAGAAGAAGGAAAGAAAGCGACCCCCACGACAAUAGUCGGCAUCCUUCCUUCAGGCAUACUGAAGGUUACACAAGGAGCCCCGACAGAAUGACAGUCAACCUGUUACAUAUAUCGAGUAAUGACGUAGAAAAAUGACCUAUGGGUUGCCGGAAUGUCAUUUAAUUCCUCUUCCGGCAAAUCACAGGCACUCAAUAUCUCCUACUUUAUAGCACAAGUCAUGCUGAAAUCCACGGAAAAUUCCGGCAUGACCUUUGCUAUAACAGGAACAUAUCAAGCACCUGAAAUUAGCCAAAAUAGAAAUUAAUUGACAUUCCGGCAAAACAUAGGCCACUCGGAGGUGUUCCCUGCAAAAUGCAUCCAUGCAUCCAUUUUGUCAGAUUUUUUUUCAAAAUCAAUAAUGAAACAAAAGUGCAACAACCAAUAACACAUCCAUUCUAGCAAACAUGCAUACAUCUACAUGUAUAUAUUAAAAUAAAACUAAACACAAACUAAGCAGAUAGGAGAUGGAGGUGCUAACGGCGGCAGGAUGGGACCGAGCGGGAGAGGGAAACGCGACACGAGAAAUCAUGUAUAGUCCACCGAUUGAACAAAUAUAUCAUUAAUAUAAUUGGCAACAAAAAUUUUACAUUCCAUUACUAAUUUUCUAUUUAAAAUUUUAUAUUCUAUUACUAUUUUUUACUCAAAAUUUUCUAUUUUAUUAGCAUUCAUGAAAAUUGUAUUAGCAACACCAUUCAAAAUUGUAUUAGCAAUCUUUGAGGUUGUACUACCUAACGAGAAAUCAACCCGCUCAUCGAUCCCAUGGAUCUUAAUCGAUAUUUUUCGCUUUAAUUUUCUCGUCUUCCCGCUCGAAACAACGCACCCCAUCAAUCCUCCCCUAAAACCAACCUAUCAUUUAAUUUGCAUCACUCUGCCCAAUUCACCCACCUCCAUCUCCUCCAGCACUCCCUCUCCCCAUAGGAUCUAGCCCGUUUUGAUCCAUCCAAUGCGCCUCCACAAGAGUGCCUCACAUGGAUCGGGAUGCCCACCAGCCAGCCAUCUUACUGAUCCGUGGCUUCCUCGCUCUCUCCACCAUGCCUUCUAAGACCAUCUCCAUCUUCAUCUCUACCUCUAUAUAAACUAGAAACGGUCUUUCAUCCACGUGCGGGGUGCGCGUGCGACUUUGGACUUUGGGCGACAAUGAAAGGAGAGGAGAGGCGAGGACGCUUUCCUUGGUUGGUCAUUGCUGGUGAUUGAUCUGUUGACAAUGUUGCCAAUUUGCCUCCUCUGGAUCUCCAUCUGUGUCGGUGGCGGCUAAGACGCCCACCUUCAUCUCCAUCAACUCCACCCUCCUCUGAGACAUCGCAGGUUGAUCGUCUCCUCCCCAUGGCGGUAGUCGCCGAUGACGCAACUGCAUUGUUCUUGUUGUCCUGGAAAUACCUGUACAUGCUCUUUGUCCUUGUAAAGGUUGCUCCAGCUGCCCUAGUCAGAGUCUUGGAAGCAAGAUCAGCUUUGAUAAUUUCAGUGCUUAGGAUAAGCUCGUUGCCUGCCAACACAUGAUCAUGAAUAUGCUCAGAUCUAAAAUCAUUACAUUAAGAACAAACACAUGGAAUGCAUACUCUUGAAGACAUGUAUUGCUUUGGUAUUUUGUGAACCUUAAUUUAAUCUAGGAAACAAAAGAUUCGAAUACUUUUUUGGAGCUACGCCAUACAUCUAUAAAAUACGAUAAAAAAAUUACGACAUAAAUAUUCAGUGGAAAAAUGAGACUUUUCAAGACCUCAAGCUAAGCGCUCCAAAAUAGAACGUCAAAAGAAUAAGAUUAAGGACUUAAGGUUGUUCUUUCCCCCAAUCUUAAAUAAUAUAUCACUAAUCUAGUCAUGUAAAACUUAACAAUCUUGACAUCAUCAGUUGCUAGGCUACUAUAUCUCUUACUUCAGUGGAUUUUUUGUGUCUGAUCAAACUAUCCGUGAAGUCUCAACAUGUAAUUAUUAUUUUUGCUCAACUGUCUGAUGAAUUUAUAUGAUUACAUAUUUUCUAGAUGUUUCUGAGUGGCGUCUGGAUCGAACACUCAAUCUUAUAUUGCUGGGUUUGGAUCUGGGACUGCCGAUGAUACAGAGGAGAACCAAUAUUCUAAUCCUAAGUUUCCCCUGUGGGUUCAUGUUACAUGAUAUGGAGGGAAUGCAAGAUUUAAUUUCCACUUUUGUGAUGGGGUUUUCUCUAUAAGUUAUUCAAGAGUGAGAGCACAUAUUUUGAAGACUAAAGGUGCUAGCAUGAAGAUAUGCACCAAUAUUGCUUAUACUAUUCUUAAGAAACUUCGGAAGGAAGAUCGUGAAGCUAGUGCAGCUGUAGCCAAUAGUGCACCAAAAAAUAAAUUAAUCUCGCUACUUCCUUAUGGGUUCGUCGGAGGGGAAGAAGGACCUCUUCGCUCCAUCUAUACCAAGACCAACCACAGACCCAACACUCAAGCACAGGUACCCCCUCAUUCAUCCUCAACAAAUCUUAAUCUAUUAUAUUGUUACCCUGGGACUGGGAGCAGGAGGUGCAUACAUAUAUCAUCCGUAAUUAGGAUGACCAUACAUCUAUUGAUAUGAUCCAUGCUCUUUCUUGUCAUGUCUAGUAAUAUAUAUGAUGCUUAGAUGAAGUCGCAAUGAGAUAUGCAGGUAGCAUGAGAAGCAGAUUUGUCCUCCCUCUGGUUUGGUGUUAUUCUUUUGCUUUGCUUUGCUUUAUCGAUUGACAUGAUACUGUUAAUCUGUAGCACUAUAGGGACAACAUAUUUAGUCUUCGUCUCUUCUGUUUGGUUCCAGCGAGCUAUGCUGAGUCUAAUGAUUAUGAUUUUUUGCUUGUUCACUCAAAAAGUUGAGUGCAGUUAAUGGAAUCCCCAAAGUUGUGUUUGUGUCUUGAGCAAUGCUAACUACUAUGUUAUGUUGCAGACUCAUUUGAAAGAUGUUUGAACCAUUUGAAAUGAAGCUAUAUCUUUGUUGGAAAUGAUGUUUUUUAGGGCAGCAAAGAAGGGUAACAGAAACCACACUGGUUUGUUGGAGAUCUAUGACUCAGACAAAGAAGUGUGGAGGUUUUGGUUUUAGGGACAUCGAGCUAUUUAACCUAGCUUUAUUAGCUCACCAGUCAUGGCGCAUCCUAACAGUACCAGACUCUCUUUGCGCACAUCUUCUUAAAUCUAUUUAUUACCCAAACAAUGAUAUUCCCAAUGCUGAGCUGGGUUCGCAUACGUAUCAAGUAUCGAGAUGGCAUGGAUGUUCAGGAUGGCUCACCGGUAAGGUCUCCCUAGGGGAGCCAUCAUGUGGGAGAUGGAGUGGAAAGGAGGUCUCCCUGGUGAUCCAGGAAUCAUAGUUGAGAUGGGGGUUGGACUACCUAAUGUAAGGAUGGCACACCACCGAUCUCGCCCAGUGGACGCAUCGAUGGAGUAGAGGAUGGGGCUGUCGGGCUAUAAUAGCGUGAAACAAUAAAAAAUUAUUGAUACGCCAGAGACGUAUAAACGCUUGGUAACUAUUGUGCCACUUCUUUAUUUUCCUUCUUUUUGUGUUUUUGUACGGCACUCUCUUUUUGUGUUUAAUAUUUCAUAUCCUUUUAUGACUAAAGUUUCAAAAUGCCAUGACUUUUGAUGACUCAUGUUCUAGGCUAAAUUCUUUCGAAUCUCAACUUCUAAGCACUAUAAAGUAAAAAAGCAUGAGAACGAGGACCUGCCAUAACACGGAGAACCGUUUGCGUAGGACGUGCGUAGGACGUCUCUGCACCAGUGUUAGAUCUCCGAGUGCCCAUGGCCUGCAUGCUGAUACGUCCAUUUCGCAUCAUGCUUUUAUAUCAAUAUUUAAUGCAUUAUGGGCUAUUAUUACACAUUAUAUCACAAUACUUAUGCCUAUUCUCUCUUAUUUCACAAGGUUUACAUGAAGAGGGGAAUGCCUGCACCUGGAAUUCUGGACUGGAAAAGGAGCAAAUAUUAGAGACCUAUUUUGAAAAACUCCAAAAGUCCUAAAACUUCACGGAUAUUAUUUUUGGGAUAUAUAAAAAAUAUUGGGCGAAGAAAUAAUCGGAGGGGGGGGCACCAGCUAGCCACAAGGGUGGAGGGCGUGCCCCCCGACCUUGUGGGCCCCCUGGCAGGCCUCCGGUGCCCAUCUUCUUCUAUAUGGUGUCUCUUACCAUGGAAAAAAUCAUAAGGAAGCUUUCAGGAGGAAGCGCCGCCGUCUCGAGGCGGAACCUGGGCAGAACCAAUCUGGGCCUCUGGCGGAGCUGUUCUACCGAGGAAACAUCCCUCUCGGAGGGGGAAAUCAUUGCCAUCAUCAUCACCAUCGAUCCUCUCAUUGAGGGAGGGUCAAAAUCCAUCAACAUCUUCACUAGCGCCAUCUCCUCUCAAACCCUAGUUCAUCUCUUGUAUUCGAUCUUGGUCCGAAAACCUCAGAUUGGUACCUGUGGGUUGCUAGUAGUGUUGAUUACUCCUUGUAGUUGAUGCUAGUUGGUUUAUUCGGUGGAAGAUCAUAUGUUCAGAUCCUUAAUGAUAAUUUGUACUCCUCUGAUUAUGAUUAUGAAUAUUCUUUGUGAGUAGUUACAUUUGUUCCUGGGGACAUGGGAGAGGUCUUGUCAUAAGUAAUCAUGUGAAUUUGGUAUUCGUUCAAUAUUUUGAUGAGAUGUAUGUUGUCUCUCCUCUAGUGGUGUUAUGUGAACGUCGACUACAUGACACUUCACCAUUAUUUGGGCCUAGGGGCAGGCAUUGGGAAGUAAUAAGUAGAAGAUGGGUUGCUAGAGUGACAGAAGAUUAAACCCUAGUUUAUGCGUUGCUUCGUAAAGUGCUGAUUUGGAUCCAUAUGUUUCAUGCUAUGGUUAGAUUUACCUUAAUACUUCUUUCGUAGUUGUGGAUGCUUGCGAGAUGGGUUAAUCAUAAAUGGGAGGCUUGUCCAAGGAAGGGCAGCACCCAAGCACCGGUCCACCCACAUAUCACACUAUCAAAGUAAUGAACGCGAAUCAUAUGAGCAUGAUGAAAACUAGCUUGACAAUAAUUCCCAUGUGUCCUCGGGAGCGCUUUGCUUUAUAUAAGAGUUCGUCCAGGCUUGUCCUUUGCUACAAAAAGGAUUGGGCCACCUUGCUGCACCUUUUUUACUUCUAUUACUUGUUACCUGUUACGAUUUAUCCUAUCACAAAACUAUCUGUUAUCGAUAAUUUCAGUGCUUGUAGAAAAUACCUUGCUGAAAACCACUUGUCAUUUCCUUCUGCUCCUCGUUGGGUUCGACGCUCUUACUUAUCGAAAGGACUACGAUAGAUCCCCUAUACUUGUGGUUCACCAAGACUCUUUUCUAGUGCUGUUGCCAGGGAGUGAAGCGCCUUUGGUAAUUGGAAUCUGGUAAGGAAACAUUUAUAGUGUGCUGAAAUUUAAUGUCACUUGUAACUAUGGAAAAUAAUCCUUUGGGGGGUUUGUUUGGGGUAUCUUCACCUCAAUCGAAACCACAAUUAGUUUCUCCUCAUCCUACUGUACCUACUGAAAAUAUUUAUUAUGAAAUUCCGUCGGGUAUGAUAGAGAAACUGCUAGCUAAUCCUUAUGCAGGAGAUUGAACAUGACAUCCCGAUAUGCACCUAAUAUAUGUGGAUGAAGUUUGUGGAUUAUUUAAGCUUGCAGGUAAACCCGAGGAUGUUGUCAAGAAGAAAGUCUUCCCUUUAUCUUUGAAGGAAAAGGCAUUGACAUGGUAUAGGCUAUUGGAUGAUAUUGGAUCAUGGAACUACAACCGAUUGAAAUUGGAAUUUCAUCAUAAAUUUUAUCCUAUGCAUCUGGUUCAUCGUGAUCGAAAUUAUCUCUAUCAUUUUUGGCCUUGUGAAGGAGAAAGUAUCGCUCAAGCUUGGGGGAGGCUUAAAUCAAUGUUAUAUUCAUGCCCCAAUCAUGAGCUCUCAAGAGAAAUUAUUAUUCAAAAAAUUUAUGCUCAGCUUUCUCAUAAUGAUCGAUCCAUGCUUGAUACUUCUUGUACUGGUUCCUAUAUGAAGAAGGAUAUUGAAUUCAAAUGAAAUUUAUUUGAAAGAAUUAAACGCAACUCUGAAAAUUGGGAUCUCCACAAAAGGUAAGGAGUCAGGUAUAAACCUUAAGUUCGAUUGUGUUAAAUCCUUUAUGGAUACCGAUGCUUUCACUACUAGGAAAAGGGCCAUAGAUGGAAUUGACACUAAUGGCGCACCAGACAUGUGGUGCGCCAUUACUAUAUACUAAUGGCGCACCAUGUGUUGGUGCGCCAUUAGUGUGCAAAUACUAAUGGCGCACCACAUCCACGGUGCGCCAUUAGUAAUUUUAUUUUAAUUUUUUCAAAACUACUAAUGGCGCACCGUGGGAGUGGCCCUACUAGGAAAAUGGCUAUAGAUGGGAUUGACACUAAUGGCGCACCAGAAAGAUGGUGCGCCAUUAGUAUAUACUAAUGGCGCACCACAAUCUGAUGCGCCAUUAGAGUUUAAACAACUAAUGGCGCACCAUGCUACGGGUGCGCCAUUAGUAUCAAAUUUUUUUUAACUAGUGCGCCUGUCCAAACAUACUAAUGGCGCAUCCCGGCAAAGUGCGCCAUUAGUAGUUGUAACUACUAAUGGCGCACUAGGCAGCAGGUGCGCCAUUAGUAUAGAUUUUUUUUUUGAACUAGUGCGCCUAUCCAAACAUACUAAUGGCGCAUCCUGCCCAAGUGCGCCAUUAGUAGUUGUAACUACUAAUGGCGCACCAGGCAGUGGGUGCGCCAUUAGUAUAGGAUUUUUUUUUGAACUAGUGCGCCUAUCCAAACAUACUAAUGGCGCAUCCUGCUUAAGUGCGCCAUUAGUAGUUGUAAGUACUAAUGGUGCACCAUGCAAGAGGUGCGCCAUUAGUAAGUGGGCAGCAACAAGAUAUUUGGGACAGCCUCUCCUACCCACACACUCACUUUCUCCCAACUUCAUUCUCUCCACCUCCUCCUUGUCUCGGGUGCCUCCUCUUUUUCACCUCAUUUCCACCAUAGAUUCAUUCAAAUUAAGUGGUUAAAUUACCUUGUUUUAAUAGGUAAGUAAGGGGGGAAGCUAUAUUUAGGUUGAUCUCCUUACAACAAUGUGCACAUGCACUUUUUACGGCCUAGCUAGAUCUAUGUAUGUUUGUGGUGUUGCAUAUGUUUGUGGUGUUGCAUAUGUGUUUGUGUUUGGAGGUGUACCGGUAUUUGAUAUGCGAUAGUUGCCAAUAUUUUGCCGGAAUGUUGAUUCAUUUCCGUUUCGGCGAGAAUUUUGGCAUUAAGCAUUCUUUUUGGUCCUAUUUUUAGGGAAGGUCAUGCCAAAUUUUUGUUUGGUUCUAAAAUAUCGUUUUGCUCUACCCCGCAGGCGACCAUGGUCCGCACGAUGACCGAAGGCAUCGUGAAUAGGUUUUUGAGGUCCGCGAAGGCCGAGAUGCUUCAAAAGAACGAGAUGGAGAUAAGAUGUCCGUGUCGAAGAUGCAAGCUGAAGAGCCUUAUUGCGGACCCGGAUUCCGGGCAGGUGCGGGACCACCUGCUGUUGCGUGGUUUCAUGGAUGGCUCUCGGUGGCAAGGUGAUGAAGAUGACUACGAAGUCGUCCAUGCGGGCCGGGCAAGAAAUGAGGAAGGGCAGCAAGACAACCACUGCGGCUCGGGCGGGCGAGAAGACGAAGAAUCCCCAGGAGAUGAUCACGACUGUGAUGCUGUACACAGUCAUCAUGUAGAAGAUGCAGGACAUGAUGAUGAGGAAGAUGCCGGAGCAGGCGACGGGCAUGAUCAUGAAGAUGAUGAUGCCGGCGGAGCAAACGACGCUGGACCAUCGAUGGGCUGGGUGCAGGGCCCUCAUAUUCAAGAGCUGCUUCUCAAGCAGACGGAUAACGCAAGAGCUGCCGCCCGAGAGAAAGCCAAGAUGGAUCAACUUGAGUUAGACGCGGUUACUCCAUUGUAUGAAGGAUGCAGGCCCGAGGAUACCCGCCUGAAAGUAACGCUCAUGGCCCUGGAGAUGAAGGUAAAACACAAAAUGACCGACGCAUGCUUCGACGAGAACAUGUCAUUCUGGCACGAACGUCUUCCCAAGGGGAACAAGUGCCCGACCAGUUUGGAGGAGGCGAAGAAAAUCGUGUGUCCUCUGGAUUUACCGCACGUGAAAUACCAUGUGUGCAUGAACAAUUGCAUCAUUUAUUGGGACGAGCACGCGGAGUCUACAAUAUGUCCGGUGUGCGGUGUCACUCGAUACAAGAAGAGGAAGAAAGCUCCUCGAAAAGUGGUGUGGUACUUUCCGAUCACUCCUCGUCUGCAGCGGUAUUUCGCGGAUCCUAAGGUAGCAAAGCUCCUACGUUGGCAUCUGCUGGUCCAUAUAGUGGAGGAUAUCAUCCAACUCGGGCCGACAUUCCUGCACAGCAUGAUGCCGUUCGAAAGGAUGAAUGGUGUCAUCAAAGGAUACGUUCGCAACAUGUCACGUCCAGAAGGAAGCAUAGCCAGGGGCUUUCUGACCGAAGAGUGCAUCUCCUACUGCACGAAUUAUCUAGGCAUCGAGAACCCCGUUGGUCUGCCCGUCAACAGGCACCUCGGCAGGCUCGCUGGAUGGGGUCACCGUGAGGGUCGCCGCGAAAUGCAUGUCGACUUCGAGGGUCGACUCGCCGACUUUGAAAGAGCAAACCUAGUCGCGCUACAACACAUAGACGUGGUCGAUCCUUGGUUGGUAGAGCACAAAACCUUUAUUAAAAAGACGUACAAUGACCGAGGCCAACAGAGGACGGACGGAGAUAUACUCAAAGAGCACAACUCAUGUUUCACGCGUUGGUUCAAGCAUAAGCUUCUGUCNNNNNNNNNNNNNNNNNNNNNNNNNNNNNNNNNNNNNNNNNNNNNNNNNNNNNNNNNNNNNNNNNNNNNNNNNNNNNNNNNNNNNNNNNNNNNNNNNNNNNNNNNNNNNNNNNNNNNNNNNNNNNNNNNNNNNNNNNNNNNNNNNNNNNNNNNNNNNNNNNNNNNNNNNNNNNNNNNNNNNNNNNNNNNNNNNNNNNNNNNNNNNNNNNNNNNNNNNNNNNNNNNNNNNNNNNNNNNNNNNNNNNNNNNNNNNNNNNNNNNNNNNNNNNNNNNNNNNNNNNNNNNNNNNNNNNNNNNNNNNNNNNNNNNNNNNNNNNNNNNNNNNNNNNNNNNNNNNNNNNNNNNNNNNNNNNNNNNNNNNNNNNNNNNNNNNNNNNNNNNNNNNNNNNNNNNNNNNNNNNNNNNNNNNNNNNNNNNNNNNNNNNNNNNNNNNNNNNNNNNNNNNNNNNNNNNNNNNNNNNNNNNNNNNNNNNNNNNNNNNNNNNNNNNNNNNNNNNNNNNNNNNNNNNNNNNNNNNNNNNNNNNNNNNNNNNNNNNNNNNNNNNNNNNNNNNNNNNNNNNNNNNNNNNNNNNNNNNNNNNNNNNNNNNNNNNNNNNNNNNNNNNNNNNNNNNNNNNNNNNNNNNNNNNNNNNNNNNNNNNNNNNNNNNNNNNNNNNNNNNNNNNNNNNNNNNNNNNNNNNNNNNNNNNNNNNNNNNNNNNNNNNNNNNNNNNNNNNNNNNNNNNNNNNNNNNNNNNNNNNNNNNNNNNNNNNNNNNNNNNNNNNNNNNNNNNNNNNNNNNNNNNNNNNNNNNNNNNNNNNNNNNNNNNNNNNNNNNNNNNNNNNNNNNNNNNNNNNNNNNNNNNNNNNNNNNNNNNNNNNNNNNNNNNNNNNNNNNNNNNNNNNNNNNNNNNNNNNNNNNNNNNNNNNNNNNNNNNNNNNNNNNNNNNNNNNNNNNNNNNNNNNNNNNNNNNNNNNNNNNNNNNNNNNNNNNNNNNNNNNNNNNNNNNNNNNNNNNNNNNNNNNNNNNNNNNNNNNNNNNNNNNNNNNNNNNNNNNNNNNNNNNNNNNNNNNNNNNNNNNNNNNNNNNNNNNNNNNNNNNNNNNNNNNNNNNNNNNNNNNNNNNNNNNNNNNNNNNNNNNNNNNNNNNNNNNNNNNNNNNNNNNNNNNNNNNNNNNNNNNNNNNNNNNNNNNNNNNNNNNNNNNNNNNNNNNNNNNNNNNNNNNNNNNNNNNNNNNNNNNNNNNNNNNNNNNNNNNNNNNNNNNNNNNNNNNNNNNNNNNNNNNNNNNNNNNNNNNNNNNNNNNNNNNNNNNNNNNNNNNNNNNNNNNNNNNNNNNNNNNNNNNNNNNNNNNNNNNNNNNNNNNNNNNNNNNNNNNNNNNNNNNNNNNNNNNNNNNNNNNNNNNNNNNNNNNNNNNNNNNNNNNNNNNNNNNNNNNNNNNNNNNNNNNNNNNNNNNNNNNNNNNNNNNNNNNNNNNNNNNNNNNNNNNNNNNNNNNNNNNNNNNNNNNNNNNNNNNNNNNNNNNNNNNNNNNNNNNNNNNNNNNNNNNNNNNNNNNNNNNNNNNNNNNNNNNNNNNNNNNNNNNNNNNNNNNNNNNNNNNNNNNNNNNNNNNNNNNNNNNNNNNNNNNNNNNNNNNNNNNNNNNNNNNNNNNNNNNNNNNNNNNNNNNNNNNNNNNNNNNNNNNNNNNNNNNNNNNNNNNNNNNNNNNNNNNNNNNNNNNNNNNNNNNNNNNNNNNNNNNNNNNNNNNNNNNNNNNNNNNNNNNNNNNNNNNNNNNNNNNNNNNNNNNNNNNNNNNNNNNNNNNNNNNNNNNNNNNNNNNNNNNNNNNNNNNNNNNNNNNNNNNNNNNNNNNNNNNNNNNNNNNNNNNNNNNNNNNNNNNNNNNNNNNNNNNNNNNNNNNNNNNNNNNNNNNNNNNNNNNNNNNNNNNNNNNNNNNNNNNNNNNNNNNNNNNNNNNNNNNNNNNNNNNNNNNNNNNNNNNNNNNNNNNNNNNNNNNNNNNNNNNNNNNNNNNNNNNNNNNNNNNNNNNNNNNNNNNNNNNNNNNNNNNNNNNNNNNNNNNNNNNNNNNNNNNNNNNNNNNNNNNNNNNNNNNNNNNNNNNNNNNNNNNNNNNNNNNNNNNNNNNNNNNNNNNNNNNNNNNNNNNNNNNNNNNNNNNNNNNNNNNNNNNNNNNNNNNNNNNNNNNNNNNNNNNNNNNNNNNNNNNNNNNNNNNNNNNNNNNNNNNNNNNNNNNNNNNNNNNNNNNNNNNNNNNNNNNNNNNNNNNNNNNNNNNNNNNNNNNNNNNNNNNNNNNNNNNNNNNNNNNNNNNNNNNNNNNNNNNNNNNNNNNNNNNNNNNNNNNNNNNNNNNNNNNNNNNNNNNNNNNNNNNNNNNNNNNNNNNNNNNNNNNNNNNNNNNNNNNNNNNNNNNNNNNNNNNNNNNNNNNNNNNNNNNNNNNNNNNNNNNNNNNNNNNNNNNNNNNNNNNNNNNNNNNNNNNNNNNNNNNNNNNNNNNNNNNNNNNNNNNNNNNNNNNNNNNNNNNNNNNNNNNNNNNNNNNNNNNNNNNNNNNNNNNNNNNNNNNNNNNNNNNNNNNNNNNNNNNNNNNNNNNNNNNNNNNNNNNNNNNNNNNNNNNNNNNNNNNNNNNNNNNNNNNNNNNNNNNNNNNNNNNNNNNNNNNNNNNNNNNNNNNNNNNNNNNNNNNNNNNNNNNNNNNNNNNNNNNNNNNNNNNNNNNNNNNNNNNNNNNNNNNNNNNNGAUAUAGAAAAAACAGCUAUUUAUCUCUCCCUGCAAACUGACUGAUGCUAGUAUAGAUAUUUAGUAGAAUGAGCAGAGUUUGGUUUAUAAAUGUACCUUGGAAUUCGAUGUUCUUCAUGACAUCAAGGUCGAUGCCAGAGGCCACCUGGUAGAGUGUCACCAAGGUCUGAAGAAGAAAAGGAGUCCAUUAAAAAGAGAUAUUGCUCUUUCUAGCUUACAACAAAACUAGGGUUCAUUAUAACAACAUAUUACGCGAAGCAACAGGAUUGCAUCCUACCGCAAUAGUAGAAAUUACGCAAGGAGACCAGGAGUCUAUUAGUGGUCAUUACUGCUAGUCAAAGGAAGUAGUGAACCAAAAUCUCAAUGUCCCUCUACAAGUUAUGGCAUACAAAGACUGGAAACUUUCGGUUAAAGAAAUUCCUCUUUCUCUGAACAAAAACAUUUUCAUUCAGUUAAAUGCAAAUUCACAAGUACAACCAUCCACAGUAAAGGAGCUAUGAACAUAUUAUUAUUUUGGUCACAGAAGCAUCCACGCCAAAAUAUACAGGGAUGUAAAAAACACUUAGAAAGAAAGCACUUCAUCAAAACAAAGAGUUAAACCACUUGACAGAUAGGUAAGCUCUCCAUACAAAGCAUCCUAAAAUCGGUGCUGCACACAACAGUUGUUCUUGAGAUCGUGGUGGUGGGUAUAAUUGAUGGAUUCAAUUACAUCAUAGAAAAUGUGAGUAACUCUUUUGCUAAGAGAGAACAGUGUUUCCUGACCAACAAUGAGACUACUAAUAGCAACUUAACGAGACGACCGAAUAAACAUACACAUGCAUAGGCAGUACACCUAGCAAUCUGACAUGGCAUCACAUAUUCACUGAAAGGCAUAGGCAUAGGCAAGAUUUUUCUGGUGCAAAUCAUGUAAUAAAGAACUGAAAGGGAGUCAGUUAGUAUGGCCACCUAAAGUUUGGUCCAGGAUGGACGAAGCUCCAAAAGUUUGAAUUUGAGAUCGAGGGAGAACUUCUGGGGUUCUGUUGUGGGUUAUGAUUCCUCGUACAACGCUCACAACCUGAAUAGAUAUGAUUUUCUGUUGUGAGAAGUUGAAGGAUUUGAGGUUGGCUCCUGUUGAAACUUGGCUAGAGAUACAACUUUGUUUUGUCAUUGGGAAGUGUAAAGCAUUGGAGAAGAUUUAUUGUUGAUGCUCACACCUCCAGAAUAUUUAGUUAAAACCUUCUGUUGAACUCAUUAAGUUGUUGACUGCGCAUUAUGGAGAAAAUUGUAUUUCUGCAACCAGAUUCAGCAACUGUCGUUACAACACUGUCUUUUGAGUAAAUUGAGACUCCACAUCAUCACUGACAUCGCAGGGCCAUUUCUGUCAGAUCCGUUGUCGAACUCCUCUAACUUGGAAACUUGGGUUAUGUGUUACUCUUUCUUCUGAAGUUGUGCUUCUGUGUUAUAAAUCUCUGAAGUUGUGGUUCUGCAAAAAUCGCGCCGCUGAAGUUGUUUGUUAGUGCUUCAAGUUAUUUAUCUUCUUUUAGGUUAUUUAUCACUUGUGUUAUUAUUAUACAUCUUGUGCUCAUCUUGUUUAGCUUAGGUUGUUGGUACACUUAGUUUUUGGGCCUCAACAUAUUUACCAUUUGUGUUUGAAAACUAAACGAGUAGUUUGUUUAUACAUUUGAACCUAAUACCAAUUCAUUCAUCUCCAUACCACUGCAGACACAACAGAACAGAGGCACUUCAUCACCCACGGCUGAGAAAGCAAGGUAGAAUCACCACUGCGUACAUACUAUUUCUCUUUUUUUUCUGUUCUUUUCAGAUCAAUAUUGUUGUGAUCUUUCAUGUCUUUUAUAACAGGGAAAAUGGUUGUAUAUGAUAGACAUCGAACCGUUUCUGUAAACUGAGUACUAACUGAGUUCCCUAAAAAAAGAACCUUAGUACUAACUGAAAUAUGAUGGAACAGAAAAUACAAUGAAAUCAAUACGGAACAUGCUAGAUAAAUAUUGCCAUGAAACCAGAUGACACUGAUAAUUUUAGUGGAAAACAAAGGACUCUUCUGUUAUUUUUAGUGAAAAGUUGGUCCACCGACCACUCACAUAUCCAAUUUCCAUGAUCCUCAACGGAAGUCAGAAACACAACAUAUCCAUGGACUUCUCAUUGUUCAAAAUCUUCUCUUAGGAUUAACCACAACAGCAUAUCGGGGGUUCAGGAAUCAAAAUAUCAGUUACAUCAAGAGUUAGCAAUGACCAAACUGGCAUGUAACAGAGACACUAUAAAAGAUAGCUAACAUCCAGUUAGCCCUAGUACUUGGUGUUUAUAGAAAACCAGGAGUGCCAAUGGGACUAGAAUUCACUUGUUCUUAUAUGGGUUUGUAAAACUUGUUCAUGUACUGAACUACUAAUGCCUUGUGAUGCUCUGAAUUACUUGUGAUGCCUCUGAAUUACUUGUGAUCACAUUGAGAAAGACUUGUAAAGAUGAUGAUCAUCUUUAACAGAAAACAAUUUGUGAUGAUUUUGCUAGUUUGCUGGGUUUUGUCUCCGACCAUCGUGUCGUGAUGAUUUUGCAGGUACCCCGAGAGGCCCUUGAGUUUGCCGGAAUGUCGAUUAACUUCCGUUCCGGCAAAUUCGGGUACUCCAUAUGUCCUAUUUUCAGCAAAGGUCAUGCUGAAAUUUUCCGUGAAUUUUAGCAUGACUUUGCUAAAAAUAGGACAUAUGGGGUACUUGUGACUAAUGCAUGGGCCGGGGUAUCUUAGUAGUUAAUUAAGUAGGAUCAAGUGCCCCGGCGUACUUGUGACUAAUGCAUGGCUUUUAGGGUGCCUCGGUGUCGAUAAAAACCGAAAUGAUGAAAAGUUAGGCUUUUAGGGUGCCUUGGCGUCGAAAAACCCUCAAUGAUAAAAGCUUAGAUUUUAGGAUGCCUCGGUGUCGACAAACCCUAAAUGAUGAGACCAUGAUCUUGUUCCUUGACAAUAACCAACUUUUUGACCAAACUUUGUUUCUAUUUAGAGAGAAACAUGGCCCACAACGAUGAGGCCGUUGGUUCGGGCGGCAAGGCAUUCUGGGAGCUGUCCCAGGAGAUGGAGGAACAACCUCACUUGUAUGAGGCCGCCGCCUUCCCCACCGAUCCUGAGACCACGGAUGGUGCCGCCGAGGAUGACCACACUGAUGCCACCACUGAUGGUGCCGCCGAGGAUGCCACCACUGAUGAUGGCGGCGCACGCACAGAUUGCAGCCAGCCGAAGAGGCAACGGAAGGACCGGCGCCCGAUCGUGCUCCGCACCCUCAAGGAGGAAGUUACUGAAGUGGACUCCAACGGGAAUCCAACGGCGCCCGAACGAAUAGUCAAGGGGUACUCGCUUCAGCUCGGGUGCAUUGUCCGGAGCACCGUCUCGAUCAACACCGAGAACCUGAGGCAUCCUGACCGGGGGAAUUUGCGCCACCUCCUCUUCACGAAGCUGCACGAACGAUACAAGUUCCCCGCUGAAUUCGAAAACACAAGCCUCAAAGGGAAUAAAGUGAACAAUGCUGCCCUCACGAAGAUGAGCAAGGCCCUGUCUACUUGGAAAAGCAAUGUGAAGAGAAUGAUCGAGAAAGGUGAGAGUUAUGAGAAGAUCAAGGAGAAAAAUCCUUCGAUCACCGAAGAUGACUACAACGACUUCAAGAUUAAUUGCUCGAGCACCGCAAGAUCCCAAUCAAGUGAGUGGGGGAAACAAAUGCGGGAGAUGAACAUAGGGGAACACACACUCGGUCCCGGCGGUUACAGAGUGGCGGAGCCUAUAUGGGACAAGGAGGAGGCGGACCGUGCCGAGCAAGGCCUACCGCCCCUCUUCGAUAAAUACGGUGACAAGCAGACCAGGAACUUUGUCAGGGCCCGGUACAAGAAGGACCCGAAAACAAAGGAGCUUACCACGGAUCCGAAGACCGGGCAGCUUGAGCUUGUUUUGGUAAGGAAUACACCCCCGCGUAAUUAGCUCCAUAUGGUUGCAUUCUAAUUAAUGAAGCCGAAUUUCUAAAUGGUUCACAUUCCUUCCGCAGGCGACUGAAAGCAGUAGCGCGGGGUCGACUCAGAGCAACCCUUGGGACACCACUCUAAAUAGGGGGUUGAAUAUAAUGAAGAACAAGGAUAAGCUCAGUAAGCCGACGUCAGCUGGUCGUGUGGCCGGCAAAGGCUUGUCGACAAAAUGGGGGUCAUACUAUACCGCUGGUGUGCGGAAGGAGAAAAAGACCAGCUCGGAAAGCCAGGCGCGAGAGGUUCAAGAACUCAAGGCACAGGUGGCGCGGAUUCCGGAGAUUUUCCAAGAGCAAGUGGAACAACGACUCGGAGCGACGAUCACCACCCUUGUGCCUACCUUGAUCUCGGGGUUGAGUGCGUGGAUUGCGGGCGGCCAACAGGGGCCGCCCCCGAUUCCUAGCUUGACGGCCAGCAACUCGCAUAAUGCGAUGGCGGGGCCAUUGGUGCCUCCGGCGGAGGCGGCAUUGGUGUCUCCGACGCCGGCACGGGAGCUUAAUGCACCCGGGUGUACGCCGGCCGGCACCUCUUCAGCAAGCGGCCGCUCCGUCAACUGCAUGCCCGCCGUUGGCGGUGCCUCGACAUUAGCCGAGCUCGACGCCAUCAUCACGGUAACUAAUUAAGCCUCUCUCGGCCGAGGACUUCAUCUCCUUGCCUUUGACUGGGCAUCCCUGAUGCCCUACAUGUUUUCGCAGGGCGCCGCCGACGUUCCGUGCACUCUCCUCCACUUCGUGAACAACGAGUUGGUCGAUGUCGCCAAGGGCAAAAUCGUUCAACCGGGCAACCCCUUGUUCCACGGUACCCAGAUGCCACCCAACUUGUUUAGGGUUCAACUGGUUCGGGUGCUGCCAGGCUGCGUCGACUUGUUACCUCCGAUUCGACCCGUCGGGGCCGACGAUGAUGACGUGAUGACCCUCAGCGCCUGCCUGAGCUGGCCCCUGCUUUGGCCGAAGAGCCAGAUUCGUUUGGGGGCGGGGGACACCACCCCAAAGACAACACCGCCAGUCGUGCCGGCGCCAAGUCGGCCCCAUGGCAAGACCGCCGUAACGGUGCCGGACAUCCCUAUGCCACUGGAUCCAAACAUGCAUAUGGCACAGGAUCAGAACGACGACGACGACGACGAUGAUACAUUUGGCAACGUCAAUCAGUACUUUGCCGAGCAUGGGUACGAUGGCGACUUCAUGGGGCCUCCUUCUCAAGAACCAAACCCAACAAAAGACGUGUGCGAUCUAGCUCGUACCGCGGAGAAGCCAAGUUGCAACAGGCGUCGUCUGGCGUUCAGCUCUCAGGAGACGCCUCCAGCUGCCGACUUCACCGAGCCUCAGAUAGGCGAGGUGCGAAAUAUUAUCAGCCCCAACACACUCAAGAAGGCGGUCUGUGAGCAGAACUCGGUCCCAUUACAGGAGAAGAAGAAGGCACACAAAAGAAAGACUAAGAAGGGUGCGAGCCAGCCGGCACCGAGUACGAUCCGUGCUCAGGACGGGCCACCUUCACCGCAGGAUAUCUCGAGGAGGGUGCAUGUGGCGGGUAGGGCGAUGCUACCACCAAAUAUGCUCAAUGCUGCAACCGGUGCUAUGCGGAGUCUGCACGACAGUGUUCUUUCUUUGGAGAAGCGGCGUCUCAGAGAGAAGGAUGUGGCAUACCCGGUUUUCGUGGCCAAGGUGCCAGAGGGCAAGGGCUUUCUGGAUGGCGACAUCGAGGGUACGAUCGUCCUGCGGUUUGAUGACAUCUUUGCUAUGUUUAACCUUCAUCCGCUGCACUACACCUUCGUUCGGCUAUUUUCGCUGAGUAUGGAGAUGCGGAUCAUUCGCGACAAGACCCCAGACAUCGUGAUAGUCGACCCCUUCUACAUGUGUGCCAAGAUCUUGGGCAGCGCUGGGGACCGGCAAGUCACGAGUUCUUACCUCCAAGGUGUCAUUCUGUUAAACCAAGAUAAGGAUAACUUCCUCGUGCCUUACUUUCCCGAGUAAGUCCUCCCCUCAACCGGCCCGUAACAUAUGAAUUCUUACUUUUCGAUCGUUUUUCUUUUAACAUUCCGUGUUUUCUGCAGUGACACACGUUGCACGCUCAUCCUCCUAAGCCCCAAAUAUUCCAUGGCCACGUAUUUCGACCCGGACCGUCAGUCGAACGUAGACUACACAAAUGUCAAGAAGGUUCUUGAUGAUGUUCUCCCCGGCUACGCCCAAUCUGGAGGCACCUUCACCAGGCCUAUUCGUAAGUACGGCAAGCACGUGUUCUCCCACAAUACGAUGUUCUUCUGCGUCAAGCAGCCGCCUGGCGGUCAGAAGGGUGCCUACUACGCCAUCCAUCACAUGCGGGCGAUCGUACGGGACCAUCAUCAACUUCUGCUACCGAGUAAACUCCAAGAUUGGGCCGCGAGCGUGUCGGCAAUCCAGGACGCGGACCUCCGACAAGAAUUCUUUCGCAUCCAGUCGGAGUUUGCGGAAAUCAUCCAUCAAGAUGUCCUUCGUACCUCGGGGCAGUUCUACCUCAGAAAUCAACCGUCCAACAGUGACAUCGACACAAUGCUACAAAUGCAGGAUGACAACGCCCGUUCUUUCAUGACUCCCACGAUAGACGGCGGCUUCAUCCACGCUCCGGUCCCUUGAGUCGAGUUGUCUAGUUCUGAAACAUCGAUUGGCUGAUGUUGUAAUUAAACUUUAAUGAACUUGUAGUAUGUCUCUUUGGUUUUGAGAGUCGUUCAACUUAGAUGUAAUCGAUGCUAUUAAUGUCUUGCUUUUCUCUUCCGAUCGUUCUGUUGCAUAAUUAUAUAUUGCUUAUGUAUUGUCUGUGAAUUGGUACUAAUGUUUCGUUUGGCUAGUGCAUAGUGAUGCCGACGUAUGUCGUGUACAAGGGUAAGGUUCCCGGAGUCUACGAUGACUGGGAGGAGUGUCGGAGACAGGUUCACCGAUUCAGCGGUAACAGUUACAAAGGGUACACCACUAGGGCCGAGGCCGAAUCUAGAUACGCCCGCUAUCUAGCGGGAGAGGGGAGGGAGCGUUGGAGGAACCGGAUGAAGACGAGUUUCAUCGUGAUGAUGCUCAUCGUGAUGACCGCAGCUCUCUUCUAUGUGAUGGUAGUUUAGAUGAUCGAUAUCGACUUGUAAUGCGAAGACAAACUCGCUACUCGCGGUCUCGAGACUUNNNNNNNNNNNNNNNNNNNNNNNNNNNNNNNNNNNNNNNNNNNNNNNNNNNNNNNNNNNNNNNNNNNNNNNNNNNNNNNNNNNNNNNNNNNNNNNNNNNNNNNNNNNNNNNNNNNNNNNNNNNNNNNNNNNNNNNNNNNNNNNNNNNNNNNNNNNNNNNNNNNNNNNNNNNNNNNNNNNNNNNNNNNNNNNNNNNNNNNNNNNNNNNNNNNNNNNNNNNNNNNNNNNNNNNNNNNNNNNNNNNNNNNNNNNNNNNNNNNNNNNNNNNNNNNNNNNNNNNNNNNNNNNNNNNNNNNNNNNNNNNNNNNNNNNNNNNNNNNNNNNNNNNNNNNNNNNNNNNNNNNNNNNNNNNNNNNNNNNNNNNNNNNNNNNNNNNNNNNNNNNNNNNNNNNNNNNNNNNNNNNNNNNNNNNNNNNNNNNNNNNNNNNNNNNNNNNNNNNNNNNNNNNNNNNNNNNNNNNNNNNNNNNNNNNNNNNNNNNNNNNNNNNNNNNNNNNNNNNNNNNNNNNNNNNNNNNNNNNNNNNNNNNNNNNNNNNNNNNNNNNNNNNNNNNNNNNNNNNNNNNNNNNNNNNNNNNNNNNNNNNNNNNNNNNNNNNNNNNNNNNNNNNNNNNNNNNNNNNNNNNNNNNNNNNNNNNNNNNNNNNNNUGUCAAAAAAAUAAAAGAAAAUAAGAUUCCCAUGUGAUAUGUGGUCUAGUUGUUAGCAAAACUUACAAACAUGAAUUUUCGACUUCUUUGCAAAAUCUCUCGAGAAUUUGUAAAAAUGGGCAUAACUUUUGCGUACGAACUCGGAUGAAAAAGUUUUUUAUAUGAAAAAUCAUCUACUCGAAAAGUUACAUCCGAAUUUAAUGGGGAAACCCCGUUAAACAUUUUCAAAAUCCUCAAAAACCUAACAGAAAAAAGAGACAGGGCUUUUAAGAUUUGGAGAGGCAAAAAAAAUCAAGAAAAUUCAAACUUACUAAUGGCGCACCUGCCCAUGGUGCACCAUUAGUAUCUUCCCGCCUUCAAAAUUCAAAAUAAGUCAAAAAAAUAAAAAAAAAUUACUAAUGGCGCACCUGCCCAUGGUGCGCCAUUAGUAUCUUCCCGCCUUCAAAAUUCAAAGUAAAUCAAAAAAAUACAAAAAAAGUUAGUAAUGGCGCACCUGCCCACGGUGCGUCAUUACUAUGCCUUAUAUAUGGCUGGGCGUGGUCCUCUCCUCCUUACCUCUUCAUUCUUCUCCUGCACUCCACCUCUCCUCCACUCCAUCUCCUCCUAUCCUUCACUCCAUCUUCCCUUCUCUCCUCCACCAUACUACCCUCCUCCUCUCCGGCGACCUCCUCCUCCUCUCCGGCGACCUCCUCCUCNNNNNNNNNNNNNNNNNNNNNNNNNNNNNNNNNNNNNNNNNNNNNNNNNNNNNNNNNNNNNNNNNNNNNNNNNNNNNNNNNNNNNNNNNNNNNNNNNNNNNNNNNNNNNNNNNNNNNNNNNNNNNNNNNNNNNNNNNNNNNNNNNNNNNNNNNNNNNNNNNNNNNNNNNNNNNNNNNNNNNNNNNNNNNNNNNNNNNNNNNNNNNNNNNNNNNNNNNNNNNNNNNNNNNNNNNNNNNNNNNNNNNNNNNNNNNNNNNNNNNNNNNNNNNNNNNNNNNNNNNNNNNNNNNNNNNNNNNNNNNNNNNNNNNNNNNNNNNNNNNNNNNNNNNNNNNNNNNNNNNNNNNNNNNNNNNNNNNNNNNNNNNNNNNNNNNNNNNNNNNNNNNNNNNNNNNNNNNNNNNNNNNNNNNNNNNNNNNNNNNNNNNNNNNNNNNCCCUCCUCUCCGGUGAGCUCCUCCUUCCUCCUCUCCGGUGAGCUCCUCCCAUUCCCUCAUGGUUUCUCCUUCCUCCUCUCCGAUGCUUCGGUGAACUCCUCUCCAGCGACCUCCUCCUCCUCUCCGGUGAUGUAGGUGAGCGCCUCUCCGGUGACCUCCUCCUCCUCCUCUCCGGCAAAAGAACACGGCAAAAGAACGUACAAGAUCCAAAAACAGGAACAAAAUUUGAAAUAAUAUCGUGCCAAAAAACGAGCAAAAAAUGGGCAAAAAAAUCAUGAUCCAAAUCCAAAUUCAAAAUUCAAAAAUAGCAAUGGCGCACGGUGGGGGUUAGACGGUGCGCCACUACUAUUUUCCCGCCUUCAAAAUUCAAAAAUACUAAUGGCGCACCGUGGCCUAUACUAAUGGCGCACCAGUGGCCUAUACUAAUGGCACACCGUGGCCUAUACUAGUGGCGCACCAGUGGUGCGCCAUUACUAUACCAGAUACUAAUGGCGCACCAGUGGUGCGCCAUUAGUAAAAAAUACUAGUGACGUGAUACUAAUGGCGCACCAGUGAUGCGCCAUUAGUAGGCAAAACUGGUGCGCCAUUAGUAGCCCUUUUCCUAGUAGUGUUUCCAUGAUUUUAGCACUAAAUAUGGACUUGACUCUGAGAUAUAGUAGCUUCUUUCUGUGAACCAUUUGCUACUCAUGUUGAUCUCCCUAAGGAGAAGUGGUUUAAAUAUCAUCCUCCCAUUGAAGUUAAAGUAGUUGAACCUAUUAAAGUUGAAGAAAAAACUAUUACUUAUAAUGUUGAUCCUAUCAUUGCUACUGCUUAUAUUGAGAAACCACCAUUCCAUGUUAGAAUAAAGCAUCUUGCUAAAGCUUCAACUAUGGUUCGUAAGAGUUAUACAAAAACACCUACACCCUCUGAACAAAUUAAAGUUGAACCUAGUAUUGCUAUGGUUAAAGAUCUCUUGGCUGAUAAUAUUGGGCAUGUUAUUUAUUUCUGUGAUGAAGUUGCUAGGAUUGCUAAAGCUGAUACUAAAGACAAACAUAGACGUGUUGUUGGCAUGCCUGUUGUUUCUGUUAAAAAGGAGAUCAUUGUUAUCAUGGCUUAUGUGAUGUGGGUGCUAGUGUGAGUGCGAUUCCUUUUAUCUUAUAUAAAGAAAUUAUGAACGAUAUUGCUCCUACUGAGAUAGAAGCUAUUGAUGUUACUAUUAAGCUUGCUAAUAGAGAUACUAUAUCACUAAUUGGGAUUGUUAGAGAUGUUGAAGUCUUGGGUGGGAAGAUAAAAUAUCCUACUGGUUUUCUUGUUCUUUCUUCCCCACAAGAUAAUUUUUGUCCCAUUAUAUUUGGUAGACCUUUCUUGAAUACUGUUAAUGCUAAGAUAGACUGCGAGAAAGAUUUUGAUUUCUCUAAAUUUCGUAGACAGCCCCAUGAUAAAGAAUUGCCUAGUAAGGGUGAAAUUAUUGGUCUUGCUUCUAUUGUCGUGUCUCCUAAUGAUCGUUUAGAACAAUAUUUACUAGACCAUGAAAAUGAUAUGUUUAUGAAUGAAAGAAGAGAAAUAGAUGAAUUAUUCUUUAAUCAGGGACCUAUUUUGAAACACAAUUUUCCUGUUGAAAUCCUUGGAGAUCCUCCUCCAUCUAAGGGUGAUCCCGUGUUUGAGCUUACAAAAUUACCUAAUACUUUGAAAUAUUAUUAUCUUGAUGAAAAGAAGAUAUACCAUGUUAUUAUUAUUGCUAACCUUUUAGAGGAUGAAGAAAAGAAACUAUUGAAAACUCUAAAGAAGUACCAUGCCGCUAUUGGGUAUACUCUUGAUGAUCUUAAGGGCAUUAGUCCCACUUCAUGUCAGCACAAGAUUAAAUUGGAGAAAGAUGCUAAACCAGUUGUGGAUCAUCACCGACGGUUAAAUCCUAAGAUGAAACAAGUGGUAAGAAAUGAAAUACUAAAGCUUCUAGCAGUAGGUAUAAUUAAUCCUAUUGCUAAUAGUCAAUGGGUAAGCCCUAUUCAUUGUGUCCCUAAGAAGGGAGGUAUUACUGUUGUUCCUAAUGAUAAGAAUGAAUUGAUUCCUCAAAGAAUUGUUACAGGUUAUAGAAUGGUAAUUGAUUUUCGCAAAUUAAAUAAAGCUACUAGAAAAGAUCAAUACCCUAUGCCUUUUAUUGAUAAAAUGCUAGAAAGACUAUCUAAACAUACACACUUUUGCUUUCUAGAUGGUUAUUGGCGUGUCUCUCAAAUACCUGUGUCAAAAAAGGAUCAAGAGAAAACCACUUUUACUUGCCCUUUCUGUACCUUUGCUUAUAGACAUACGCCUUUUGGUUUAUGCAAUGCACAUGCUACCUUUCAAAGAUGUAUGACUGCUAUAUUCUCUGACUUUUGAGAGAAGAUUGUCGAGGUUUUCAUGGAUGAUUUCUCCGUUUACGGAACUUCUUUUGAUGAUUGCUUAAGCAACCUUAAUUGAGUUUUGCAGAGAUGUGAAGAAACUAAUCUUUUCUUGAAUUGGGAGAAGUGCCACUUUAUGGUUAAUGAAGGUAUUAUCUUGGGGCAUAAAAUUUCUGAAAGAGGUAUUGAAGUUGAUAAAGCUAAAGUUGAUGCUAUUGAAAAGAUGCCAUGUCCUAAAGAUAUCAAAGGUAUAAGAAGUUUCCUUGGUCAUGCUGGUUUCUAUAUGAGGAUUAUUAAAGACUUCUCUAAAUUUCUAGGCCUCUCACUAAUCUAUUAAAAAAGAUCACUACUAGGAAAAGGGUUAUAGAUAGGAUUGAUACUAAUGGCGCACCAGGGAAGCAGUGCGCCACUACUAUAUACUAAUGGCGCACCUGUUGGUGAUGCGUCAUUAGUGUGGAAGACACUAAUGGCGCACCAGAAACAGGGUGCGCCACUAGUAUUAAUUUUUUUUCCAUUUUUCCAUACAUACUAAUGGCGCAUCAGGUAGACAAUGCGCCAUUACUAAUUCUAACUUGUAAUGGCGCACCUGGCAGAGAGUGCGUCAUUACUGUAAUUUUUUUCUUAUUCUUUUUUUUGCAAAACUACUAAUGGCGCACCGUUUCACAGUGCGCCAUUACUAGUUUAAACUAGUAAAGUUUAAACUAGUAAUGGCGCACUAUUAGGCGGUGCGCCAUUAGUAUAUAUAUUUAUAUUUUUACUUUUUUGCAAAACAGUAAUAUUUUUUGAACUCAUGCAUGAAUAUUUUUAAAUUUCAUGGGCAUGUUUUGAAUUCAUGAAUAUUUUUUCAAAUUUGAUGAUAUUUUUUCAUAUUCAUAAAUGUUUUACCAAUUCACAAAUGAAUGCAACUAAAAAUCCAAAAAAACAAAUUUGAUGAUAUUUUCAAAUAACAAAUUUGAUGAUAUUUUUUCAUAUUCAUAAAUAUUUCCAAAUAACAAAUUUGACAAUAUUUUUAAAACAUUAUUACUAUUUUUAUAAAAAAUUAUUACUGUUUCAUAUUCAUAUUCAUUUUCUAAAAACUUAUUCAAUGCAAAUAAUAAUAAUAAUAAUAAUAAUAAUAAUUACUAAUGGCGCACCGCUGGGUGGUGCGCCAUUGAUAUACAAAAAAAAUAGUUACUUAUGGCGCACCGCUGGGUGGUGCGCCAUUGCUAUCCAAAAAAAUAGUUACUUAUGGCGCACCGCUAGGUGGUGCGCCAUUGCUAUCCAAAAAAAGGUUACUUAUGGCGCACCGCUAGGUGGUGCGCCAAUGCUAUCCCUCCCCCGACUAAAAUCCCCAAUCCCCAUCACGGUAUCCCCUCCACCAUCCUCUGCCGCCCCAACAACCACUCCACUACUCCCGGCCACCACCGUCGUCGCCCCACUCCAGAGCAGCGCCGUCGAGCACCCGUUUGAUAGGGAGCACCACCGUCGUCGUGGAGCCACUCCACCGGCAGCCACCAUCCUCGCGCGCUUCCUCCUCGAGCAGGCUCCUCGCGAUUUAGGGUUUGCUGGCGCCUCCGGCCACCGGCGCGGCCCCUCCUCAACCACCGCCACGGGAGCUCCCACCCACGCCCGCCUCCUCUUCCGUCUUCUCUAGCCGCAGCCCAGCUGCUCUCCACCGGCGCUGCCCCUCAUCGACCACCGCCAACGGCCAACGCAGGAGCCUCACCGCCCCCGGGUCCGCCUCGAGCAGCAGGAGCUCCACCUCUUCCCGCAUCCGCCAUCCCCAUCCACCUCGAGCAGCAGGAGCACGCCUUGAGUCUCUGCUCUUCCCCUCCUCCCUGUAACCAGAGAUAAAGAAGCAAACUUACUUGCAUAUGCUGCUUCUAUGUUUCUAAUCCUUAUGGAUAAAUCCCAGCAUGAAAACAUAUGUGUAGAUUCGUAUGUUGUGUGUGUCCUCAACAUGCAUUAUUUCCUGGUUAUGUUGAUACAUAUCAGCUUGUGUGUGAAACAUGUACUACUAUUACUUCCUGGUUAUGUUGAUGUGAAGUGUGUGGCAGUUUACCUUUUAUACAUGCUUGAUUGAAAUUUGUGAUGUGAAAUGGAUGAAAAAGGAAAAGGAAAAUUGGGAUAUGCACACCACAUAGCCAUUUUAUGCCAGUAUGUGCAAAGAAGAGGUUGAAAAUCAUAAUGGGCCAGGGGGAUGUUUGAACCGUAGAGGUUAUGAUAAAAAUCUUGGAGAGAAGUUCUUGGUUAGGUUCUUUGGUUACUAGCAACUAGCAUUGUUAGAUGAGUUCUUAUGCUAUCUUGUGAUAAUUGUAGUAGAUUAUAGCUUGCUUCAGUUUGUCAUCAUAAGUUGGUUAAUUAGAUUUUAGAUUUAUAAGAAACAGGGUCACUAGGUGCACCCUAUAGCUAGCAGCUCUUGAUUAAGGAGAUUAUGUAGCCACCAACAUCUGUGACUGAAGUUAGUCCAUAGUUCACCUGGUCCUUAGUUUCCCAUGAAAAUGAAAUUUUUUGCUUGAUGUAACAAGGUGAUUGGUGAAUGUGGAUGAUUUUUUUGUCCUAUGAACUAAUUGUACUGCUACAAGAAUUUGGUAUCAUCAUGGUGUAAUUGACUGCUUGAGAAAACUGGGUAAUUUGGCAGUAGAAACAACUAUUUUUUACAGUCAAACAGUUCUUGAUGCUUUGGUGCUGUUAGCUAGCUUAGUGGUGGGUCGCUUGGUGCCAGGCUGUGCUAUCUAUACAUUCAUGCCCUUUUUGUCACUGAUGAUUGUUAGAUUGGGUUCCUACUGCUGUCAUGGGGUGGAUGAUCCUGCUGCUUUGUAUAUGGAUAUAUUGCAAUUUCAUUUAUGUUGUUAUAAGUUUGUUGUUGUCAGCAUGAGUUAACUUGCUGUCAUUUAUCGAAAUUCAGAAUGCGUUGGACUAUAUGUUCAUUGGUACUACUUGUGAUGCUGCUGCUGUACUACUUGGGAAUUUUGUCAACUUGUGAUGCUACUAUUGUACCCCGAGAGGCCCUUGAGUUUGCCGGAAUGUCGAUUAACUUCCGUUCCGGCAAAUUUGGGUACUCCAUAUGUCCUAUUUUCAGCAAAGGUCAUGCUGAAAUUUUUCGUGAAUUUUAGCAUGACUUUGCUAAAAAUCGGACAUAUGAGGUACUUGCUACUAAUGCAUGGGCCGGGGUAUCUUAGUACUUAGUUAAGUAGGAUCAACUGCCCCUUUAUUCUUGCUGCAUUAAACCAUAGGUGGCAAUAGAGCCAAGUGAUUAGUGCCAAGUGAUUAGGCCCAACCUAGGGUGCCUCGGCAUCGAUAAACCCUAAAUGAUGAAAACUUAACUUGGCUGCCCCGGAUGCCUCGGUGUCGAUGAGAACCUAAAUGAUGUACGCUUAGGCUUUUAGGGUGCCUCGGCGUCGAAAAACCCUAAAUGAUGAAAGCUUAGGCUUUUAGGGUGCCUCGGUGUCGACAAACCCUAAAUGAUCAGACCAUGAUCUUGUUCCUUGACAAUAACCAACUUUUUGACCAAACUUUUUUCCUAUUUAGAGCAAAACAUGGCCCACAACGAUGAGGCCGGUGGUUCAGGUGGCAAGAAAUUCUGGGAGCUGUCCCAGGAGAUGGAAGAACAACCUCACCGCUAUGAGGACGCCGCGGAAGACACCGAUCCAGAUUAGACAACCCCUAGUGGCGUCGGGGAUGACACCACUGAUGGUGCCGCCGAGGAUGCCACCACUGAUGAUGGCGGCGCACACACAGAUGGCAGCCAACUGAAGAAGCAAAGGAAGGACCGGCGCCCGAAUGCGCUCCGCAUGCUCAAGGAGGAAUUCACUCAAGUGGACUCCGACAGGAAUCCAACGGAGCCCAAACAUAUAGUCAAGGGGUACUCACUUCAGCUCGGGUGCAUUCUCCGGAGCAUCGUCUCGAUCAACACCGAGAACCUUAGGCAUAAGGACCGAGGGAAUUUGCGCAACCUCCUCUUCACGAAGCUGCACGAACGAUACAAGUUCCCCGCCGAAUUUGAAAACACACGCCUCUCCGGGAAUAAAGUGAAUAGUGCCGCCCUCACGAAGAUGAGCACGACCCUGUCUACUUGGAAAAGCGUGGUGAAGAGAAUGAUUGAUAAAGGUGAUAGUUAUGAGAAGAUCAAGGCGAAAUAUCCUUUGAUGAGCGAAGAUGAGUACAAGGAGUUCAAGAUCAAGUGCGAGAGCAGUGCAACCUCCGAAUCAAGUCAGUGGGGGAAAGAAAUGUGGGAUUUGAACUUAGGGGAACACAAACUCGGUCCCGGCGGUUACAGAGUGGCGGAGCCUAUAUGGGACAAGGAGGAUGCGGAGCGUGCCGAGCAAGGCCUACCGCCCCGCUUCGAGAAAUACAGCGGUGACAAGCAGACCAGGAACUAUGUCAGGGCCCGGUACAAGGAGGACCCGAUAACAAAGGAGCUUACCACGGAUCCGAAGACCAGGGCGCUUGAGCUUCUUCUGGUAAGGAAUACACCCCCGCCUAAUUAGCUCCAUAUGGUUGCACUCUAAUUAAUCCCCAAUAUUUCUAAAUGGUUCACGUUCCUUUCGCAGGACACUGAAAGCAGUAGCGCAGGGUCGUCUAAGAGCUCCCCUUUCGACACCCCUUUAAAUAGGGCGUUGAACGUAAUGAAAAACAAGGAUAAGCUCACUAAGCCGACAUCAGCUGGUCGUGUGGCCGGCAAAGGCUUGUCCACAAAAUGGGGGUCAUACUAUACCGCUGGUGUGUGGAAGGAGAAAAAGACCAGCUCGGAAAGCCAGACGCACGAGGUUGAAGAACUCAAGGCACAAGUGGCGCGAAUUCCGGAGCUUUUCCAAGAACAAGUGCAACAACAACUUGGAACGACGCUCAACGCCAUGGUGCCUACGUUGAUUCAUGGGCUGACGACGUGGAUUGCGGGCGGCCAACAGGGGCCUCCCCCGAUUCCCAACUUCACGGCCAGCAACUCGCACAGCGCGUAGGCGGCGCCAUUGGUGUCUCCGGCGGCGGCGCCAUUGGUGUCUCCGGUGGAGGCGGUAUUCGUGUCUCCGGUGCCGGCACAUGCAUUGGAGCUUAAUGCACCCGGGUGUACGCCAGCCGGCACCUCGCUAGCAAGCGCCCCCUCCGUCAGUUGCACGCUCGCCGUUGGCGAUGCCUCGACAUUAGCCGAGCUCGACGGCAUCACGGUAACCAAGCCUCUCGGCUGAUGACUUCAUCUCCUUGCCUUUGACUGGGCAUCCCUGAUGCCCUAUACAUGUUUUCGCAGGGCACCGCCGACGUUCCUUGCAAUCUUCUGCAUUUCGUGGGCGCCGAGUUGCUCGAUGUCGCCAAGGGAAGAAUCGUUCAACCGGGCAACCCCAUGUUCCACGGUAAUCCGAUGCCACCCAGAAUGUAUAGGGUUGAAGUGGUUCGGGUGCUGCCAGUUUACGACGAGCUGUUACCUCCGAUUCGAUCCGCUGGGGCCGACGAAGAAGAUGAGAUGACCCUCAGCACCAGCGUAAACUCGCCCCUGCUUUGGCCGAAGAGACAGAUUCGUUUGGGAGCGGGGGACACCACCCCACAGACAAGACCGCCAGUCGUGCCGGCGCCAAGCCAUGGCAAGAACGCCGCAACGCUACCGGACCUGCCGGACAUCCCUAUGGCAUAGGAUCCAGAUAGCCCUAUGGCACAGGAUCCGGACGGCGACGAAGCCGGCGAUGGUACAUUUACCAAAGUCGAUAAGUACUUUGCCGAACAUGGGUACACUGACGAGUUCUGCGGGCCUCUUUCUCAAGAACCCAACCAAGACGACCGCCAUCUAGCUGGUACGGCAGAGAAAUCCAAUUGCAACAGGCAUCAUCUGGCGUUCAGUUCUCAGGACACGCCCCCAGCUCCCGCCUUCACCGAGCCUCAGAUAGCUGGGGUGCGAAAUAUUAUCAGCCCCAACACGCUCAAGAAGGCGGUCUGUGAGCAGAACUCGGUCCCAUUACAGGAGAUCAAGAAGAAGGGACGGAAACAAAAGACUAACAAGGGCGCCGGUGCGAGCCAGCCGGCAUCGAGUUCGAUCCGUGCUCAGGACGGGCCACCUUCACCUAAGGAUAUCUCGAGGAGGGUGCAUGUGGCGGGUAGGGCGAUGCUACCACCAAAUAUGCUGAAUGCUGCAACCGGUGCUAUGCGGAGUCUGCACGACAGUGUUAUUUCUUUGGAGAAGCAGUGUCUCAGAGAGAAGGAUGUGGCAUACCCGGUUUUCGUGGCCAAGAUGCCAGAGGGCAAGGGCUUUGUGGAUGGCGACAUCGGGGGUACGAUCAUCUUGCGGUUUGAUGACAUCUUUGCUAUGUUUAACCUUCAUCCGCUGCAUUACAACUUCGUUCGGCUGUUUUCGCUGAGUAUGGAGAUGCGGAUCAUUAGAGACAAGACCCCGGACAUCGUGAUAGUCGACCCCUUCUACAUGCGUGCCAAGCACUUGAGCAGCGCUGGGGACGGCCAAGUUGCGAGUUCACACCUCGAAGGCAUCAUUCUAGCAAACCCAGAUAAGGUAACUUCCCUGUGGCUUACUUUCCCGAGUAAGUCAUUACUUAACCGCCCCGUAACAUAUGAUUUCUUAGAUUUCGAUCAUUUUUUUCUAACAUUCCGUGUUAUGUGCAGUGACACACAUUGCACACUCAUCCUCUCAAGCCCGAAAUAUUCCAUGGCCACGUAUUUAGACCCGAACCGUAACUCCAGGAUAGACUACACAAAUGUCAAGCAAGUUCUUGAUGAUGUUCUCCCCGCCUACGCCAAAUCUGGAGGCACCUUCACCAGGGCAGUUCGUAAGUACGGCAAGCACAUGUUCUCACACAAUACGAAGUUCUGCUGCGUCAAGCAGCCGCCUGGCGGUCAAAAGGAUGCCUACUACGCCCUCCAUCACAUGCGGGCGAUCGUAAGGAACCAUCAUCAACUUCUGCUACCAGAUAAUCUCAAAGAUUGGGCCACGAGCUUGUUGGCAGUCCAGGACGCGGACCUCAGACAAGAAUUCUUUCGCAUCCAGUUGGAGUUUGCGGACAUCAUCCAUCAAGACGUCCUUCAUACCUCGGGGUAGUUCUUCGUCAGAUAUCAACCGUCCAACAGUGAGAUAGAUGAAAUGCUACAAAUGCAGGGUGACAACGACCGCAAUUUCAUGACCAUCACGACAGACGGCGGCUUCAUCCAUGUUCCUGUCUGAUGAGUUGAGUCGAAAGUAGUGAUGUGUAGUUCUGAAACAUUGAUUGGCUCAUGUUGUAAUUAUACUUUAAUGAAUUCGUAUGUCUCUUUGGUUUGGACAGUCAUUCAACUUAGAUGUAAUCGAUGCUAUUUAUUAGUAGGACCAUGAAUCAUGCUAUUAAUGUCUUGCUUUUCUCUUCCGAUCCUUUUGUUGCAUACUUACAUAUUGCUUAUGUAUUGUCUGUUGUUUGGCUUGUGCAUAAAGAUGCCAUCGUAUGUCGUGUACAAGGGUAAGGUUCCCGGAGUCUACGACGACUGGGAGGAGUGUUGGAGACAGGUUCACCGUUUCAGCGGUAAUAGUUACAAAGGGUACACCACUAGGGCGGAGGCCGAAUCUAGAUAUGCCCGCCAUCUAGCGGGAGAGAGGAGGGAGCGUUGGAGGAACCGGGUGAAGACCAGUUUGAUCGCGAUGAUGCUCAUCGUGAUGACCACAACUCUCUUCUAUGUGAUGGUAGUUUAGAUGAUCGAUAUCGACUUGUAAUGUGAAGACAAACUCGAAACUCGCGGUCUUGAGACUUGUAAUGUUUUAUCUUUGUUCGGUCUUUUGAAUUCGGAGACUAAUAUGAUGAAUUGUAUUCGGAGACUAAUCUUCUAUUGUAUUCGAUGAAUCUUAUGUUGCUGUCUAUAUUCUGUCUAAUAAUAUAUUUUAUAUUCUGUCUAAUAAUAUAUUUUAUAACCUGUGCAAAAAUCAGAAAAGGAAAAAAACCAAAUAUUCAUACUAAUGGCGCAUCACCACCAGGUGCGCCAUUAGUAUGCCAAAGGAUACUAAUGGCGCAUCAACAGAGAAUGCACCAUUAGUAUGACAAAGCCAUGCUUACGUAUGGCCCCCCGGGAGGCACACUAAUGGCGCAUGCUCUUACAUACUAAUGGCGCAAUAGUUGGUGCGCCAUUAGUAUACCAGAUACUAAUGGCGCACCCAUCGUGCGCCAUUAGUAAGAUAUACUAGUGGCGUGCUACUAAUGGCGCACUGGUAAUGCGCCAUUAGUAGGCAAAACCAGUGCGCCAUUAGUAGGCCUUUUCCUAGUAGUGGAUGUUCCUUUCGUUUUUGAUGAUGAUUGUGUUGAAGCAUUUGAAAUACUUAAGAAAGCCUUGAUUUCUGCUCCUAUUGUUCAGCUACCUGAUUGGAACCUACCCUUUGAAAUUAUGUGUGAUGCUAGUGAUUAUGUUGUUGGUGUUGUUCUAGGACAAAUAGUUGAUAAGAAAUUAAAUGUUAUUCAGUAUGCUAGUAAAAUUCUAGAUAGUGCCGAGAGAAAUUAUGCUACUGCUGAAAAAGAAUUUUUAGCAGUUAUAUUUGCAUGUGAUAAGUUCAGACCUUAUAUCGUUGAUUCCAAAGUAACUGUUCACACAGAUCAUGUUGCUAUUGAAUAUCUUAUGGAAAACAGAUCAUGCUGCUAUUGAAUAUCUUAUGGAAAAGAAAGAUGCUAAACCUAGACUUAUUAGAUGGGUUCUCUUGUUACAAGAAUUUGAUUUGCAUAUUAUUGAAAGAAAGGGACCUGAUAACACCGUUGUAGGCAACUUCCCUAGGUUAGAAAAUGUUCUUGAUGACUCGCUACCUAUUGAUGAUAGCUUUCCUGAUGAGCAAUUAAAUGUCAUAAAUGCUUCUCGUAAUGCUCCAUGGCAUGUUGAUUAUGCGAAUUAUAUUGUUGUUGAUUUAUACCACAUAGUUUCACAUAUCAGCAAAGAAAAUUUUUCUGUGAUUUAAGACAUUACUUCUAUGAUGAUACACACCUUUAUAAAGAAGGAGUAGAUGUUGUUAUUAGACGUUGUGUGCCCGAGUAUGAACAAGAACAGAUCCUACGCAAGUGACACUCCGAAGCUUACGGAGGACACCACGCUGGAGAUAGAACUGCACAUGAGGUAUUGCAAUCUGGUUUCUAUUGGCCCAGUCUCUUUAAGGAUGCCUGUAAGUUUGUCUUAUCUUGUGAUGAAUGCCAGAUAAUUGGUAAUAUUAGUAAACAUCAGGAAAUGCCUAUGAACCAUUCACUUGUUAUUGAACCAUUUGAUGUUUGGGGCUUCGAUUAUAUGGGACCUUUUCCUUCCUCUAAUGGGUAUACACAUAUUCUAGUUGUUGUUGAUUACGUUACUAAGUGGGUAGAAGCUAUUCCAACUAGUAGUGCUGAUCAUAACACUUCUAUUAAGAUGCUUAAAGAAGUUAUUUUUACAAGGUUUGGAGUCCCUAGAUCUUUAAUGACUGAUGGUGGUUCAAAUUUUAUUCAUGGUGCUUUCCGUAAAAUACUUGCUAAGUAUGAUGUUAAUCAUAGAAUUGCAUCUCCAUAUCAUCCUCAGUCUAGUGGUCAAGUAGAAUUGAGAAAUAGAGAGAUUAAAUUAAUUUUGCAAAAUAUUGUUAAUAGAUCUAGAAAGAAUUGGUCUAAGAAGCUUGAUGAUGCUUUGUGGGCUUAUAGAACUGCUUAUAAGAAUCAUAUGGGUAUGUCUCCAUAUAAAAUGGUUUAUGGAAAAGCAUGUCACUUACCACUUGGGCUAGAACAUAAGGCAUGUUAGGCUAUUAAAGAGCUCAAUUAUGAUUUUAGACUUGCCGGUGAUAAGAGGUUAUUUAUAUUAGCUCACUUGAUGAAUGGAGAACCCAAGCCUACGAGAAUGCCAAGUUGUUUAAGGAAAAAGUUAAAAGAUGGCAUGAUAAAAAUGAUACAUAAGUGUGAGUUUAAUGUAGGUGAUCAUGUUUUGCUAUACAACUCUCGUUUAAGGGUUUUUUGCAGGAAAGCUUCUCUCUAAAUGGGAAGGGCCUUACAUUAUCGAGGAGGUCUAUCGUUCUGGUGCCAUAAAAAUCAACAAUGCCAAAGGUAAAAAUCCGAAGGUGGUAAACAGUCAAAGACUUAAACAUUAUAUCUUAGGUACUCCCAUAAAUGUUGAGACAAAUAUAAUUAAUACCGUAACCCCGUAGGAGUACAUAAGGGACACUUUCCAGAAUGUCUCAGACUCCGAAAAGGAAUAUGUAUGUGGUACAGUAAGUAAACUGACUCCAAAACAUUUCCAAUGAUAAAUUUUCUCCAUUUGGAAUAUUUAAAGAAUUAGGAAAAUUAAAAGCACUCCGAAAGAGACACGAGGCCACCACAAGGGUGGAGGGCGCACCCCCGACCUUGUGGCCACCUCAUGUGCCCUCUGGACUCCGUUUUCUUGCAGAAUACUUCUUUUGGUCAGUAAAAAUUCAUUAUAUAAUCUCUUGAAUGUUUUGACCACCGUACCACGCAAAAAUCUCAUGUUUUCGUUUUGAGUUGUUUCUGCAGCAGAUUAAGAGCGAGAUGUCAUCCCAAGAUUUAGAGGGAGAAAGCUACAUGGCUGGUUAUAUCACAAACCCAAAAGUAUAUGGGGAUGUGGAACAUUAUGGUUGGACCAUGGAGGAAGAAGACUAUGAGCCAAAGAGUAAGGAGGAGACAAGUUCCAAUGAGGAGGACGAACCACUAACCCAACCAGGCAAUAUGCAUGUGGAGUUCAAGAAGUCAAGCCUCCCUAAGGUCCGAUCUAUCCCACCAUGUUUUUUGUAGGACAGCAAGGUGGCACUAUGAAAAAAGAUAUUGAAGCUUGAGCUCAAUAAUGAGGAGCUAAGGGAGGAAAAUUUUAUCCUCUGACGUCAGUUGGAGAAGAAGAAUACAACUCCUUCAUCACCACCUCUGAAGAAAGAGAUUUAAUUACAUGGGUAUGGGCACUCCCCUUGGCAACUGCCAAGCUGGGGGGAGUGCCCUAGUAUCGUAUCACCAUCACAUCUUUAUCUUUAUUACUUUUCUUAGUUCGAUCAUUUUGGUUAUUUCUUGAUCUAGUAGAAUAAAGUUAUUAGUAUGAUCUUGCUUUGAGUUUUGCUUUGAUCUCUAUCUAUGUAAUCGAGCCCGUGAGAUAUAUAAUAAAAAGAGUAGUUUUGAGUAAAGGGCUUUGCUUUCUUGCAAUAAUCUUGAGGGAAUUAAAUAAAAAUAAAGAAUAAAAAAGAAAUAAAAAGGAUCAUAUAUUGAUCUUAUGGAGAGUAAUGACUUCACAUAUAAUGAGUAUGAUGAAUAAAAGUUAUUGAGAGUUGACAAACAUAGUUUUGGUCGUUGUUGCAAUCAAUAGGAAGUAAUAAAGAAAGAGAGGCUUCACAUAUAAAUAUACUAUGUUGGAAAUCUUUUAAUUGCGAGCACUCAUUAAAAUAUGACAUGCUAAAAGGUUGAUGUUGGACAAGGAAGACAACAUAAGGAGUUAUGUUUUGUUAUAUCCGAAUAGAAGUAUAUUGUUUUGGAUCGUCCAACAUGUUGAGCUUGCCUUUCCCUCUCAUGCUAGCCAAAAUCUUUGCACCAAGUAGAGAUACUGCUUGUGCUUCCAAAUAUCCCUAAACCCAGUUUUCCCAUGAGAGUCCACCAUACCUACCUAUGGAUUGAGUAAGAUCCUUCAAGUAUGUUGUCAUCGGUGCUAGCAAUAAAAAUUGCUUUCUCUAAAUAUGUAUGAUCUAUUAGUGUGAAGAAAAUAAGCUUUAUACGAACUUGUGAUAUGGAAGAAAUAAAAGAGAUGGACUGCAUAAUAAAGGUCCUUAUCACAAUGGCAAAAUAAAGUGAUGUUCUAUUGCACUAAGAUUUUGUACAUCUAACCAUAAAAGCGCAUGACAACCUCUUCUUCCCUCUGCGAAGGGCCUAUCUUUUACUUUUAUCUCCUACCCUUAUACAAAAGUCAUGGUGAUCAUCACCUUUCCUUUUUACACUUUUUCCUUUGGCAAGCUCUUUGUGUUGGAGAGAUCCGGAUAUCUAUAUAUAUAUAUAUAUAUCCACUCGAAUGUAAGUUAUCAUAAAGUAUUAUUGUUGACAUUACCCUUGAGGUAAAUAGUUGGGAGGCAAAACUAUAAGCCCCUAUCUUUCUCGGUGUACGAUUGAAACUUUGUAACCAUAAGUAUCGCGUGAGUGUUAGCAAUUGUGAAAGAUUAUAUGAUAGUUGAGUAUGUGGACUUGCUGAAAAGCUCUUAUUUGACUCUUACCGAUGUUGUGAUAAAUUGCAAUUGCUCCAAUGACUGAGAUCAUAUUUUGUUAGUUUUUAAUGAAGUUUCUGAUUCAUACUUUACAUUGUGAAUGAAUUGUUACUUUAACAUAAGAAAUUAUAUGGCAUUCUAUGUUGUUGUUCUAAAGAUAAUCAUGAUGCUCUCGUGUCCGUGUUUUAUUAUAUCGACACCUCUAUCUCUAGACAUGUGGACAUAUUUAUCCAUACUGGCUUUCGCUUGAGGAAAAGCGAGGUCUAAGCUUGGGGGAGUUGAUACAUCCAUUUUUCAUCAUGUUUUUAUAUCAAUAUUUAAUGCAUUAUAGGCUGUUAUUACACAUUAUAUCACAAUACUUAUGCAUAUUCUCUCUUAUUUUACAAGGAGUACAUGAAGAGGGAGAAUGCCGGCAGCUGGAAUUCUGGACUUGAAAAGGAGCAAAUAUUAGAGACCUAUUCUGCACAACUCCAAAAGUCUUGAAACUUCACGGAGAUUGUUUUUGGAACAUAUAAAAAAUAUUGGGUGAAGAAAGAACCAGAGGGGGGCCACCAGCCAGCCACAACGGUGGAGGGCGUGCCCCACCCCCUGGGCGCACCCCCUGACCUUGUGGGCCCCCUGGCAGGCCUCCGGUGCCCAUCGUCUGCUAUAUGGUGUCUUUUACCCUAGAAAGAAUCAUAAGUAAGCUUUCGGGACGAAGCGCCUCUGUCUCACGGUGGAACCUGGGCAGAACCAAUCUAGGGCUCUGGUGGAGCUGUUCUGCCGAGGAAACAUCCCUCCCCCGGAGGGGGAAAUCAUCGCCAUCAUCAUCACCAUCGAUCCUCUCAUCGAGGGAGGGUCAAUAUCCAUCAACAUCUUCACCAGAACCAUCUCCUCUCAAACCCUAGUUCAUCUCUUGUAUUCGAUCUUGGUCCCAACACCUCAGAUUGGUUCCUGUGGGUUGCUAGUAGUGUUGAUUACUCCUUGUACUUGAUGCUAGUUGGUUUAUUCGGUGGAAGAUCAUAUGUUCAGAUCCUUUAUGAUAAUUAACACUCCAUUGAUUAUGAUUGUGAAUAUGCUUUGUGGGUAGUUACGUUUGUUCCUAGGGUCAUGGGAGAAGUCUUGUUAUAAGUAAUCAUGUGGAUUUGCUAUUUGUUCGAUAUUUUGAUGAGACGUAUGUUGUCUCUCCUCUAGUGGUGUUAUGUGAACGUCGACUACAUGACACUACACCAUUAUUUGGACCUAGGGGAAUGCAUUGGGAAGUAAUGAGUAGAUGAUGGGUUGCGAGAGUGACAGAAGCUUAAACCCUAGUUUAUGUGUUGCUUCGUAAGGGGCUGAUUUGGAUCCAUAUGUUUCAUGAUGGUUAGGUUUACCUUAAUACUUCUUUCGUAGUUGUGGAAGCUUGCGAGAGGGUUUAAUCAUAAGUGGGAUGCUUGUCCAAGGAAGGGCAGCACCCAAGCACCGGUUCACCCACAUAUCAAACUAUCAAAAUAACGAACACGAAUGAUAUGAGCAUGAUGAAAACUAGCUUGACAAUAAUUCCUAUGUGUCCUCGGGAGCGCUUUGCUUUAUAUAAGAGUUCAUGAAGGCUUGUACUUUGAUACAAAAAGGAUUGGGCCACCUUGCUGCAUCUUGUUUACUUCUAUUACUUGUUACCUUUUAGGAUUUAUCCGAUCACAAAACUAUCUGUCACCGAUAAUUUCAGUGCUUGAAGAAAAUACCUUGCUAAAAACCACUUUUCAUUUCCUUCCGCUCCUCGUUGGGUUCGACACCCUUACUUGUCGAAAGGACUACGAUAGAUCCCCUAUACUUGUGGGUCAUCACAUGCCUACAGUCUAGGGGAGUCAGUUCUCUCUCCCUCGACAUAUAUGUUUGAUCUUUGUAAGAGAAAUCAUCAAGGAAAGAAUUAUUCUCUCCAACAAGCAAGGCUAUGAACUACUCUCAGACAACAUGCUUGAGCAAACAAUUGUAUUCAUUGAUGACAAUCAGGGUGUGGCUAUAGCGCUAAACUCUGCAGACUAAACCUCCCCAAGAUUGGUCCUCUCUGUGAAGACAUAAUGGACUUGUUAUCUGGUAUAGAAGAGCAUCGAGUGAAGUGGAAUAGAAGAACAACCAAUAGGGCUGAUCGCAUCUUGGCAAAGGAAGGUUGCCUGAAUAAUUUGUGUAAAACUUAGUUUCAUGUUUUUCCUCUUUGUAUUUUUGACGUUGUAGCUGCUGAGGCCAUGGACUAGUUAAUAAAUGCAUGAUUUGAAUUCACAUAACGUAGAUUAGCAUGAGUGUUGUUCAACUAAUGAGACUGUGAUCCUGAAGCCUUUGGAGUAUCUUUUUGAUAGGUGCCUCUAUCUGUAUGGAAAAUUUGCUAUUGAAAGUCCCGCUAAGUGUCCCCUUCCUCCAUUCUGGAAGAAAAAAAUAGAGUUGGAUGUGGAGGGUUGUUGUACCGAAAUUUUGGCACAUAUAUAAGAAAGCGGGAUCCAAAUUUGGUGUGAAGCUCGCGCGGCUGAAUGCCGCAGGGGGGAUCUCUCUCGCGGCAACCCCUUGUCUACGGGCCGCAGCACUUUGUGGAGGCCAGCGGUGACCCGAUCCGUGCGUGGGCGUACGGGUGGAUCUCGACGAACGGUGGGCGGGCUGUGAGGAUCGGACCUCAUCGGGCUGCGGUGUCCUGCGGCCUAACUUGCGCGAUGGCGGGCCUGGCACGGGUCGGUGAAUUUCUUCUAGAUCGGCCCUGCAUUUGGCGUCGUCCAGAUUGACGCCUAGUCAAAGGGCGAUGUCGUCUACGCGACUAAUGGCGUUGCCGGCGCUUUCAGCCACGGGGAUGAUGAGGUGCCACCGGCAGCAACCGUUGAGCAACACGACCUUCCUCAUCGCCAGAUCUGGAGGGUUGAGCCCCAUGGCACUCUCUUCCGUGUAGGCUCUGGUUGAUGGCUCAUCCGGAGAAAAUGGUGGUUGGUGGUGUAGGAUUGGAAUCGGAGGAAACUUUCACUACAAGAAAUAUGUCAACUUGUGACCACCACUAUUGGUCACUGAAUGGUCACAAAUUUCCAUUUGUGACCUUUUUGUGACCAAAAACAUAAGGUCAAAAGCUGGCCGUCAUAAACUAACUAUAGCGACCUUUCUUCUGGAAUGGUCGAAGAUGUUUAUGACCAAAAUACGUCUACUGUGGCGUUUUGGUCACUAGCAACCUCCCCAGGCCACGUAGGCAUCCAGCGUGGCAAUCUGACGUGGCACAAGAUUCAGCCCGGUCCAAUUCGAUUUUCUACAUGGGCCUAGCCCAACAAUUCGGCCUUUUCAAUAUAUAUUUAUUUCUGUUAAUUUUCACUAGCUACAUGGGCCUGACCCAUUUUAUUUUCUAGGAUGUUGCCUUCUAUAAUUCAUUUCUUUUUUGGGCCUGGGCCCUUUUACAAUCCAAUCUAUUUUGGGCCUCCACAACAUACAUUUAGAAGCUUGACAUCUCAGCAUGUACAGAUGUAUCCAAACCAUUUUAUUUCUUUCAACACAAAAGGAUUCAUUACACAGCCACGAUAAUAGAUAGUAGAUACAUUCGACAGAGACUGAAUUAACAUAGAAAUGAAGCAACAAAGGGCAGUCUGAGAAAAGGAACUACAUGGGACUACAACAACAUGGGACUAGAGCUGCCAUUUCUAUUUCUACCAGCAUUUGUAGACACUUGCAAGAGAGGGAGAGAGAUCAUCCAUCAUCAAUCAGUGACAGUAGCGACGUUCGAGAGACCACCUCCCCCUGCUGCUUCGCGUGCCUGCUACUGCUUGUUGUGCCGCAUCACUAGUCGCCCUGCACACCAGAAUUUUAGCUUCACAUAAGGUUUACAAGAACAAGACCCUGAUACAUGAGAUUGACAUUCACAAGUUAUUUUCAUUUUUAUUAAGAACUGUGUCACACCAUUUACAUUACUAGUUAUGUAUUGACAUACUUAUCUAAAAGAACAUAUACAGACACAUAUGAAUUUUAUUUCUAAAUACCAAUACAGAAGUACUAAAAAAAUAAGACUAAAAAUCAGUAGAAGGUAACAAGAGCUCAUUACACAAGUUUUGCUAGCAAUUAGGGGACCCUGGUUCCUAUACUGACCACAUUUGGGCAUAUCCUACCCUACCAGUGGAUAAAUAAUGCAACUUUAUGACUGUCAAGUAGGCCUACAGAUCGAUGAUGGAGCAGACUCAAACAUUACAAACACAAUAGCUGAUGCGCGCCAUGGAGCACGAUCUGAAUGUUGUUCCUCAUUUAUUAAACUUAAGGACAAGAAAAGCACUCAGGUUGCAUCUUUCGCAGACACGACAACAUACAUGAGCCAAAUUAACAAACAAGAGGUGCAGAUCUGGAACCGUUCGUCAUCAUCAAAUGAAGCGUUUCAUCACUGUGCGCUGAUUGAAGGGCACAUGCUAACCUAUACCAAUGUUGAUGACCCCCACAAACAGACCACCAUGGCUCAACACACCGACCGGCCAGAGUCUUACCUUUGUUUUAGCCAUGCACGCUAGCUGUUGAGCAGAGCAGAGCAGCGGGAGGAGGACUGUCGCAGCAAGAAGAGAAGGUUCCUUGACUUGACGACCACCAGAUGUACAUCAUGCCUGCCCAGAGUUAAUAGAAGGAGAACGAGUGAGACAAUGCAGCAAGGAGAGACAGUGAAGAUAGUUCUUGAAGGUCAAAAGAUAAUACACCAAAUGUGCAUGAAAGACAAUACAGUAAACACCAUCUUGUUUAUAGCAAGGCAAUAUAGUAGCAUGUCUCUAGCACAUCAUCUCGUUUAAAGAAUGCAUUCAGGCAAGAAAUGGACAGUUGGUCUAAUUUUCUCACACUUGGCAUUUUCACAGUUAACACCAUAAUGUAAAACACCAAGCUUCUCUAGGCUGGCCAAUUGACUCAUACUACUGGAUAAGCAAAGUAAACUACUACCAACAUAAGAACCAGACAUGGCAAGCAAACCACUGGGUUGCUCUUAUUGACGAUAAUCACAGCAGGAAAUAAGCCCAAAUGAUUGGACAACAUUGAAUUCUGCACCAGAAUCAAGUGGAUUCUGCAAAAUUACAUUGCUACAAAAGCACAAUCACAUGGCACGGUUCACUGCUGAAAUGAAUCACUACUUUUGAUAUGUCAGUUUACCAAAAGAAAAAACACAAGUUCAGUUGUUACAACCAAAGAACUAACAGGGCUUUGGCAAUCAUUCAGCAAUUCCCAUCUAGCCAGCAGCAAUACCACUAGUACUUAACCAAAGUUAACAAGUAGUAAGCAACAGAACCAGCUAGUAGACACAAGCAACACACUCUAAACAGGAAUUGAUUUUGAUGUCAGUUUCUAGUUUACCAAAAGAAAUUGACAUAUGUAGCAUCAAGGAACACCUGCAGCUGCAGCAUCGAUUUGAUUGUGAGGAAAUUUGUGGAGGGGAAUGGGUGAGACAGUGUAGUUGGGAGAGAAAUCUCAAGUACCUCAACACAGCGGCGUUAGGAACGGACGACGACAGCAUCCUGCGCCGGCGUCCCUUGUACGGCACCAGACACGGCUGCGUCGCUGCCAGCAGAGGGCGCUCCCGACGCGCGACCAUCAAGAAGGAGGUGAGCAGGCCCGGCUCGAUGGCGCAGACGGGGGAGUGCGGUCGGAGACGGCGGAACCGGCGACGCAGCUGAUCUGGAUAUGGAUCAACGGUGGGAUACCUACAUCAAGAUUCAAGAAUCAAGGUUUCAUCAGUAAAUCAUAAGUAAGAAAAUCUCAAGUCAACUUUCCUGAAUCAACUAGACUUCACUGUGUAGGUACUACCAAGUACCACCAACUUAAAUGGCUAAGUACCACGCUUUAGUUCUACAUCUCUACAGUUCUAUAUUUACCAGCCCAAUUUCCCACAGACCGAUUCACAUUUAUUAUAGCUUGCAGGUUAAGCCUAGGGAAUCAAAGGAAAUACACAUCAGAAAUGCUAGGUACAUGUUUGUAUAGCACUACAAUGUUCCACACUUAAUUUGCACAAAAAACCAUAGGAGGUUUGUUGUACUCGAUUAGGAAACAGUGACAAUGGCGGGGUGAAUAAUUUCAUCUGUGCAUAUACAAGGAUGACAUUGUGAGGUACUAGCACACACAAAGCACUAGUUUACCAAUUAGGCUAUCGCUGCUCGAAAUGCAUUGCUUGUUGCUAGAAUUCACUGCCAAGGUACUAACAAAAUAAUAAAUACCUAAGUGUCAAGCUACAGAUCUACAUUUCUACAUGUUCUCAAGCAGAAAAAAAAUGCUUUGUGUGUGCACUGCGUGCCUACUCCGGCCUCCUUACAUUGCAGAUCAGCUUCCCAUGGAAACCACCAGCCGCCAAGAGGUUGUCUUUCACCGUCAUGGUGCUGAUCUUCUCCUGGACAAGGGCCGACCUCCCUGCAUAUCCUGCACAGUGUGGUCGCACAGUGGAUCAGAGAUUGACCGAAAUUCCGACGAUAGAGGACUAUCACAUCGCUCUGUGGUAGAUCACCUGAUUUGGGCCUGCCACGUUGAGCACUUCUUUUCCUUUGCGGAGUAAGGACGACCAAUGCAUCACAGAAUAGUUCUACAUCACGUACACAUCAUGCUUGGAAGUAGCCCACAGGAUGUUCCUCAGCUGCACAUGUACAAGUAUACGGUCAGUGCGUUCGUACCAGAAUUCUUCUUAAAACUCUGCAGAAAUACAAUGAUGCAAAUGAGCACCAUUUUAUUCAAGCACACCAAAUUCUACUGCGAUAACAAACAAGAUCGCCCGAUGGAGGACAUAACCGUGAGCUUCUGUUAAAAUUUCUCAGGUAAUUACAACUAUGUGAUUCUACUGUUAAUCUAGAUCUCCUUCAGGUGUUGAUUCAUUUAAUCAAACAAUAGAACACAACUGCUGGUAACUGUUAAGACAUACAUAUUAUGUGCACGCCAAAAAAUAGCAGAUCUGUGAAGGGGGUGUCUAUUAGCAAAUUUUGGUCUAAAUACAACUUAGGCAGGCAAAUGCUUAGUGUAACUAAUGAACUGAUGUUGUUUGCAUUUCUGAACAUUGCUAAAUGAACUCUAGACGAAUACACCAAAAACUAAUGAACUCUAUCUCCACAAACUCCAUCUCUAGACAAAUGAUACAUUCUCAUUCACAUUCACUGGAGAAUAAUCAACAUCAUUAUUGGCAGUUUGUGGCACCUUCAAGAUUUUUAUAUAUAUAAACAAAAUUUUCAACGGUGGGCAAUCAGUCAAUUAGGCACCCAAACACAAUAGUAGUAUAAUCGUCGCUAGCCCAACUACUCAGAUCCGAUCGAUGAGGCCAACUACUAAUCAUAAUGUUUCCCCUGCCUGCUAUGGAUCCUUGCUGCUAACAACCCAUCCAGACUCCCUUGCAAGAUGCCAAAAAGAAUCGGAUCGAUCGGAAAUAGCUACUGGCCAACUGCCUACUACUAGUGCUAGCCAUCAGUGGGGAUAGAUCGGACUGAGUAAUUACCUGUGAUGGCGGCCACACACGGCUCGGCGAAGUGCCCACUUCAGACGACCACGACAUCAAACCUCCUCCUCUAGCUUGCUGCCAGCGCAGGCGAGCCUCACCCCCAGCCCGCGUCGUCGUCCCUACUGCGGCGGACGCUCACCACCUCCGUCCCGAACCGGACCAGCCCGAGGGGUCGAACCACCGUGCAAACUCCUCGAGGUACCUCGGGUCGGCGGAGGAGCGGUCCGCGAUGAUGACCACCGCGUCCCGAAGAUCUUGGCCGCGAUCUCCUCGUUCUACGGUGGCAAGUUGGAUCUAGGAGUGGGGAGAGGAUCUAGGAGUGGGGAGAGGAUCUGGGGUGGGGAAGGAAGGUGUGGCGGAGGUGGGUGGCGGCGAGGAGAGGGGUAGGUGGUGGAGGUGGGUGGCGGCGGGGGAGGGGUGGUUGGUGGCGGGGGGAGGGGACAAGGAGUGGUGUGCCCGCGGGGGAGAGAGAGGAUGGGACAAGGAGUGGUGUGCAGGGGAGAGAGGAGGUCCCAGUGGGUGAGAGGGUGAGAGGGUGUGGGCCGUUGGAUCCAGGAGUAUCCAACGGUCUCUAAUGCUUGAUCCGCGUGACAUGCUCAUAGACCAAUCAGAACGAAGUACAGGAUUUGAUGAUGUUAUGACCAUCUAAAUUGGUCGCAAUUAAUUAACAAUAGGUGGCUGAUACGAGUCAGUCAGAUGAUUUUGUCUAGAAAUCAUCCGCCUAGCUAGGCGCUUGAUCUGCGCAUUGGUGAUCGUUCGAUCACAUCAAUAUGUCACGAUAGCACCGAGCAUGAAAAAACUUCAACGCGGCACCGAUGACAUCCCCACGAAGCUCCAUUGCGGCUCUCAACGGCGCGCCAAGAGGUCCAACGCAGCACCACGGUGUCCGGCGAAGCUCCAUUACAGCGUCGGGGAAGCUCCAACGCAGCACCACGACGCCCAGCGGUAAGUUCCCUUCUCUUUUUAUGACAACGUCUAAGUACGAUUCCCUCGAAUAACUAGAGGUACUUUCAUACUAGGAGAGAUUUUCGUCGAUUCACUAGGAAGCGGGUCAAAUUUUAACUACAACUGCCUCAUAGUUUGUUCAAAUGAUCUAAUAUUAUGCACAAGGGUGCAUCUUGGAAUGGCAAACAAUGUUGUCUAAGGAAGUUUUCAUUUUUUUGGAUGGAAAAUUCAUUUUCCAUUUUCCGAGUGCCCGAAACGAGGCUUUUUUGGGAAGGACCUACCAUAUAUUUGUUGCAAAAUUGGACCAAAUCAAUUUUAUAAAAUACUAGGCCAUAUUUAAUGCACAAUUGACCAAAUGUUUGGGUGUAAAAAGCUUUUGAUCCACCUCUCGUCAAAAAGACAAAUUCCCGCCGAUUCAGCUGGAAGCGGGUCAAAUUUGAACUGUAGUUGCCUCAUAGUUUGCUAUUUAUUUUUUCCAAAAAUGUACAUAAGUAUCUAUUUAAUCACAAAAACACCAAAAAAAUUCCAAGAUUCAACAACUAGGUAGGAACGCUCAAGCCCGCCGUUUUGACCGCAUUUUGAAACGGGCAUAAAACAUUCAAAAAAAAAUCAAAAAAUUGGGAAACCUUCGCAUCGUGUCAUUAUAUGUGGCCAAGUUCCCAAGAAAAAUAACAAACAUGUAAUACGACAAUUAUUUUAAAAAAGUGUUCUCAAAAACGAGCUAUCACGUGUGAAGAUCAAUGGCUUUCAAGCCAAAUGAUCAAUCUUAUGGCCACAUCCAUGGCAUAGUUUGUUCAAAUGAUCUCAUAUUGUGCACAAGAGUGCAUAUUGGAAUGGCAAACAAUGUUGCCUAAGGAAGAUUUCAGUUUCUUUGGACGAAAAAACCAUUUUCCAUUUUUGAGUGCCCAAAAGGAGGUUUUUUUGUGAAGGACCUACCAAAUAAUUGUUGCAAAAUUGGACCAAAUCAAUUUUCUAAAAUACUAGGCCAUGUUUAAUGUACAAUUUACAAAAUGGUUGGGUGUCAAAAGUUUUGAUCCACCUCUGGUGAAAAACACAAAUUCCGUCGAUUCAGCUGGAAGCGGGUUAAAUUUGAACUACAGCUGCCUCAUAGUUUGCUCUCUAUUUUUUUCAAAACUCAUUUCUAGGUACAUAGGUAUCUAUUUAAUCAUAGAAACACCAAAAAAAUUCCAAGAUUCAACCACUAGCUAGGAACGGUCAUUCCCCCCGUUUUGACCGCAUUUUGAAACGGGCAUAAAAAAUUCAAAAAAAUUCAAAAAAUUGGGAAACCUUCGCAUUGUGUCAUUAUAUGUGGCCAAGUUCCUAGGAAAAAUAAUAAACUUGUAAUACUACAAUUAUUUUAAAAAAGUGUUCUCAGAAAACAAGCUAUCACGUGUGGAGAUCAAUGGCUUUCAAGCCAAAUAAUCAAUCUUAUGGCCACAUCCAUGGCAUAGUUUGUUCAAAUGAUCUCAUAUUAUGCACAAGGGUGCGUAUUGGAAUGGCAAACAAUGUUGCCUAAGGAAGUUGUCACUUUCUUUGGACGAAAAAACCAUUUUCCAUUUUUUGAGUGCCCAAAAGGAGGUUUUAUUGUGAAGGACCUACCAAAUAAUUGUUGCAAAAUUGGACCAAAUCAUUUUUCUAAAAUACUAGGCCAUAUUUAAUGCACAAUUGACAAAAUGGUUGGGUGUAAAAAGUUUUGAUCCACCUCUCAUGAAAAAGACAAAUUUCCGCCGAUUCAGCUAGAAGCGGGUCAAAUUUGAACUGUAGCUACCUUGUAGUUUGCUCUUUAUUUUUUUCAAAAAUCAUUUCUAGGUACAUAAGUAUCUAUUUAAUCAUAGAAACACCAAAAAAAUUCCAAGAUUCAACCACUAGCUGGGAACGGUCAUUCCCGCCAUUUUGACCGCAUUUUGAAACGGGCAUAAAAAAUUCAAAAAAAUCAAAAAUUUGGGCAACCUUCGCAUUGUGUCAUUAUAUGUGGCCAAGUUCCUAGGAAAAAUAAUAAACUUGUAAUACGGCAAUUAUUUUAAAAAAGUGUUCUCAGAAACGAGCUAUCACGUGUGGAGAUCAAUGGCUUUCAAGCCAAAUGAUCAAUCUUAUGGCCACAUCCAUGGCAUAGUUUGUUCAAAUGAUCUCAUAUUGUGCACAAGGGUGCAUAUUGGAAUGGCAAACAAUGUUGCCUAAGGAAGUUCUCAUUUUCAUUGGACAAAAAAACCAUUUUCCAUUUUUCGAGUGCCCGAAAGGAGGUUUUUUUGUGAAGGAACUACCAAAUAAUUGUUGCAAAAUUGGACCAAAUCAUGUUUAUAAAAUACUAGGCCAUAUUUAAUGCACAAUUGAAAAAAUGGUUGGGUGUAAAUUUUUUUGAUCCACCUCUCGUGAAAAAGACAAAUUUCCGCUGAUUCACUUGGAAGCAGGUCAAAUUUGAACUGCAGCUGCCUCAUAGUUUGCUAUUUAUUUUUUCCAAAAAUCAUUUCUAGUUACAUAAGGACCUAUUUGAUCAUAAAUACAUGGUUUGGUGGCGAUACGUCGAGGUUUGGGCGAUGGCCGAGGGCCCCAACUCUAGAGCGCGUAAACUCGCAUGCCCGUCGCGUGGUCACCGCGUGACCGUAAUGUUGCCAUGUGUUGUGGGCGGCCUAGGCAUGUCUAGUGGUUGGGCACUCCCCAGGUUGGUGCUAGGAAGAAAAUUACAACAUAAGAUUCUCACGAGGAGACCGAUCGAUGCUCAAACAUGAAUUAGCAGCCACGUGUUUGAUUAGCGGUACGGGAAAUGCACAUGGACAAUGGGCGUGAGUUUUGGCUGAGGAUGAUCAUCUACUCAGGAGAAUGUCUUCACAAAUUUUUAGCUCAAAAUGAGGAUCCUAGGUGGUACUUGCUUUGCAAAGUACCAUACUGGACAAAAAUAUGAAUGUUGAAGCUGGGCUCAAAAUAAUGAAUGGAGUGAGCUGAAAUUUUGUGGAGGAUGGUUAUUUGGGCAUAGGAAAGCAUUGUAGAAAAUUGAUACCAUUUGGACAUGCCAAAGUAGUACUUCCUUCACAAUGCUCUUCUAUGGACAGAAACUUGGGAAAACUAGUGAGAGAGAUUGGAUGAAUGCAAUGAGCUCAAAAUUGGUGUAGGUAAGUUACUUAGGUAUGGUCAUGCUCUGGUAAAUUUUCAGAUCAUUUGGGUAAGCCUAGCUAGUACUUACUUGACAAAGCUUCUCUCGAGGUAGAAACUUUAAAAAUUUCCCGAGAAAGAUUUACUAGGAAAAUUGAGCUGAAUAUUAUCAUGUGGCAAUGAUUUGGGUAUGGAAGAGUGCCCGAAAAGUUUGAGGGUAAUAGGAGGGGUCUAUAUAACACUUGCUUUGCAACGUGCCAAUUUGGCCAUAAAACAUAAAUUGAACCUGGGCUCACAUAGAUGAUUUGACUGAGCUGCAAUUUGGAGGAGGUUGAUAAUUUGGGCAUAUGAAGGAACUGUAUAAAUUUCAUGUCAUUUAGAGAUAUAAAAUAGGUACUUCCUUCACAAUGCUUCUAGGUGGACAAAAACUUUGGAAAUUUGCCGAGGAAGAUUUGCUAGGCAAAUGGAGCUGAAUUUUGUCAUGCGGUAAUAAUUUGGAUAGGAAAGAGUGCCCAAAAAUUCCGAGGGCAAUCAAGAAUAUAUAAAUAGCACUUCCUUCAUAAAGUGUUGUUGUGAACAGAAUAGGAAAAUGAAUAUUGUUGAAUUAGUUUUGAACUAGGCAAAGAAGGAUUUUUUACAUAUUUGAUGAAGAUAUGCCCCAAAGAAUUUAUGAGAUUUUUUUGGGAAUUUUGGGAACGAUAGAAAUAUAGGUUGCUUCACAACCUAGGGCAAAAACUGCCACAUGGACAUGACACAUAGGCAAAACUGAUGAGAUGGCGCCUAGUCAUCACAACCCACCACAAUCUACAAGGCUAUGACCAUCUAUAUUGGUCAUUAACAACUAGAAAUAAGGCAGCGGACUAGCACUGUUUGCUUUGUGACCAUUUCGUGUAAGGAAAUUACGACCUUUCUGACCAAAAUGGUCGCAAUGGUUUAGGGUUUGGAGCCCCCUGAACAGCUUUUGACCAAUUGGUCUAAAAUGGUCAUAAAUUUAUGAUCAAUUCUUCGAGGGUCACUGAUAGAAGGUCAUAAGUUGUCAUAUUUCUUGUAGUGUUUGGUCGGCUGUUCCGGCCCGGCAGCAGCGACAUCUUUCAAUGUCGUUGUCCUCCUUGGGGAGCAAAGCCGAGGUCCAUCCUAUCCACCCCUGACCCCACCCCCUCCCGGACGAAAAUCCAAAAUCCACGUGAUUGGACAGCUACAGGUGGGCUCUGGGUGGCAAAGGGCAGUGGCGCUGGUGCAGAGGUUCACAGGUGGAGCGGUGUGUUAUCUACCAGGUGAAGAAGAUGAGUAUUGGCGGCAUGGUGCAGCUGGGAUCUCGACGACGGACAUGUCUGGAUGGACGAGUGGAGGGUAGUCGCACUGUUUAGCACCAUGGUGGCGUCGACGACAUGGCUGGCAAGAACGAUUCAUCAGCACCCACUCUGAAGAUGGAUCUGUGGAAGAUGGUGGCAAAGACCCAUGAGAGGGCGUCGGACCGGUUUGUAGCGCACACCUGGUAUGUGGCUUGGUUGCGGCCUUCAGCUUUUGAUUUUAGGCUUAGGUGAGAGAUCCGAUUAUUCGUCUCGGACUUACUGCACCGCCUUCAUACAUUGGAUAGGAGUAGCGACAGAUGUUUCCAAGAUGGUGGAUUCAGACAUAUUGAUGUAUUACUUUGUAAAGUCUUUGUGAAUAACGAAUAAACUGGCUGCAUGCAUCUCCCAGAUGCAGAGGCCGGGGCCAUCCUCCUUUUUUUAAAGGAGUAGUAUGAUGUUCCAGCGAUCAUCAUUGGAGCUGUAAUUGGCGACUUAAUUAGCCUAGACUUCUUCCACCAAUGCAAACAUACCUAAGCCCAGAGAUGCUCUUCAAGCCAUCUCGCGAACUGACAACUUUGUGAUCCCUGGAUGUGACCUCGCAGACCAUCCCCUGUGUUUUGCCCCUCCUCUAGCUACUGCUCGUGGUGCCGUCGUACUCCUAUAAGAAGGCCACUCUGAAAUUUCAGACCGAAAAGACAUGUUUAACUUGCCCAAAUACGGUGAUUGGCUACACUGUGGGUACAACAACCAACAACAAGACUUGCUUAUAGAGAAAAACAAACAGAACAUACAGCAAAACAAAGUACCUAGAGGACCAACCAACCAGGUAUAGGUUUUAUACACAGCCCGUAGGCGGGGCGGCAACACAUCCACGACACACUAGAAUAUGGACUUCACAAUGACAUCAACACACGGCAACGGUUUUCGUUCACAGGAUUACGAGCCCAAAGUUCCGACGCGAGAAUAUUCAUCUACGUUUUACGUGCCCCUUUAGUGCUAGACACCCUUUGAAAACCACUACAUCUUCAGAGACACAUGGACCGCAUAAUGCAAGGGAUUGUAUGGGGCCACACUCUUUCCCCUUCAAUUGCCGCUAAUUAGGAGUUAGGAUCACAUGCCACGAUCUGCUCUUCGAGCUGCAUCAAAAGAUGAAUAAUAGGUCAAUGAUAAAGAAAAGUACCUUCCGAAAAAUUAUUUAAGAUAAGUCUAUGGCACAUAAUGGUGCUCAAGUCACAUGGUUUCACUAAUCAGCCAUGUUACAAGUUAGCUAGUUUCUUAUUUGGGCACUUGGCGAAGCAUAAUUUAAGCUGGGAAACAAAGAAUUUCUACCACUUUUUUUGAGCUAACCUAUGCAAGUACCAAACAUGAUGAAAAAAUUACACAUAAUCAUUCAACGGCUAAAUGAGACUUUUUGGUACCUCAUACUAAGUGCUCCAAAUCUAAAUGUCAAAAGAAUUAGAUUAAGGAUUAAAGAUUGUUCCCUCUUCUCUAUCUCAAUAUGACCAAUAUAUGGGUUAUGAAACUAGUGGGAAGUUGGUAUCAAAAUCCAACAUGAGGCACAUAAGGUGCGACCUGCAUCAUUAUCUCCAACUCAUGUCGCACAUUAUAGAACUCAUUCCUAACAAGAGCCAAUGACACGAGACACCUGAAAUAAUGCAAAAAUACCAUGUUGUCAAAUUCUGAAGAGGUUAACAGAACUGAGAUGAACUGGUUCAAAAAUUGUAACCCUAUAUUUCAAAAAAUAAAAAUCUCUUGCCAUAUAAGAAUUUAGUUGUGCUAUAAACAGAAUUCUAGAGCCAACCAAGUACAAGAGAACCAUCAAAGCGUAGCAUAUUCAGAUAAUGAACCGAGUAAUAUCAACAACGUGAUUGCAAAUGAAGUGAAAAAGAAAAUCAGGUUACUUCUUAACAACGUUAGAUUGGUAUGAGCUGAAAAUAACGACAGAAAAGACAACAUGAGCUGGCAGGUUUACAUAGAGACAUUGAAAAACAAUGUUGCGAAUAAUUAUUGUGUAACAAUAUGUAAUAAGCAAUUGAGUUCUGACCCUGGUUUGUAUUCUAUGGCAUAGAAAUUGCCGAAGUGCAUGCUGGCGAGGUUCACUUGCUAUGCACCAACACUGAAACAUGCAAAAGAGAUGCAGAUCAGAAAAUUACAAACUUAUCAAACUUAUUAUGAACUAAGACAUCAACACAAUAAUAUUCUCAAGGAGCCAUUUCCUAUCAUGAUUGUCAACUCCAUAAAUUGUUUGAUGGACUAGAAAAAAACCAUUGUCGUUAUGUGCAAUAGAAGAUCAGUAGUACCAUAAAUAUUUACAAAACGACAAAGUUUUUCUUGCCAAACCAUGAAAUUGUCAUGACUACUGACAAUUCUGCUACACGAGACACAACUACAAUCAGGUCUUCUUAUUUUGGAUAUACGACACCCAAAUGAUGUACACACCCUGCGCCUGACAAGUCUGAAUAGAAACAACACCGUUCCAAUGGAGAAACAGAAAGAAUGGACAUUGACGUUAUGUAGAAUUGUAGGUCAUUAAUAGCAGCCAUGCUUAUAAAACGACAUUUUUUUCAUUCUCGACCUAGAAUAAUGGCAUUGCCCGAAGAACAGACACGAUAGUAGAAGAAACGUUUGCAAAACGACAAAAAAUCCCCUCGCCAAGCUAUACAAUUUGAUUAACAUUGGGAAGAAUACCAACAAUUUCGUUACACGAUAUAUGACUAAACUCAGCUCUUCUACCUAUGGCUAUACGACGCCAAUAAAAUGACACGAACCUCAAUUAUGCAGCCCUGUCGUGAGGUACACACCCUGUGCCAACACAUCCAAAUAAAAAACAACAUUGAUGACAUGGACAAAUUAGAAAAAACACCAUUUGAGAUACAAAUAAUAGCAGAUCAUUAAUACCAGAAAACCCACCAUUAGCAAUACACAGAAUAGCAGAUCAUUAAUACCAGGAAUAUUCCGAAAAUGACAACAAUUUAUCCUCAUCAUAACAUUGAUAUUAAUCAGGAUACCGGUAACUCCGUUACACUAAAAGCAACUAAACUCGAUUCUUCUAAUUACGCCUAUGCGGCAGUGCAACCGACAAAUAAGAAUCAUUUGCCCAGUAUAAUAAACAGAUCUGAAUCGCACGACAUGGACGUAGCAGCGGGCAAACAAACACAUGGAGUUAAAAAUAAGCAGGUGGAAGAGACAGAAAGGGUUUAUGAUGGUCAUCACCUGGAGGUGCACGGCAUGAGUUGCUGCAUUAGGGCUUCCACCUUGUCAAAGUCCACUUCGGGCUCUUCCGGUCCUCCCUGCGAUUUCCAAAGCAGAUAAUUAAGAUGAGUCAGUACCCGAGAUAGAGAGCAGAGGGAGAGAUGAUAGAGGGAAUGGGGGCGGACAUCAGGGUGUCGAUGUCGUCGAUGAUAUCGGGUGUCGUAGAUGAAGAGGCGGGAGACCUCGGCGGCGGCCUCUUUUCGCAGCUCCUCGAACAUAUAUCCUCGUCCACCACACCCUGGAUCAACGUCGACUACACCAACGCAAAGGCAGAGGCCAAGUUAGUCGGCCAGCCUGGCCAAAAUCCACAACCACAUGACUAGUGAGGAGGGGAAGGGCGUUGAGCUGCGCCCUCAGUGCUGCGGCUGCCAUGGCAAGGUGAGGAUGGGUCCGGCGGUCCGGGGGACUGAGCAGUGGAGACAUGGGGAAUUCGGCUGCGGAUGCGGAGUGAACGAGGACGGGAUCGAGGAGGAGUGGAGGUUGUAUGGCUGGGCUCACGAGGGUCUCGCACGUAGGCGUUUGGCAGCGAGUGCUCUACUAGCUGUACUGCGUCGUCGGCUGCUACCUCUUGAGCACUACGUUAGUUUUUCCUUGAAGAGGAAAGGGUGAUGCAACAAAGUAGCGUAAGUAUUUACCUCAGUUUUUGAGAACCAAGGUAUCAAUCCAGUAGGAGGCUACGCGCCAGUCCCUCACAGCUACACAAAACAAAUAAAUCCUUGCAACCAAUGCGAUAAGGGGUUGUCAAUCCCUACAUGGUCACUUACGAGAGUGAGAUCUGAUAGAUAUGAUAAGAUAAUAUUUUGGUAUUUUUAUGAUAAAGAUGCAAAGUAAAAUAAAAGGCAAUGAAUAUAACUAAGUGUUGAAAGAUUAAUAUGAUGGAAAUAGACUCGGGGGCCAUAGGUUUCACUAGUGGCUUCUCUCAAGAGCAUACGUAUUUUACGUGGGUGAACAAAUUACUGUUGAGCAAUUGACAUAAUUGAUCAUAGUUAUGAGAAUAUCUAGCUAUGAUCAUGUAUAUAGGCAUCACGUCCGGGACAAGUAGACCGACUCCUGCCUGCAUCUACUACUAUUAUUCCACACAUCGACCGCUAUCCAGCAUGCAUCUAGACUAUUAAGUUCAUAACAGAGUAACGCUUUAAGCAAGAUGACAUGAUGUAGAGGGAUAAAUUCAUGCAAUAUGAUAAAAAAACCAUCUUGUUAUCCUCGAUGGCAACAAUACAAUAUGUGCCUUGCUGCCCCUACUGUCACUGGGAAAGGACACCGCAAGAUUGAACCCAAAGCUAAGCACUUCUCCCAUUGCAAGAAAGAUCAAUCUAGUAGGCCGAACCAAACUGAUAAUUCGAAGAGACUUGCAAAGAUAACCAAUCAUACAUAAAAGAAUUCAGAGAAGAUUCAAAUAUUGUUCAUAGAUAAACUUGAUCAUAAACCCAUAAUUCAUCGGUCUCAACAAACACACCACAAAAGAAGACUACAUCGAAUAGAUCUCCACAAGAGAGGGGAGAACUUUGUAUUGAGAUCCAAAAAGAGAGAAGAAGCCAUCUAGCUAAUAACUAUGGACCCGAAGGUCUGAGGUAAACUACUCACACUUCAUCGAAGAGGCUAUGGUGUUGAUGUAGAAGCCCUCAGUGAUCGAUGCCCUCUCCGGCGGAGCUCCGGAACAGGCCCUGAGAUGGGAUCUCGUGGAUACAGAAAGUUACGACGGUGGAAUUAGGGUUUUGGCUCCGUAUCUGGUAGUUUGGGGGUACGUAGUUAUAUAUAGGAGGAAGGAGUACGUCGGUGGAGCAACAGGGGGACCACGAGGGUGGAGGGCACGCCUGGGGGGGUGUAGGGGCGCCCCUACCUCGUGGCCUCCCUGUUGGUUGCUUGACGUAGGGUCCAGGUCUCCUGGAUCUUGUUCGUUCCAAAAAUCACAUUCCCAAAGGUUUUAUUCCGUUUGGACUCUGUUUGAUAUUCCUUUUCUUCGAAACCCUAAAAUAGGCAAAAAAAACAACAAUUCUGGGUUGGGCCUCCGGUUAUAGGUUAGUCCCCAAAAUAAUAUAAAAAUGGAUAAUAAAGCCCAAUAAUGUCCAAAACAGAAGAUAAUAUAGCAUGGAGCAAUCAAAAAUUAUAGAUACGUUGUUGACAUAUCAAGCAUCCCCAAGCUUAAUUCCUGCUCGUCCUCGAGUAGGUAAAUGAUAAAAACAGAAUAUUUGAUGUGGAAUGCUACUAGGCAUAAUUUCAAUGUAAUUGUUCUUAAUUGUGGCAUGAAUAUUCAGAUCUGAAAGGUUCAAGACAAAAGUUUAAUAUUGACAUAAAAAUUAUAAUACUUCAAGCAUACUAACUAAGCAAUUAUGUCUUCUAAAAAUAACAUGGCCAAAGAAAGUUAUCCCUACAAAAUCAUAUAGUCUGGCUAUGCUCUAUCUUCACCACACAAAGUAUUUAAAUCAUGCACAACCCCGAUGACAAGCCAAGCAAUUGUUUCAUACUUUUGACAUUCUCAAACUUUUUCAAUCUUCACGCAAUACAUGAGCGUGAGCCAUGGACAUAGCACUAUACGUGGAAUAGAAUGGUGGUUGCGGAGGAGACAAAAGGGAUAAGAUAGUCUCACAUCAACUAGGCAUAUCAACGGGCUAUGGAGAUGCCCAUGAAUAGAUAUCAAUGUGAGUGAGUAGGGAUUGCCAUGCAACAGAUGUACUAGAGCUAUAAGUGUAUGAAAGGUCAAAAAGAAACUAAGUGGGUGUGCAUCCAACUUGCUUGCUCACGAAGACCUAGGGCAUUUUGAGGAAGCCCAUCAUUGGAAUAUGCAAGCCAAGUUCUAUAAUGAAAAAAAUUCCCACUAGUAUACGAAAGUGAUAACAUAGGAGAUUGUCUAUCAUGAAGAUCAUGGUGCUACUUUGAAGCACAAGUGUGGUAAAAGGAUAGUAGCAUUGUCCCUUCUUGCUUUUUCUCUCAUUUUUUUAUUUGGGCUUCUUUGGCUUCUUUUUAUUUUAUUUUAUUUUAUUUUUCGUCCGGAGUCUCAUCCCGACUUGUUGGGGAAUCAUAGUCUCUGAGGGAGUCCUGGAUUAGGAGGUCUCCGGACAGCCAGACUAUCUCCAUUUGCCGGACUGUUGGACUAUGAAGAUACAAGAUUGAAGACUUUGUCUCGUGUCCGGAUGGGACUCUACUUGGCGUGGAAGGGAAGCUAGGCAAUACGGAUAUGGAUAUCUCCUCCUUUGUAACCAACCUUGUGUAACUCUAACCCUCUCCGGUGUCUAUAUAAACCGAAGAGUUUUAGUCCGUAGGACAACAAUCACAACAUACAAUCAUACCAUAGGAUAGCUUCUAGGGUUUAGCCUCUCUGAUAUUGUGGUAGAUCUACUCUUGUACUGCUCAUAUCAUCAAUAUUAAUCAAGCAGGACGUAGGGUUUUACCUCCAUCAAGAGGACCCGAACCUGGGUAAAACAUCGUGUCCCCUGCCUCCUGUUACCAUCCGGCCUAGACGCACAGUUCGGGACCCCCUACCCGAGAUCCGCCGGUUUUGACACCGACAUUGGUGCUUUCAUUGACAGUUCCUCUGUGUCGUCGCCAUUCAUCGAUAGCGAUGCGAUCCAGGGUGAGACUUUUCUCCCCAGACAGAUUUUCGUAUUCGGCGGCUUUGCACUGCGGGCUAAUUCGCUUGGCCGUCUGGAGCAGAUUGAAAGCUACGCCCUUGGCCAUCAGGUCAGAUUUGGAAGUUUGAACUACACGGCCGACAUCCGCGGAGACAUGAUCUAAGACGGAUUCGAGCCAUAGCCGGGCGCGCCGCACUGUCGCGAUGGGUAUGACCUAGCUCUGCCGUCGAACAGUACACCAGAGGCUGCGCCCGCAUCAGCUCCGACCCUUAGCUCGGAGCCAACUGCGCCAGUCGAGGAUGGGUGGUUAGACACCGCAUUAGAGGCUGCAGUCUCAACAGCGAUCGAGCCGAACACCAGCAUAACCCUCUGCGCAGCCUGUGACUCCAAGGUGCCGGACUCUUUUCCGGGCUCCGAACCAUCCGCACCCCUGCCAAUCGAAUCUGAUUGGGCGCUGAUCAUGGAAUUCACUGCCGCGGAUAUCUUUCAGCACUCGCCCUUCGGCGACAUUCUGAAUUCACUAAGGUGUCUCUCUUUCUCAGGAGAGCCCUGGCCGGAUUAUGGCCAACGGGAUUGGGAUGAGGACGACGAAGAAAUUCGACGCCCACCCACCACCCACUUCGUAGCCACUGUUGAUGAUUUAACCGACAUGCUCGACUUCGACUCCAAAGACAUCGACGGUAUGGACGACGAUGUAGGAGACGAACAUGAACCGGCACCUAUAGGGCACUAGAAAGCCACCUCAUCAUAUGACAUAUACAUGGUGGAUACACCUAAAGAAGGCAAUGGCGACAGGAUAGCGGAAGAUGACCCCUCCAUGAAGCAACCCAAACUCCGCCGUCAGCGGCGCCACUCUAAGUCCCGCCAAAGCAAAAGUGGUGAUACCAGCACAGGAGAUAAUCACACUUCGGAUAGUGCCGAAGAAAAGAAAAAAAAACCUCCAGCAAGAUUUAGAGCAGGAGGACGGAGGAGCCAGCUCUCCUGAAAGAGCGGCAGACGGAGAGGAGGAGGAUGACACUCACAUGCCCCCCUCCGAAGACGAGUCAAGCCUCGGCGACGAUGAAUUUGCCAUACCAGAGGAUCCCGUCGAACAAGAGAGCUUCAAGCGCCGGCUUAUGUGUCAGGACCCCGACUCAAUGCCACAUCGAUCUAGCAUGUAACACCUCAUAUCACUUUGCGGCCUCACGCACGGUAUUCCCACGGGUGUCGCCUUACCUUUGCCCGGGACCGUUUGCGCCUUUUGGCACACGUAUAUGAUAGUGUCGCUAGCAUCCAUAUGAUAAGGAGCCCGGGCUGACAUGGCUAGUCAUAAACCCAAAGUGGCACAGACUUACAGGGACAGGCAUCCAUGACCCAGCAUCGAACGUGUCGGUCAUCAGCGAGUGAAUCCAGGCUGUAGCACUGGGCUAGCAGGACUCCGGUGAACCGGGCUGUAGCGGGCUAACAGGACUCCGGUAUUCAUCGCGUGACAUUUCCCCGAAGGGACAGACACAGGAACGAAGAAGGACACAUGCCGGCCAGCCUAAGUGUUCCGGAGCAGUAGCAAGCUACCAUGGCUCGGUGGAAACACUAGGAGACAUUUCCCCGUAAGAGAGGCUACUAAAGAUAAACAACUAGAUGGUCAGAUCCCACACAUAUCAAGCAUUUCAAUAACAUACACACAAUAUGCUCGAUAUGUGCAAAUACAACAUGGCAUCACAACAUGACUCUAUAACUCAAGUAUUUUAAUCAAUAGGCUCCGAGGAGCGAGAUAUUACAAACAUGGGUCUCAUGACCCAACAAUCAGAGCAUACAAGUCAAAGCACAAGCGGAAGCUAUCAUGUCUGAGUAAAGACAUCUAUAAAUGAAAAAGGCUGAGAAGCCUGACUAUCUACCAGAUCCUGCCGAGGGCACAAGAUCGUAGCUGAGGUAACAAGCUAAACGUCGAAGUCCACGCGAAACUACUAGCGAGACCGAAGUCUCUCUGCAAAAACAUAAAUAGGCAAACGUGAGUACAAAUGUACCCAGCAAGACUUACAUCAGAACUAACUACAUAUGCUUCAUUAUCAACAAAGGGGUGGUGGGGUUUAACUGCAGCAAGCCAGCUUUGACUCGGUGGCUAUCCUAAACUACGACUGCAAGUAACUCUUUUGAGGUGGCGCACACGAGUCCACAUAUUCACCAUGUCAAUACACCACUAUGGAUCCGCUUCCGUCUCCCUACGAGAACGCCAUCCAUAGCACUCACGCUUAUCUUGCGUAUUUUAGGGUAUCCACUUUCACUUGUCUAUGAACUGAUAUAAGCAACCCAGAAGUCCUUUUCCGUGGAUACGGCUAUUCGAAUAGAUGAUGAUAACCCUGCAGGGGUGUACUUCUUCAUACAUGUUUCCACCACUUAGCGUCUGCACACGACAUGUGCUCGGCAGACUUCAAGCAAAAGCCGACGUGGGUGUAGACCACGACCUACCUAACCACCUAAGUCUCUAGUCCAGGUUUAUCGCCUAUUCGGGUUCCAUCCAUGAGGAGAUCCGGCCGGAGUUUCGCUCACAGCCCCAAACGAUGUGAACAGGGUUCCGUGACACCAAACGGGCGCCCGGUAUACCCGGCCACGUGCCUACCGCAUCACAGCCCACCCCUACGGUCAGCGCUGUCCACGGCCUCCAGCAUACUACAAACACCAGAAACUACUUGCAACUCCUGGACAGAGGACAAGGGUGAUUAAGAAGUCGAGCGGGGUCAUAUUUCAGGGCCCAAUGUAUGGUAGUAACUGAAUCAUGGAUCACAAACACAGAACUCAGUUCCUGAGGACGGCUACAAUGAGACAACCCACCAUGUACUCCUACAUGGCCUCUCACCGCUACCUUUACCAAAUCGUGUUCACACACUUAGCUCACACACAGUAGGACAUGUUCACACGCCUCUGAUUCAUCCCCGAUGAAUCAGACCUGACUCAACUCUAAGCAGUAGCAGGCAUGACAAACAAACAUGAAUGAGUAGGCACAACAGGGCUCAAACAACUCCUACUCAUGCUAGUGGGUUUCAUCUAUUUACUGUGGAAAUGACAGGUCAUGCAGAGGAUAAAGGGGUUCAGCUACCGCAGCAAGUAACAGAUAAAUCGGUGUUGUCCUAAUGCAUUAAAAGAGAGCAGGAGCGAGAGAGUAGGAUUGUAUCGGAAUGAACAAGGGGGUUUUGCUUGCCUGGCACUUCUGAAGAUAACAUUGAGUCUUCAUCAGUGUCAACGAUCACAUCAUCGGUAUCACGUCUAUCGAGAGGGGACAAUUACCGGCAACACAGAAGGGAACACAAUCAAUGCAAUGCACAAUAUGAUGCAUGAUCAUGACAUGGCAAAAUGAAUGUGUUUUGGGCUAAUGCAUCUAGCAACAGAUUAAAUGAAGUUGGUUUGAAUACAAAAUUCAAAUUCAAACUCCAUAUGUGAUUAUUCAAAUGCCAUUCAAUAUGAUUUGUGCUAAACAGCAGCAAUAAGUUGUUCUAACAUGCAUGAAAAUGGUACAGAUGGAUUCCUUGAAUUUUUCUGAUAAUUUUUCAUAUAUAAAUUAUUUAAUUUGGAGUUACGGUUGAAUUUCUAUGAAUUUUAGAAGUUUAUACAAUUUUCUGGAAUUUUCUGAAAUAAAAUAAAUCCAGAAAACACUUAUUGCGUCAGCCUGAUGUCAUGAUGACAUCAGCAGGUCAACGGGGCAGGUUCAGGUCAAACCUGACCAGUGGGGUCCACUGGUCAGUGACUGGGGCUGCUUAGUGCCGCUGACGGGUGGGCCCAGUCAACGGCCACGCCAGCACGGUCAAAACUGACGCGUGGGGCCACUGCAAUUAGACUAAACUAAACAGAAAAAAUACUAAUCCUAAUUAGGCGCAGGGGCCCACAUGGCAGUGGCUCAUAGGGUGAUUAGCCCCUAACUAAGUGGCCACAUCGGCCCGCCGGAGUUUGGCCGGCGGUGACCACAGAGCACGGCGGAGCACGCCGGACUUGCGCUAGGGGCAUCGGAUUCAUGCGCUGAGGGCACCGAGGCGUAGCCCGGGCUCUCCCGCAUCUGAUGGGGUAGGUGGGAGGCUGCGGGGACGCCGGGGCUCGCCGGAACGGAGCUCGCGGCGGCGCCGGAGUUCGGGCAACGGCGGGUUCGGCGCUAUGGUGCAUGGGAGGAGGGGUUGGUGGGCGCUACGGGCUCCUAGGAGUGCUCUGAGUACGUCUGCGUGCUCGGUUUGGACGGAGGUGAACCAAAACGACGACGGCGACAAGUCCGGCGCCGGUGAGGUCUCGGUCUCGACGGAAACGACGGAUACGACGAGCUAAUGGACAUGGGAGAAGGGGGGAUCCGUAGAGGAGCUCACGGCGGGGUCGUCGGUGAUCUCAGAGAGCUCGGGGAGGCGUCGGAGGCGACGAAUCGACGGCGGCGGUCCUCGGUGGCCGAGGAGGGGAAAAGCGUCGGGACGGCGCUUCGGGGCUUCUCCGGUCGCGUGAGCCGACGGGGAGGUCGAGGGAGGCACUGCGGAGCUCAGGAGCACGUCGGGGAGGAGAGGGGGUGGCGGUGGCCGCGAGGAAGCUUGUCGGUGGCGGCGGCUCUGUUCGGUCCGGGCGAGAGAGAGGGAACAGAGGAGAGAUGGGGACGAGGGAGUGAGCGGGAGGGUUCCAGGGUGAGUGAGAGAGAGGCCAGGGGUGUCGUGGCGUCGUGGGAGGAACCAGGGGAGGAGGAGGCAGCCAGGCAGGGAGGAGGUGGCCGGGGCGCGUGGCCGCGCGCGCCGGGCGCGUGCCCGUCCUCCUGGCAGAGGAGGAAGGCGACAGGGGAGGGAGGCGGUGGUGGGCUGGGCCAGCGGGAGGAGCUGGGCCGGCUUGGCUGGACAGGUAAGCGCCAGGUAGGCUUCUGUUCUUUUAUUUAAUUCUGUUCUGUUUUCUUUUAUUUAAUUCUUUUGCCACUGUUUGAAUUUUAAAAAUAAUUCAAACAAUGCCAAAAACUCCUCUGAAUAUUUUUAUUUUGCUAGAUGGACUUUUCCAAAAGCUUAUAAAAUAUUUCAGGGGUAAUUGAAAUUAUAUUCUAAUUAUAUGAAUAUAAUUCAAAUUCAAAUAGCUAAUGAUUUAAAUUCAAAGUCCCAAAAUAAAUCCUUUUAAAAUGUUCAUUAUUUUUGGUUUGGAUCAAAGCCCUUGCCAAAAAUAUUAAACAUCUGAGAAGAGCAUUUUGGAGCAAUGAAUGAGAUUUCUAGGGUUUUUUUUGCCCCUCUUUUAUUUAAGUUUUUGAGGCUUCCAAAAUUCCUCAAUUCAAGUUUCGAAAAUGUAGACAUGAUGCACACAUGAAGCUAGCCUAGAGCAUAACAGGACCAGGGAUGUGACAACUCACCCCCACUAAACAAGAAUCUCGUCUCGAGAUUCAAGUGUAGGGUAAGGUGAAGGGGUAACGCAAACUAGUAUAAUCUUCACGAUCCAGGGUGCACUUCAGUUGAACGUUGAUUCAUUCACCAUCAUUGUCUUGAAGUCUUGCCUUGAUAAAUCCUGUCAACAUGACAUGGAGGGAAGAAGGAGACUCUAGAAGGGUCGAUCUUCUCGAAGAUCGAACAACUCAGGAUUAACUCACGGAAUGAGACAUAGAACCAUCUCUCGGGUUGAGACACGAGAUACACAUCAAGAGGGGUGGAAAGAAACGGAUGACCAAGGUUCACUAGGUAGACAACAAUUCCACACCUAAGAAGGUGGUAAACGAUUGUCAACGUAGCGAGGAGUUGAGUUGCCAUGAUACCACGACGAAACAUCCUGAAGGAGGGUGAUUCGUAGAUUAUUAUCUUAAGUGGCAAAAAGAAUUACCUUUGAUAUAGAGAUCAUUGAGACUCUCUAUAUCAUCCUAAGGCAAAUCACAGCAAUCGAUUGGAGGGGGUCGGUAGAAUGGCAUACUCGGACUUGGAUGAUGUGGAUUACCUUGUUGAAGACAACGCAAUGGAUGAUUUUUGCUUAUCACCGGAAAUGGAAGAGACCCAUGGUAGAAUGGCCCAUUGGUGGUGCAAGCUGGGAACAAAAUGCAAAUGAUGGUAAUGAUUCUGGUAACUAGGGAAGAACCCAACAAUAAAGAGUGAAUUCACUGGUUGAAAAGGUCAUAGCAUUGCCGAGGAAACUGAGAGGAAUCCCUUGCCAAAAAUAUUAAACAUCUGAGAAGAGCAUUUUGGAGCAAUGAAUGAGAUUUCUAGGGUUUUUUUUGCCCCUCUUUUAUUUAAGUUUUUGAGGCUUCCAAAAUUCCUCAAUUCAAGUUUCGAAAAUGUAGACAUGAUGCACACAUGAAGCUAGCCUAGAGCAUAACAGGACCAGGGAUGUGACAUUAUGGCCACGGCAAAUAGCCUGAAGAAAAAGCAGCAGUAGCUUCAAGCUGAUUAAGAUCUGCUAGCUGACAAAUGGACAGAAGUCCUCGCGGCUGAGGAAUAUAAACUCGAGUGCCCCUCCAAGAGUUACCCAAGGCGCAGGUUACUACCCCGACUGGAGGAAGAAGCAUAUGAUAUGGCUGAUCGGCCACCUCGUGGCCGCGAUAGAGAGGCAUUCCAGCUAAAAGCUCAGCCUCCACCCCAACGCCAUUCAAAUAAAAAGGCAUGGGGAGAUACGCCAGACCUGCGAGACAUAUUGGAGGACAAGGCAAAGCAUUCAAGAUUGAUCUACGGAUCACGAGGGCGCACCACUCUGCGAGACGACAAACGUCACGCCGUAUACAGUAAAAGCAAAUCCGGCCAGGCCGAACACAGCGGGUAAGACCCAUUCGAGCUGCAUCGCGAUAUAGCCCAAUACAGAGGCGCGGCACACCCCUUAUGCUUCACAGACGAAGUAAUGGAACAUCAAUUCCCAGAAGGUUUCAAACCUGUAAAUAUUGAAGCAUACGACGGCACAACAGAUCCCGCGGUAUGGAUUGAGGACUUCCUCCUCCACAUCCACAAGGCCCGCGGCGAUGACUCACACCCCAUCAAAUACCUCCCACUAAAGCUCAAGGGACCAGCGCGGCAUUGGCUUAACAGCUUGCCAGCGGACUCCAUUAGCUGUUGGGAAGAUCUGGAAGCCGCAUUCCUCGACAACUUUCAGGGCACUUAUGUGCGACCACCAGACGCCGAUGACUUGAGCCACAUAAUUCAGCAGCCAGAAGAGUCGGCUAGGCAAUUCUGGACUCGGUUCCUUACAAAGAAAAAUCAAAUCGUCGACUGUCCGGAUGCGGAGGCCUUAGCGACUUUCAAGCACAACAUCCGAGACGAGUGGCUAGCCCGGCACCUUGGUCAGGAAAAGCCGAAAUCUAUGGCAGCUCUCACGACGCUCAUGACCUGCUUUUGUGCGGGAGAAGACUGCUGGCUGGCUCGCAGUAAUAACAUAUCAAAGAACCAUGGUACCUCAGAUACCAAGUACGGCAAUAGCAGGUCACGCCGCAACAAGCAUAAGCGCCGCAUUAACAGCGACAAUACUGAGGAUACAACAGUCAAUGCCGGAUUCAAAGGCUCUAAACCCGGUCAGCGGAAAAAGCCAUUCAAACAAAGUACGCCGGGUCUGUCCAGCUUGGACAGUAUACUCGAUCGCUUGUGUCAAAUACACGGCACCCUAGACAAGCCAGCCAAUCACACCAACAGGGAUUGUUGGGUGUUCAAGCAGGCCUACAAGUUAAUUGCCGAAAACAAGGACAAGGGGCAGCAUAGCGAUGACGAGGAAGAGCCCCGGCAGCCUCACACCGGAGGACAGAAGAGGUUUCCCUCGCAAGUGCGGACGGUGAAUAUGAUAUACGCAAUCCACAUCCCCAAGAGGGAGCGGAAGCGUGCGCUCAGGGACGUAUAUGCGCUGGAGCUAGUCGCCCCAAAAUUCAACCCUUGGUCCUCCUGUCCGAUCACCUUCGAUCGCAGGGACCAUCCCACUAGUAUCCGUCAUGGCGGAUUCGCCGCACUGGUCCUAGACCCAAUCAUUGACGUAUUUCACCUCACUCGAGUCCUUAUGGAUGGCGGCAGCAGCCUGAACCUUUUUUAUCAGGACACAGUGCGCAAAAUGGGUAUAGUCCCCUCAAGGAUCAAACCCACAAAAACGACCUUUAAGGGCGUCAUUCCAGGUGUAGAGGCCCAUUGCACAGGCUCAAUUACACUGGAAGUGGUCUUCGGAUCCCCGGAUAACUUCCGAAGCGAAGAGUUAAUCUUUGAUAUAGUCCCGUUCCGCAGUGGUUAUCACGCGCUGCUCGGGCGAACCGCAUUCGCUAGAUUAAAUGUUAUACCGCAUUAUGCAUACCUCAAGCUCAAGAUGCCAGGACCUCGUGGAGUUAUUACAGUCAAUGGAAACACAGUGCGCUCUCUCCGAACAAAGGAGCACACCACGGCCCUCGCAGCAGAAGCGCAAAGCAGCCUCUCAAGGCAAUCAACCAGUUCGGCGCUUCAAAGCCCGGACACCGUCAAGCACGCUCGGGGCAAUCGGCAAAUAGACCGCCUGGCGCGAUCUAAGCUCGCGUAGAAAUACGGCGGCCACCCCAAUCCCAGCCCAACGGCGAUAUUCAUGCCGUGCGUACAUAAUUACGCAUUAAAAAUACCAUGGGCACAUGUGGGGAGGGGGCCACAACUGCGGUAGGCCCCAAAACGCGGCCUAAACCGUACUAGGGGCUUCCUGUUUGGUUAUUUUUCUUUUUCUUUCAGGACCUUAAUCUCUGGAAACACUGUCCGGCAGCACUAUUGCUGAACACAUGAUGCAGCAACCAAGGAGGCAGACAGCUAUGUUAUACCACGGAAUUCCCAGGUUGAUUACAGUAAUGAGUGAAAUAUUCAAUUCAACAUCAUUCUUCAGCUUGCCCUUGGAAGGGACAUAGUCCUAUUCUUUGCUUAUUGCACUAUCUGUAUCACUCUGCUUUAACGCAAUUUUUUAAUAAACAAUGCAUGACAUUAUGACUAUUAUUGCAUUUUUGUUAUAUAUAUAUAUAUAUGUGUGUGUGUGUGUGUUCAUUAAUGACGCCUUGCAACCGUACACUCUGGUACGACCAAUACACCAGCGGCUUAUGUACCCCACAAUGCGGUGUGAAAAGUCCGAACACUUUCACAAGUGCGGCACCCCGAACUUAUAGCAUUAUAUGCAUCAACUCUGAAUCAUGUCUUUGGUCAAAUGUUGGGUUUGCCCGGCUCCUAUGUUUUGGUACCUUACGUUCCGCUCUAUCGGCUAAUUAAGGUAGCGCUAGGACAAUUACUGCGAUUGUGCCCCGGUUCUGCCGGGCUUAACACCUCAGUAGAGAAAGCUAAAACUGACUGUCAUGAUAAGGUGAGAGACUGGUCGCUGUUCGGCGAGGUUUUUUGAGUCCCUAAAGACUUAUGCCGCUUAGGGCGAGGGGCCGGCCUUGUCCGCCUUACAGGCGUGUAUCGCGCCCCGAAUUCGGUCUUCCGAAUAUCAGGGGCUUCACCAAAAUUUAAAAUUAUAGAAUUCUAUUGCUAAGUGAGAGUGAUAAAGCAUUAUUAGUCCUGUUGCCUUGUUCGUUGUGCUAAGCACCUCCCUCGAAGGACCCAAAUAUGGGAACAAGAGUGCUCAGGUUUAUCCCGAACACCCCAGCACUCGUGGCAUGGGGGCAGAAGCCGAGGACUAGCCAUCUCUCAGAUUGGAUAAACAGCCAAACAGAAGGUAAUAUUUUAAAUUCCAACAAGAGUUACAUAGCGCAUAUGAAACAAGUUUUCAUACAUACAUGAUAAAACGAGCAAGUCUCAUUCAAAUAUUACAUCUUUUGAACACUCGUCCGCGACGAGACGGGCACCCGGCAGAACACCCUCGUAGUACAUCUCGGGGUGGCAGUGCUCCUUGCCCUCUGGCGGCCCCUCCUUGAUCAGCUUCACGGCGUCUAGCUUGACCCACUGCAAUUUCACAUGGUCGAAAAGCCCGGCGUGCACCUUCAAUGCAGACAGAUCGCUUGACGACCUUCAGCCGCGGGCAGGCAUCCACAAGCCGCCUCACCAGGCCGAAGAAGCUGUUCGGAAGGGCGUCGCCAGGCCACAACCGAACUAUAAAGCUCUUCAUGGCCUGAUAGGCCGCCUUAUGUAGCUCGACCAUCUGCUUCAGCUGGUCGCUCAUUGGCACCGGAUGUUUGGCCUCAGCAUAUUGAGACCAGAACAGCAUCUCCGUCGAGCUUCCGUCCUCGGCCUGGUAAAAUUGUGCGGCAUCGGACACACUACAGGGAAAAUCUGCGAAUGCUCCUGAAGAGCUCCGGAUCCGGGUAAGGCAUAAGGACCGAGGGAAUUUGCGGAACCUCCUCUUCACGAAGCUGCACGAACGAUACAAGUUCCCCGCCGAAUUUGAAAACACACGCCUCUCAGGGAAUAAAGUGAACAGUGCCACCCUCACGAAGAUGAGCAUGGCCCUGUCUACUUGGAAAAGCGCGGUGAAGAGAAUGAUUGAUAAAGGUGAUAGUUAUGAGAAGAUCAAGGCGAAAUAUCCUUUGAUGAGCGAAGAUGAGUACAAGGAGUUCAAGAUCAAGUGCGAGCGCAGUGCAACCUCCGAAUCAAGUCCGUGGGGGAAAGAAAUGCGGGAUUUGAACUUAGGGGAAAAUAAACUCGGUCCCGGCGGUUACAGAGUGGCGGAGCCUAUAUGGGACAAGGAGGACGCGGAGCGUGCCGAGCAAGCCCUACCGCCCCGCUUCGAGAAAUACAGCGGUGACAAGCAGACCAGGAACUAUGUCAGGGCCCGGUACAAGGAGGACCCGAUAACAAAGGAGCUUACCACGGAUCCGAAGACCAGGGCGCUUGAGCUUCUUCUGGUAAGGAAUACACCCCCGCGUAAUUAGCUCCAUAUGGUUGCACUCUAAUUAAUUCCUAAUAUUUCUAAAUGGUUCACGUUCCUUUCGCAGGACACUAAAAGCAGUAGCACGGGGUCGUAUAAGAGCUCCCCUUUCGACACCCCUUUAAAUAGGGCGUUGAACAUAAUGAAAAACAAGGAUAAGCUCACUAAGACGACAUCAGCUGGUCGUGUGGCCGGCAAAGGCUUGUCCACAAAAUGGGGGUCAUACUAUACCGCUGGUGUGCGGAAGGAGAAAAAGACCAGCUCGGAAAGCCAGACGCGCGAGGUUGAAGAACUCAAGGCACAAGUGGCGCGGAUUCCAGAGCUUGUCCAAGAGCAAGUGCAACAACAACUUGGAACGACGCUCAACGCCAUGGUGCCUACAUUGAUUCAUGGGCUGACAACGUGGAUUGCGGGCGGCCAAUAGGGGCCUCCCCGAUUCCCAACUUCACGGCCAGCAACUCGCACAGCGCGCAGGCAGCGCCACUGGUGUCUCCAGCGGCGCCAUUGGUGUCUCCGGCGGUGGCGCCAUUGGUGUCUCCGGCGGAUGCGGUAUUCGUGUCUCCGGCGCCGGCACGGGCAUUGGAGCUUAAUGCACCCGGGUGUACGCCGGCCGGCACCUCGCCAGUAAGCGCCCCCUUUGUCAGUUGCACACCCGCCGUUGGCGGUGCAUCGACAUGAGCCGAACUCGACGGCAUCACGGUAACCAAGCCUCUCGGCUGAUGACUUCAUCUCCUUGCCUUUGACUGGGCAUCCCUGACGCCCUGUACAUGUUUUCAUAGGGCACCACCGAUGUUCCUUGCACACUUCUGCAUUUUGUGGGCGCCGAGUUGGUCGAUGUCGCCAAGGGCAGAAUCGUUCAACCGGGCAACCCCAUGUUCCACGGUAAUCCGAUGCCACCCACGAUGUAUAGGGUUGAAGUGGUUCGGGUGCUGCCAGGCUGCGACGAGCUGUUACCUCCGAUUCGACCCGCUGGGGCCGACGAAGAAGAUGAGAUGACCCUCAGCACCUGCGUAAACUGGCCCCUGCUUUGGCCGAAGAGCCAGAUUCGUUUGGGGGCGGGGGACACCACCCCACAGACAAGACGGCCAGUCGUGCCGGCGCCAAGCCAUGGCAAGAACGCCGCAAUGCUACCGGACCUGCCGGACAUCCCUAUGGCACAGGAUCCGGACAGCCCUAUGGCACAGGAUCCGGACGGCGACGACAACGACGACGGUACAUUUACCAAAGUUGAUAAGUACUUUGCCGAACAUGGGUACGCUGACGAGUUCUGCGGGCCUCUUUCUCAAGAACCCAACCAAGACGACCGCGAUCUAGCUGGUACGGCGGAGAAAUCCAAUUGCAACAGGCGUCGUCUGGCGUUCAGUUCUCAGGACACGCCUCCAGCUCCUGCCUUCACCGAGCCUCAGAUAGCUGAGGUGCGAAAUAUUAUCAGCCCCAACACGCUCAAGAAGGCGGUCUGUGAGCAGAAGUCGGUCCCAUUACAGGAGAUCAAGAAGAAGGGACGGAAACGAAAGACUAACAAGGGCGCCGGUGCGAGCCAGCCGGCACCGAGUUCAAUCCGUGCUCAGGACGGGCCACCUUCACCUAGGGAUAUCUCGAGGAGGGUGCAUGUGGCAGGUAGGGCGAUGCUACCGCCAAAUAUGCUGAAUGCUGCAACCGGUGCUAUGCGUUGUCUGCACGACAGUGUUCUUUCUUUGGAGAAGCGGCGUCUCAGAGAGAAGGAUGUGGCAUACCCGGUUUUCGUGGCCAAAGUGCCAGAGGGCAAGGGCUUUGUGGAUGGCGACAUCGGGGGUACGAUUGUCCUGUGGUUUGAUGACAUCUUUGCUAUGUUUAACCUUCAUCCGCUGCAUUACACCUUCGUUCGGCUGUUUUCGCUGAGUAUGGAGAUGCGGAUCAUUAGAUACAAGACCCCAGACAUCGUGAUAGUCGACCCCUUCUACAUGCGUGCCAAGCACUUGAGCAGCGCUGGGGACCGCCAAGUUGCGAGUUCACACCUCGAAGGCGUCAUUCUGGCAAACCCAGAUAAGGAUAACUUCCUUGUGCCAUACUUUCCUGAGUUAGUCAUCCCUUAACCGCCCCGUAACAUAUGAUUUCUUAGAUUUCGAUCGUUUUUUUCUAACAUUCCGUGUUCUUAGCAGUGACACACAUUGCACACUCAUCCUCUUAAGCCUGAAAUAUUCCAUGGCCACGUAUUUAGACCUGAACCGUAACUCCAAGAUAGACUACACAAAUGUCAAGCAAGUUCUUGAUGAUGUUCUCCCCGCCUACGCCAAAUCUAGAGGCACCUUCACCAGGGCAGUUCGUAAGUACGGCAAGCACAUGUUCUCACACAAUACGAAGUUCUGCUGCGUCAAGCAGCCGCCUGGCGGUCAAAAGGAUGCCUACUACACCCUCCAUCACAUGCGGGCGAUCGUAAGGGACCAUCAUCAACUUCUGCAACCAGAUAAUCUCAAAGAUUGGGCCACGAGCUUGUCGGCAGUCCAGGUCGCGGACCUCAGACAAGAAUUCUUUCGCAUCCAGUCGGAGUUUGCGGACAUCAUCCAUCAAGAUGUCCUUCAUACCUCGGGGUAGUUCUUCCUCAGAUAUCAACCGUCCAACAGUGAGAUAGAUGAAAUGCUACAAAUGCAGGGUGACAACGACCACGAUUUCAUGACCAUCACGACAGACGGCGGCUUCUUCCACGUUCUUGUCCGAUGAGUCGAGUCGAAAGUAGUGAUGUGUAGUUCUGAAACAUUGAUUGGCUCAUGUUGUAAUUAUACUUUAAUGAAUUCGUAUGUCUCUUUGGUUUGGACAGUCAUUCAACUUAGAUGUAAUCGAUGCUAUUUAUUAGUAGGACCAUGAAUCGUGCUAUUAAUUGUCACAUCCCUAGCUUCUGGCAUUGCUCUAGCCUAGCUUCAUGUGUGCAUCAUGUCUAUAUUUUUGAAACUUGAAUUGAGGAAUAUUGGAAGCCUCAAAACCCUAAAUAAAAGAGGGGCAAAAACCCUAGAAAUCUCAUUCAUUGCUCCAAAAGGCUCUUCUUAAAUGUUUGAUAAUUUUUGGUAAGGGUUCUGGUCCCAACCAAAAUAUUGAACAUUUUUAAGGAUUUAUUUUUGGGACUUUGAAUUUAAAUCAUUAGCUAUUUGAAUUUGAAUUAUAUUCAUAUAAUUAGAAUAUAAUUUCAAAUACCCCUGAAAUAUUUUAUGAGCUUUUGGAAAAGUCCAUCUAGCCAAAUAAAAUUAUUCAGAGGAGUUUUUGGCAUUGUUUGAAUUUGUUUAAAAUUCAAAACAGUGGCAAAACGAAAUUAAAUAAAACAAAACAGAAGAAAAAAAUAAAAGAGAGAGAGAGAAGGACUUACCUGGCCUCACCCGUGCAGCCCACCAGAACCGGCCCAGCCGGCCCAGCCCGCCACCGCUACUCCCCCCCCUGUCGUCUUCCUCUUGCUAGUGGGAGCAGCUGCGUGCUCGCACGUGCGCGGCCGAGGAGGCCACCUCCUCCCUGCCUGGCUGCCUCCUCCUUCCCUGGUCCCUCCCGCGACGCCACGCAGCCCUGACCCCCUCUCACUUCUCCCUCGCUCUCUGGACCUCCCUCCCCCUCGCUCCUCUGUUUCCCCUCCCGCGACCGAACGGAGCCGCCGCCACCGACGAGAGCCACCGUGGCUACCGGCCACCCCACGGCUCACCGACGCCCCAGGAAGCUCCGCCGGUCCUCCCUCUACCUCCUCAACGAGCCACGAGGCCCCGGACGUGCCACAACACCGCCCUCGAUGCCUUCUUCAACCUCGGGACCGCCGGCCAUCUUCGUCAAAUUCGCCGGCUCCGGACCGUCCCCGACCUCGCCGAGCGUCCCCUCGUCAUCGCCGUGAGUCACUGACCCUCUCCCCUAACUCAGCAUGCUCCCCUCCAUGCCGUAGCGCCGUUCCCCACGAGCACCGAAGCCACCGUCCGCCAUUGCUGCUGCACGCAUAGCCUCCGUGCUCCCCUGGCCUCACUGAGCUGCUCUUAGUGCUCCCCAUGUCUAGCAGGUGCUGCCCAGCCUCUCCAUUUGCUCACUGAUGCACCGUAGCGACGCGCCCGAGCACCACCGAACACCAUCGCCGCCAAAGCUCGUCGCCGGCAUGAGUUCCGGCGACCCCACGACCUCCCACUCGGUCCUCUGGAUGCGCGGGAGCAAGGGCCAUCCCCUGGUGCCCUCAGCGCGCCAAACUGACGCCUCUAGCGCAAGUCCGACGUGCCCCGCCGUGUUCUGUGGUCGCCGUCGGCUGGUCUCCGGCGUGCUGACGUGGCGUCGUCGUUAGGGGCUAAUGACCCUGCUAACUAACCCUGUGACACUGACAGCGGGCCCCGUAGCGGGUCAAAGCCCGAGUCAACGCGGGAUUAGCCCCUGUGUCACUGACGUGUGGACCCCACACAUCAGGUUUGACCCGAGCCGGCCCCUGUUGACUUGCUGACGUCAUGCCAACGUCAUGCUGACGCAGUAAUGUUUUCUGGAUUUAAUUUAAUUCUGAAAUUCCAGAAAAUGAAUAUAAACUUCUAAAAUUCAUAGAAAAUUAACCGUAACUCCAAAUUAAAUAAUUUAUAUAUGAAAAAUUAUCAGAAAAAUUCAAGGAAUCCAUCUGUACCAUUUUCAUGCAUGUUAGAACAACUUAUAGCUGCUGUUUAGCACAAAUCAAAUAAAGGGCAUUUAAAUAAUCACAUAUGGAGUUUGAAUUUGAAUCUUGUAUUCAAACCAACUUCAUUUAAUCUGUUGCUAGUUGCAUUGGCUCAAAACACAUUCAUUUUGCCAUGUCAUGAUCAUGCAUCAUAUUGUGCAUUGCAUUGAUUGUGUUCCCUUCUGUGUUGCCGGUAUUUGUCCCCUCUCGAUAGACGUGAUACCGAUGAUGUGAUCGUUGACACUGAUGAAGACUCAAUGCUAUCUUCAGAAGUGCCAGGCAAGCAAAACCCCCUUGUUCAUUCCGAUACAAUCCUACUCUCUCGCUCCUGCUCUCUUUUACUGCAUUAGGACAACACCGAUUCAUCUGUUACUUGCUGCGGUAGCUGAACCCCUUUGUCCUUUGCAUGACCUGUCAUUGCCACAGUAAAUAGAUGAAACCCACUAGCAUGAGUAGGAGUUGUUUGAGCCCUGAUGUGCCUACUCAUUCAUGUUUGUUUGUCAUGCCUGCUAUUGCUUAGAGUUGAGUCAGGUCUGAUUCAUCGGGGAUGAAUCAGAGGCGUGUGAACCUGUCCUACUGUGUGUGAGCUAAGUGUGUGAACACGAUUUGGUAAAGGUAGCGGUGAGAGGCCAUGUAGGAGUACAUGGUGGGUUGUCUCAUUGCAGCCGUCCUCAGGAACUGAGUUCUGUGUUUGUGAUCCAUGAUUCAGCUAUUGCCACGCAUUGGGCCCGAAACCAAUGGACCCUCUCGGCUUCUUGAUCACCCUUGUCCUCUGUCCAGGAGUUGCAAGUAGUUUCUGGUGUUUGUAGUAUGCUGGAGGCCGUGGGCAGCGCUGACCGUAGGGGUGGGCUGUGAUGCGGUAGGCACGUGGCACGGUGUACCGGGCGCCCAUUUGGUGUCUCGGGAACCCUGUUCACAUCGUUUGGGGCUGUGAGCGAAACUCCGGCCGGAUCUCCUCAUGGAUGGAACCCGAAUAGGCGAUAAACCUGGACUAGAGACUUAGGUGAUUAGGUAGGUCGUGGCCGACACCCACGUUGGGCUUCCGCUUGAAGGUUGCCGAGUACAUGUCAUGUAAACGGCGGUAAGUGGUGAGAGCGUGUGUGAAGAAGUACACCCCUGCAGGGUUAACCUAAUCUAUUCGAAUAGCCGUGUCCGCGGAAAAGGACUUCUGGGUUGCUUAUAUCAGUUCAUAGACAAGUGAAAGUGGAUACUCUAAAAUACGCAAGAUAAGCGUGAGUGCUAUGGAUGGCGUUCUCGUAGGGAGACGGGAGCGGAUCCAUAGUGGUGUAUUGAUAUGGUGAAUAUGUGGACUCGUCUGCGCCACCUCAAAAAAGUUACUCGCAGUCGUAGUUCAGGAUAGCCACCGAGUCAAAGCUGGCUUGCUGCAGUUAAACCCCAGCAUCCCUUUGUUGAUAAUGAUGCAUAUGUAGAUAGUUCUGAUGUAAGUCUUGCUGGGUACAUUUGUACUCACGUUUGCCUAUUUUAUGUUUUUGCAGAGAGACUUCAGUCUCACUAGUAUUUCCGCGUGGUCUUCGACGUUUAGCUUGUUACCUCAUCUACGAUCUUGUGCCUCGGCAGGAUUUGGUAGAUAGUCAGGCUUCUCAGCCUUUUUCAUUUAUAGAUGUCUGUACUCAGACAUGAUAGCUUCCGCUUGUGCUUGAUUUGUAUGCUCUGAAUGUUGGGUCAUGAGACCCAUGUUUGUAAUAUCUCGCUCGUCGGAGCCUAUUGAAUAGAUUACUUGAGUCAUAGAGUCAUGUUGUGAUGCCAUGUUGUAUUUGCACAUAUCGAGCAUAUUGUGUGUAUGUUAUUGAAAUGCUUGGUAUGUGUGGGAUCUGACCAUCUAGUUGUUUAUCUUUAGUAGCCUCUCUUACGGGGAAAUGUCUCCUAGUGUUUCCACCGAGCCAUGGUAGCUUGCUACUGCUCCGGAACACUUAGGUUGGCCGGCAUGUGUCCUUCUUCGUUCCUAUGUCUGUCCCUUCGGGGAAAUGUCACGCGGUGAAUACCGGAGUCCUGUUAGCCCGCUACAGCCCGGCUCACCGGAGUCCUGCUAGCCUAGUGCUACAGCCUGGAUUCACUCGCUGAUGACCGACACGUUCGAUGCUGGGUCAUGGAUGCCUGUCCCUGUAAGUCUGUGCCGCUUUGGGUUUACGACUAGCCAUGUCAGCCCGGGCUCCUUAUCAUAUCGAUGCUAGCGACACUGUCAUAUACGUGUGCCAAAAGGCGCAAACGGUCCCGGGCAAAGGUAAGGCGACACCCGUGGGAAUACCGUGCGUGAGGCCGCAAAGUGAUAUGAGGUGUUACAUGCUAGAUCGAUGUGGCAUUGAGUCAGGGUCCUGACAGCGUUGGUAUCAGAGCUUGACUGCCUGUAGGAUUACCAAGCCAAACUGGUCGAAGUUGAGUUUAGAAAUUCUUUAGUUAUAUAAGGGAAUUGAUUGUGGGAUGGAACGUAAGGCUCUUUUUACUCCUUAUACCUCAUGCCCUUCUGAUCUGAGUCAUCUUAUCUUUUCUGCGGGGAUUAAGAACUAGGCUAUCUCUUCUUUCUAUUAGGAUCACGUGUUACUAAUCAGUAGACUUAUAAGAUUGUUGGAUUUAAGUCUCAGUUCAGUUCCUACUACUUCCGUAUGUUAAUUGUUGAUCUCGGAACCUUGAUAUUGUGCUUCUGAGUGGUUAUGCCACCAUUUUUGUGAUUGUCUCAAAUCUUUUUGAGCAAUUAUAGCCGUUAUGCUGUCCGAGUCAUCCCAGGUUUCUAAAUAGUCCGAUGCAUUUGCAAAUCCCUUCCUUCUGUUUCCGAUGUUCCCAUGGGCCAGAUUAACCACACUAAUCGGUGUGUUGAGGUAAUUAUUGCCUCGACAUAUAUGUUGGAAUUAUUAUUAUGACCCUAAGUGCUUAGGGGAUCAUCUAGUGGUCUAGCAAUGAUUUGUGUCCUAGUGUGAAGAUUCUGGCCUUUAUUCUCGGAAGCAUCCCGUGAUGCUACUUAGUAGUAGGUAUUCUACUCCUGGGUUCUGAACCCGAGAUUCACUCUACCUACUUCAUGUUGAUAGUAAUUGCUAGUGCCUUUAGGAUAUUAGUAACCUUUGCGAUAGUCCUUGAAGUCCGUGGUAUCUUCUUCUUCCAAAUACCAUGAACUACUUAUGGCAGAUGUUUAUUGGAUCAAAAAAAAAUCACAAUUAGAGUACUCUUGAGGAGUUCUCCAUUCAUAAAUCAUGACUCUGCCAGUUCUACCUUUCUGCAUGGGUUAUCCGGAAGAAAUAUGUUGAACUUGGUUCGACAUACUAAUCUAUGCAUCCACAACUCAGAAAGUUAUAUGUUCCUUUGAGUUGUUCUCUUUAGUUGCAUUCUGACCCUCGUCUAUCAAUUGAUAGUCAAGAGUAUGCGUGCGUUCGUUCAUCGAUGCCUAUGACUCUUGUGGUCUGUCAAGCCAUUCUAUUCCGGAAUGACUAGGAGAAACAAACUCCAGUACCUCUUCCAUAUCUAGGAUUGGGUCAAAGUAGUUGUAUUCCGCAGAUCAAAUGCCAAUCCAGCUUUUGGUUCUGCUCUACCUUGGAGUAUUACAUAUUUUAUAUCGAGAUUGUUAUAGGAAUUGCACACCAUCCCAUGAACUCUUGGUACAGUGAUACUUCUUGCCAUCACUGUUCAUUCCUCGGCCCUCGUGUUGAUGCAACCGGAAUACCGACAAAUGAAUUGUGAUGUGUGAAAUCAAUACUGCUAGCAACUCUGUUGCUUGGUAGUUAAAGGAUAAUAAUUUCAUUCUUAGUAUGUUGGUUUUCGAAUCAUCCUUCUAAGACUGAUCGUGCUACCUAGUCCUUAUUUUGGUGCACCCUACGAUUGAUGAGUUAGGAUCUUGUCAAGUCCUCACUCAUUUGAUCAUAUCGUCUUGCCCUCAAAAGCAAGAUUGUUCUCGAGCUUAGUAACAUACCGGUGGUUCGUGACUUUCCAAAUAUCUUCUUGGAGGUGUUACCGGGUUGUCACCUGACCGCUAUGUUGAGUUCGUGAUCAAGUUGGUUUCUUGUGAACCACCUUCUCUCCAAGAAUCGGUGUUAGAUAUGCCUGAGCUAGUUGGUUAAGCUAGACAACAACUUGGAGAGUUGGAAGAUAAAAGCUUGUCUGACUUAGUUCGUUCCAAAGGGAUAUUCUUGUGUAGUGUGUGUUGAAGAAAGAUGAUAUCUUCAUCGAUUGGUCCUUGUGAUCAGUUGCUGGACCUAUUGUCUUAUCAAUCCUUUGAUUUGAGUGUGGGCUAUCGUCAAAUCAAAUCAGUACCAACGAUGCUCGUAAUGUUGUCUUAUUCGUGGUUGAUCCCUCGAGCAUACACCAUUAUAUCUUUUAGGUCUGACCAAUGCUAUCACUUGUUCACUUAACUAUGGAAUUCCUUUUAAAAGGAAACCCAGAUGAAUUGUUGUUGUGCCCAUUGACAACAUCCUUGUCUUCUCCAUAAUUUUGCUGAACAUUAAGCUAGUGUUGGAAACUUUUGAAAGCAUUUGUUCAUGCUAGCUCAUGAAGCAUAUGUUUGGAUGAAGGUAGUGACUUCCUUUAAUUCAUGUGCAUCUGAUGCAAGUUGCCGCCGUGGAUUCGAGAAAGUCAAUGUUGCUUUCUUUGGAAUCAUUCCAAAUCAGUCAUGCACACGUGCGAAGAAUGCUGUGGUUUGAAGACUUGCAACCUUCAAUCUAUAUGUAUCCCUAGCACACCAAGCCCCUGAUUGAUUUGUUCAAGGAGAAGGAGUUCCUUCAUAAGAGCUAAUCCGGACUUAUGAAAGAACUUCGAUACCCUCGUUGAUGGUUCCCCCUCCUGAACUCGGUAGUGUUUUAUUAUAAGACUACCAUGUGGUCAUGCUUGUCUGGGACAACGUGUUCACAUGUUUGUAGCAGAACCAGCUCAUGUUUUGGAGCUUGCUAUCGUAGUUCAUCUCCCGAGAAUCCCGCAACGUCAUCUCGUCGAUUUGUGUUGCAAACUUUCAUUUUUCUUCCUAAGACUCGAUGAGCCUGGAAUAUCCUAACACCAACCAGAGCUGAAUCUCAGGCAGAUAUGAUGGUUGAAACAUUUCCCUAAGAACUAUAAUAUUGGUCUCUCGAUAACCGGUAAGGUGGAUGUCGUGGCCAACACACCCAUCCGGUAGACCUAUUAUUAUAGUAUCUUGUUUGAGGAAGUUGGCCACCCCCCCCUAGGGAUUUCGUAGGAUUUACUCCCUAGUUGCCCCUAUGGAUUUUUGUGUUCCCGAAGUCCGACCUUUUACUUGAUGUUUUAGAUAUCAAACCAUAUCUAUGAAUGGGUUAUACUAGCACAUCAAGGAGAACAUUAGAAGCGGAGUGCUAAAUGUCUCUCGGUCGAUCAUCCAGAUUUUAUUUGCUUGGCCUUGCUAAGGUGAAAUCUGAGAAAGUGUUAUCCUCCUUCGCAUCUGCAUCGUCCAUCGCUAUUCAUCAUGGUAGUAUGUUGUGUUGUCAGCACCCUUGACGCGGUUGUUGAUAAAACCUUGAUGAUUGUGGAAAUGCUCAAGUUCUUGAGAGCACGCACAAGCGCUACGUCUUAUCAUCGGCACUAGCUGGGAUUGCCCCAGAUUUCCUCGGUUAUGCUAUAACCACUCCAACAGUGAAUUCACUCUCUAUUGUUGGGUUCUUCCCCAGUUACCAGAAUCAUUCCCAGCAUUUGCAUUUUGUUCCCAGCUUGCACCGCCAAUGUGCCAUUCUACCAUGGGUCUCUUCCAUUUCCGGUGAUAAGAAAAAUUCAUCCAUUACGUUGUCUUCAACAAGGUAAUCCACAUCAUCCAAGUUUGAGUAUGCCAUUCUACCGAACCCCUCUAAAUGAUCGAUUAUGAUUUGCCUUAAGCUGGUAUAAAGAGUUUCAAUGAUCUCUGAAUCAAAGGUAAUUCUUUUGCCACUUAAGGGGAGAUAUCUACGAGUCACGGUUUCGAAGGUGUCUCGUUGUGGUAUCAUGGCAACUCAACUCCUCGCUACGUUGACAACCGAUUACCACCUUCUUAAGUGUGGAAUUGUUGUCCACCUAGUGAACCUUCGUCAUCUGUUUCUUUCCACCCCUCUUGAUGUGUAUCUCGUGUCUCAACCCGAGAGAUGGUCCUAUGUCUCAUUCCGUGAGUUGUUCGAUCUUCAAGAAGAUCGACCCUUCUAGAGUCUCCUUCUUCCCUCCAUGUCAUGUUGGCAGGAUUUCUCAAAACAAGACAUCAAGACAAUGAUGGUGAAUGAAUCAACGUUCAACUGAAGUGCACCCUGGAUCGUGAAGAUUGUACUAGUUUGCAUUUCCCCUUCAUCCUACCCUACGCUUGAAUCUCGAGACGAGAUUCUUGUUUAGUGGGGGUGAGUUGUCACAUCCCUAGCUUCUGGCAUUGCUCUAGCCUAGCUUCAUGUGUGCAUCAUGUCUAUAUUUUUGAAACUUGAAUUGAGGAAUAUUGGAAGCCUCAAAACCCUAAAUAAAAGAGGGGCAAAAACCAUAGAAAUCUCAUUCAUUGCUCCAAAAGGCUCUUCUUAAAUGUUUGAUAAUUUUUGGUAAGGGUUCUGGUCCCAACCAAAAUAUUGAACAUUUUUAAGGAUUUAUUUUUGGGACUUUGAAUUUAAAUCAUUAGCUAUUUGAAUUUGAAUUAUAUUCAUAUAAUUAGAAUAUAAUUUCAAAUACCCCUGAAAUAUUUUAUGAGCUUUUGGAAAAGUCCAUCUAGCCAAAUAAAAUUAUUCAGAGGAGUUUUUGGCAUUGUUUGAAUUUGUUUAAAAUUCAAAACAGUGGCAAAACAAAAUUAAAUAAAACAAAACAGAAGAAAACAAUAAAAGAGAGAGAGAGAAGGACUUACCUGGCCUCACCCGUGCAGCCCACCAGAACCGGCCCAGCCGGCCCAGCCCGCCACCGCUACUCCCCCCCCUGUCGUCUUCCUCUUGCCAGUGGGAGCAGCUGCGUGCUCGCACGCGCGCGGCCGAGGAGGCCACCUCCUCCCUGCCUGGCUGCCUCCUCCUUCCCUGGUCCCUCCCGCGACGCCAUGCAGCCCCGACCCCCUCUCACUUCUCCCUCGCUCUCUGGACCUCCCUCCCCCUCGCUCCUCUGUUUCCCCUCCCGCGACCGAACGGAGCUGCCGCCACCGACGAGAGCCACCGUGGCUACCUGCCACCCCACGGCUCACCGACGCCCCAGGAAGCUCCGCCGGUCCUCCCUCUACCUCCUCAACGAGCCACGAGGCCCCGGACGUGCCACAACACCGCCCUCGAUGCCUUCUUCAACCUCAGGACCGCCGGCCAUCUUCGUCAAAUUCGCCGGCUCCGGACCGUCCCCAACCUCGCCGAGCGUCCCCUCGUCAUCGCCGUGAGUCACUGACCCUCUCCCCUAACUCAGCAUGCUCCCCUCCGUGCCGUAGCGCCGUUCCCCACGAGCACCGAAGCCACCGUCCGCCAUUGCUGCUGCACGCAUAGCCUCCGUGCUCCCCUGGCCUCACUGAGUUGCUCUUAGUGCUCCCCAUGUCUAGCAGGUGCUGCCCAGCCUCUCCAUUUGCUCACUGAUGCACCAUAGCGACGCGCCCGAGCACCACCGAACACCAUCGCCGCCAAAGCUCGUCGCCGGCAUGAGUUCCGGCGACCCCACGACCUCCCACUCGGUCCUCUGGAUGCGCGGGAGCAAGGGCCAUCCCCUGGUGCCCUCAGCGCGCCAAACUGACGCCUCUAGCGCAAGUCCGGCGUGCCCCGCCGUGUUCUAUGGUCGCCGUCGGCUGGUCUCUGGCGUGCUGACGUGGCGUCGUCGUUAGGGGCUAAUGACCCUGCUAACUAACCCUGUGACACUGACAGCGGGCCCCGUAGCGGGUCAAAGCCCGAGUCAACGCGGGAUUAGCCCCUGUGUCACUGACGUGUGGACCCCACACGUCAGGUUUGACCCGAGCCGGCCCCUGUUGACUUGCUGACGUCAUGCCAACGUCAUGCUGACGCAGUAAUGUUUUCUGGAUUUAAUUUAAUUCUGAAAUUCCAGAAAAUGAAUAUAAACUUCUAAAAUUCAUAGAAAAUUAACCGUAACUCCAAAUUAAAUAAUUUAUAUAUGAAAAAUUAUCAGAAAAAUUCAAGGAAUCCAUCUGUACCAUUUUCAUGCAUGUUAGAACAACUUAUAGCUGCUGUUUAGCACAAAUCAAAUAAAGGGCAUUUAAAUAAUCACAUAUGGAGUUUGAAUUUGAAUCUUGUAUUCAAACCAACUUCAUUUAAUCUGUUGCUAGUUGCAUUGGGUCAAAACACAUUCAUUUUGCCAUGUCAUGAUCAUGCAUCAUAUUGUGCAUUGCAUUGAUUGUGUUCCCUUCUGUGUUGCCGGUAUUUGUCCCCUCUCGAUAGACGUGAUACCGAUGAUGUGAUCGUUGACACUGAUGAAGACUCAAUGUUAUCUUCAAAAGUGCCAGGCAAGCAAAACCCCCUUGUUCAUUCCGAUACAAUCCUACUCUCUCGCUCCUGCUCUCUUUUACUGCAUUAGGACAACACCGAUUCAUCUGUUACUUGCUGCGGUACCUGAACCCCUUUGUCCUUUGCAUGACCUGUCAUUGCCAUAGUAAAUAGAUGAAACCCACUAGCAUGAGUAGGAGUUGUUUGAGCCCUGAUGUGCCUACUCAUUCAUGUUUGUUUGUCAUGCCUGCUAUUGCUUAGAGUUGAGUCAGGUCUGAUUCAUCGGGGAUGAUUCAGAGGCGUGUGAACCUGUCCUACUGUGUGUGAGCUAAGUGUGUGAACACGAUUUGGUAAAGGUAGAGGUGAGAGGCCAUGUAGGAGUACAUGGUGGGUUGUCUCAUUGCAGCCGUCCUCAGGAACUGAGUUCUGUGUUUGUGAUCCAUGAUUCAGCUACUACCACGCAUUGGGCCCGAAACCAAUGGACCCUCUCGGCUUCUUGAUCACCCUUGUCCUCUGUCCAGGAGUUGCAAGUAGUUUCUGGUGUUUGUAGUAUGCUGGAGGCCGUGGGCAGCGCUGACUGUAGGGGUGGGCUGUGAUGCGGUAGGUACGUGGCACGGUGUACCGGGCGCCCGUUUGGUGUCUCGGGAACCCUGUUCACAUCGUUUGGGGCUGUGAGCGAAACUCCGGCCGGAUCUCCUCAUGGAUGGAACCCGAAUAGGCGAUAAACCUGGACUAGAGACUUAGGUGAUUAGGUAGGUCGUGGCCGACACCCACGUUGGGCUUCCGCUUGAAGGUUGCCGAGUACAUGUCGUGUAAACGGCGGUAAGUGGUGAGAGCGUGUGUGAAGAAGUACACCCCUGCAGGGUUAACCUAAUCUAUUCGAAUAGCCGUGUCCGCGGAAAAGGACUUCUGGGUUGCUUAUAUCAGUUCAUAGACAAGUGAAAGUGGAUACUCUAAAAUACGCAAGAUAAGCGUGAGUGCUAUGGAUGGCGUUCUCGUAGGGAGACGGGAGCGGAUCCAUAGUGGUGUAUUGAUAUGGUGAAUAUGUGGACUCGUGUGCGCCACCUCAAAAAAGUUACUCGCAGUCGUAGUUCAGGAUAACCACCGAGUCAAAGCUGGCUUGCUGCAGUUAAACCCCACCAUCCCUUUGUUGAUAAUGAUGCAUAUGUAGAUAGUUCUGAUGUAAGUCUUGCUGGGUACAUUUGUACUCACGUUUGCCUAUUUUAUGUUUUUGCAGAGAGACUUCAGUCUCACUAGUAUUUCCGCGUGGUCUUCGACGUUUAGCUUGUUACCUCAGCUACGAUCUUGUGCCUCGGCAGGAUUUGGUAGAUAGUCAGGCUUCUCAGCCUUUUUCAUUUAUAGAUGUCUGUACUCAGACAUGAUAGCUUCCGCUUGUGCUUGAUUUGUAUGCUCUGAAUGUUGGGUCAUGAGACCCAUGUUUGUAAUAUCUCGCUCCUCGGAGCCUAUUGAAUAGAUUACUUGAGUCAUAGAGUCAUGUUGUGAUGCCAUGUUGUAUUUGCACAUAUCGAGCAUAUUGUGUGUAUGUUAUUGAAAUGCUUGGUAUGUGUGGGAUCUGACCAUCUAGUUGUUUAUCUUUAGUAGCCUCUCUUACGGGGAAAUGUCUCCUAGUGUUUCCACCGAGCCAUGGUAGCUUGCUACUGCUCCGGAACACUUAUGUUGGCCGGCAUGUGUCCUUCUUCGUUCCUGUGUCUGUCCCUUCGGGGAAAUGUCACGCGGUGAAUACCGGAGUCCUGUUAGCCCGCUACAGCCCGGUUCACCAGAGUCCUGCUAGCCUAGUGCUACAGCCUGGAUUCACUCGCUGAUGACCGACACGUUCGAUGCUGGGUCAUGGAUGCCUGUCCCUGUAAGUCUGUGCCGCUUUGGGUUUACGACUAGCCAUGUCAGCCCGGGCUCCUUAUCAUAUGGAUGCUAGCGACACUGUCAUAUACGUGUGCCAAAAGGCGCAAACGGUCCCGGGCAAAGGUAAGGCGACACCCGUGGGAAUACCGUGCGUGAGGCCGCAAAGUGAUAUGAGGUGUUACAUGCUAGAUCGAUGUGGCAUUGAGUCGGGGUCCUGACAUUAAUGUCUUGUUUUUCUCUUCUGAUCCUUUUGUUGCAUACUUACAUAUUGCUUAUGUAUUGUCUGUUGUUUGGCUUGUGCAUAAAGAUGUCGUCGUAUGUCGUGUACAUGGGUAAGGUUCCCGGAGUCUACGACGACUGGGAGGAGUGUCGGAGACAGGUUCACCGUUUCAGCGGUAAUAGUUACAAAGGGUACACCACUAGGGCGGAGGCCAAAUCUAGAUACGUCCGCUAUCUAGCGGGAGAGAGGACGGAGCGUUGGAGGAACCGGGUGAAGACCAAUUUGAUCGCGAUGAUGCUCAUCGUGAUGACCACAGCUCUCUUCUAUGUGAAGACAAACUCGAUACUCGCGGUCUUGAGACUUGUAAUGUUUUAUCUUUGUUCGGUCUUUUGAAUUCGGAGACUAAUAUGAUGAAUUGUAUUCGGAGACUAAUCUUCUAUUGUAUUCGAUGAAUCUGAUGUUGCUGUCUAGAUUCUGUCUAAUAAUAUAUUUUAUAUUCUGUCUAAUAAUAUAUUUUAUAACCUGCGGAAAAAUCAGAAAAGGAAAAAAAACCAAAUAUUCAUACUAAUGGCGCAUCACCACCAGGUGCGCCAUUAGUAUGCCAAAGGAUACUAAUGGCGCAUCAACAGAGAAUGCGCCAUUAGUAUGACAAAGCCAUGCUUAUGUAUGGCCCCCCGGGAGGCACACUAAUGGCGCAUGCUGUUACAUACUAAUGGCGCACUAGUUGGUGCGCCAUUAGUACACCAGAUACUAAUGGCGCACCCAUCGUGCGCCAUUAGUAAGAUAUACUAGUGGCGUGCUACUAAUGGCGCACUGGUAAUGCGCCAUUAGUAGGCAAAACCAGUGCACCAUUAGUAGGCCUUUUCCUAGCAGUGGAUGUUCCUUUCGUUUUUGAUGAUGAUUGUGUUGAAGCAUUUGAAAUACUUAAGAAAGCCUUGAUUUCUGCUCCUAUUGUUCAGCUACCUGAUUGGAACCUACCCUUUGAAAUUAUGUGUGAUGCUAGUGAUUAUGUUGUUGGUGUUGUUCUAGGACAAAUAGUUGAUAAGAAAUUAAAUGUUAUUCAGUAUGCUAGUAAAAUUCUAGAUAGUGCUAGAGAAAUUAUGCUACUGCUGAAAAAGAAUUUUUAGCAGUUAUAUUUGCAUGUGAUAAGUUCAGACCUUAUAUCGUUGAUUCCAAAGUAACUGUUCACACAGAUCAUGUUGCUAUUGAAUAUCUUAUGGAAAACAGAUCAUGCUGCUAUUGAAUAUCUUAUGGAAAAGAAAGAUGCUAAACCUAGACUUAUUAGAUGGGUUCUCUUGCUACAAGAAUUUGAUUUGCAUAUUAUUGAUAGAAAGGGACCUGAUAACCCCGUUGCAGGCAACUUCCCUAGGUUAGAAAAUGUUCUUGAUGAAUCGCUACCUAUUGAUGAUAGCUUUCCUGAUGAGCAAUUAAAUGUCAUAAAUGCUUCUCGUAAUGCUCCAUGGCAUGUUGAUUAUGCGAGUUAUAUUGUUGUUGAUUUAUACCACCUAGUUUCACAUAUCACCAAAGAAAUUUUUUCUAUGAUUUAAGACAUUACUUCUAGGAUGAUACACACCUUUAUAAAGAAGGAGUAGAUGUUGUUAUUAGACGUUGUGUGCCCGAGUAUGAACAAGAACAGAUCCUACGCAAGUGACACUCCGAAGCUUACGGAGGACACCACGCUGGAGACAGAACUGCACAUGAGGUAUUGCAAUCUGGUUUCUAUUGGCCCACUCUCUUUAAGGAUGCCCAUAAGUUUGUCUUAUCUUGUGUUGAAUGCCAGAUAAUUGGUAAUAUUAGUAAACAUCAGGAAAUGCCUAUGAACCAUUCACCUGUUAUUGAACCAUUCGAUGUUUGGGGCUUCUAUUAUAUGGGACCUUUUCCUUCCUCUAAUGGGUAUACACAUAUUCUAGUUGUCGUUGAUUACGUUACUAAGUGGGUAGAAGCUAUUCCAACUAGUAGAGGUGAUCAUAACACUUCUAUUAAGAUGCUUAAAGAAGUUAUUUUUCCGAGGUUUGGAGUCCCUAGAUCUUUAACAACUGAUGGUGGUUCAAAUUUUAUUCAUGGUGCUUUCCGUAAAAUGCUUGCUAAGUAUGAUAUUAAUCAUAGAAUUGCAUCUCCAUAUCAUCCUCAGUCUAGUGGUCAAGUAGAAUUGAGAAAUACAGAGAUUAAAUUAAUUUUGCAAAAUAUUGUUAAUAGAUCAAGAAAGAAUUGGUCUAAGAAGCUUGAUGAUGCUUUGUGGGCUUAUAGAACUGCUUAUAAGAAUCAUAUGGGUAUGUCUCCAUAUAAAAUGGUUUAUGGAAAAGCAUGUCACUUACCACUUGGGCUAGAACAUAAGGCAUAUUAGUCUAUUAAAGAGCUCAAUUAUGAUUUUAGACUUGCCGGUGAUAAGAGGUUAUUUAUAUUAGCUCACUUGAUGAAUGGAGAACCCAAGCCUACGAGAAUGCCAAGUUGUUUAAAGAAAAAGUUAAAAGAUGGCAUGAUAAAAAUGAUACAUAAGUGUGAGUUUAAUGUAGGUGAUCAUGUUUUGCUAUACAACUCUCGUUUAAGGUUUUUUUGCAGGAAAGCUUCUCUCUAAAUGGGAAGGGCCUUACAUUAUCGAGGAGGUCUAUCGUUCUGGUGCCAUAAAAAUCAACAAUGUCAAAGGUAAAAAUCCGAAGGUGGUAAACAGUCAAAGACUUAAACAUUAUAUCUUAGGUACUCCCAUAAAUGUUGAGACAAAUAUAAUUAAUACCGUAACCCCGUAGGAGUACAAAAGGGACACUUUCUAGAAUGUCUCAGACUCCGAAAAGGAAUAUGUAUGUGGUACGGUAAGUAAACCGACUCCAAAACAUUUCCAAUGAUAAAUUUUCUCCAUUUUGGAAUAUUCAAAGAAUUAGGAAAAUUAAAAGCACUCCGAAAGAGACAUGAGGCCACCAUAAGGGUGGAGGGCGCACCCCCGACCUUGUGGCCACCUCAUGUGCCCUCCGGACUCCGUUUUCUUGCAGAAUACUUCUUUUGGUCAGUAAAAAUUCAUUAUAUAAUCUCUCGAAUGUUUUGACCACCGUACCACGCAAAAAUCUCAUGUUUUCGUUUUGAGUUGUUUCUGCAGCAGAUUAAGAGCGAGAUGUCAUCCCAAGAUUUAGAGGGAGAAAGCUACAUGGCUGGUUAUAUCACAAACCCAAAAGUAUAUGGGGAUGUGGAACAUUAUGGUUGGACCAUGGAGGAAGAAGACUAUGAGCCAAAGAGUAAGGAGGAGACAAGUUCUGAUGAGGAGGACGAACCACUAACCCAACCAGGCAAUAUGCAUGUGGAGUUCAAGAAGUCAAGCCUCCCUAAGGUCCGAUCUAUCCCACCAUGUUUUUUGCAGGACAACAAGGUGGAACUAUUAAAAAAGAUAUUGAAGCUUGAGCUCAAUAAUGAGGAGCUAAGGGAGGAAAAUUUUAUCCUCUGACGUGAGUUGGAGAAGAAGAAUACAACUCCUUCAUCACCACCUCUGAAGAAAGAGAUUUAAUUACACGGGUAUGGGCACUCCCCUUGGCAACUGCCAGGCUAGGGGGAGUGCCCUAGUAUCAUAUCACCAUCACAUCUUUAUCUUUAUUGCUUUUCUUAGUUCGAUCGUUUUGGUUAUUUCUUGAUCUAGUAGAAUAAAGUUAUUAGUAUGAUCUAGCUUUGAGUUUUGCUUCUAUCUCUAUCUAUGUAAUCGAGCCCGUGAGAUAUAUAAUAAAAAGAGUAGUUUUGAGUAAAGGACUUUGCUUUCUUGCAAUAAUCUUGAGGGAAUUAAAUAAAAAGAAAGAAUAAAAAAGAAAUAAAAAGGAUCAUAUAUUGAUCUUAUGGAGAGUAAUGACUGCACAUAUAAAGAGUAUGAUGAAUAAAAGUUAUUGAGAGUUGACAAAACAUAGUUUUGGUCGUUGUUGCAAUAAAUAGGAAGUAAUAAAGAAAGAGAGGCUUCACAUAUAAAUAUACUAUGUUGGAAAUCUUUUAAUUGUGAGCACUCAUUAAAAUAUGACAUGCUAAAAGGUUGAUGUUGGACAAGGAAGACAACAUAAGGAGUUAUGUUUUCUUAUAUCCGAAUAGAAGUAUAUUGUUUUGGAUCGUCCAACAUGUUGAGCUUGCCUUUCCCUCUCAUGCUAGCCAAAAUCUUUGCACCAAGUAGAGAUACUACUUGUGCUUCCAAAUAUCCCUAAACCCAGUUUUGCCAUGAGAGUCCACCAUACCUACCUAUGGAUUGAGUAAGAUCCUUCAAGUAUGUUGUCAUCGGUGCUAGCAAUAAAAAUUGCUUUCUCUAAAUAUGUAUGAUCUAUUAGUGUGAAGAAAAUAAGCUUUAUACGAACUUGUGAUAUGGAAGAAAUAAAAGAGAUGGACUGCAUAAUAAAGGUCCUUAUCACAAUGGCAAAAUAAAGUGAUGUUCUAUUGCACUAAGAUUUUGUACAUCUAACCAUAAAAGCGCAUGACAACCUCUGCUUCCCUCUGCGAAGGGCCUAUCUUUUACUUUUAUCUCCUACCCUUAUACAAGAGUCACGGUGAUCAUCACCUUUCCUUUUACAGUUUUUCCUUUGGUAAGCUCUUUGUGUUGGAGAGAUCCGGAUAUCUAUAUAUAUAUAUAUAUCCACUCGAAUGUAAGUUAUCAUAAAGUAUUAUUGUUGACAUUACCCUUGAGGUAAAUAGUUGGGAGGCGAAACUAUAAGCCCCUAUCUUUCUCUGUGUCCGAUUGAAACUUUGUAACCAUAAGUAUCGCGUGAGUGUUAGCAAUUGUGAAAGAUUAUAUGAUAGUUGAGUAUGUGGACUUGCUGAAAAGCUCUUAUUUGACUCUUACCGAUGUUAUGAUAAAUUGCAAUUGCUCCAAUGACUGAGAUCAUAUUUUGUUAGUUUUUAAUGAAGUUUCUGAUUCAUACUUUACCUUGUGAACGAAUUGUUACUUUAACAUAAGAAAUUAUAUGGCAUUCUAUGUUGUUGUUCUAAAGAUAAUCAUGAUGCUCUCGUGUCCGUGUUUUAUUUUAUCGACACCUCUAUCUCUAAACAUGUGGACAUAUUUAUCCAUACCGGCUUUCGCUUGAGGAAAAGCGAGGUCUAAGCUUGGGGGAGUUGAUACGUCCAUUUUUCAUCAUGUUUUUAUAUCAAUAUUUAAUGCAUUAUAGGCUGUUAUUACACAUUAUAUCACAAUACUUAUGCAUAUUCUCUCUUAUUUUACAAGGAGUACAUGAAGAGGGAGAAUGCUGGCAGCUGGAACUCUGGACUUGAAAAGGAGCAAAUAUUAGAGACCUAUUCUGCACAACUCCAAAAGUCUUGAAACUUCACGGAGAUUGUUUUUGGAAUAUAUAAAAAAUAUUGGGUGAAGAAAGAACCAGAGGGGGGCCACCAGCCAGCCACAAUGCUGGAGGGCGUGCCCCACCCCCUGGGCGCACCCCCUGACCUUGUGGGCCCCCUGGCAGGCCUCCGGUGCCCAUCGUCUGCUAUAUGGUGUCUUUUACCCUAGAAAGAAUCAUAAGGAAGCUUUCGGGAUGAAGCCCCUCUGUCUCACAGUGGAACCUGGGAAGAACCAAUCUAGAGCUUCGGUGGAGCUGUUCUGCCGAGGAAACAUCCCUCCCACGGAGGGGGAAAUCAUCGCCAUCAUCAUCACCAUCGAUCCUCUCAUCGAGGGAGGGUCAAUCUCCAUCAACAUCUUCACCAGAACCAUCCCCUCUCAAACCCUAGUUCAUCUCUUGUAUUCGAUCUUGGUCCCAAAACCUCAGAUUGGUUCCUGUGGGUUGCUAGUAGUGUUGAUUACUCCUUGUAGUUGAUGCUAGUUGGUUUAUUCGGUGGAAGAUCAUAUGUUCAGAUCCUUAAUGAUAAUUAAUACUCCAUUGAUUAUGAUUGUGAAUAUGCUUUGUGGGUAGUUACGUUUGUUCCUAGGGUCAUGGGAGAAGUCUUGUUAUAAGUAAUCAUGUGGAUUUGCUAUUUGUUCGAUAUUUUGAUGAGACAUAUGUUGUCUCUCCUCUAGUGGUGUUAUGUGAACGUCGACUACAUGACACUUCACCAUUAUUUGGACCUAGGGGAAUGCAUUGGGAAGUAAUAAGUAGAUGAUGGGUUGCGAGAGUGACAGAAGCUUAAACCCUAGUUUAUGUGUUGCUUCGUAAGGGGCUGAUUUGGAUCCAUAUGUUUCAUGAUGGUUAGGUUUACCUUAAUACUUCUUUCGUAGUUGCGGAAGCUUGCGAGAGGGUUUCAUCAUAAGUGGGAUGCUUGUCCAAGGAAGGGAAGCAUCCAAGCACCGGUCCACCCACAUAUUAAACUAUCAAAAUAACGAACACGAAUGAUAUGAGCAUGAUGAAAACUAGCUUGACAAUAAUUCCCAUGUGUCCUCGGGAGUGCUUUGCUUUAUAUAAGAGUUCAUGCAGGCUUGUACUUUGAUACAAAAAGGAUUGGGCCACCUUGCUGCAUCUUGUUUACUUCUAUUACUUGUUACCUGUUAGGAUUUAUCUGAUCACAAAACUAUCUAUUACCGAUAAUUUCAGUGCUUGAAGAAAAUACCUUGCUAAAAACCCCUUUUCAUUUCCUUCCGCUCCUCGUUGGGUUCGACACCCUUACUUAUCAAAAGGACCACGAUAGAUCCCCUAUACUUGUGGGUCAUCACAUGCCUACAUUCUAGGGGAGUCAGUUCUCUCUCCCUCGACAUAUAUGUUUGAUCUUUGUUAGAGAAAUCAUCAAGGAAAGAAUUAUUCUCUCCAACAAGCAAGGCUAUGAACUACUCUCAGACAACAUGCUUGAGCAAACAAUUGUAUUCAUUGAUGACAAUCAGGGUGUGGCUAUAGCUCUAAACUCUGUAGACUAAACCUCCCCAAGAUUGGUCCUCUCUGUGAAGACAUAAUGGACUUGUUAUCUGGUUUAGAAGAGCAUCGGGUGAAGUGGAAUAGAAGAACAACCAAUAGGGCUGAUCGCAUCUUUGAAAAGGAAGGUUGCCUGAAUAAUUUAUGUAAAACUUAGUUUCAUGUUUUUCCUCUUUGUAUUUCUGACAUUGUAGCUGCUGAGGCCGUGGACUAGUUAAUAAAUGCAUGAUUUGAAUUCACAUAACGUAGAUUAGCAUGAGUGUUCUUCAACUAAUGAGACUGUGAUCCUGAAGCCUUUGGAGUAUUUUUUGAUAGGUGCCUCUAUCUGUAUGGGAAAUUUGCUAUUGAAAGUCCCGCUAAGUGUCCCCUUCCUCCAUUCUGGAAGAAAAAAAAUAGAGUUGGAUGUGGAGGGUUGUUGUACCGAAAUUUUGGCACAUAUAUAAGAAAGCGGGAUCCAAAUUUGGUGUGAAGCUCGCGUGGCUGAAUGCCGCAGGGGGGAUCUCUCUCGCGGCAACCCCUUGUCUACGGGCCGCAGCACUUUGUGGAGGCCAGCGGUGACCCGAUCCGUGCGUGGGCGUACAGGUGGGUCUCGACGAACGGUGGGCGGGAUGUGAGGAUCGGACCUCAUCGGGCUGCGGUGUCCUGCGGCCUAACUUGCGCGAUGGCGGGCCUAGCACGGGUCGGUGAAUUUCUUCUAGAUCGGCCCUGCAUUUGGCUUCGUCCAGAUUGACGCCUAGUCAAAGGGCGAUGUCGUCUACGCGACUAAUGGCGUUGCCGGCGCCUUCAGCCACGGGGAUGAUGAGGUGCCACCGGCAGCAACCCUUGAGCAACACGACCUUCCUCAUCGCUAGAUCUGGAGGGUUGAGCCCCAUGGCACUCUCUUCCGUGUAUGCUCUGGUUGAUGGCUCAUCCGGAGAAAAUGGUGGUUGGUGGUGUAGGAUUGGAAUCGAAGGAAACUUUCACUACAAGAAAUAUGUCAACUUGUGACCACCACUAUUGGUCACUGAAUGGUCACAAAUUUCCAUUUGUGACCUUUUUGUGACCAAAAACAUAAGGUCAAAAGCUGGCCGUCAUAAACUAACUAUAGCGACCUUUCUUCUGGAAUGGUCGAAGAUGUUUAUGACCAAAAUACGUCUACUGUGGCGUUUUGGUCACUAGCAACCUCCCCAGGCCACGUAGGCAUCCAGCGUGGCAAUCUGACGUGGCACAAGAUUCAGCCCGGUCCAAUUCGAUUUUCUACAUGGGCCUAGCCCAACAAUUCGGCCUUUUCAAUAUAUAUUUAUUUCUGUUAAUUUUCACUAGCUACAUGGGCCUAGCCCAUUUUAUUUUCUAGGACGUUGCCUUCUAUAAUUCAUUUCUUUUUUGGGCCUCGGCCCUUUUACAAUCCAAUCUAUUUUGGGCCUCCACAACAUGCAUUUAGAAGCUUGACAUCUCAGCAUGUACAAAUGUAUCCAAACCAUUUUAUUUCUUUCAACACAAAAGGAUUCAUUACAUAGCCACGAUAAUAGAUAGUAGAUACAUUCGACAGAGACUGAAUUAACAUAGAAAUGAAGCAACAAAGGGCAGUCUGAGAAAAGGAACUACAUGGGACUACAACAACAUGGGACUAGAGCUACCAUUUCUAUUUCUACCAGCAUUUGUAGACGCUUGCAAGAGAGGGAGAGAGAUCAUCCAUCAUCAAUCAGUGACAGUAGCGACGUUCGAGAGACCCCCUCCCCCUGCUGCUUCGCGUGCCUGCUACUGCUUGUUGUGCCGCAUCACUAGUCGCCCUACACACAAGAAUUUUGGCUUUACAUAAGGUUUACAAGAACAGGACCCUGAUACAUGAGAUUGACAUUCACAAGUUAUUUUCAUUUUUAUUAAGAACUGUGUCACACCAUUUACAUUACUAGUUAUGUAUUGACAUACUUAUCUAAAAGAACAUAUACAGAAACAUAUGAAUUUUAUUUAUGAAUACCAAUACAGAAGUACUAAAAAAACAAGACUAGAAAUCAGUAGAAGGUAACAAGAGCUCAUUACACAAGUUUUGCUAGCAAUUAGGGGACCCUGGUUCCUAUACUGACCACAUUUGGGCAUAUCCUACCCUACCAGUGGAUAAAUAAUGCAACUUUAUGACUGUCAAGUAGGCCUACAGAUCAAUGAUGGAGCAGACUCAAACAUUACAAACACAACAGCUGAUGCGCGCCAUGGAGCACGAUCUGAAUGUUGUUCCUCGUUUAUUAAACUUAAGGACAAGAAAAGCACUCAGGUUGCAUCUUUCGCAGACACGACAACAUACAUGAGCCAAAUUAACAAACAAGAGGUGCAGAUCUGGAACCAGUCGUCAUCAUCAAAUGAAGCGUUUCAUCACCGUGCACUGAUUGAAGGGCACAUGCUAACCUAUACCAAUGUUGAUGACCCCCACAAACAGACCACCAUGGCUCAACACACCGACCGGCCAGAGUCUUACCUUUGUUUUAGCCAUGCACGCUAGCUGUUGAGCAGAGCAGAGCAGCGGGAGGAGGACUGUCGCAGCAAGAAGAGAAGGUUCCUUGACUUGACGACCACCAGAUGUACAUCAUGCCUGCCCAGAGUAAAUAGACGGAGAACGAGUGAGACAAUGCAGCGAGGAGAGACAGUGAAGAUAGUUCUUGAAGGUCAAAAGAUAAUACACCAAAUGUGCAUGAAAGACAAUACAGUAAACACCAUCUUGUUUAUAGCAAGGCAAUAUAGUAGCAUGUCUCUAGCACAUCAUCUCAUUUAAAGAAUGCAUUCAGGCAAGAAAUGGACAGUUGGUCUAAUUUUCUCACACUUGGCAUUUUCACAGUUAACACCAUAAUGUAAAAGACCAAGCUUCUCUAGGCUGGCCAAUUGACUCAUACUACUAGAUAAGCAAAGUAAACUACUACCAAAAUAAGAACCAGACAUGGCAAGCAAACCACUCGGUUGCUCUUAUUGAUGAUAAUCACAGCAGGAAAUAAGCCCAAAUGAUUGGACAACAUUGAAUUCUGCACCAGAAUCAAGUGGAUUCUGCAAAAUUACAUUGCUACAAAAGCACAAUCACAUGGCACAGAUCACUACUGAAAUGAAUCACUACUUUUGAUAUGUCAGUUUACCAAAAGAAAAAACACAAGUUCAGUUGUUACAACCAAAGAACUAACAGGGCUUUGGCAAUCAUUCAGCAAUUCCCAUCUAGCCAGCAGCAAUACCACUAGUACUUAACCAAAGUCAACAAGUAGUAAGCAACAGAACCAGCUAGUAGAUACAAGCAACACACUCUAAACAGGAAUUGAUUUUGAUGUCAGUUUCUAGUUUACCAAAAGAAACUGACAUAUGUUGCAUCAAGGAACACCUACAACUGCAGCAUCGAUUUGAUUGUGUGGAAAUUUGUGGAGGGGAAUGGGUGAGACAGUGUAGUGGGGAGAGAAAUCUCAAGUACCUCAACACAGCGGUGUUAGGAACGGACGACGACAGCAUCCUGCGCCGGCGUCCCAUGUACGGCACCAGACACGGCUGCGUCGCUGCCGGCAGAGGGCUCUCCCGACGCGCGACCAUCAAGAAGGAGGUGAGCAGGCCCGGCUCGAUGGCGCAGACGGGGGAGUGCGGUCGGAGACGGCGGAACCGGCGACGCAGCUGAUCUGGAUAUGGAUCAACGGUGGGAUACCUACAUCAAGAUUCAAGAAUCAAGGUUUCAUCAGUAAAUCAUAAGUAAGAAAAUCUCAAGUCAACUUUCCUGAAUCAACUAGACUUCACUGUGUAGGUACUACCAAGUACCAACAACUUAAAUGGCUAAGUACUACGCUUUAGUUCUACAUCUCUACAGUUCUAUAUUUACCAGCCCAAUUUCCCACAGACCGAUUCACAGUUAUUAUAGCUUGCAGGUUAAGCCUAGGGAAUCAAAGGAAAUACACAUCAGAAAUGCUAGGUACAUAUUUGUAUAGCACUACAAUGUUCCACACUUAAUUUGCACAAAAAACCAUAGGAGGUUUGUUGUACUCGAUUAGGAAACAGUGACAAUGGCGGGGUGAAUAAUUUCAUCUAUGCAUAUACAAGGAUGACAUUGUGAGGUACUAGCACACACAAAGAACUAGUUUACCAAUCAGGCUAUCGCUGCUCGAAAUGCAUUGCUCGUUGCUAGAAUUCACUGCCAAGGUACUAACAAAAUAAUAAAUACCUAUGUGUCAAGCUACAGAUCUACCUUUCUACAUGUUCUCAAGCAGAGAAAAAUGCUUUGUGUGUGCACUGCGUGCCUACUCCGGCCUCCUUACAUUGCAGAUCAGCUCCCCAUGGAAACCACAAGCCGCCAAGAGGUUGUCUUUCACCGUCAUGGUGCUGAUCUUCUCCUGGACAAGGGCCGACCUCCCUGCAUAUCCUGCAUAGUGUGGUCGCACAGUGGAUCAGAGAUUGACCGAAAUUCCGACGAUAGAGGACUAUCACAUCGCUUUGUGGUAGAUCACCUGACUUGGGCCUGCCACGUUGAGCACUUCUUUUCCUUUGCGGAGUAAGGACGACCAAUGCAUCACGGAAUAGUUCUACAUCACGUACACAUCAUGCUUGGAAGUAGCCCACAUGAUGUUCCUCAGCUGCACAUGUACAAGUAUACGGUCAGUGCGUUCGUACCAGAUUUCUUCUUAAAACUCUGCAGAAAUACAAUGAUGCAAAUGAGCGGCAUUUUAUUCAAGUACACCGAAUUCUACUGCGAUAACAAACAAGAUCGCCCGAUGGAGGACAUAAUAGUGAGCUUCUGUUAAAAUUUCUCGGGUAAUUACAACUAUGUGAUUCUACUGUUAAUCUAGAUCUCCUUCAGGUUUUGAUUCAUUUAAUCAAACAAUAGAACACAACUGCUAGAAACUGUUAAGACAUACAUAUUAUGUGCACGCCAAAAAAUAGCAGAUCUAUGAAGGGGGGUGUCUAUUAGCAAAUUUUAGUCUAAAUACAACUUAGGCAGGAAAAUGCUUAGUGUAACUAAUGAACUGAUGUUGUUUGCGUUUCUGAACUUUGCUAAAUGAACUCUAGACGAAUACACCAAAAACUAAUGAACUCUAUCUCCACAGACUCCAUCUCUAGACAAAUGAUACAUUCUCAUUCACAUUCACUGGAGAAUAAUCAACAUCAUUACUGGCAGUUUGUGGCACCUUCAAGAUUUUUAUAUAUAUAAACAAAAUUUUCAACGGUGGGCAAUCAGUCAAUUAGGCACCCAAACACAAUAGUAGUAUAAUCGUCGCUAGCCCAGCUACUCAGAUCCGAUCAAUGAGGCCAACUACUAAUCAUAAUGUUUCCCCUGCCUACUAUGGAUCAUUGCUGCUAACAACCCAUCCAGACUCCCUUGCAAGAUGCCAAAAAGAAUCGGAUCCAUCGGAAAUAGCUACUGGCCAACUGCCUACUGCUAGUGCUAGCCAUCAGUGGGGAUAGAUCGGACUGAGUAAUUACCUGUGAUGGCGGCCACACACGGCUCGGCGAAGUGCCCACUUCAGACGACCACGGCAUCAAACCUCCUCCUCCAGCUUGCUGCCAGUGCAGGCGAGCCUCACCCUCCAGCCCGCGUCGUCGUCCCUGCUGCGGCGGACGCUCACCACCUCCGUCCCGAACUGGACCAGCCCGAGGGGUCGAACCACCGCAUAAACUCCUCGAGGUUCCGCGGGUCGGCAGAGGAGCGGUCCGCGACGACGACCACUGCGUCCCGAAGAUCUUGGCCGCGAUCUCCUCGUUCUACGGUGGCAAGUUGGAUAUGGGAGUGGGUAGAGCAUCUAGGAGUGGGGAGAGGAUCUGGGGUGGGGAGGUGUGGCGGAGGUGGGUGGCGGCGAGGAGAGGGGUGGGNNNNNNNNNNNNNNNNNNNNNNNNNNNNNNNNNNNNNNNNNNNNNNNNNNNNNNNNNNNNNNNNNNNNNNNNNNNNNNNNNNNNNNNNNNNNNNNNNNNNNNNNNNNNNNNNNNNNNNNNNNNNNNNNNNNNNNNNNNNNNNNNNNNNNNNNNNNNNNNNNNNNNNNNNNNNNNNNNNNNNNNNNNNNNNNNNNNNNNNNNNNNNNNNNNNNNNNNNNNNNNNNNNNNNNNNNNNNNNNNNNNNNNNNNNNNNNNNNNNNNNNNNNNNNNNNNNNNNNNNNNNNNNNNNNNNNNNNNAGGAGUCUGGAUCGGGGAGUGCUAGGGUUUGCCCGCGGGGGAGAGAGGACGGGACAAGGAGUGGUGUGCGGGGGAGAGAGGAGGUCCCGGUGGGUGGGUGAGAGGGUGAGAGGGUGUGGGCCGUUGGAUCCGGGACUAUCCAACGGUCUCUAAUGCUUGAUCCGCGUGACAUGCUCGUAGACCAAUCAGAACGAAGUACAGGAUUUGAUGAUGUUAUGACCAUCUAAACUGGUCGCAAUCGAUUAACAAUAGGUGGCUGAUACGAGUCAGUCAGAUGAUUUUGUCUAGAAAUCAUCCGCCUAGCUAGGCGCUUGAUCUGCGCAUUGGUGAUUGUUCGAUCACAUCAAUAUGUCACGACAGCACCGAGCAUGAAAAAACUUCAACGCAGCACCGAUGACAUCCCCACGAAGCUCCAUUGCGGCUGUCAAUGGCGCGCCAAGAGCUCCAACGCAGCACCACGGUGUCCGGCGAAGCUCCAUUGCGGCUCGGGGGAGCUCCAACGCAGCACCACGACGCCCGGCGGUAAGUUCCCUUCUCUUUUUAUGACAACGUCUAAGUACGAUUCCCUCGAAUAACUAGAGGUACUUUCAUACUAGGUGAGAUUUUCGUCGAUUCACUAGGAAGCGGGUCAAAUUUUAACUACAACUGCCUCAUAGUUUGUUCAAAUGAUCUAAUAUUAUGCACAAUGGUGCAUCUUGGAAUGGCAAACAAUGUUGUCUAAGGAAGUUUUCAUUUUUUUGCAUGGAAAAUUCAUUUUCCAUUUUCCGAGUGCCCGAAACAAGGCUUUUUUGGGAAGGACCUACCAAAUAUUUGUCGCAAAAUUGGACCAAAUCAAUUUUAUAAAAUACUAGGCCAUAUUUAAUGCACAAUUGACCAAAUGUUUGGGUGUAAAAAGCUUUUGAUCCACCUCUCGUGAAAAAGACAAAUUCCCGCCGAUUCAGCUGGAAGCGGGUCAAAUUUGAACUGUAGUUGCCUCAUAGUUUGCUAUUUAUAUUUUCCAAAAAUCAUUUCUAGGUACAUAAGUAUCUAUUUAAUCAUAGAAACACCAAAAAAAUUCCAAGAUUCAACCACUAGCUAGGAACGCUCAAGCCCGCCGUUUUGACCGCAUUUUGAAACGGGCAUAAAAAAUUCAAAAAAAUCAAAAAAUUGGGAAACCUUCGCAUUGUGUCAUUAUAUGUGGCCAAGUUCCCAGGAAAAAUAACAAACUUGUAAUACGGCAAUUAUUUUAAAAAAGUGUUCUCAAAAACGAGCUAUCACGUGUGGAGAUCAAUGGCUUUCAAGCCAAAUGAUCAAUCUUAUGGCCACAUCCAUGGCAUAGUUUGUUCAAAUGAUCUCAUAUUGUGCACAAGGGUGCAUAUUGGAAUGGCAAACAAUGUUGCCUAAGGAAGAUUUCAUUUUCUUUGGACGAAAAAACCAUUUUCCAUUUUUUGAGUGCCCAAAAGGAGGUUCUUUUGUGAAGGACCUACCAAAUAAUUGUUGCAAAAUUGGACAAAAUCAAUUUUCUAAAAUACUAGGACAUGUUUAAUGCACAAUUGACCAAAUUGUUGGGUGUCAAAAGUUUUGAUCCACCUCUGGUGAAAACGACAAAUUCCGUCGAUUCAGCUGUAACGGGUUAAAUUUGAACUACAGCUGCCUCAUAGUUUGCUCUUUAUUUUUUUCAAAAAUCAUUUCUAGGUACAUAAGUAUCUAUUUAAUCAUAGAAACACCAAAAAAAUUCCAAGAUUCAACCACUAGCUAGGAACGGUCAUUCCUGCCGUUUUGACCGCAUUUUAAAACGGGCAUAAAAAAUUCAAAAAAAAUUCAAAAAUUUGGGAAACCUUCGCACUGUGUCAUUAUAUGUGGCCAAGUUCCUAGGAAAAAUAAUAAACUUGUAAUACGACAAUUAUUUUAAAAAAGUGUUCUCAGAUACGAGCUAUCACGUGUGGAGAUCAAUGGCUUUCAAGCCAAAUAAUCAAUCUUAUGGCCACAUCCAUGGCAUAGUUUGUUCAAAUGAUCUCAUAUUGUGCACAAGGGUGCAUAUUGGAAUGGAAAACAAUGUUUCCUAAGGAAGUUGUCACUUUCUUUGGACGAAAAAACCAUUUUCCAUUUUUUGAGUGCCCAAAAGGAGGUUUUAUUGUGAAGGACCUACCAAAUAAUUGUUGCAAAAUUGGACCAAAUCAUUUUUCUAAAAUACUAGGCCAUAUUUAAUGCACAAUUGACAAAAUGGUUGGGUGUAAAAAGUUUUGAUCCACCUCUCAUGAAAAAGACAAAUUUCCGCCGAUUCAGCUGGAAGCGGGUCAAAUUUGAACUGUAGCUACCUUGUAGUUUGCUCUUUAUUUUUUCAAAAAUCAUUUCUAGGUACAUAAGUAUCUAUUUAAUCAUAGAAACACCAAAAAAAUUCCAAGAUUCAACCACUAGCUAGGAACGGUCAUUCCCGCUGUUUUGACCGCAUUUUGAAAUAGGCAUAAAAAAUUCAAAACAAUCAAAAAUUUGGGAAACCUUCGCAUUGUGUCAUUAUAUGUGGCCAAGUUCCUAGGAAAAAUAAUAAACUUGUAAUACGGCAAUUAUUUUAAAAAGGUGUUCUCAGAAACGAGCUAUCACGUGUGGAGAUCAAUGGCUUUCAAGCCAAAUGAUCAAUCUUAUGGCCACAUCCAUGGCAUAGUUUGUUCAAAUGAUCUCAUAUUGUGCACAAGGGUGCAUAUUGGAAUGGCAAACAAUGUUGCCUAAGGAGUUUUCAUUUUCGUUGGACGAAAAAACCAUUUUCCAUUUUUCAAGUGCCCGAAAGGAGUUUUUUUUGUGAAGGAACUACCAAAUAAUUGUUUCAAAAUUGGACCAAAUCAUUUUUAUAAAAUACUAGGCCAUAUUUAAUGCACAAUUGACAAAAUGGUUGGGUGUAAUUUUUUUUGAUCCACCUCUCGUGAAAAAGACAAAUUUCCGCCGAUUCAGUUGGAAGCGGGUCAAAUUUGAACGGCAGCUUCCUCAUAGUUUGCUAUUUAUUUUUUCCAAAAAUCAUUUCUAGUUACAUAAGGACCUAUUUAAUCAUAAAUACAUGGUUUGGUGGCGAUACAUCGAGGUUUGGGCGGUGGCCGAGGGCCCCAACUCUAGAGCGCGUAAACUCGCAUGCCCGUCGCGUGGUCACCGCGUGACCGUAAUGUUGCCAUGUGUUCUAGGCGGCCUAGGCAUGUCUAGUGGGUUGGGCACUCCCCAGGUUGGUGCUAGGAAGAAAAUUACAACAUAAAAUUCUCACGAGGAGACCGAUCGAUUCUCAAACAUGAAUUAGCAGCCAAGUGUUUGAUUAGCGGUACGGGAAAUGCACAUGGCCAAUGGGCGUGAGUUUUGGCUGAGGAUGAUCAUCUACUCAGGAGAAUGUCUUCACAAAUUUUUAGCUCAAAAGGAGGAUCCUAGGUGGUACUUGCUUUGCAAAGUACCACGCUGGACAAAAAUAUGAUUGUUGAAGGUGGGCUCAAAAUAAUGAAUGGAGUGAGCUGAAAUUUUGUGGAGUAUGGUUAUUUGGGCAUAGGAAAGCAUUGUAGAAAAUUGAUACCAUUUGGACAUGCCAAAGUAGUACUUCCUUCACAAUGCUCUUCUAUGGACAGAAACUUGGGAAAACUAGUGAGAGAGAUUGGAUGAAUGCAAUGAGCUCAAAAUUGGUGUAGGUAAGUUACUUAGGUAUGGUCAUGCUCUGGUAAAUUUUCAGAUCAUUUGGGUAAGCCUAGCUAGUACUUACUUCACAAAGCUUCUCUCGAGGUAGAAACUUUGAAAAUUUCCCGAGAAAGAUUUACUAGGAAAAUUUAGCUGAAUAUUAUCAUGUGGCAAUCAUUUGGGUAUGGAAGAGUGCCAGAAAAGUUUGAGGGUAAUAGGAGGGGUCUAUAUAACACUUGCUUUGCAACGUGCCAAUUUGGCCAUAAAACAUAAAUUGAACCUGGGCUCACAUAGAUGAUUUGACUGAGCUGCAAUUUGGAGGAGGUUGAUAAUUUGGGCAUAUGAAGGAACUGUAUAAAUUUCAUGUCAUUUAGAGAUAUAAAAUAGGUACUUCCUUCACAAUGCUUCUAGGUGGACAAAAACUUUGGAAAUUUGCCGAGGAAGAUUUGCUAGGCAAAUGGAGCUGAAUUUUGUCAUGCGGUAAUAAUUUGGAUAGGAAAGAGUGCCCAAAAAUUCCGAGGGCAAUCAAGAAUAUAUAAAUAGCACUUCCUUCAUAAAGUGUUGUUGUGAACAGAAUAGGAAAAUGAAUAUUGUUGAAUUAGUUUUGAACUAGGCAAAGAAGGAUUUUUACAUAUUUGAUGAAGAUAUGCCCCAAAGAAUUUAUGAGAUUUUUUUGGGAAUUUUGGGAAUGAUAGAAAUAUAGGUUGCUUCACAACCUAGGGCAAAAACUGCCACAUGGACAUGACACAUAGGUAAAACUGAUGAGAUGGCGCCUAGUCAUCACAACCCACCACAAUCUACAAGUCUAUGACCAUCUAUAUUGGUCAUUAACAACUAGAAAUAAGGCAGCGGACUAGCACUAUUUGCUUUGUGACCAUUUCAUGUAAGGAAAUUACGACCUUUCUGACCAAAAUGGUCGCAAUGGUUUAGGGUUUGGAGCCCCCUGAACAGCUUUUGACCAAUUGGUCUAAAAUGGUCAUAAAUUUAUGACCAAUUCUUCGAGGGUCACUGAUAGAAGGUCAUAAGUUGACAUAUUUCUUGUAGUGUUUGGUCGGCUGUUCCGGCCCGGCAGCAGCGACGUCUUUCAAUGUCGUUGUCCUCCUUGGGGAGCAAAGCCGAGGUCCAUCCUAUCCACCCCUGACCCCACCCCCUCCCGGACGAAAGUCCAAAAUCCGCGUGAUUGGACAGCUACAGGUGGGCUCUGGAUGGCAAAGGGCAGUGGCGCUGGUGCAGAGGUUCACAGGUGGAGCGGUGUGUUAUCUACCAUGUGAAGAAGAUGAGUAUUGGCGGCAUGGUGCAGCUGGGAUCUCGACGACGGACAUGUCUGGAUGGACGAGCGGAGGGUAGUCGCACUGUUUGGCACCAUGGUGGCGUCGACGAUAGGGCUGACAAGAACGAUUCAUCAGCACCCACUCUGAAGAUGGAUCUGUGGAAGAUGGUGGCAAAGACCCAUGAGAGGGCGUCGGACCAGUUUGUAGCGCACACCUGGUAUGUGGCUUGGUUGCGGCCUUCAGCUUUUGAUUUUAGGCUUAGGUGAGAGAUCCGAUUAUUCGGCUCGGGCUUACUGCACCGCCUUCAUACAUUGGAUAGGAGUAGCGACAGAUGUUUCCAAGAUGGUGGAUUCAGACAUAUUGAUGUAUUACUUUGUAAAGUCUUUGUGAAUAACGAAUAAAAUGGCUGUAUGCAUCUCCUAGAUGUAGAGGCCGGGGCCAUCCUCCUUUUUUUAAAGGAGUAGUAUGAUGUUCCAGCGAUCAUCAUUGGAGCUGUAAUUGGCGACUUAAUUAGCCCAGACUUUUUCCACCAAUGCAAACAUACCUAAGCCCAGAGAUGCUCUUCAAGCCAUCUCGCGAACCGACAACUUUGUGAUCCCUGGAUGUGACCUCGUAGACCAUCCCCUGUGUUUUACCCCUCCUCUAGCUACUGCUCGUGGUGCCAUCGUACUCCUAUAAGAAGGCCAUGCUGAAAUUUCAGACCGAAAAGACAUGUUUAACGUGCCCAAAUAUGGUGAUUGGCUACACUGUGGGUACAACAACCAACAACAAGACUUGCUUAUAGAGAAAAACAAACAGAACAUACAGCAAAACAAAGUACCUAGAGGACCAACCAACCAGGUAUAGGUUUUAUACACAGCCCGUAGGCGGGGCGGCAACACAUCCACGACACACUAGAAUAUGGACUUCACAAUGACAUCAACACACGGCAACGGUUUUCGUUCACAGGGUUACAAGCCCAAAGUUCCGACACGAGAAUAUUCAUCUACGUUUUACAUGCCCCUUUAGUGCUAGACACCCUUUGAAAACCACUACAUCUUCGGAGACACAUGGACCGCAUAAUGCAAGGGAUUGUAUGGGGCCACACUCUUUCCCCUUCACUUGCCGCUACUUAGGAGUUAGGAUCACAUGCCACGAUCUGCUCUUCGAGCUGCAUCAAAAGAUGAAUAAUAGGUCAAUGAUUAAGAAAAGUACCUUCCGAAAAAUUAUUUAAGAUAAGUCUAUGGCACAUAAUGGUGCUCAAGUCACAUGGUUUCACUAAUCAGCCAUGUUACAAGUUAGCUAGUUUCUUAUUUGGGCACUUGGCAAAGCAUAAUUUAAGCUGGGAAACAAAGAAUUUCUACCACUUUUUUUGAGCUAACCUAUGCAACUACCAAACAUGAUGACAAAAUUACACAUAAUCAUUUAACGGCUAAAUGAGACUUUUUGGUACCUCAUACUAAGUGCUCCAAAUCUAAAUGUCAAAACAAUUAGAUUAAGGAUUAAAGAUUGUUCCCUCUUCUCUAUCUCAAUAUGACCAAUCUAUGGGUUAUGAAACUAUUGGGUAGUUGGUAUCAAAAUCCAACUUGAGGCACAUAAGGUGCGACCUGCAUCAUUAUCUCCAACUCAUGUCGCACAUUAUAGAACUCAUUCCUAACAAGAGCCAAUGACACGAGACACCUGAAAUAAUGCAAAAAUACCAUGUUGUCAAAUUCUGAAGAGGUUAACAGAACUGAGAUGAACUGGUUCAAAAAUUGUAACCCUAUAUUUCAAAAAAUAAAAAUCUCUUGCCAUAUAAGAAUUUAGUUGUGCUAUAAAUAGAAUUCUAGAGCCAACCAAGUACAAGAGAACCAUCAAAGCGUAGCAUAUUCAGAUAAUGAACCGAGUAAUAUCAACAACGUGAUUGCAAAUGAAGUGAAAAAGAAAAUUAGGUUACUUCUUAACAACGUUAGAUUGGUAUGAGCUGAAAAUAACGACAGAAAAGACAACAUGAGCUGGCAGGUUUACAUAGAGACAUUGAAAAACAAUGUUGUGAAUAAUUAUUGUGUAACAAUAUGUAAUAAGCAAUUGAGUUCUGACCCUGGUUUGUAUUCUAUGGCAUAGAAAUUGCCGAAGUGCAUGCUGGCGAGGUUCACUUGCUAUGCACCAACACUGAAACAUGCAAAAGAGAUGCAGAUCAGGAAAUUACGAACUUAUCAAACUUAUUAUGAACUGAGACGUCAACACAAUAAUAUUCUCAAGGAGCCAUUUCCUAUCAUGAUUGUCAACUCCAUAAAUUGUUUGAUGGACUAGAAAAAAACCAUUGUCGUUAUGUGCAAUAGCAGAUCAGUAGUACCAUAAAUAUUUACAAAACGACAAAGUUUUUCUUGCCGAACCAUGAAAUUGUCAUGACUACUCACAAUUCUGCUACAUGAGACACAACUACAAUCAGGUCUUCUUAUUUUGGAUAUAAUACACCCAAAUGAUGUACACACCCUGCGCCUGACAAGUCUGAAUAGAAACAACACUGUUCCAAUGGAGAAACAGAAAGAAUGGACAUUGACGUUAUGUAGAAUUGUAGGUCAUUAAUAGCAGCCAUGCUUAUAAAAUGACAUUUUUUUUCAUUCUCGGCCUUGAAUAAUGGCAUUGCCCGAAGAACAGACACGAUAGUAGAAGAAACAUUUGCAAAACGACAAAAAAUCCCCUCGCCAAGCUAUACGAUGUGAUUAACAUUGGGAAGAAUACCAACAAUUUCGUUACACGAUAUAUGACUAAACUCAGCUCUUCUACCUAUGGCUAUACGACGCCAAUAAAAUGACAUGAACCUCAAUUAUGCGGCCCUAUCGUGAGGUACACACCCUGUGCCAACACAUCCAAAUAAAAAACAACAUUGAUGCCGUGGACAAACUAGAAAAAACACCAUUUGAGAUACAAAGAAUAGCAGAUCAUUAAUACCAGAAAACCCACCAUUAGCAAUACACAUAAUAGCAGAUCAUUAAUACCAGGAAUAUUCCGAAAAUGACAACAAUUUAUCCUCAUCAUAACAUUGAUAUUAAUCGGGAUACUGGUAACUCUGUUACACUAAAAGCAACUAAAUUCGAUUCUUCUAAUUACGCCUAUGCGGCAGUGCAACCGACAAAUAAGAAUCAUUUGCCCAGUAUAAUAAACAGAUCUGAAUCGCACGACAUGGACGUAGCAGUGGGCAAACAAACACAUAGAGUUAAAAAUAAGUAGGUGGAAGAGACAGAAAGGGUUUAUGAUGGUCAUCACCUGGAGGUGCACGGCAUGAGUUGCUGCAUCAGGGCUUCCACCUCGUCAAAGUCCACUUCGGGCUCUUCCGGUCCUCCCUGCAAUUUCCAAAGAAGAUAAUUAAGAUGAAUCAGUACCCGAGAUAGAGAGCAGAGGGAGAGAUGAUAGAGGGCAUGGGGGCAGACAUGAGGGUGUCGAUGUCGUCGAUGAUAUCGGGCGUCGUAGAUGAAGAGGCGGGAGACCUCGGCGGCGGUGCCCUCUUUCCGUAGCUCCUGGAACAUAUAUCCUCGUCCAUCACACCUUGGAUCAACAUCGACCACACCAACGCAAAGGAAAAGGCCAAGUUAGUGGGCUAGCCUGGCCAAAAUCCACAACCACAUGACUAGUGAGGAGGGGAAGGGCGUUGAGCUGCGCCCUCAGUGCUGCGGCUGCCAUGGCAAGGUGAGGAUGGGUCCAGCGGUCCGGGGGACUGAGCAGUGGAGACAUGGGGAAUUCGGCCGUGGAUGCGGAGUGAACGAGGACGGGAUCGAGAAGGAGUGGAGGUUGUAUGGCUGGGCUCGCGAGGGUCUCUCACGUAGGCGUUUGGCAGCGAGUGCUCUACUAGCUGUACUGCGUCGUCGGCUGCUACUUCUUGAGCACUACGUUGGUUUUCCCUUGAAGAGGAAAGGGUGAUGCAGCAAAGUAGCAUAAGUAUUUACCUCAGUUUUUGAGAACCAAGGUAUAAAUCCGGUAGGAGGCUACGCGCCAGUCCCUCACAGCUACACAAAACAAAUAAAUCCUUGCAACCAAUGCGAUAAGGGGUUGUCAAUCCCUACACGGUCACUUACGAGAGUGAGAUCUGAUAGAUAUGAUAAGAUAAUAUUUUGGUAUUUUUAUGAUAAAGAUGCAAAGUAAAAUAAAAGGCAAUGAAAAUAACAAAGUGUUGAAAGAUUAAUAUGAUGGAAAUAGACUCGGGGGCCAUAGGUUUCACUAGUGGCUUCUCUCAAGAGCAUACGUAUUUUAUGUGGGUGAACAAAUUACUGUUGAGCAAUUGACAGAAUUGAGCAUAGUUAUGAGAAUAUCUAGCUAUGAUCAUGUAUAUAGGCAUCACGUCCGAGACAAGUAGACCGAUUCCUGCCUGCAUCUACUACCAUUACUCCACACAUCGACCGCUAUCCAGCAUGCAUCUAGAGUAUUAAGUUCAUAAGAACAGAGUAACGCUUUAAGCAAGAUGACAUGUUGUAGAGCGAUAAAUUCAUGCAAUAUGAUAAAAAAAACCAUCUUGUUAUCCUCGAUGGCAACAAUACAAUAUGUGCCUUGCUGCCCCUACUGUCACUAGGAAAGGACACCGCAAGAUUGAACCCAAAGCUAAGCACUUCUCCCAUUGCAAGAAAGAUCAAUCUACUUGGCCGAACCAAACUGAUAAUUCGAAGAGACUUGCAAAGAUAACCAAUCAGACAUAAAAGAAUUCAGAGAAGAUUCAAAUAUUGUUCAUAGAUAAACUUGAUCAUAAACCCACAAUUCAUCGGUCUCAGCAAACACACGACAAAAGAAGACUACAUCGAAUAGAUCUCCACAAGAGAGGGGGAGAACUUUGUAUUGAGAUCCAAAAAGAGAGAAGAAGCCAUCUAGCUAAUAACUAUAGAUCCGAAGGUCUGAGGUAAACUACUCACACUUCAUCGGAGAGGCUAUGGUGUUGAUGUAGAAGCCCUCCGUGAUCGAUGCCCUCUCCGGCGGAGCUCCGGAAUAGGCCCUGAGAUGGGAUCUCGUGGAUAACAAAAGUUACGACGGUGGAAUUAGGGUUUUCGCUCCGUAUCUGGUAAUUUGGGGGUACGUAGUUAUAUAUAGGAGGAAGGAGUACGUCCGUGGAGCAACAGGGGGGCCACGAGGGUGGAGGGCGCGCCUGGGGGGGGGGGGGUAGGCACGCCCCCUACCUCGUGGCCUCCCUAUUGGUUGCUUGACGUAGGGUCCAGGUCUCCUGGAUCUUGUUCGUUCCAAAAAUCACGUUCCCGAAGGUUUUAUUCCGUUUAGACUCCGUUUGAUAUUCCUUUUCUUCGAAACCCUAAAAUAGGCAAAAAAACAGCAAUUCUGGGUUGGGCCUCCGGUUAUAGGUUAGUCCCCAAAAUAAUAUAAAAGUGGAUAAUAAAGCCCAAUAAUGUCCAAAACAGAAGAUAAUAUAGCAUGGAGCAAUCAAAAAUUCUAGAUAUGUUGUUGACAUAUCAAGCAUACCCAAACUUAAUUCCUGCUCGUCCUCGAGUAGGUAAAUGAUAAAAACAUAAUUUUUGAUGUGGAAUGCUACUAGGCAUAAUUUCAAUGUAAUUGUUCUUAAUUGUGGCAUGAAUAUUCAGAUCUGAAAGAUUCAAGACAAAACUUUAAUAUUGACAUAAAAAUUAUAAUACUUCAAGCAUACUAACUAAGCAAUUAUGUCUUCUAAAAAUAACAUGGCCAAAGAAAGUUAUCCCUACAAAAUCAUAUAGUCUGGCUAUGCUCUAUCUUCACCACACAAAGUAUUUAAAUCAUGCACAACCCCGAUGACAAGCCAAGCAAUUGUUUCAUACUUUUGACAUUCUCAAACUUUUUCAAUCUUCACGCAAUACAUGAGCGUGAGCCAUGGACAUAGCACUAUACGUGGAAUAGAAUGGUGGUUGUGGAGGAGAUAAAAGGGAUAAGAUAGUCUCACAUCAACUAGGCAUAUCAACGGGCUAUGGAGAUGCCCAUGAAUAGAUAUCAAUGUGAGUGAGUAGGGAUUGCCAUGCAAUGGAUAUACUAGAGCUAUAAGUGUAUGAAAGGUCAAAAAGAAACUAAGUGGGUGUGCAUCCAACUUGCUUGCUCACGAAGACCUAGGGCAUUUUGAGGAAGCCCAUCAUUGGAAUAUGCAAGCCAAGUUCUAUAAUGAAAAAAAUUGCGACUAGUAUAUGAAAGUGAUAACAUAGGAGACUGUCUAUCAUGAAGAUCAUGGUGCUACUUUGAAGCACAAGUGUGGUAAAAGGAUAGUAGCAUUGUCCCUUCUCGCUUUUUCUCUCAUUUUUUUAUUUGGGCUUCUUUGGAUUCUUUUUAUUUUAUUUUAUUUUUUGUCCGGAGUCUCAUCCCGACUUGUUGGGUAAUCAUAGUCUCUGAGGGAGUCCUGGAUUAGGAGGUCUCCGGACAGCCGGACUAUCUCCAUUGGCCGGACUGUUGGACUAUGAAGAUACAAGAUUGAAGACUUUGUCUCGUGUCCGGAUGGGACUCUACUUGGCGUGGAAGGGAAGCUAGGCAAUACGGAUAUGGAUAUCUCCUCCUUUGUAAUCAACCUUCUGUAACCCUAACCCUCUCUGGUGUCUAUAUAAACCGAAGAGUUUUAGUCCGUAGGACAACAAUCUCAACAUACAAUCAUACCAUAGGCUAGCUUCUAGGGUUUAGCCUCUCUGAUCUCGUGGUAGAUCUACUAUUGUACUACUCAUAUCAUCAACAUUAAUCAAGCAGGACGUAGGGUUUUACCUCCAUCAAGAGGACACAAACCUGGGUAAAACAUCGUGUCCCCUGCCUCCUGUUACCAUCCGGCCUAGACGCACAGUUCGGGACCCCCUACCCGAGAUCCGCCGGUUUUGACACCGACAUUGGUACCUUCAUUGAGAGUUCCUCUGUGUCGUCGCCGUUAGGCUUGAUGGCUCCUACUAUCAUCGAUAGCGAUGCGAUCUAGGGUGAGCCUUUUCUCCCCGGACAGAUCUUCGUAUUCGGCGGCUUUGCACUGCGGGUAAUUCGCUUGGCCAUCUGGAGCAGAUUGAAAGCUACGCCCCUGGCCAUCAGGUCAGAUUUGGAAGUUUGAACUACACGGCCGACAUCCGCGGAGACUUGAUCUUCGACGGAUUCGAGCCACAGCCGUGCACGCCGCACUGUCGUGAUGGGUAUGACCUAGCUCUCCCGCCGAACAAUACCCCAGAGGCUGCGCCCGCAUCAACUCCGACCCUUAGCUCGGAGCCAACUGCGCCAGUUGAGGAUGGGUGGUUAGACACCGCAUUAGGGGCUGCAAUCUCAACAGCGAUCGAGCCGAACACAACAUAACCCUCUGCGCAGCCUGUGACUCCAAGGUACCGGACUCUUUUCCAGACUCCGAACCAUCCACGCCCCUGCCAAUCGAAUCCGAUUAGGUGCCGAUCAUGGAAUUCACCGCCGCGGAUAUCUUUCAGCACCCGCCCUUCGGCGACAUUCUGAAUUCACUAAGGUCUCUCUCUUUGUCAGGAGAGCCCUGGCCGGAUUAUGGCCAACGGGAUUGGGAUGCGGACGACGAAGAAAUUCGACGCCCACCCACCACCCACUUCGUAGCCACUGUUGAUGAUUUAACUGACAUGCUCGACAUCGACUCCGAAGACAUCGACGGUAUGGACGACGAUGUAGGAGACGAACAUGAACCGGCACCUAUAGGGCACUGGAAAGCCACCUCAUUAUAUGACAUAUACAUGGUGGAUACACCCAAAGAAGGCAAUGGCGACAGGAUAGCGGAAGAUGACCCCUCCAAGAAGCAACCCAAACGCCAACGUCAGCGGCGCCACUCUAAGUCCCGCCAAAGCAAAAGUGGUGAUACCAGCACAGGAGAUAAUCACACUCCGGAUAGUGCCGAAGAAAACAAAAAACCCCUCCAGCAAGAUAUAGCAGGAGGACGGAGGAGCCAGCUCUCCUGAAAGAGCGGCAGACGGAGAGGAGGAGGAUGACACUCACAUGCCCCCCUUCGAAGACGAGUCAAGCCUCGGCGACGAUGAAUUCGCCAUACCAGAGGAUCCCGUCGAACAAGAGAGCUUCAAGCGCCGGCUUAUGGCCACAGCAAAUAGCCUGAAGAAAAAGCAGCAGCAGCUUCAAGCUGAUCAAUAUCUGCUAGCUGACCAAUGGACUGAAGUCCUCGCGGCCGAGGAAUAUAAACUCGAGCGCCCCUCCAAGAGUUACCCAAGGCGCAGGUUACUACCCCGACUGGAGGAAGAAGCAUAUGAUACAGCUGAUCGGCCACCUCGUGGCCGCGAUAGAGGCAUUCCAGCUAAAAGCUCAGCCUCCACCCCAACACCAUUCAAAUAAAAAGGCAUGGGGAAAUACGCCAGACCUGCGAGACAUAUUGGAGGACAAGGCAAAGCAUUCAAGAUUGAUCUACGGAUCACGUGGGCGCACCACUCUAUGAGACGACAAACGUCACGCCGUAUACAGUAAAAGCAAAUCCGGCCGGGCCGAACACAGUGGGCAUGACCCAUUCGAGCUGCGUCGCGAUAUAGCCCAAUACAGAGGCACCGCACACCCCUUAUGCUUCACAGACGAAGUAAUGGAACAUCAAUUCCCAGAAGGUUUCAAACCUGUAAAUAUUGAAUCAUACGACGGCACAACAGAUCCCGCGGUAUGGAUUGAGGACUUCCUCCUCCACAUCCACAUGGCCCGCGGCGAUGACUUACACCCCAUCAAAUACCUCCCACUAAAGCUCAAGGGACCAGCGCGGCAUUGGCUUAACAGCUUGCCAGUGGACUCCAUUAGCUAUUGGGAAGAUCUGGAAGCCGCAUUCCUCGACAACUUUCAGGGCACUUAUGUGCGACCACCAGACGCCGAUGACUUGAGCCACAUAAUUCAGCAGCCAGAAGAGUCGGCUAGGCAAUUCUGGACUCGGUUCCUUACAAAGAAAAAUCAAAUCGUCGACUAUCCGGAUGCGGAGGCCUUAGCGGCUUUCAAGCACAACAUCCGAGACGAGUGGCUAGCCCGGCACCUUGGUCAGGAAAAGCCGAAAUCUAUGGCAGCUCUCACGACGCUCAUGACCUGCUUUUGUGCGGGAGAAGACUGCUGGCUAGCUCGCAGUAAUAACAUAUCAAAGAACCAUGGUACCUCAGAUACCAAGUACGGCAAUAGCAGGUCACAUCGCAACAAGCAUAAGCGCCGCAUUAACAGCGACAAUACUGAGGAUACGGCAGUCAAUGCCGGAUUCAAAGGCUCUAAACCCGGUCAGCAGAAAAAGCCAUUCAAACAAAGUACGCCGGGUCCGUCCAGCUUGGACCGUAUACUCGAUCGCUUGUGUCAAAUACACGGCACCCCAGACAAGCCAGCCAAUCACACCAACAGGGAUUGUUGGGUGUUCAAGCAGGCCUACAAGUUAAUUGCCGAAAACAAGGACAAGGGGCAGCAUAGCGAUGACGAGGAAGAGCCCCGGCAGCCGCACACCGGAGGAUAGAAGAGGUUUCCCCCGCAAGUGCGGACGGUGAAUAUGAUAUACGCAACCCACAUCCGCAAGAGGGAGCGGAAGUGUGCGCUCAGGGACGUAUAUGCGCUGGAGCCAGUCGCCCCAAAAUUCAACCCUUGCUCCUCCUGUCCGAUCACCUUCGAUCACAGGGACCAUCCCACUAGUAUCCAUCAUGGCGGAUUCGCCACACUGGUCCUAGACCCAAUCAUUGACAUAUUUCACCUCACUCGAGUCCUUAUGGAUGGCGGCAGCAGCCUGAACCUGCUUUAUCAGGAAACAGUGUGCAAAAUGGGUAUAGACCCCUCAAGGCUCAAACCCACAAAAACGACCUUUAAGGGCGUCAUUCCAGGUGUAGAGGCCCAUUGCACAGGCUCAAUUACACUGGAAGUGGUCUUCGGAUCCCCGGAUAACUUCCGAAGCGAAGAGUUAAUCUUCGAUAUAGUCCCGUUCCGCAGUGGUUAUCACGCGCUGCUCCGGCGAACCGCAUUCGCCAGAUUAUAUGCUGUACCGCAUUAUGCAUACCUCAAGCUCAAGUGCCAGGACCUCGUGGAGUGAUUACAGUCAAUGGAAACACAGAGCGCUCUCUCCGAACAGAGGAGCACACCGCGGCCCUUGCAGCAGAAGCGCAAAGCAGCCUCUCAAGGCAAUCAACCAGUUCGGCGCUUCAAAGCCCGGACACCGUCAAGCGCGCUCGGGGCAAUCGGCAAAUAGACCGCCUAGCGCGAUCUAAGGUCGCGUAGCAAUACGGCGGCCACCCCAAUCCCAACCCAACAGCGAUAUUCAUGUCGCGCGUACAUAAUUACACAUUAAAAAUACCAUGGGCACAGGUGGGGAGGGGGCCACAACUGCGGUAGGCACUAAUACGUGGCCUAAACCGCACUAGGGGCUUCCCGUUUGGUUAUUUUUCUUUUUCUUUCAGGACCUUAAUCUCUGGAAACACUGUCCGGCAGCACUAUUGCCGAACACAUGAUGCAGCAACCAAGGAGGCAGACAACUACGUUAUACCACGGAAUUCCCACGUUGAUUACAGUAAUGAGUGAAAUAUUCAAUUCAACAUCAUUCUUCAGCUUGCCCUUGGAAGGGACAUAGUCCUACUCUUUGCUUAUCGCACUAUCUGUAUCACUCUGCUUUAACGCAAUUUUUUAAUAAACAAUGCAUGACAUUACGACAAUUAUUGCAUUUUUGUUAUAUAUAUAUAUAUAUGUGUGUGUAUGUGUGUGUGUGUGUGUGUGUGUGUGUUCAUUAAUGACGCCUUGCAACCGUACACUCUGGUACGGCCAAUACACCAGGGGCUUAUGUACCCCACAAUGCGGUGUGAAAAGUCCGGACACUUUCACAAGUGCGGCACCCCGAACUUAUAGCAUUAUAUGCAUCAGCUCUGAAUCAUGUCUUUGGUCAAAUGUUGAGUUUGCCCGGCUCCAAUGUUUUGGUACCUUACGUUCCGCUCUAUCGGCUAAUUAAGGUAGCGCUAGGAGAAUUACUGCGAUUGUGCCCCGGUUCUGCCGGGCUUAACACCUCAGUAGAGAAAGCUAAAACUGACUGUCAUGAUAAGGCGAGAGACUGGUCGCUGUUCGGCGAGGUUUUUCGAGUCCCUAAAGACUUAUGCCGCUUAGGGCGAGGGGCCGGCCUUAUCCGCCUUACAGGCGUGUAUCGCGCCCCGAAUUCGGCCUUCCGAAUAUCAGGGGCUUCACCAAAAUUUAAAAUUAUAGAAUUCUAUGGCUAAGUGAGAGUGAUAAAGCAUUAUUAGUCCUGUUGCCUUGUUCGUUAUGCUGAGCACCUCCCUCGAAGGACCCAAAUAUGGGAACAAGAGUACUCAGGUUUAUCCCGAACACCCCAGCACUCGUGGCAUGGGGGCAGAAGCCGAGGACUAGCCAUCUCUCAGACUGGAUAAACAGCCAAACAGAAGGUAAUAUUUUAAAUUCCAACAAGAGUUGCAUAGCGCAUAUGAAACAAGUUUUCAUACAUACAUGAUAAAACGAGCAAGUAUCAUUCAAAUAUUACAUCUUUUGAACACUCGUCCGCGAUGAGACAGGCACCUGCCAGAAUACCCUCGUAGUACAUCUCGGGGUGGCGGUGCUCCUUGCCCUCUAGCGGCCCCUCCUUGAUCAGCUUCACGGCGUCUAGCUUGAUCCACUACAAUUUCACACGGGCGAAAAGCCCGGCGUGCACCUUCAAUGCAGACAGAUCGCUUGACGACCUCCAGCCGCGGGCAGGCAUCCACAAGCCGCCUCACCAGGCCGAAGAAGCUGUUCGGAAGGGCGUCGCCAGGCCACAACCGAACUAUAAAGCUCUUCAUGGCCUGAUAAGCCGCCUUAUGUAGCUCGACCAUCUGCUUCAGCUGGUCGCUCAUUGGCACCGGAUGUUCGGCCUCAGCAUAUUGAGACCAGAACAGCUUCUCCGUCGAGCUUCCGUCCUCGGCCUGGUAAAAUUGUGCGGCAUCGGACACACUGCGGGGAAAAUCUGUGAAUGCUCCUGAAGAGCUCCGGAUCCGGGUAACUAAUCGGUAAUUUACUUUUACAUGCUUGCUUUGCAUAUAGGAAGCCUUACCCACCGCUAUCUUCUACAUCGCGUCGAUCUCUUGGAGGGCCUUUUGGGCUUCGGCCUUGGCACUUUUUACACUCUCGAGGGUCGCGGCAAGCUCAGACUCCCGCGUCUUGGAGUCAAGCUCCAACACCUCGUGCUUCGCCACAAGAGCCUGGAGCUCUUGCUGCACCUCGCCCACCCGAGCCUCGUGCUUCUCUCGCUUGGUGCGCUCCUUGGCCGCUGUAUCUUCGGCCUUGGUCAGCGCUUGCUUCAGGGUUGCCACCUCGGUCGUGGCCCCUGGCAAACAUACGAUGAUCCUGUCAUUUUGCAAUCGCGUCCUCUCUUAUAUAUAUACAUAAGACAGGGUAUGACUUACCCUUGUUCACCUCGAGCUGCCUCCUGGAAAGGCCGAGCUCUUUCUUGGACCCCUCGAGGUCCUGCUUCAGUACGACAACCUCCACAGUUAGUGCGGCGGACGCCAGCAGCGAAGCCUGAAUACGCGUAUUGACAUACUUAUAUUAGACUCCUGCGAUAUUAUUUGAUCCUCUGUUCGGCUUUUCUUCGUGAACACCGAACAAAGCAUCAGGGGCUACUGUCUAUGCGGUAAUAUUUCUACUACAUUUUAAAACACUUACCUCAAAGCCUGUUAGAAGGCUGGCACAGGCUUCAGUCAAUACACUCUUGGCAGACUGAACCUUCUGGAUCACCGCACUCAUGAUAGUGCAGUGCUCGUCGUCGACGGAAGCGCUACGAAGCGCUUCCAGCAGAUUGUCCGGUGCUUCUGGAUGGACAUAGGUCACCGGCACAGGUGUCUUUCCCCUCUUAGAAGGAGGCCGCAUGCCCGAGCCCGGAACCGCUGGAGGGUCCGGCAUGGUGCUCGGCUGAAGGCCAAACUUGGAGCUCUCGGGGGCCCCAUCCCCGCGGCUCCCGGAGUCCGGAAGGUUGCCUUGAGGCGCCUCCAGGACUGUCUCCCCUUGAUCCGGUGCCUCUUGAGACAACACUUCGGCGUCGUCGGCAGGAUGAGGGGAGGUGGCGGUCGGGACUGGAUCGUUAUCCAUGUCCGACAAGCCCAAGGAGCCGUCCGAUGAUACAUCGAUACUGGCUCGUGGCGGCCUGCAUAAUUGCGUUUGGCGUUAGGGAAAGCAGUGCGACAAAGGAAUCCUAGGAGUUACUCUGGUAUCCAAAUACUUACGACCCUAGGCAACCACUCGCCUUCGCCUUCAUCGGCGGCGGUGGAACUGUCCGGAAGGAGAAUCCUUCCCUUCUUGGACCCUCCGGCCUCCCCGGUUGGGGCAGCCUUCCUUUUCUUGCCUCCCCCAUUUGAUAGGGGAGCAUCUUCUUCUUCUUCCUCCUCGUCUUCGGGGGAAGAGAGCGCCAUAGAGUCAUCGGACGGUGAGUCCAACGACGCCUGGCGUCGGGAACUCUUUCGGGUACCCUUGGCCUUCUUGGUCUUCUCCGGCACCUUAUAAGGGGCCGGAGUCAGCAUAUUCACCAGAAGAGCGUCUGCGGGGCCUUCGGGCAAAGGAGCCGGAUAAUCGAUCUGUCCAGCCAUCUUCUGCCAGUCCUAUCAAAGGUACGGGAGUUUAGAUCCCGCAUAGAGUCAAUCUAUAUAAAAAAUAAGUAUCCUGUGAAAGGUAAAGCAGCUUACCGCACUGGCUUGGCACUUCGCGCUAAAUCCGCGAUCCUCAGUAAUAGGGGGAGGGACCUCGGCACUUUUGAACAGCACCCUCCAGGCGUCUUCAUGAGUCGUGUCAAAGAGCUUGUUCAGAGUUCGGUGCUGCGCCGGAUUGAACUCCCACAAGUUGAACUCCCAUUGUUGGCACGGGAGUAUCCGGCGGAUGAGCAUAACUUGGACUAUGUUGACAAGCUUGAGCUUCUUAUCCACCAUGUUUUGAAUACAUGUUUGGAGUCCGGUCAGCUCUUUCGAACUACCCCAGGACAGGCCCUUCUCUUUCCAGGAGGUGAGCCGCGUGGGGAUGCCAGAUUGGAACUCGGGGGACGCUACCCAUGUAGGGUCUCGUGGCUCGGUGAUAUAGAACCACCACGAGUGCCACCCCUUUAUGGUUUCCACAAAGGAGCCCUCGAGCCAUGUUACAUUGGGCAUCUUGCCCAACUUGGUGCCUCCGCACUCCGCUUGUCGGCUGCCCACCACCUUCGGCUUGACAUUGAAGGUCUUCAUCCAUAAGCCGGAGUAGGGCUUGAUGCGGAGGAAGGCCUCGCACACAAAGAUAAACGCCGAGAUGUUGAGGAUGAAGUUCGGGGCCAGAUCGUGGAAAUCCAGGUCGUAAUAAAACACGAGCCCACCGACGAAGGGAUGGAGAGGGAAUCCUAGUCCGCGGAGGAAAUGGGUGAGGAAUACUACCCUCUCAUGGGGCCUGGGGGGUGGGGAUGACCUGCCCCUCAUCUGGGAGCCGGUGCGCGAUGUCGUCAGGCAGGUAUCCGGCUCUCCUCAGUUUCUUGAUGUCUCCCUCCAUGACGGAGGAGACCAUCCACUUGCCUCCCGCUCCGGACAUGAUUGGAGAAGGUCGAGGUGGAAAGUGCGGACUUGGGCGCUAGAGCUCGAGUGUGCGAAAACGGAUGGGUAAGGGAGGAAGAAGACGUGGAUAGAAAGGUGAAUCCUUAUCCCUUUAUAUGGGCGGACGAAACUAAGCGUCCCCACUUGCCUGGUAAAACUUGCUUAUCCCCCAAGAGCCGCAAUUGUUGGCGCGGUUGGGUUACCCACGCCCAUAUUGAUGAGAAUCCAGUAAUAAGGGGACACGAUCUUUGCUUUAACAAGACGUGUCGAAAAACUGCCUCGCGUUAUGUGCAGGGCUGGUUAAAAGAAACGGUUCGAAUAAUCACCGGGCCAUGAUGUAACGUCACGCUGCCAAAACAAGCCAGCAAAUUAGAUCUGUGAAAAUAUUAUUCUCUCUACGGUGGAAUGUGGAACUUAUUUUGCAGGGUCGGACACUAUCCUCGUAUUCAAAUUCUCCUGCGGUGUAUUCGGAGAAGGAACCCGCCUUGCAAUGCCGAAGACAAUACUGCGCGCCGGACUCAUCGUCAUUGAAGCCUGGUUCAGGGGCUACUGAGGGAGUCCUGGAUUAGGGGGUCUCCGGAUAGCCGGACUAUCGCCAUUGGCCGUACUGUUGGACUAUGAAGAUACAAGAUUGAAGACUUCAUCUCGUGUCCGGAUGGGACUCUACUUGGCGUGGAAGGCAAGCUAGGCAAUACGGAUAUGGAUAUCUCCUCCUAUGUAACCGACCUUGUGUAACCCUAACCCUCUCUGGUGUCUAUAUAAACCGAAGAGUUUUAGUCCGUAGGACAACAGUCACAACAUACAAUCAUACCAUAGGCUAGCUUCCAGGGUUUAGCCUCUCUGAUCUCGUGGUAGAUCUACUCUUGUACUACUCAUAUCAUCAAUAUUAAUCAAGCAGGACGUAGGGUUUUACCUCCAUCAAGAGGGCCCGAACCUGCGUAAAACAUCAUGUCCCCUGCCUUCUGUUAUCAUCCGGCCUAGACACACAGUUCGGGACCCCCUACCCAAGAACCGUCGGUUUUGACAUUGACAGUCUCCAUCAUCCUUUCCUCACUUGGGACAAUGCUCUAAUAAUGAUGAUCAUCACACUUUUAUUUUCUUACAACUCAAGAAUUACAACUCGAUACUUAGAACAAGAUAUGACUCUAUGUGAAUGCCUCCGGCGGUGUACCGGGAUAUGCAAUGAAUCAAGAGUGACAUGUAUGAAAGAAUUAUGAAAGGUGGCUUUGCCAAAAAUACAAUGUGAACUACAUGAUCAUGCAAAGCAAUAUGACAAUGAUGGAGCGUGUCAUAGUAAACGGAACGGUGGAAAGUUGCAUGGCAAUAUAUCUCGGAAUGGCUAUGGAAAUGCCAUGAUAGGUAGGUUUGGUGGCUGUUUUGAGGAAGGUAUAUGGUGGGUGUAUGAUACCGGCGAAAGGUGCGCGGUAUUAGAGAGGCUAGCAAUGGUGGAAGGUUGAGAGUGCGUAUAAUCCAUGGACUCAACAUUAGUCAUAAAGAACUCACAUACUUAUUGCAAAAAUAUAUUAGUUAUCGAAGCAAAGUAUUACGCGCAUGCUCCUAGGGGGAUAGAUUGGUAGAAAAUACCAUCGCUCGUCCCCGACCGCCACUCAUAAGGAAGACAAUCAAUAAAUAAAUCAUGCUCCGACUUCAUCACAUAACGGUUCACCAUACGUGCAUGCUACGGGAAUCACAAACUUUAACACAAGUAUUUCUCAAAUUCACAACUACUCAACUAGCACAACUUUAAUAUCACCAUCUCCAUAUCUCAAAACAAUUAUCAAGUUUCAAACUUCUCAUAGUAUUCAACACACUCAUAAGAGAAUUUUGUUAUUAAUCUUGUAUACCUAGCAUAUUAGGAUUAUUUAUGCAAAUUACCAUGCUAUUUAAGACUGUCAAAAUAAUCUAAGUGAAGCAUGAGAAAUCAAUAGUUUCUAUAAAACAAAUCAACCACCAUGCUCUAAAAGAUAUAAGUGAAGUACUAGAGAAAAACUAUAUAACUCAAAAGAUAUAAGUGAAGCACAUAAAGUAUUCUAAUAAUUUCCGAAUCAUGUGUGUCUCUCUCAAAAGGUGUGUGCAGCAAGGAUGAUUGUGGUAAACUAAAAAUGUUUGACUUAAAUCAUGCAAGACGCUCCAAGAAAAACACAUAUCAUGUGGUGAAUAAAAAUAUAGCUCCAAGUAAAGUUAGCGAUAGAAGUAGACGAAAGAGGGGAUGCCUUCCAGGGCAUCCCCAAGGUUUGGCUUUUAGGUGUCCUUAGAUUAUCUUGGGGGUGCCAUGGGCAUCCCCAAGCUUAGGCUAUUGCCACUCCUUGUUCCAUAAUCCAUCAAAUCUUUACCCAAAACUUGAAAACUUCACAACACAAAACUUAAAGUAGAAAAUUUCAUGAGCUCCGUUAGCGAAAGAAAACAAAAGACCACUUCAAGGUACUGUAAUGAACUUAUUCUUUAUUUAUAUUGGUGUUAAACCUACUGUAUUCCAACUUCUCUAUGGUUUAUAAACUAUUUUACUAGCCAUAGAUUCAUCAAAAUAAGCAAACAACACAUGAAAAACAGAAUCUGUCAAAAACAGAACAGUCUGUAGUAAUCUGUAGCUAGCGCAAGAUCUGGAACCCCAAAAAUUCUAAAAUAAAUUUCUGGACGUGAGGAAUUUAUCUAUUAAUCAUCUUAAAAAAUAAUUAACUAAAUAUCACUUUCCAAAUAAAAAUUGCAGCAGUUCUCGUGAGUGCUAAAGUUUCUGUUUUUACAGCAAGAUUAACAAGACUUUCCCCAAGUCUUACCAACGGUUCUACUUGGCUCAAACACUAAUUAAACACAAAAAACACAACCAAAACAAAGGCUAGAUAAAUUAUUUAUUACUAAACAUGAGCAAAAAUCAAGGAAUAAAAAUAAAAUUGGGUUGCCUCCCAACAAGCGCUAUCGUUUAACGCCCCUAGCUAGGCAUAAAAAGCAAGGAUAGAUCUUGGUAUUGCCAUCUUUGGUAGGAAAUCCAUAAGUUGAUCUCAUAAUAGAUUCAUAAGUUAAUUUAAUUUUCUUUCUAGGAAAGUGUUCCAUGCCUUUCCUUAACGGAAAUUGGAAUCUAAUAUUUCCUUCCUUCAUAUCAAUAAUUGCACCAAUCGUUCUAAGGAAAGGUCUACCAAGAAUAAUAGGACAUGAAGGAUUGCAAUCUAUAUCAAGAACGAUAAAAUCCACAGGCACAUAAUUACUAUUUGCAACAAUAAGAACAUCAUUAAUUCUUCCCAUAGGUUUCUUAAUAGUGGAAUCCGCAAGGUGCAAGUUUAAGGAGCAAUCAUCAAAAUCACGGAAACCUAACAAAUCACACAAAGUAUUUCGAAUCGUGGAAACACUAGCACCCAAAUCUCACAAAGCAUAGCAUUCAUGAUCUUUAAUUUUAAUUUUAAUAGCUGGUUCCCACUCAUCAUAAAGUUUUCUAGGGAUAGAAACUUCCAACUCAAGUUUUUCUUCAUAAGAUUGCAUCAAAGCAUCAACAAUAUGUUUGGUAAAAGCUUUAUUUUGACUAUAAGCAUGAGGAGAAUUUAGCACGGAUUGCAACAAAGAAAUACAAUCUAUCAAAUAGCAAUUAUAAUAAUUAAAUUCCUUGAAAUCCAAGAUGGUGGGUUCAUUACUAUUUAAAGUUUUGAUUUCUUCAAUCCCACUUUUAUCAAAUUUAGCAUCAAGAUCUAAAAACUCCGAAUUUUUGGAACGCCUUCUAGGUAAAGGUGGAUCAUAUUCAGUUCCAUCAUUGUCAAGCUUCAUAUUGGAAAACAAAGAUUUAAUAAGGGACACGUCAAUAACUUUUAGAUCUUCAUCUUUAUUAUCAUGGAAACUAGAAGAACACGCUCUUAUAAAGGAAUCUUUCUUAGCAUGCAUCCUAGCGGUUCUUUCUUUGCACUCAUCAAUGGAAAUUCUCAUGGAUUUGAGAGACUCAUUGAUAUCAUGCUUAGGUGGAAUAGAUCUAAGUUUCAAAGAAUCAACAUCAAGAGAAAUUCUAUCAACGUUCCUAGCCAACACAUCAAUCUUAAGCAAUUUUUCUUCAAUCAAAGCAUUGAAAUUCUUUUGCGAAGUAAUAAAUUAUUUAAUAUUAGAUUCAAAAUCAGAGGGCAUCUUAUUAUAAUUUCCAUAAGAAUUGUUGUAGGAAUUACCAUAAUUAUUAGAGAAAUUGCUAGGAUAAGGCCUAGGAUUAAAGUUUCCUCUAUACGCAUUGUUACCAAAAUUGUUCCUACCAACAAAAUUCACAUCCAUAGAUUCAUUAUUAUUCUCAAUCAAAGUAGACAAAGGCAUAUCAUUAGGAUCAGAAGAAACACACUUAUUAGCAAAUAAUUUCAUAAGUUCAUCCAUCUUUCCACUCAAAACAUUAAUUUCUUCUAUCGCAUGCACUUUCUUAUUAGUAGAUCUUUCAGUGUGCCAUUGACAAUAAUUAACCAUAAUAUUAUCUAGAAGUUUAGUAGCUUCUCCUAAAGUGAUUUCCAUAAAAGUGCCUCCCGCGGCCGAAUCUAAAAGAUUUCUAGAAGCAAAAUUCAAUCCAGCAUAAAAAAUUUGUAUAAUCAUCCACAAAUUCAAACCAUGUGUUGGGCAGGUACGUAUCAUUAAUUUCAUCCUCUCCCAAGCUUGUGCAACAUGUUCAUGAUCAAGUUGCUUAAAAUUCAUAAUAUCGUUUCUAAGAGAGAUGAUCUUAGAAGGAGGAAAAUGCUUAGAGAUAAAAACAUCCUUGCACUUAUUCCAAGAAUCAAUACUAUUUUUAGGCAAAGCCGAAAACCAAGCUUUAGCACGAUCUCUAAGCGAAAAAGGAAAUAGCUUCAAUUUAAAAAUAUCAUUGUCCACAUCUUUCUUCUUUUGCAUAUAACACAAAUCAACGAAGCUAUUUAGAUGGGUAGCAACAUCUUCUCUAGGAAGACUAGAAAAUGGAUCUUUCAUGACAAGAUUCAGCAAGGCAACAUUAAUUUCACAAGAUUCAUCAUCGGUAAGAGAAGCAAUCGGACUGCUAAUAAAAUCAUUGUUUUUGGUAUUGGUAAGGUCACACAAUUUAGUGUUAUCUUGAGCUAUAGUGACAAGCAAGAAAUCCAACACACAAGCAAACGGGGAACGGGUAAAAAAGAGGAAAAUAGAGAAAGAGAGGGAGGAUAGAGAGAGAGCGCGCGAAUAAAACGGCAAGGGUGAAGUGGGGGAGAGGAAAAUGAGAGGCAAAUGGCAAAUAAUGUAAAGCGGGAGAUAAGGGUUUGUGAUGGGUACUUGGUAUGUUGACUUUUCCGUAGACCUCCCCGGCAACGGCACCAGAAAUGCCUCAUUGUCGGGAGUCAAAUAUUGACUUGCGCGAACCUCCGCGGCAACGGUGCCAGAAAUCCUUCUUGCUACCUCUUGAGCACUGCGUUGGUUUUCCCUUGAAGAGGAAAGGGUGAUGCAGCAAAGUAGCGUAAGUAUUUCCCUUAGUUUUUGAGAACCAAGGUAUCAAUCUAGUAGGAGGCUACGCGCCAGUCCCUCGCACCUACACAAAACAAAUAAAUCCUCGCAACCAACGCGAUAAGGGGUUGUCAAUCCCUACGCGGUCACUUACGAGAGUGAGAUCUGAUAGAUAUGAUAAGAUAAUACUUUUGGUAUUUUUAUGAUAAAGAUGCAAAGUAAAAUAAAAGGCAAUGAAAAUAACUAAGUGUUGGAAGAUUAAUAUGAUGGAAAUAGACCCGGGAGCCAUACGUUUCACUAGUGGCUUCUCUCAAGAGCAUAAGUAUUUUACGGUGGGUGAACAAAUUACUGUUGAGCAAUUGAUAGAAUUGAGCAUAGUUAUGAGAAUAUCUAGGUAUGAUUAUGUAUAUAGGCAUCACGUUCGAGACAAGUAGACCGACUCCUGCCUGUAUCUACUACUAUUAGUCCACACAUUGACCGCUAUCUAGCAUGCAUCUAGAGUAUUAAGUUCAUAAGAACAGAGUAACGCUUUAAGCAAGAUGACAUUAUGUAGAGGGAUAAAUUCAAUAUGAUAAAAAACCAUCUUGUUAUCCUCGAUGGCAACAAUACAAUAUGUGCCUUGUUGCCCCUACUAUCACUGGGAAAGGACACCGCAAGAUUCAACCCAAAGCUAAGCACUUCUCCCAUUGCAAGAAAGAUCAAUCUAGUAGGCCAAACCAAACUGAUAAUUCAAAGAGACUUGCAAAGAUAACCAAUCAUACAUAAAAGAAUUCAGAGAAGAUUCAAAUAUUGUUCAUAGAUAAACUUGAUCAUAAAUCCACAAUUCAUCGGUCUCAACAAACACACCGCAAAAGAAGAUUACAUUGAAUAGAUCUCCAGAAGAGAGGAGGAGAACUUUGUAUUGAGAUCCAAAAAGAGCUGAUAACUAUGGACCAAAAGGUCUAACGUAAACUACUCACACUUCAUUGGAGAGGCUAUGGUGUUGAUGUAGAAGCCCUCCGUGAUCGAUGCCCCCUCCGGCAGAGCUCCGGAACAGGCCCCAAGAUGGGAUCUCGUGGAUACAGAAAGUUAUGGCGGUGGAAUUAGGGUUUUGGCUCCGUAUCUAGUAGUUUGGGGUACGUAGGUAUAUAUAGGAGGAAGGAGUACGUCGGUGGAGCAACAGGGGGCCCAUGAGGGUGGAGGGCGCUCCUGGAGGGGUAGGCGUGCCCCCUACCUCGUGGCCUCCUUAUUGGUUGCUUGAUGUAGGGUCCAAGUCUCCUGGAUCUCGUUCGUUCCAAAAAUCACAUUCCCGAAGGUUUUAUUCCAUUUGAACUCCGUUUGAUAUUCCUUUUCUUUGAAACCCUAAAAUAGGCAAAAAACAGCAAUUCUGGGCUGGGCCUCCGGUUAAUAGGUUAGUCCCAAAAAUAAUAUAAAAGUGGAUAAUGAAGCCCAAUAAUGUCCAAAACAGAAGAUAAUAUAGCAUGGAGCAAUCAAAAAUUAUAGAUACGUUGGAGAUGUAUCAUCGGUCGGGCGCCAUUGGUUAGCUUGGAAACGGACCACAUGCGUAAUGCGUGCAUGCAUCAUGCAUGCAGGCAUGGAGCCACCGGUUGUGUGUCCACAUAUUCAUGGAAGUGAGCGUCUGUUUCAACUUUAAUCUCUUUUCCUUAAGUGAAUUGGGACGAAUAGAAGACCAUCCACUCUCCUCUGUCUCACUUAAGUGAAUUGGUUUCGAGAGCAUUUCACCACUUUUUAUGAUUUUCAUAGUUUCACUUUCAACCCGAUUCACCGCCUACCUGCCCUUUAAGCCUAGUCAUUCCAAAGAGUACUUGCCCCCACCCCUCGUCUUAGCGCGGCUGCUGGCACGGAGUUAGCCGGGGCUUCUUUCUCCAGUUCUGUCAUGAUCACGCACUUGACAUAAGAGCUUUACAAGGAGCAUUGACCUUCUUCACUCACGCGACAUUGCUGGAUCGGGCUUUCGCCGAUUGUCCAAGAUUCCCCUCUGCUACCCCCCAUGGUAGUAUGGGUCAUGUCUCAUUCCCAGUGUGUCUAAUCAUUCAAAAAGACCAGCUAAGCAUCAUUGGCUUGGCCAGCCUUUACCUGACCAACUAACUAAUACUACACAGGCUCAUCAAACAGUGCUUUGAACUUUCUGAAGGAUAUAUGCCCUAGAGGCAAUAAUGAAGUUAUUAUUUAUUUCCUUAUAUCAUGAAAAAUGUUUAUUAUUCAUGCUAUAAUUGUAUUAACUGGAAACUUAGUACAUGUGUGAAUACAUAGACAAACAAAGUGUCACUAGUAUGCCUCUACUUGACUAGCUCGUUGAAUCAAAGAUGGUUAAGUUUCCUAGCCAUAGACAUGAGUUGUCAUUUGAUUAAUGGGAUGACAUCAUUAGAGAAUGAUGUGAUUGACUUGACCCAUUCCGUUAGCUUAACACUUGAUCGUUUAGUUUACUGCUAUUGCUUUCUUCAUGACUCAUACAUGUUCAUAUGACUAUGAGGUUAUGCAACUGCCGAUUACCGGAGGAACACUUUGUGUGCUACCAAACGUCACAACGUAACUGGGUGAUUAUAAAGGUUCUCUACAGGUGUCUCCGAUGGUACUUGUUGACUUGGCAUAGAUCGAGAUUAGGAUUUUUCACUCCGAUUGUCGGAGAGGUAUCUUUGGGCCCUCUCGGUAAUGCACAUCACUAUAAGCCUUGCAAGCAAUGCAAUUAAUGAGUUAGUUGCGGGAUGAUGCAUCACAGAAACGAGUAAAGAGACUUGCCGGUAACGAGAUUGAGCUAGGUAUUGAGAUACCGACGAUCGAAUCUCGGGCAAGUAACAUACAGAUGACAACAGAACAACGUAUGUUGUUAUGCGGUUUGACCGAUAAACAUCUUCGUAGAAUAUGUGGGAGCCAAUAUGAGCAUCCAGGUUCCGCUAUUGGUUAUUGACCAGAGACAUGUCUCGGUCAUGUCUACAUAGUUCUCGAACCCGUAAGGUCCGCACGCUUAAUGUUCAGUGACAAUCAGUAUUAUGAGUUUUUGUGUUUUGAUGUACCUAAGGUACUUUGGAGUCCCGGAUAUGAUCACGGACAUGACGAGGAGUCUCAAAAUGGUCGCGACGUAAAGAUCGAUAUAUUGGACGACUAUAUUCGGACACCGGAAGUGUUCCGGGUGGUUUCGGAGAAAACCUGAGUGCCGGAGGGUUACCGGAAACCCCCUCCCCCCGGAGAAAUAGUGGGCCUUAUGGGACUUAGUUGAGAGAGAGAGGCCUGGCCUAGGGCAGGCCGCGCGCCCCUGCCCCUCUGGUCCGAAUUGGACUAGGAGAGGGGGGGCAACGCCCCCCUUUCCUUCUCCCUCUCCCCUUCCUUUCCCCCUCCCAGUAGGAGUAGGAAAGAGGGGAGUCCUACUCCUACUAGUAGGAGGACUCCUCCUCCUGGUGCGCAUACAGGGGCCGGCCGGCCUCCCCCCUUGCUCCUUUAUAUACAGGAGCAAGGGGGCACCUCUAGACACACAAGUUGAUCUGUUGAUCUCUCCCAGCCGUGUGCGGUGCCCCCCUCCACCAUAAUCCACCUCGAUCAUAUUGUAGCGGUGCUUAGGCGAAGCCCUGCGUCGGUAGCAUCAUCAUCACCGUCAUCACGCCGUCGUGCUGAUGAAACUGUCCCGUGAAGCUCUGCUGGACGGAGUUCGUGGGACGUCAUCGAGCUGAACGUGGGCUGAACUCGGAGGUGCCGUGUGUUUGAUACUUGGAUCGGUUGGAUCUUGAAGAAGUACGACUACAUCAAACGCAUUGUUCUAACGCUUCCGCUUUUCGUCUAUGAGGGUACGUGGACACACUCUCCCCUCUCGUUGCUAUGCAUCACCAUGAUCCUGUGUGUACGUAGGAAUUUUUUUUCAAAUUACUAUGUUCCCUAAUAGUGGCAACCGAGCCUGAUUUAUGCGUAGAUGUUAUAUGCACGAGUAGAACAUAAGUAAGUUGUGGACGAUACAAGUCAUACUGCUUACCAGCAUGUCACACUUUGGUUCAGCAGUAUUGUUGGAUGAAGCGUCCCGGAUCGACAUUACGCGUACGCUUACAUGAAACUGGUUCUACCGACGUGCUUUGCACAUAGGUGGCUGGCGGGUGUCAGUUUCUCCAACUUUACUUGAACCGAGUGUGACUACGCCUGGUCCUUGUUGAAGGUUAAAAUAGCACUAACUUGACGAAAUAUCGUUGUGGUUUUGAUGCGUAGGUAUGAAUGGUUCUUGCUCAGCCCGUAGCAGCCACGUAAAACUUGCAACAACAAACUAGAGGAUGUCUAACUUGUUCUUGCAGGACAUGUUGUGAUGUGAAAUGGUCAAGACGUGAUGAGAUAUAAAUUGUUGUAUGAGAUGAUCAUGUUUUGUUGAAGUUAUCAGCAACCGGCAGAAGCCUUAUGGUUGUCUCUUUAUUGCAUACGAUGCAAGCACCAAAUAAUGGCUUUACUUUAUCGCUAUGCGAUAGCAAUAGCUGCAAGAGAAAUAGUUGGUGAGACGACCAUGUGAUGACACGUUGAUAGAGAUCAAGAUGAUGGAGAUCAUGGUGUCAUGCCGGUGACGAUAGAGAUCAUGACGGUACUUUGGAGAUGGAUAUCAAAGGAGCAAGAUGAUCAUGGCCAUAUCAUAUUUUGAUUGCAUGUGAUGUUUAUCCUUUAUGCAUCUUAUUCUGCUUAGUUAGAAGGCAGCAUUAUAAGAUGUUCUCUCACUAAAUUUCAAGGUACAAGUGUUCUCCUUGAGUAUGCACCGUUGCCAAAGUUCGUCGUGCCGAGACACCACGUGAUGAUCGGGUGUGAUAAGCUCUACGUUCACAUACAACAGGUGUAAGCCCGUUUUGCACACAUAGAAAUACUCGGGUUAAACUUGACAAGCCUAGCAUAUGCAGAUAUGGCCUCGUAACACUGGAGACCGAAAGGUCGAGUGUGAAUCAUAUAGUAGAUAUGACCAACAUAGUGAUGUUCACCAUUGAAAACUACUCCGUCUCACGUGAUGAUUGGACAUGGUUGAGUUGAUUUGGAUCAUGUGAUCAUUUAGAUGACUAGAGGGAUGUCUAUGUAAGUGGGAGUUCUUAAGUAAUUUAAUUAAUUGAAUUUUAAUUUAUCAUGAACUUAGUCCUGAUAGUUUUUGCAUAUCUAUGAUGUAGAUCAAUAGCUCGCGUAUAGCUCCCCUAUUUUAUUUUUGAUAUAUUCCUAGAGAAAAACUAAGUUGACAGAUGUUAAUAGCAACGAUGUGGAUUGGAUACGUGAUCUGAGGAUUAUCCUCAUUGCUGCAUAGAAGAAUUAUGUCCUUGAUGCACCGGUAGGUGACAAGCCGAUUGCAGGAGCAGAUGCAGACGUUAUGAACGUUUGGCAAAGCUCGGAAUGAUGACUACUUGAUAGUUUAGUGCACCAUGCUUGACGGCUUAGAACCGGGACUUCAAAAAUGUUUUGAAUGCUAUGGAGCAUAUAAGAUGUUCCAAGAGUUGAAAUUAGUAUUUUAGGCUCAUGCCCAUGUCGAAAGGUAUGAGACCUUUGACAAGUACUUUGCCUACAAAAUGGAGAAUAGCUCAACUAAUGAGCAUGUGCUUAGAAUGUCUGAGUGCUACAAUCACUUGAGUCAAGUUGGAGUUAAUCUUCCAGAUAAGAUAGUGACUGACAGAGUUCUCUAGUCACUAUCACCAAGUUACUAGAACUUUGUAAUGAACUAUAAUAUGCAAGGGAUAACGGAAACAAUUCCCAAGCCCUUCGUGAUGCUGAAAUCGAUGAAGGUAGAAAUCAAGAAAAUCAUCAAGUGUUGAUGGUUGACAAGACCACUAGUUUCAAGAAAAGGGCAAAGGGAAGAAGGGGAACUUCAAGAAGAACGGCAAGCAAGUUUCUACUCAUGUGAAGAAGCCCAAUUCUAGACCUAAGCCUGAGACUAAGUGCUUCUACUGCAAAGGGACUGGUCACUAGAAGCAGAACUGCCCCAAGUAUUUGGCGGAUAAGAAGGAUGGCAAAGUGAACAAAGGUAUAUUUGAUAUACAUGUGUACUUUACUAGUGUUUAUAGAAACCCCUCGGUAUUUGAUACUAGUUCAGUUGCUAAGGAUUAGUAACUCGAAAUAGGAGUUGCAGAAUGAACAGAGACUAGUUAAGGGUGAAGUGACGAUGUGUGUUGGAAGUGGUUCCAAGAUUGAUAUGAUCAUCAUCGCACACUCCCUAUACUUUCGGUAUUAGUGUUGAACCUAAAUAAAUGUUAUUUGGUGUUUGCCUUAAGCAUAAAUAUGAUUUGAUCAUGUUUAUUACAAUACGGUUAUUCAUUUAAAGUCAGAGAAUAAUUGUUGUUCUGUUUACAUGAAUAAAACCUUCAAUGGUCAUACACCCAAGGUGAAUGGUUUAUUGAAUCUCGAUCGUAAUGAUACACAAAUUCAUAAUAUUGAAGCCAAAAGAUGCAAAGUUAACAAUGAUAGUGCAACUUAUCUGUGGCACUGCCGUUUAGGUCAUAAUGGUGUAAAGCGCAUGAAGAAAAUCCAUGUUGAUGGGCUUUUGGAAUCACUUGAUUAUGAACCAGUUCAUGCUUGCAAACCAUGCCUCAUGGGCAAGAUGACUAAGAAUCCGUUCUCUAGAACAAUGGAGCGAGCAACUGACUUAUUGGAAAUAAUACAUACUGAUGGAUGCGAUCCGAUAAGUGUUGAGACUCGCGGCGGGUAUCGUUAUUUUCUGACCUUCACAGAUGAUUUGAGCAGAUAUGGGUAUAUCUACUUAAUGAAACAUAAGUCUAAAACAUUUGAAAAGUUCAAAGAAUUUCAGAGUGAAGUGGAAAAUCAUCGUAACAAGAAAAUGAAGUUUCUACGAUCUGAUCGCGGAGGCGAAUAUUUGAGUUACGAGUUUGGUCUUCAUUUGAAACAAUGCGGAAUAGUUUCGCAACUCACGCCACCUGGAACACCACAUCGUAAUGGUGUGUCCGAACAUCAUAACCGUACUUUAUUAGAUAUGGUGCAAUCUAUGAUGUCUCUUACUAAUUUACCACUAUCAUUUUGGGGUUAUGUAUUAGAGACAGUUGCAUUCACGUUAAAUAGGGCACCAUCUAAAUCUGCUGAUACGACACCAUAUCAACUGUGGUUUGGCAAGAAACCGAAGUUGUCGUUUCUUAAAGUUUGGGAUUGUGAUGCUUAUGUGAAAAAGUUUCAUCCUGAUAAGCUCAAACCCAAAUCGUAGAAAUGUGUCUUCAUAGGAUACCCAAAGGAGACAGUUGGGUACACCUUCCAUCACAGAUCCGAAGGCAAGACAUUCAUUGCUAAGAGUUGAUCCUUCCUAGAGAAGAAGUUUCUCUCAAAAGAAGUGAGUUGGAGGAAUGUAGAACUUGAUGGGGUAAUUGUACCUUCUCCCGAAUCGGAAAGUAGUUCAUCACAGAAAUGAGUUCUAGUGAUUUCUAUGCCAAUUAGUGAGGAAGCUAAUGAUAAUGAUCAUGAAACUUCAGAUCAAGUUACUACCUCACCUCGUAGGACAACCAGAGUAUGGUCUGCACCAGAGUGGUACGGUAAUCUUUUCUGGAAGUCAUGUCACUAGACCAUGACGAACCUACGAACUAUGAGGAAGUGAUGAUGAGCCCAGAUUCCACGAAAUGGCUUAAGGCCAUGAAAGCUGAGAUGGAAUCCAUGUAUAAAGAACAAAGUAUGGACUUUGAUUGACUUGCCCAAUGAUUGGCAAGCCAUAGAAAAUAAAUGGAUCUUGAAGAGGAAGACAAACGCUGAUAGUAGUGUUACUAUCUACAAAGCUAGACUUGUCAAAAAAGGUUUCGACAAAGUUCAAGGUGUUGACUACGAUGAGAUUUUCUCACUCGUAGCGAUGCUUAAGUCUGUUCGAAUCAUGUUAGCAAAUUGCCACAUUUAUGAAAUCUGGAAAAUGAAUGUCAAAACUACAUUCCUUAAUGGAUUUCUUAAAGAAGAGUUGUAUAUGAUGCAACCAGAAGGUUUUGUCGAUCCUAAAGGUGUUAACAAAGUGUGCAAGCUCCAGCGAUCCAUCUAUGGACUGGUGCAAGCAUCUCGGAGUUGGAAUAUAUGCUUUGAUAAAGUGAUCGAAGCAUGUGGUUUUAUACAUAUUUGCGAUGAAGCCUGUAUUUACAAGAAAGUGGGUGGGAGCACUACAACAUUUCUGAUAAGUAUAUGUGAAUGACAUAUUGUUGAUCGAAAAUAAUGUAGACUUUUUCUAGAAAGCAUAAAGGCGUGUUUGAAAAGAGUUUUUCAAAGAAAGACCUCGCCGAAGCUGCUUAGACAUUGAGCAUCAAGAUCUAUAGAGAUAGAUCAAGGCGCUUGAUAAGUUUUUUCAAUGAGUACAUAAGUAGUUCAAAAUGGAACAAUCAAAGAAGGAGUUCUUGACUGUGUUGCAAGGUGUGAAGUUGAGUAGAGACUCAAAACCCGACCACGGCAGAAAAUAGAAAGAUAAUGAAAAGUCAUUGCCUAUGCCUCAGUCAUAGGUUCUAUAAAGUAUGUUAUACUGUUUACGAGUCCUAUUGUAUACCUUAGCAUUUUUCUGGCAAGGGAGUACAAUAGUGAUCUAGGAGUAGAUCACUGGACAACGGUCAAAAUUAUCCUUAGAGGACUAAGGAAAAUAUUUCUCGGUUAUGGAGGUGAUAAAAGAGUUCGUCGUAAAGAGUUACAUCAAUGCAAUCUUUUCACAUUGAUUUAGAUGACUCUAAGUCUCGAUCUGGAUACAUAUUGAAACUGGGAGCAAUUAGCUAGAGUAGCUCCGUGCAGAGCAUUGUAGACAUAGAAAUUUGCAAAAUACAUAUAGAUAUAAAUGUUGCAGACCCGUAGACUAAACUUCUCUCACAAGCAAAACAUGAUCACUCUUUGGGUGUUAAUCACAUAGCGAUGUGAACUAGAUUAUUGACUCUAGUAAACCCUUUGGGUAUUAGUCACAUGGAGAUGUGAACUAAUCACAUAAAGAUGUUAACUAGAUUAUUGAGUCUAGUGCAAGUAGGAGACUGAAGGAAAUAGACCCUAGAGGCAAUAAUAAAGUUAUUAUUUAUUUCCUUAUAUCAUGAUAAAUGUUUAUUAUUCAUGCUAGAAUUGUAUUAACCGAAAACUUAGUACAUGUGUGAAUACAUAGACAAACAAAGUGUCACUAGUAUGCCUCUACUUGACUAGCUCGUUGAAUCAAAGAUGGUUAAGUUUCCUAGCCAUGGACAUGAGUUGUCAUUUGAUUAACGGGAUCACAUCAUUAGAGAAUGAUGUGAUUGACUUGACCCAUUCUAUUAGCUUAGCACUUGAUCGUUUAGUUUACUGCUAUUGCUUUCUUCAUGACUCAUACAUGUUCCUAUAACUAUGAGGUUAUGCAACUCCUGAUUACCGGAGGAACACUUUGUGUGCUACCAAACGUCACAGCGUAACUGGGUGAUUAUAAAGGUGCUCUAUAGGUGUCUCUGAUGGUACUUGUUUAGUUGGCAUAGAUCGAGAUUAGGAUUUUUCACUCCGAUUGUCGGAGAGGUAUCUCUGGGCCCUCUCGGUAAUGCACAUCACUAUAAGCCUUGCAAGCAAUGCAACUAAUGAGUUAGUUGCGGGAUGAUGAAUUAUGGAAACGAGUAAAGAGACUUGCCAGUAACGAGAUUGAGCUAGGUAUUGAGAUAUCGACGAUCGAAUCUCGGGUAAGUAACAUACCGAUGACAAAGGGAACAACGUAUGUUGCUAUGCGGUUUGACCGAUAAAGAUCUUCGUAGAAUAUGUGGGAGCCAAUAUGAGCAUCCAGGUUCCGCUAUUGGUUAUUGACCAGAGACAUGUCUCACUCAUGUCUACAUAGUUCUCGAACCCGUAGGGUCCACACACUUAAUGUUCGGUGACGAUCGGUAUUAUGACUUUUUGUGCUUUGAUGUACGGAAGGUAGUUUGGAGUCUCGGAUAUGACCAUGGACAGGACGAGGAGUCUCGAAAUGGUCGAGACAUAAAGAUUGAUAUAUUGGACGACUAUAUUCGGACACCAGAAGUGUUCCGGGUGGUUUCGGAGAAAACCGGAGUGCUGGAGGGUUACCGGAACCCCCCCGGGAGAAAUAGUGGGCCUUAUGGGUAUUAGUGGAGAGAACGAGGGCUGGCCUAGGGCAGGCCACGUGCCCCUACCCCUCUGGUCCCAAUUGUACUAGGAGAGGGGGCGGCACCCCCCUUUCCUUCUCCUUCUCCCUCUCCCCCUUCCUUUCCCCCUCCUAGUAGGAGUGGGAAAGAGGGGAGUCCCACUCCAAAUAGGAGGAGGACUCCUCCUCCUGGCACGCCUACAGGGGCCGGCCGGCCUCCCCCCUUGCUCCUUUAUAUACGGGGGCAAGGGGGCACCUCUAGACAAACAAGUUGAUCUGUUGAUCUCUCCCAGCCGUGUGCGGUGCCCCCCUGCACCAUAAUCCACCUCGAUCAUAUCGUAGCGGUGCUUAGGCGAAGCCCUGAGUCAGUAGCAUCAUCAUCACCGUCAUCACGCCGUUGUGCUGACGAAACUCUCCCGUGAAGCUCUGCUGGAUCGGAGUUCGUGGGAUGUCAUCGAGCCGAACGUGUGCUGAACUUGGAGGUGCCGUGCGUUCGGUACUUGGAUCGGUCGGAUCGUGAAGACGUAUGACUACAUCAACCGCAUUGUGCUAACGCUUCUGCUUUCGGUCUCCGAGGGUACCUGGACACACUCUCCCCUCUCGUUGCUAUGCAUCACCAUGAUCCUGUGUGUACGUAGGAAUUUUUUUGAAAUUACUACGUUCCCCAACACUUUCUUCAAGAUUCGGCCCGAACUAUUUGGUAGAUUCCCACACAUUACGCGUUCAUUCCUCGCUUUGUUCUCAACCAUUCCGAUAAAUUCCAUCAAACAGAGGCCGUUAGUUCAAAGCCGCAACACACGCCCUAUAAUUUUGAAGCAAGGCGAGACAACUUUAGCUAUGGGGUGACCUAACCAAACAUGGCGGUCAACCCCUAGGGAUAAAGCAUGCUUCAUAAGUUUGUGAGCUUCAACAUUCAAGCUCCUAAAUUCAAGGCUAAUGAUCCAAUUAGUAAAAGUAGCCUUCCGAUCUAUGAUCUCAUGUAUGAUUGCUCUGUAGAUAGUUGCGCCCUUCUCAUGUAUAUCUGCAACGCCACCUUGAAAUCUGAAGCCACUUGAAUCUUCCUCUCAUAGAGAUUAUCAGCAAGCGCAAGUGCCACCCUGAUUGCUGAAGAUUCGACAGUAGCAAGAUCUAAUAUAUGUGGGAACACAAUGCCUGACACACCCAGAAAAUUACAAGCUUGAUCUCUACAUAUAGCUCCCAUUGCGCCUCGAGUGCCGCCUGGUCUAACCGCCGAACCCACAUUGACCUUCACCAUAUCAUUCUGAGGAGCGAUACAUUGAUUUGGCCUAAUCUCGGGUGCCCCUGGAACUGGACUUCGAGUGCUUUGGGUAACUCUCAGCUCAGUUAAGUAACUCUGCACAAAAGCCUGAAAAGUGGAAGGGCUUUUAUAUAUCUCCUCAUGUAUAGCUUUGUGCCGAGCUCCAAAUAUGAUCCGCAAAAGUGAUCGUAAACAUGAUAAAAUCCUCCUCCUGCGAUAACACCUCAUGCAUGGUGAGUAGCCAUUGUUUGGCAUCAUCAUUUACAUUCAGACUCAACUGCUCGACAAUUUGCUCGUAUGAUAGUGCCCAUGUGCUCCUUGAAACCAAGAAAUUCAGCAGGGCGUGCCUGCACAUAUCCUUAGACCCGCACAAACAACAAGCACUCGUCAUCGACAUGUUUCUAUGAUGAAGAAGAACAUUGUGAGUAACGUGCUAAUUGAUAUGUCCAUUUUAUUGCAUUAUGGGAUGUUAUUACACAUUAUGUCAUAAUACUUAUGCCUAUUCUCUCUUAUUUUACAAGGUUUACAUGAAGAGGGGGAAUGCCGGCAGAUGGAAUUCUGGGCUGGAAAAGGAGCAAAUAUUAGAGACCUAUUCUGCACAUCUCCAAAAGUCCUGAAACUCCACGGGAGCACUUUUCAGAAUAUAUAAAAAAUAUUGGGCGCAAGAAGUACAAGAGGGGGCCACACCCUGGCCACAAGGGUGGGAGGCGAGCCCCCCUGCCUCGUGGGCUCCCUGGUGGCCCUCCGAUGCCCAUCUUCUGCUAUAUGAGGUCUUUAGUCCGAGGAAAAAUCAUAAGCAAGCUUUCGGGACAAGACUCUGCCGCCACGAGGCGGAACCUUGGUGGAACCAAUCUAGGGCUCCGGCAGAGUUGUUCUGCUAGGGAAACUUCCCUCCGGGAGGGGGAAAUCAUCACCAACGAUCCUCUCAUCGGGAGGGGUUCAAUCUCCAUCAACAUCUUCACCAGCACCAUCUCAUCUCAAACCCUAGUUCAUCUCUUGUAUUCAAUCUUUGUAUCCAAACCUCAGAUUGGUACAUGUGGGUUGCUAGUAGUGUUGAUUACUCCUUGUAGUUGAUGCUAGUUGGUUUACUUGGUGGAAGAUCAUAUGUUCAGAUCCAUUAUGCAUAUUAAUACCCCUCUGAUUAUGAACAUGAAUAUGUUUUGUGAGUAGUUACGUUUGUUCCUGAGGACAUGGGAGAAGUCUUGCUAUUAGUAGUCAUGUGAAUUUGGUAUUCGUUCGAUAUUUUGAUGAGAUGUAUGUUGUCAUCCCUCUAGUGGUGUCAUGUGAACGUCUGUCGGUGUCAAAACUGGUGGAUCUCGGGUAGGGGGUCCCGAACUGUGCGUCUAGGCGGAUGGUAAUAGGAGACCGGGUACAUGAUGUUUUUACUCAGGUUCGGGCCCUCUCGAUGGAGGUAAAACCCUACGUCCUGCUUGAUUAAUAUUGAUGAUAUGGGUAGUACAAGAGUAGAUCUACCAUGAGAUCAAGGAGGCUAACCCUAGAAGCUAGCCUAUGGUAUGAUUGUUGUCCCUACGGACUAAAACCCUCCGGUUUAUAUAGACACCGGAGAGGGCUAGGGUUACACAGAGUCGGUUACAGUGGUUGGAGAUCUACAUAUCCGUAUCGCCAAGCUUGCCUUCCACGCCAAGGAAAGUCCCUUCCGGACACGGGACGAAGUCUUCAAUCUUGUAUCUUCAUAGUCCAGGAGUCCGGCCGAAGGUAUAGUCUGGCUAUCCGGACACCCCCUAAUCCAGGACUCCCUCAAUAGCCCCUGAACCAGGCUUCAAUGACGAUGUGUCCGGCGCGCAGAUUGUCUUCGGCAUUGCAAGGCGGGUUCCUCCUCCAAGUACUUCAUAGAAGAUUUUGAACACAAAGGUAGUGUCCGGCUCUGCAAAAUAAGUUUCCACAUAUUGCCAUAGAGAGAAUAAUAUUUACACAAAUCUAAUCUGCUGACGUAUUUCGUAGCAUGACAUCAUACCAUGGCCAAGUCUUUAUUCGAAUCGUUUUACUGUCCCACCUCAGCGCGUUUAGCGAGGCGGUUUCCUUGGCAUGUCUUGUCAAAGCAGAGAUUGUGUCCCCUUAUUCCGGGAUUCUCAUCAAUACGGGCGUGGGUAACCCAACCGUACCCGUUGGUAUGUUUUCUCGAUCAAAGGUGAGCCCCGAAUGGUCACGGGGAGGGCCCUUGGUAUUCAACCUAUUAUAAAGAGACCAAGGCCUUACUCCUUUCUUUCAAUCUCAAACGAGUUUGCCCUUCGCCUCGAGUUCCAACACCCAAGGCUCCAGAUUUUAGGCACAUCGGACCUUCGACAAUGUCCGGUUCCGACCUUUGAGGCCGAUGGAUGCCCUCCUCCAUCAAGGAGGAGGACGUGCUGAAGUUGAGAGAGGCCAGGUUCUUGACCGGCAAAAUCUGGCAUAGGCUGCCUGCUCAAGAGCAGGUCAUUCCCACUCCCAAGCCGGGUGAGAGUGUGGUGUUCAUGUCUCACUUCAUUCGGGGGCUAGGCUUCCCGACGGAUCCCUUCGUGAGGGGGCUCAUGUUUUAUUAUGGGCUGGAAUUUCACGACUUAGCUCCGGAGUCCAUCCUACAUAUUUUCUCAUUCAUCGUCGUGUGUGAAGCCUUCCUCCGUAUUACUCCUCACUUCGGACUAUGGCUCAAGACCUCCAAAGUAGAGCCAAAUAUGAUCGAGGGACGACACGCGGAGUGAGGAGGUGCUUUUAUAAGCAAGAAUGCUGGUGAUCCAUGGCCCGAGGGCUCUUUUCAAGAGGAGUCCAGCUUAUGGCAAUGAGAGUGGUUUUACAUCACCGUUCCCAGGGGCACCAAGUGGGUGGCGCCACCCGCCUUUUGCUCGGGUCCCCAACCACAACUAGUGUCAUGGGUCAAUAAAGGACUGGACUGGGGGCCAUUCAAGGACGUGCCCUUGUUGCAGGGCCGCAUUCGAGAUCUCUUAGAAAGAGACAUUAGCCUAGUCGUGGUGACGCAGGUCAUGUUGAUCCGCCGAGCCUUGCCCGGCAAACGUCGCCCCCUUCGCCUGUGGGAGUUCAAUCCGGAGGGACCACGAGCCCUCCAGCAUUUCAUGGGCGCAACGCCCGUGGAGAUGUACAAAUUGUUCUUAGGAUCACAAGCGAUGUGUUCGGACUUGACCGAGGACGUAGGCCUGAGCUGCAAUCACCCGGAUACUCAAGUAAGUAGCCUUGUGCCCGGACUCGCUAUCCAUAUAUAUAUCAUAAAAUUGCCCCUAAAAGAGCUGUCCUUUAAAAAGGAGUGGAUAGCGAAAGCAAAGCUAAUCAGGUGUCCGGCCCCCCUCCCCGAGGCCACGCCAGAUCCCAUGCUAGUCAGGAUGUUGGAGGUUGUGCCUUCGGAGGAAAGCGAGGGAGGGGACAAGGAAGCUACAACCUCCUCGAAGAAGGUUGUAAGGAAGGGAGGAAUCGAAAAUUCCUCUCCUCAGGGGAAGAAGAGGACCGCCUCUGACGACCCGGAGACCAUGGCCUCAAAGCGGGGGAAGAAAUCUUCAUCACAGGAUCCUACGCCGGGGGAUACUUCGGCCGAAUUAUGCCCUCAAGGGGAUCAGCCCUCCACCGAGCCGUAAGUAGAGAGGAGUUUUUCUUUUUAAGAAAUGAGAGAAAUCCUUGCGUUAUAUUUGAGAAGAGUAAUCGAAAAUUUACCUUGUAGCUCGGACCUUAGCCCUUCUCAGCAGAGCUCGUCUUCGGGGGAUCUUCUUCCGGAGAUGAUGGAUAGCGGAACGCCUCCCCCUGCCGUACCGCCUUGCGAGGCAGGCGACCCUGAGGUAUCGUCGCGGAGGGUUUCUCUGAAUCCGGCUGGGCCGGAAGGUCGUUAUAUGGCCCCCCAAAGCCCUCCAUGUCCGGCCUUCGAAAAGGGCCAUCGGACGAGUCCGGCACCAUGUGGUGCGCGGUCGGAGGAGCUGAAGGAUCUGCUAGGGCGAGCAUCUAUCUCAGAGUAGCACCGUGCAUUGAUGGGUAUGGUGAUUGAGAGGAUUUCAUCCGCGGAGAGCGGAUUGCACGAGGCCGUCAGGAGUUUACUGACAGGUUUUGAGGUACGUGAAAUAAUGUACCCUUUUUGGACAGUUGCGCAUAAAUAAGAUGCGCUCUAUGUAGAUAGUAGCCCCUAAGACUCUAUGCGUUGUCAAAAGUGACGGCGCGCAGAGGAUCAUAAUCCCAGGUCUAAUAUGCCGCCUUCAUACGUAGGUGGCGAAGUGUCGGGUGGCCAGUCGGAAUGAUGAAUGUGCUGAGCUAAAGCGGCAACUUGACGUGGCAGACGCGGACAUCGCGGUUGUCAACAUGCGGCUUGACGAGGCACAAGGUAUGUAAUUACUCCGGCGGCACCUGGUAAGAGGAGCUUUAUGCCAGUAUCUUACAAUGUGUGCGCUUGAUGCAAAUGGUGUUGCUGCCAUGGAGAAUCUUUGGGCGGAACUUGCCCGAGCCAAGGAGCAAGCCAGGAAAAGUGAUGCGGCUGCCGGAAAGGCAAUUGAAGAGCUGAAAGCCGAACAGGCUGCUCACUGCCGAAGCAAGAAGGAAAUGGCCGAGAUGGCUGUGAAGCUGAAGAGUGCUACUGACCGUUGCAAGCUUCUUGAAAAAGAAGAUCAGGCGGAACAGACGGACCUGGAGAAGGCCGUUGCCGAUGCCAAGGAUGCUCGCUCUAGGAUGAGAGCUAUGAAGGAGGAGCUGCGUCAGGCCAGAGAUAUUGCGGCUGGAAAGCCCUUUAUGCUACGAAGGAAGUUCUGUGAUCCUAAACAUGCUCCGUUAGACCGGAUGUGGAGUACGGCGGACACCUAUCUGGAUUUGGCAGCGAGUGCCGCAGAUGCGGCCGAACACUUCCGAGAUCAAGAAGAUCGCGAAGUGGAAAAGCUAUUUUGGUCGCAGUUCCACAAUCCGGAGCAUCCACUGUCAUUAGCCGAUCGUUUGGCCGAAUGGGUCGAGCUAAAUAGGUUGUCCCGACUCGCCAUGAAGUAUGUCAUGAGUCAUCUGUGGCCAGAGAGGCCAGAGCCGAAAAGUUAUUUCAACUUGGUGCAGCAGUUCCUUGGUGCGGUGCCGCAUAUCAAUGCGAUGAAGAGGUCAGCGUGCAUAGAGGGUGCGCGGAUGGCUCUUGCUUGUGUCAAGACAUACUGGGCAGAAAUGGAGGCCACCGAUGUUGCAUCCCCAGACUCGGAUGGAAGCCGAGUACCUGCCGAGCACUAUUUUCAGGAAGUUCUGCAAGGCGCUCGUUUAAUAGAGACGCAGUGCUCGAAGGAUACUAUAUUCGAAUAGCAUACAUUAUUGUAAAACAAUAUUUUGAUAAAUUGUAGAAGCUUUUUAUACUUGUGCCUGCAAGUAUUAUAAUACCUCCUGUGCGGCCAUUUAACAUAUAUGCGGGGGUGUUCGCAGAAGGCGCAUUUUCACACUUGAUCCAACGUCUUGGUCCUACAAAGGAGGUGAUAGCGCAGCGAACUAGGCAAUCGGACUAUGAUGCUUUAUCACUUUCACUUAGCCAUAGGAGUUUGACAGUGAGGCUACUUAUAUAGCCCUUAGUGGCGCCUGCGCUCGCCCGAACUCGGGGUGCGUAUGUGCCUGGCCGGGAAGCGGCAUUUCAUUAAUGCAGAGGAAUCCUAAAGAUUCCGGCAAGUCAUCGAGUGGUUGACCAGUCUCACGCUAUAUCAUGACAGUCAGUUUUCGGCUUUCUCUACUGAGGUGCUCGCCUGGCCGAACCGGGGCACAAUCGCAGUAGUUCUCCUGGUGCCGCCUUAGCCGAUAGAGCGGAACGUAAGGUAGCAAAACACAGGAGCCAGGCAAACCCAACAUUUGACCAAAGACAUGAUUCGGAGCUGAUGCAUAUAAGGCCAAACUCACGACGCCGAACACUCCCUAAGGUAUUCGGUCUUCAUGAGGGCGGGCGGGAUAACACCCUUAGUAAUAAGCCCGUAGUGUCCAGGUACGCGCAAAACUCUGAUGUGGCCACAUGCCAAAACGCCAGCCUCCUCCUUGGUUAUACCAAGAAACCAGGGGAUGUGUAUCAACAAGAGACAGUAAAAAAGGUUUACGCAGGGUCUUAAUCUGAAAAGAAUCCUUGGAACGGGUCCCUACUGCACGUCUGCGCCUGUGUCUCCAUUGUGCCGUAUCCUGAACGGGCGUAGCACGGUGUUCAUCUGUAAAAGAGAGGAACUUAGUUGAAAAAAGAUCGUGCCGAACAUGAGUUAUACUAAAUAAACAAAGUAUAAAUCAAAAUGGGUAAAAUUGAGCUUUAUUGUCUCUUGUUUUAUAUGCGCGGAGCCCCUAGUACAGGGGUAUACGGCUGUUAAGCCUUUAUCAAUUGUAUGUUUAUGCCGGACUCGUCUAGCCGUGUCCGUGGUCUUGACGACCUGUUUAGGUGCUUUGGCUGGUGAAGCCGCUUUCUUGUGGGGCUGUCAAGGCAGCCGCACUGUCUUCCAUGCAGGAGGAACACUCAAUGUUUUCCCUUUAAUAAGAUGAUGCCUCGUGGACCGGGCAUCUUAAGCGUAAGAGAUGCAUAAUGCGGUAUUGCGUUAAAGCGGGCGAAAGCUUCGCGUCCCAGCAGUGCUUGAUAGCUACUUGAGAAUGGGGCGAUGUGGAAAGUUAGCUGUUCGCGACGGAAGUUAUCGGGGGAGCCGAACAUAACUUCUAGCCGGAGAGAACCCAUGCAACAGGCAUCCGGGCCUGGCGUUACCCCUUGAAAGGAGGUUUUGCUAUGGCGAAUUUUUGUUGGGUCUAUCCUCAUGUUGCGGAUUGUGUCCUAGUAUAACAGGUUUAGACCACUGUCGCCGUCCAUCAGGACAUUUGUAAAGUGGAGUCCGCCGAUUAUUGGAUCCAAUACCAAGGCAGUCCAGCCUGCAUUCCGGAUACUUCUAGAAUAAUCCUGAUGGUCGAAGGUGAUCGGUUUUAACAACCAUUGGCGAGACUCCUUUGUGAUAGGCCGUAUGGCGCAUAUCUCUGUUGGCGCCAAUCUGUUCGUCACAUGAAGUAAGUUUACUGUUUUGACUUCUUGUGGGAAAUCCUUCUGUUUCCUGGUGCUCUGCUUGUGGGGUUCGUCGUCGUCCUCGCUUGGUGUUUUGAGCCCCUUGUGUUCGGCGUUGAGUUUGCCCGAUUGCUUGAAAACCCAACAAUCUCUGUGGGUAUGGUUCGCAGGCUUCCCGGGAGUACUGUGUAUUUGACAUAUCUUGUCCAAGAUUUUGUUUAAGUUGGAUAGCUCGUCCCUGUUAUCCUUGAGGGGCGGCUUUCUCUGAUUCUGCCGCGAGCUUUUGAAUCCGGCAUUGACCGCCGUGCUCUUUGGGCUGUUUCCCUUAUUCCGGCACUGGUCCUUGCUGUGUCGGGGUUUUCUAUUUCCAUCCCUAACUUCGGAUGUACUUGGGUCGCUAGUGCUACAUCUUGCCAACCAGUUGUCCUCUCCUGCGCAAAAGCGGGUCAUGAGGCUUGUUAAUGUGGCCAUUGUUCUUGGCUUUUCUUGGCCGAGGUGUCUGGCGAGCCAUUCGUGUCGAACUUUAUUCUUAAAAGUUGCUAGGGCUUCGGCGUCCGGACAGUCGACUAUCUAAUUCUUUUUAGUAAGAAAUCUGUUCCAGAAUUUCCGGGCUGACUCUCCGGGUUGUUGAGUUAUGUGACUGAGAUCGUCUGCAUCCAGAGGGCGGACAUAGGUCCCUUGAAAAUUUGCCCGGAAACCAUCCUCAAGAUCUUCCCAACUUCCAAUGGUGUUUUCGGGAAAGCUUUUGAGCCAAUGCCGGGCUGGCCCUUUAAGCUUGAGGGGUAAGUAUUUUAUGGCGUGGAGGUCAUCUCCUCUGGCCAUGUGUACGUGGAGGAUAUAAUCCUUGAUCCAGACCUCAGGGUCUAUUGUUCCGUCGUACGCCUCUAUGUUUACGGGCUUGAAUCCCGCUGGAAGCUCAUUAUCCAGCACCUCAUUGGUGAAACAUAGGGGGUGUGUGGGACCCCUGUAUUUGGGUGUGCCGUGAUGUUCGGAUAUUUGUUGUGUUGCAUUGCUUACUAGAGCUUGCUUUCUUGGCCCGUAGAUAGAUCUGGCUGGGCCUUCUUUUUGAUGCGGAUCCUUUGGUGGAUCGCGUGCCGGCUUGUGUGCGGCGCCGCUUGCCGCUCCAUGCUGGCCAUGCGGUCGUCUAUCCAACCGGGUGGCUUUCCUAUUUUUUGACUGCGGGGGCUCUAAGGCCUCCUCGUCAAAUUCAGGCAGUAGCUUUCGCUUUGGAUAGCUUUUUGUGCGGCGACUGCCGCCAUAUUUGUCUACGGUGUUGCGUGCUUUGCUCCAUCUGAUUCUGAGUGCAUCUUCCGCAGUUUUGAGCUUCCGCUUCUGCUUUUUCAGGCUACAUGCAAUGGCGACGAGCCUUUUGUGGAGGUUCUGCUGCUCCAUGAGCCUAUCCAGCGUAAGGUCGUUCGGACUGUUGUUUUCGUCGGGGACGGGGUGUUCGGUUUGUUUAUCCAAGUUGCCCUGUUCGGACGGUUUCUCGAAGGCAUGUUCGUCGUCCGCCGGCUCGUCCUGCUCUAUGGCUGGGUCUAUAUGGCUGCUGUCUCUAUCGAGGCGGGGCUUGGAGCGGCGCUUACGUUGCCGCUUUGAUUGCUUUUUGAGUGAACAAUCCCUCGUUGCAUCCCUGUGUUCCUCGUCGUCGCUUCCUUUGGGUGUGUCCACCAUGUAUACAUCAUGAGAUGAGGUGGCUGUCCAGUGCCUUAUAGGCGUUGGUUCAUGUUCAUCUCCUACAUCGUUGUCCAUACCGUCAAUGUCUUCGGAGUCGAAGUCGAGCACGUCGUUUAAAUUAUCGACAAUGGCUACGAAGUGGGUGGUGGGUGGGCAUCGAAUUUCUUCAUCGUCCACAUCCCAAUCCUGCCGGUCAUUGUCUGUACAGGACUCUCCUGAAAAAGAGAGAGACCUGAGUGAAUUCAGAAUGUCGCCGAAGGGCGACUGCUGAAAGAUGUCUGCGGUAGUGAACUCCAUGAUCGGCGCCCAAUCGGAUUCGAUCGGUAGGGGCACGGAGGGCUCGGAGUCCGGAGAGGAGUCCAGCAUCUUGGAGUCACAGGCUUCGCAGAGGACAAGGCUGGUGUUCAGCUUGAUCGCCGUAGAGAUUGCAGCCCCCAAGGUGGUGUCUAACCACCCAUCCUUGAUUGGUGUGGUUGGCUCCGAGCCAAGGGUCAGAGCGGACACAGGUGCGGCCUCCAGGGCACUGUUCGGCGGCAGAGCUAGAUCAUGCCCACCGGGACAGUGCGACGCGCUCGGCUGUGGCUCAGAUCCAUCGAAGAUCAAGUCUCCGCGGUCGUCCGCUGUGUAGUUUAAACUUCCAAAUCUGACCUGAUGGCCAGUGGUGUAGCUUUCGAUCUGCUCCAGAUGACCAAGCGAAUUGGCCCGCAGUGCAAAGCCGCCGAAUAUGAAGAUCUGUCCGGGGAGAAAGGUCUCACCCUGGAUUGCAUCGCUGUUGAUGAUCGGAGAAGCCAUCGGGCCUAAAAGUGACGACACAGAGGAACUCUCAACGAAAGCACCUAUGUCAGUGUCAAAACCGGCGGAUCUCGUGUAGUGGGUCCCGUACUGUGCGUCUAGGCGGAUGGUAAUAGGAGACCGGGGACAUGAUGUUUUUACCCAGGUUCGGGCCCUCUCGAUGGAGGUAAAACCCUACGUCCUGCUUGAUUAAUAUUGAUGAUAUGGGUAGUACAAGAGUAGAUCUACCACGAGAUCAAGGAGGCUAAACCCUAGAAGCUAGCCUAUGGUAUGAUUGUUGUCCCUACGGACUAAAACCCUCCGGUUUAUAUAGACACCAUAGAGGGCUAGGGUUACACAGAGUCGGUUACAAUGGUAGGAGAUCUACAUAUUCGUAUCGCCAAGCUUGCCUUCCACGCCAAGGAAAGUCCCUUCCGGACAUGGGACGAAGUCUUCAAUCUUGUAUCUUCAUAGUCCAGGAGUCCGGCCGAAGGUAUAGUCCCGCUAUCCGGACACCCCCUAAUCCAGGACUCCCUCAACAUCGACUACAUGACACUUCACCAUUGUUUGGGCCUAGAGGGAGGCAUUGGGAAGUAAUAAGUAGAUGAUGGGUUGCUAGAGUGACAGAAGCUUAAACCCUAGUUUAUGUGUUGCUUCGUAAGGGGCUGAUUUGGAUCCAUAUGUUUCAUGCUAUGGUUAGGUUUACAUUAAUACUUCUGUUGUAGUUGCAGAUGCUUGCAAUGGGGGUUAAUCAUAAGUGGGUUGCUUUUCCAGGUAAGGACAGCACCCAAGUACUGAACACGAAUCAUAUGAUCGUGAUUAAAACUAGCUUGACGAUAAUUCCCAUGUGACCUCGGGAGUGCUUUACUUCAUAUAAGAGUUUGUCCAGGCUUGUCCUUUUCUACAAAAAGGAUUGGGCCAUCUUUCUGUACCUUAUUUACUUUUAUUACUUGCUACUCGUUAGAAAUUACCUUAUCACAAAACUAUCUAUAACCGAUAAUUUCAGUGCUUGGAGAGAAUACCUUACUGAAAACUGCUUAUCGUUUCCUUCUGCUCCUCGUUGGGUUCGACACUCUUACUUAUCGAAAAGGCUACGAUAGAUCCCCUAUACUUGUGGGACAUCAAGACUCUUUUCUGGCCCCGUUGCCGUGGAGUGAAGCGCCUUUGGUAGGUGGAAUUUGGUAAGGAAAAAUUUAUAUAGUGUGCUGAAAUCUACUGUCACUUGUUACUAUGGAAAGUAAUCCUUUGAGAGGCUUGUUCGGGGUAUCUUCACCCUGACCGAUAGAGCAAAUAGUUUCUCCUCAACCUAAUAAACCUACUGAAAAUGUUUACUUUGAAAUUGCUUUGGGUAUGAUAGAGAAACUACUAGCUACUCCUUUUGCAGGAGAUGAAACAUUACAUCCCGACAUACACUUAAUCUAUGUGGACGAAGUUUGUGGAUUAUUUAAGCUUGCAGGUAUGCCCGAUGAUGUUAUCAAGAAGAAGGUCUUCCCGUUAUCUUUGAAGGGAUAUGCAUUGACAUGGUAUAGGCUAUGUGAUGAUAUGGGAUCAUGGAACUAAAAACGGUUGAAAUUGGAAUUCCAUCAGAAGUUUUAUCCUAUGCAUCUUGUUCAUCGUGAUCGUAAUUAUAUAUAUAAUUUUUGGCCUCGCGAAGGAGAAAGCAUCGCUCAAGCUUGGGGGAGGCUUAAGUCAAUGUUACAUUCAUGCCCCAAUCAUGAGCUCUCAAGAGAAAUGAUUAUUCAAUUUUUUUAUGCUCGGCUUUCUGACAACAACCGCUCCAUGCUCGAUACUUCUUGUACUGGUUCCUUUAUGAUGAAGACUAUUGAAUUCAAAUGGAAUUUAUUGGAUAGAAUUAAACGCAACUCUGAAGAUUGGGAUCUCCACGAAGGUAAGGAGUCAGGUAUAACACCUAAGUUUGAUUGUGUUAAAUAUUUUAUGGAUACCAAUGUUUUCCAUAAAUUUAGCACUAUAUAUGGACUUCACUCUGAGAUAGUAGCUUCUUUCUGUGAAUCGUUUGCUACUCAUGUUGAUAUCCCUAAGGAGAAGUGGUUUAAAUAUCAUCCUCCCAUGGAAGUAAAAGUAGUUGAACCUAUUAAAGUUGAAGAAAAGACUAUCACUUAUAAUGAUCCUAUUGUUCCUACUACUUAUGUUGAGAAACGACCUUUCCCUGUUAGAAUAAAGGAUCAUGCUACAACUUCAACUGUGGUUCGUAAAAGUAAUAUUAGGACACACAAUCCCCCUGAGCAAGUUAAAGUUGAACCUAAUAUUGAUAUUGUUAAAGAUCUCUUGGCUGAUAAUAUUGAUGAGCAUGUUAUUUACUUUUGUGAUGAAACUGCUAGAAUUGCUAAACCUGGUGCUAAAGAUAAACAUAGACCUGUGGUAGGCAUGCCUGUUAUUUCUGUUAAAAUAGGAGAUCAUUGUUAUCAUGGCUUGUGUGAUAUGGGUGCUAGUGCUAGUGCAAUACCUAUUUCUUUAUACAAAGAAAUUAUGCAUGAUAUUGCACCGGCUGAGAUAGACGAUUUCGAUGUUUCCAUUAAGCUUGCUAAUAGAGAUACUAUUUCACCAAUUGGGGUUGUUAGAGAUGUUGAAGUCUUGUGUGGGAAGGUUAAAUAUCCUGCUGAUUUUCUUGUUCUUGGUUCCCCACAAGAUAGCUUUUGUCCCAUUAUAUUUGGUAGACCCUUCUUGAAUGUUGUUAAUGCUAAGAUAGACUGCAAUAAGGAUAUUGUUGCUAUUGGUUUAGGGGAUAUGUCUCAUGAGUUUAAUUUUGCUAAAUUUAGUAGACAACCCCGUGAUGAGGAAUUUCCUAGUAAAGAUUAAAUUAUUGGUCUUGCUUCUAUUGCCAUGACUCCUACUGAUCCUUUAGAACAAUAUUCACUAGACCAUGAAAAUGAUCUAUUCAUGAAUGAAAUAAGGGAAAUAGAUGAAGUAUUCUUUAAACAAGGACCUAUUCUGAAACACAACUUGCUUGUUGAAAUCCUAGGGGAUCCUCCUCUACCCAAGGGUGACCCCGUGUUUGAGCUUAAACCAUUACCUGAUACUCUUAAAUAUGCUUAUCUUGAUGAAAAGAAGAUAUAUCAUGUUAUUAUUAGUGCUAACCUUUCAGAGAAGGAGGAAGCGAAAUUAUUGAAAACUCUGAAGAAGCACUGUGCUGCUAUUGGAUAUACUCUUGAUCAUCUUAAGGGCAUUAGUCCCACUCUAUGUCAACACAAAAUAAACUUAGAGAAAGAUGCCAAACCAGUUAUUGAUCACCAACGAUGGCUGAAUCCUAAGAUGCAAGAAGUGGUAAGAAAAUAAAUACUAAAGCUCCUUGAGGCAGGUAUAAUUUAUCCCGUUGCUGAUAGUUAGUGGGUAAGCCCUGUCCAUUGUGUCCCUAAGAAGGGAGGUAUUAUCAUUGUUCCUAAUGAUAAAGGUGAAUUGAUCACACAAAGAAUUAUUACAGGUUAUAGGAUGGUAAUUGAUUUCCGCAAAUUAAAUAAUGCUACUAAAAAGAUCAUUACCCUUUACCUUUUAUUGAUCAAAUGCUAGAAAGAUUAUCCAAACAUACACACUUUUGCUUUCUAGAUGGUUACUUUGGUUUCUCUAAAAUACCCGUGUCAGCCAAAGAUCAAUCAAAGACCACUUUUACUUGCCCUUUUGGUACUUUUGCUUAUAGAUGUAUGCAUUUUGGUUUAUAUAAUGCACCUGCUACCUUUCAAAGAUGCAUGAUGGCUAUAUUCUCUUACUUUUGUGAAAAGAUUUGUGAGGUUUUCAUGGACGAUUUCUCCAUUUAUGGAUCCUCUUUUGAUGAUUACUUGAGCAACCUUGAUCGAGGUUUGCAGAGAUGUGAAGAAACUAAUCUUGUCUUGAACUGGGGGAAGUGCCACUUCAUGGUUAAUGAAGGUAUUGUCUUGGGGCAUAAAAUUUCUGAAAGAGGUAUUGAAGUUGAUAAAGCUAAAGUCGAUGCAAUUGAAAAGAUGUUGUGUCCCAAGGACAUCAAAGGUAUAAGAAGUUCCCUUGGUCAUGUCGGUUUUUAUGAGGAGGUUCAUUAAGGACUUCUCAAAAGUUUCUCGGCCUCUGAAUAACCUAUUACAAAAAUAUAUUCCUUUUGGCUUUGAUGAUGAUUUUGUAGAAGCAUUUGAAAUACUUAAGAAAGCCCUGAUUUCUGCACCUAUUGUUCAGCCAGCUGAUUGUAAUUUACCGUUUGAAAUUAUGUGUGAUGCUAGUGAUUAUGCUGUAGGGGCUGUUCUAGGACAAAGAGUUGAUAAGAAAUUAAAUGUUAUCCAAUAUGCUAGUAAAACCCUAGACGGUGCCCAAAGAAAUUAUGCUACUGCUGAAAAGGAAUUCUUAGCAGUUGUAUUUGCUUGUGAUAAGUUCAGACCUUAUAUUGUUAAUUCUAAAGUAACUAUUCACACUGAUCAUGCUGUUAUUAAAUACCUUAUGGAAAAGAAAGAUGCUAAACCUAGACUUAUUAGAUGGGUUAUCCUGCUACAAGAAUUUGAUUUGCAUAUUAUUGAUAGAAAGGGAGCUGAGAACCCUGUUGCAGACAACUUGUCUAGGUUAGAAAAUGUUCUUGAUGACCCACUACCUAUUGAUGAUUGCUUUCCUGAUGAACAAUUAAAUGUCAUAAAUGCUUCUCAAACUGAUCCAUGGUAUGCGGAUUAUGAUAAUUAUAUUGUUGCUAAAUUUAUACCACCUAGUUUCACAUACCAGCAAAAGAAAAAGUUCUUAUAUGAUUUGAGACAUUACUUUUAGGAUGAUCCACAUCUUUAUAAAGGAGUAGAUGGUGUUAUUAGACAUUGUGUACCUGAGCAUGAAUAGGAACAGAUCCUACGCAAGUGUCACUCUGAGGCUUAUGGAGGACACCAUGCUGGAGAUAGAACUGCACAUAAGGUAUUGCAAUCCGGUUUUUAUUGGCCUACUCUCUUCAAGGAUGCCCAUAAGUUUGUCUUGUGUUGUGAUGAAUGUCAAAGAAUUGGUAAUAUUAGUAGACGUCAAGAAAUGCCUAUGAAUUAUUCACUUGUUAUUGAACCAUUUGAUUUUUGGGGCUUUGAUUAUAUGGGACCUUUUCCUUCCUCUAAUGGGUAUACACAUAUUUUUGUUGCUGUUGAUUACGUUACUAAGUGGGUAGAAGCUAUUCCAACUAGUAGUGUUGAUCAUAACACCUCUAUUAAGAUGCUUAAAGAAGUUAUUUUUACGGGGUUUGGAGUCCCUAGAUAUUUAAUGACUGAUGGUGGUUCACAUUUUAUUCAUGGUGCUUUUCGUAAAAUGCUUGCUAAGUAUGAUGUUAAUCAUAGAAUUGCAUCUCCUUAUAACCCACAGUCUAGUGGUCAAGUAGAAUUGAGUAAUAGAGAGCUCAAAUUAAUUUUGCAAAAGAUUGUUAAUAGAUCCAGGAAGAAUUGGUGCAAGAAACUUGAUGAUGCAUUAUGGGCCUAUAGAACUGCAUAUAAAAAUCCUAUGGGUAUGUCUCCAUAUAAAAUGGUUUAUGGAAAAGCAUGUCACUUACCUCUCGAACUAGAACAUAAGGCAUAUUGGGCUAUGAAAGAGCUCAAUUAUGAUUUUAAACUUGCCGGUGAGAAGAGGUUAUUUGACAUUAGCUCACUAGAUGAAUGGAGAACCCAAGCCUAUUAGAAUGCCAAACUGUUUAAAGAAAAAGUUAGAAGAUGGCAUGACAAAAUGAUACAAAAGCGUGAGUUCAACGUAGGUGAUUAUGUAUUGCUAUACAACUCUCGUUUAAGAUUUUUGCAGGCAAACUUAUCUCUAAAUGGGAAGGUCCUUACAUUAUCGAGGAGGUCUAUCGUUCCGGUGCCAUAAAGUUCAACAACUUCGAAGGCACAAAUCUGAGGGUGAUAAAUGCUGAAACUAAUAUUAUCGAAACCAUAACCCCGGAGGAAUACAUAAGGGACACUUACUAGAAUGUUUCAGACCCCGAAAAGGAAUAAGUAUGUGGUACGGUAAGUAAACCAGCUCCAAAACAGUUCUAAUGGAAAAUUUUCUCUGUUUUGAAAUAUUUAGAAAAAUAGGAAAAUAAGAAGCAGUCCGUGAAGGACAAGAGGCUUCCACGAGGGUGGAGGGCGCGCCCCCCUGCCUCGUGGGCACCUCGUGUGCUCUCCAGACUCCGUUUUCUUGCACGAUACUUCUUUUGGUCGGUAAAAAUUCAUUAUAUAAUCUCCUGAAGAUUUUGACCACCGUAUCACGCAAAUAUCUCUUGUUUUUGUUUCGAGUUAUUUUUGUGACAGAUCUAGGUUGUCAUAUCGUCUUCAACUGUCCCCAAGGACAAGUUCUUCGAGAGGGUCUUCAACCCCUACCUCGCGGAGGUGCUACAACACCCUCAAACCAUUGAGAUGCGUGAGGGGUUGUUGCACAUCCGCGAUGUUGAGGGACCAAGGAGGACUAGAAGCAUGGAGGCAAGGCUCGAGGCAUUGGAGCAACAACUUUUCAAGUGUUAGGAGAUGGUGGAGCGUGAACUCGACUCCAAUUACAUUAUGAUCAUGGAUUUAACCAACAAGCACAAGCUGGACGUCAUCGACAUUGCGGAGGCCAUCUUCAAGCUUCAUGAGAAAAUCGAGCACCUCCAAGCCCAGAUCUAUGACUUGCAAAAUCAAAAUUGUGAGUAUGAAUAUAGACUCAAGACGAUGAGUUUGGCUGCAGAUUUGAGGAUUCAGGAGAUUCGAUCAUCCUUCUAUGAUGGUGAGCCUAUGCCUUAGAAGAGGGACGACAAGCCUACAUCAUCAACAACUCGACCUUCUUCACCAACAAAGAAGAACUGAGUAUCUGGUAUGGGCACUCCCCUUGGCAACUGCCAAGCUUGGGGGAGUGCCCCGGUAUCGUAUCACCAUCACUUUUAUCUCUACCAUUUUUCUUAGUUCGAUCCUUUUGAUAAUAUCUUGAUCUAGUAGAAUAAAGUUUUAGUACGAUCUAGUUGUGAGUUUUGCUUUAUGAUCCUCUUAUGUAAUCGAGUCCGUGAGCUAUAUAUAAUAAAGAUUAGUGUUGAGUCAAGGGCUUUAUUAUUUUGCUAUGAUCUUGAGGGAAUAAAAUAAAAGAGAAGAAAUAAAAAGAAACAAAGAGAUCAUAUGGAUCUUAUGGAGAGUAAUGAGCUCAUAUAUAAAGAGUAUGUUGAAUAAAAGUUGUUGAGAGUUGACAAACAUAGUUUUUGGUCAUCGUUGCAAUUAAUAGGAAGUAAUACAGAAAGAGAGGUUUUCACAUAUAAAUAUACUAUCUUGGACAUCUUUUAUAAUUGUGAGCACUCAUUAAAAUAUGACAUGCUAAAGAUUUGACGUUGGACAAGGAAGACAAUGUAAUGGGUUAUGUUUUCUUACAUCUGAGAUAAAUUAUAUUGUCAUGGAUCAUCCAACAUGUUGAGCUUGCCUUUCACUCUCUUGCUAGCCAAUUUCUUUGGACCAAGUAGAGAUACUACUUGUGCUUCCAAAUAUCCCUAAAUCCAGUUCUGCGAUGAGAGUCCACCAUAUCUACCCAUGGAUUGAGUAAGAUCCUUCAAGUAAGUUGUCAUCGGUGCAAGCAAUAAAAAUUGCUCUCUAACUAUAUAUGACUUAUUAGUGUGGAGAAAAUAAGCUGUAUACGAUCUUUUGAUGUGGAAGAAAUAAAAGCGACGGACUUCAUAAUAAAGAUCCAUAUCACAAGUGGAAAUAUAAAGUGACGUUUUUUUGCAUUAAGAUUUUGUGCAUCUAACCAUAAAAGCGCAUGACAACCUCUGCUUCCCUCUGUGAAACUUUUAUCUUCUACCUUACAUAAGAGUCAUGGUGAUCUUCACCUUUCCUUUUUUACAUUUUAUCCUUUGGCAAGCACAAUAUGCUGGAAAGAUCCUGAUAUAUAUAUAGCAUGUGAUGGAUGCAGGAAUUAACAAGAACACUACAUGCAUCACGAUGUACUAGAAGAUAAUGCAAAAAAAUUACUUGCAACUUCGGGCCUGCAACUUCAAAUGGGAGUUUACCAUCCCAACAUGUACCUGUAUUCGUUGUCGCAUCUGGUGCAGUUAAUGACAUGGGAGAAAUCAUUAACUUGAUCAUCUUCAAUUUUGAUGGAUUCCUUGACGCGUCGCCCAUGCUGGCCGGAGGUAGGUUUGGCAAACAAUACCAUCUUGCUCUUCAAACCGAACCUGAUUCAUGCAAAUAACGUGGAUGCCAGAUCCUAUUUAGAUGGAACUUUUCAAACUGAACCUGAUCCAUGCAAAGAGUUCUGGCCGGUUGUUAAAUAGCAGUUUGUUCACAGCACACGUGCCAUAGGGAAUUUUGGGUUGGGAGUAUAUAUAUAGGAAAAUGGGUCAGUACACCCAGGAGUACAUACUCCCAACCCGAAAUUCCCUAUGGCACGUGUGCAUACUCCCAACCCGAAAUUCCCUACGGCACGUGUGCUGUGAACAAAAUGCUAAUUAAAAACCGGCCAGAACUCUUUGCAUGGAUCAGGUUCAGUUUGAAAAGUUCCAUCUAAAUAGGAUCUGGCAUCCACGUUAUUUGCAUGGAUCAGGUUCGGUUUGAAGAGCAAGAUGGUAUUGUUUGCUAAACCUACCUCCGGCCAGCAUCGGCGACGCGUCAAGGAAUCCAUCAAAAUUGGAGAUGAACAAGUUAAUGAUUUCUCCCAUGUCAUUAACUGCACCAGAUGCGACAACGAAUACAUGUACAUGUUGGGAUGGUAAAUUCCCAUUUGAAGUUGCAGGCCCGAAGUUGCAAGUAUUUUUUUUUUUUUGCAUUAUCUUCUAGUACAACGCGAUGCAUGUAGUGUUCUUGUUAAUUCCUGCAUCCAUCACAUGCUAUUUCCUUUUGACAACAUCCCAUGCUACUUAUAGGUAGCAGCAGUGAAGUCGGCCAGCCGGCGGCUCCACGACGAAGACGAGAUGCCGAAUCAGCGGACCAGCGGCACAGCGAGCAGAGGCUUGAUGAAGGAGACGAGAUGCGUGUGACAGAUUACGACUAUCAUGUGAUGUUCACCUUCGUCUAUUAUGUGCUUCCGGCACAAAAUGCCCGUCAGUGACGGCGAGGGCCGACAAUUAAUUUAACUUGAAUGGUGCAACUUGAUGAGCGUGUUUGGAUUGGAACUGAUUUUGAUGUUCAGCUCUGUACAUACUUGCGUCCUCCAAUGCAAAAGUUGUAUGACAAAAAUAAAUAGUUUAUAUACUUUCCUAGUUCCCAUCAUAUACUCUUAGAAAAGUAUAUGUCUACUCUUCGGGACGUACAUCUCUCCGCUAUAAUCUUUUCACUGGGUUAGGGUAAUUCCUUUUAUAUGAAAAAUGUACAUUUGCCUAGUGUACUACUGCAGAAAAUUUAAAAUGUAGUAAUACUCCGUGUGAAUAAUGCUGUAUAUACUUUAUCAUGAGAAAUAAAGUACAUACCUCUUUCAUAAUAUACUCCCGCAAAAAAAAGUAAUAUACUCAUAGAUGAUGUAGUAUAUAUAUAUCUAUGGAAAUAAUGUGGUAUAUACUGUUUCAUAAAAAAUUAAGUAUAUAGUUCCCACAAAAAGGCAAUAUAUAUAUAGCACUUCUUUUUCAUAACGUAUAUACCCCCCUAACAAAAUGUCAGUAGUACUCCUUACAAAAAAUUGCAGUAUAUACCCUUACAAAAAAUACAGUAUGUGCACUUAAAAAAGUCAGAAUAUACUCUUUCAAGAAAAAAAUAGUAUGUACUCCUUUCUUUCACUUAAAAUUCAGAAUAUACCCUGCCAAAGAAAUCAAUAUAUACUUUGUUGAAGAAAUAAGCAUAUACUCCUUAUAAAAAAUGUUGUUUAUACUAUUUAAAAAGCUAUAUACAUCUUCUAAAAAUGUGGAUGUAAGAUAUGAAAUCCAUGAUGUUUUUAUUGCUUCGGAUAUACCUAGUCGUUAAUAGCAGACGCAAUUCAUAGCGCAUGAUUUGUAUGUAUGUCAUAUUGUACUUUGUGUUAUUGUAAAAAUACCUAAGGUAUAUGCUGGACGUGCCAUUCGUCAGCUUUGUUGAACUAAAAGACACCGGUUUGCAUGCUCCCUGCUUAUAGGUAGUAGUUAUGCAUGCAUGGACUAAUUAGUUGGUUUUUUGCACGUACGGCUUGCUCAAGGGAUAUUCAUCCACCUUAUGCAAAUAGAUGGGAAUACAUACACCCAAGAUUACGGAAAAGGAGUCAUAUAUAUAUAUAUAUAUAUAUAUAUAUAUAUAUAUAUAUAUAUAGGGAAAAUAGAUACUACCACCUAGUGGUAGUUACCCCCACCCUAGCAGCCAUCCGAUCUCGUUUUAGUUGUUUACUGCGAUUAACGGGUUCUGUUGUAAAACUAAUUGAUUCAUCUACCCCAUGCCUGAUAGGAAAAAACAGCCAGAUAAUUCCAGUUUCCAUGCAUGGCCUGGAAUAUAGCUAGCCAACACGUUUUCAACUACUUGGCUACGUUCCAGAUCUAGCCUCCUGUAUGCAUGCACGUACUUAAACUGUAUAUACUACUCUCUCCGUCCCAUAAUAUAAGAUGUUUUUUGACACGGUUUGUCAAAAAUUGUCUUAUAUUAUGGGACGGAGGGAGUAGUUCACACUACAUAUUCUCUUUUAAAAAACUCCAUAUACUUACACACAGAAACGUAUAGAUACUAGACACUACAUACUCUUCGGGAGUAUAUAUAUAAUUACUUUUGGUUUGAAGAAAAGUAUAUAUGAUUGCUUAAUUUCAGAAGAAAAAACAUUCACGUACUCUCGUUUCUUGAACGUACACACAUACUACAACUAAAGGUAGUAUGCCGUUCCAGUUCCAUUCUUCAAAAAACCUACUAUAUACUAAAUAAAAAAUACAACCUUUUCGCAGCACAUAGUUUGUAUGCUAAGAAAAUCAACAUAUACCAUUGGGUUUUUCUUUUAUAUUGAUACUCCUUUCUACUGCUGGAAGUAUACAUAUACCCCAAAAUACACUUUUUCCAAACCACAUACUCCGCUGUCCAUACUACAUACUCCCAUAUUAUUUUUCGGUACAUACUACCAUACUAUUUUUUUCGGAAUAUACUACCAUAUUACAUACUAUUUUUUUUCAACGGCAUAUAUUCCUCAGGUCAUACUACAUACUACCAUACUAUUCUUUGUAAUAUACUACCACUCUAUUUUUUUCGGAAUAUUCUACCAUACUACAUACUAUUUUUUCAAAACAUACUAUAAAAAAUUGAUCGCUCCAGUACAUACCCAAGAGCAUACACUAUAAUUUGUUCGCACGUAUGGGAUCGAGGUAGAUAGAAUAUUUUGUGAGGCCAUGCAGUAGUUUUGCCAACCUAGCUAACACAUAAAAAAACUAACACAUACUUAUCCAUCUUGUGAGAUACGGUGCAUGCCUUCCUGUGACACCCGGAUAAUUAGACUACAGUAAUCCCAAGCUAAUGAUGCCACGUCACCUCCAUUUCUGUGAUUAAACUCACGUUGAUUCGAACCCGAUUCAAAUUCAAAUUUAAAACAUAGGCAAACAACAAAAGUUUCCAACUUUAAAGCUAAAAUGUUCGGAGUGAACUAAAUAAUGCAGCGGUAAUUAUGGUGGAGAAACCAAACUUUGAUAAAGUGUUUAAAGGCUCUAAGAUAAUUAAAACAGUAGUUAAAACAGUUAAAUACAUGCCUAUUGAAUUUUAUAAAAUAAUAAACUAUUUUAUUUUCGGUUGAGAAUUAAGGUGGCAGUAGUAUAUCUAUAAAUACAAAUUUAGGUGCUAGUGUUUUUUAUAAAACUAUAAUAAAAGGGAACUUAAAAUAAAACAGAAAAGAAAAUACAAAAGAGAAAAACUAAACAGACAAAAAAAAGGAAAAGGGAAAAGGACCCCCCCUAGCUGGGCCUUGGCCCAGCAGGCUACUGGGCCGCCAGGCCGGCCCAACCGCGCCCGCUACUACUCCCCACCGGGAGCCAGAAACCCUAGCCCCUCUUCCCCACUACCCCGACCCCCCCACCGUCAGGUUGACCAAGUCAACCCCUGUUGACUGCUGACGUCAGCAUGACAUCAUGCUGACGUCAUUAAUACAUUUUUUCGAAUUAAUUAAAUAAAUAAUUAAAUUUCAGAAAUUAAUAAAAUCUUUAGAAAAUCAUAUCUUUUAAUCCGUAACUCGGAUUAAAAUAUUUUCAACAUGAAAGUUGCUCAGAACGUCGAGGCGAUUCCGGAUACGCAGUCCGUUCGUCCGCCACACCCCUCUAACCUAUCGAACCCGCAACUUUCCCCCUCCAGCUCCUCUGCCCGAAAACACGAAACACCGGGAAUACUUUCCCGGAUGUUUUUCCCCCUUCACCGGUAUCACCUACUACGGCCUUAGGGCACACCGAACAUCGCGUAUUGCCUUGUUAUAUUUUGUGAUGCUUUGUUUGCUCUGUAUUCAUUAUUUCUUCCCCCUCUUCUCUCCGGUAGACUACGAGACCGACGCUGCUGCUGACCAGUUCGACUACGGAGUUGACGACCCCUCUCUCUUGCCAGAGCAACCAGGCAAGCCCCCCCCCCNNNNNNNNNNNNNNNNNNNNNNNUUAAUCCUAUUCUGAUGCAUAGCCUGACAUUGUCGCUACAUCUGUUGAUACCUUACCUGCAAUCCUAAAUGCUUAGUAUAGGAUGCUAGUUUAUCAUCAUUGGCCCUACAUUCUUGUCAGUCUGCCUUGCUAUACUAUCGGGCCGUGAUCACUUGGGAGGUGAUCACGGGUAUAUAUUAUACAUACAUACAUACUAUACAGAUGGUGACUAAAGUCGGGUCAGCUCAUUGAGUACCCGCAAGUGAUUUUGAUGAGGGGGCUGAAAGGACAGGUGGCUCCAUUCCGGUAGAGGUGGGCCUGGGUUCCCGACGGCCCUCGACUGUUACUUUGUGGCGGAGCGACAGGGCAGGUUGAGACCACCUAGGAGACAGGUGGGCCUGGCCCUGUUCGGCGUUCGCGGAUACUUAACACGCUUAACGAGAUCUUGGUAUUUGAUCUGAGUCGGCUACGAGCCUAUACGCACUAACCAUCUACGUGGGAGUAGUUAUGGGUAUCCCGACGUCGUGGUAUCAGCCGAAGCACUUCAGACGUCAGCGACGGAGCGGCGCGCGCCGAAUUGGACUGGAACGCCACUAGGCUAGGUCUGCUUUCGGCCGCCCUCGCAACGUGCAGGUGUGCUAUGGGCGAUGGGCCCAGACCCCUGUGCGCUUAGGUUUAGACCGGCGUGCUGGCCUCUCUGUUGUGCCUAGGUGGGGCUGCGACGUGUUGAUCUUCCGCGGCCGGGCAUGACCCAGGAAAGUGUGUCCGGCCAAAUGGGAUCAAGCGUGUUGGGUUAUGUGGUCCACCCCUGCAGGGAAGUUAAUCUAUUCGAAUAGCCGUGAUCUUCGGUAACAGGACGACUUGGAGUUGUACCUUGACCUUAUGACAACUAGAACCGGAUACUUAAUAAAACACACCCUUCCAAGUGCCAGAUACAACCCGGUGAUCGCUUUUCCGCAGGGCGACGAGGAGAGGAUCGCCGGGUAGGAUUAUGCUACUCGAGAUGCUACUUGGAGAUGUUACUUGGAGAUGCUACUUGGAGGACUUCCAUCUACUCUCUUCUACAUGCUGCAAGACGGAGGCUGCCAGAAGCGUAGUCUUCGACGGGAUUAGCUAUCCCCCUUUUAUUCUGGCAUUCUGCAGUUCAGUCCACCGAUAUGGCCCUUUACACAUAUCGCCAUGCAUAUGUAGUGUAGCUCCUUGCUUGAGAGUACUUUGGAUGAGUACUCACGGUUGCUUUUCUCCCUCUUUUUCCCCUUUCCCUUCUACCUGGUUGUCGCAACCAGAUGCUGGAGCCCUGUAGCCAGACGCCACCGUCGACGACGACUACUACACCGGAGGUGCCUACUACUACGUGCAGCCCGCUGACGACGGCCUGGAGUAGUUUAGGAGGAUCCCAGGCAGGAGGCCUGCGCCUCUUUCGAUCUGUAUCCCAGUUUGUGCUAGCCUUCUUAAGGCAAACUUGUUUAACUUAUGUCUGUACUCAGAUAUUGUUGCUUCCGCUGACUCGUCUAUGAUCGAGCACUUGUAUUCGAGCCCUCGAGGCCCCUGGCUUGUAUUAUGAUGCUUGUAUGACUUAUUUUAUUUUUAGAGUUGUGUUGUGAUAUCUUCCCGUGAGUCCCUGAUCUUGAUCGUACACGUUUGCGUGUAUGAUUAGUGUACGAUUGAAUCGGGGGCGUCACAAGUUGGUAUCAGAGCCGACUGCCUGUAGGAAUCCCCCUUCCAACUCCUUGGCCGAAGUCGAGUCUAGACUUUACAAAACUUUUACUAACAUGGCGGUGCGGCCCAUGGGCCCACGUUGCCAUUGGGUGGUAUUAGGAUCUUUUACUCCUCGAUCUUUACUCUGGGAUUCUGAACUCUCUUCUAUUCGGGUUAAACGAUUUUGCUAAAAACAAAACUAACUUUAGGUUCUCGCAAGUACUUUCUCCCGGAGAGCCCCUCACUUCAGAUGAUCGUCUGCUAAUCAGAAGAUUCCGAAGAUACUCUCGGAUAUUCUCUCGAGACUUUGUGCCCAUCACUUUUGCUAUUCCUGACCACCGAUAAAUCCGUGGAUAACUACUUACACUUGCCAUUCAUACGAUCAUCCCCCAUUGAUCUUAUUAUUGCAAGAUACUCCGAAGUUUUCUCUAUUGUUCCGAGAAUACUUUGUGCCUACUGCCUAGUAGUUCUUUGCCACAUGAAUACCCCUUCAAAUAAAUCCUCGCACUUGUCGAGUAUCCGCUCAACCCAGUUGUUCAUGUGAUUCACAAAAUACUUUCAAAUACUACUCGAUCUUCCGAAAAUCCUGAGCAGCCUAUUGCUCUUGAAAUUCUUGCUUGCUUGCAAUAUGAUUAAUCCCAUAAGUCUCGUAAUCUUAAUGGCAUACCUUGUCAUUAUCAUUUUGAGUCUGUCGAUUCAAUAUGUUGCGAAUUCUCGCAAUACUCAAAUAGAUCAUAGAAUUCAUCCUUCCGGCUCAGACGUCAUUUUGAACAUGAGUUGGUUCUCGACCAAACUAUCUGUCAUCGAUUGUGCCUCUGGUAUAUUCAAUUGAUCCGUCCUUGAUCAGAACGUCUGCUUCUGGUCCUUUGUUUUGGAAAUCAUAAUUCCUUUGCAUUUAAGCGGUGAAUUAUUCAGAUGCUUCCAUAACCUGUUGCAUUUGCAUUCCUUCCUCUUCUGGUUGAGUAUCGAUACUCAUAUCAGAUCCUUUGUGGACCAUCAAGUCCUUUGUUGGAUUGUUAUCCGACAGAGUCCUUCACAUUUGAUCACUUUAUGAGUUCUUCCCCUGAUACAUAAUGCCUUUGUUAAGUUGUAUCCUCUGCUUGGCCAACCAUGCUCUGCUUUCGGGCUUGUGUUAUUUACUCUUGAAACUUGUGGUAUAUGUUUCUAAGAAGCCCCUAUGGGUUGAACAUAUGCCUUCUCUAAACCGUGUGAACCCGAAAGUUUUCACGAGUCAUACUCUUCUGGUGCUUCACCAGAUAAAAUUUCAACACUGCAACUUCAUCGAACGUGAGAAGUGAAUGAAAGGUUAUGCAUUGGAGAAGUGGGAGUCGACCUUGAACUUGUGUUCAUGCCCAUGGACGCGAUGUAUAUCCUAUCAUGGAAGCUUCUUGUAACAAUAACUAUUUCCUUGAUAACUAACCUAUGGUAUCUGUGAAUUGAUCCCUUGCAACCGUGGUUCCGACCAUGAUUGUUCUUCUUUGAUCUCAUUUCUCGGACAAGUUAAAACCAUUGGCUUCUAUGGAUCAAUACACCAGUCCAACCUUUACUUUGNNNNNNNNNNAUAGAGUACCGAUACCCACACCAGCUCCGUUGUGGACCAUCGGUUCCUUUGUUGGAUUUUAUGCCCUUCAUAAUUAAUCACCUUGUGAGCUCUUUCCCCUGAUACAUAAUGCCUUUGGUACAUUGUAUCCUCUGCUUGACCAACAAUGCUCUACUUUCGAGCUUGUAUUAAUUACCCCGAAGUUUGUGGUAUAUGUUCGUAAGAUGCCCGGAUGGGUUGAACCUAUGCCUUCCUUAAUAUGUGUGAACUCGGAAGAUUUCACGAGUCAUACUCAUCUGGUAUUUCACCAGGUAAAACUUUCAACACUAAUGCCUUUAUCAAAGCGAGAAGUGAAUGAAAGGGUAUGCAUUGGAGAAGUGGGAGUCGACCUUGAACUUUGUGUUCAUGCCCAUGGACGCGAUGUAUAUACUAUCAUGGAAGCUUCUUGUAACAAUAACUAUUUCCUUGAUAACUAACCUAUGGUAUCUGUGAAUUGACCCCUUGCAACCGUGGUUCCGACCAUGAUUGUUCUUCUUUGAUCUCAUUUCUCGGACAAGUUAAAACAAUUGGCUUCUAUGGAUCAAUACACCAGUCCAACCUUUACUUUGAUCUUAUGUCGAGUAUUACCCCCCUGGUAUCUCGAGAUUAUCAUGGAACUGCAUAACUUUUUAUGAGUUCUUCAUCAAGUGCUACCUUCCCACUGAUUCCAAUUUUUCGCGGGCUCUGUGUUACUGAACACUCAAAGACACCGAUAACUGAACCGAGUCCGCACUACGGUUCAACAACUCUUCAGUAAGCUGCUAUAAGUACGAGUUUGUACCCGAUCACGCCAUUCCUAGCCUGUUUGGCUAUAUCAUUGUCGUGAUGAUUUUAACUGUGCUACCCGGUCCUUCUUCUCGGAGCACAAUUUUCGACGAUGAACUAACCUUACAUCGAUUUUCCUCGUCAUAUCCUUUCACCUUAACCAACAAGCUUGAGUUCGAGUUUGUGUCGUACCCUUGGUUCCUAUAACCUUUCACUUCAUCAUUACUUUGACUUGAUGUCGUCGCCGAUCGAUUACAUCUUCAUGAACUCUCGCGACAAAGGUUUCGAGAUCGUCAACAUUCUGAGCUCAUCCAGGAUAUCAAUUGGAUUCAUAAUGAGAAAUACCAUCCUUGCCUCGAUGAAUUGUAUUAUCAUCGACCACUUUAUUGCCUUCCCACCAACACAAGCUUGUUCAUGUUUGGUGUUAUACCUUGAGUUCCUUGCUGUCCAGCAAUUGAUCUUCCUUACCUCGGAAGUAUUACCAUCUCUUUUUGUCAAGAAUGUGGUGAGAAUUUCACCACCUCUUAAUAAUUCUUGAUAUCAUAAUACUUCUUGCCAUCUUCGUUCAUUCCUUGGUCCUCGUAUUGUUUUCAACCGGAAUACCGACAUUGGAGCUAUGACGUGUGAAUUCUAAACUCCUAGCAACCUUAUUGCUUUGAAGUGAAUGGGCGAUAGUUCAUUCUAAGUCCUUCGUUAAUUGAAUCACCAUUCUGACAUUGGUCGUGCAACCCAACCCAUAUUUCGGGCGCACAUUUCAACCAAUGUUUAUUUGUGUAUGUUUUCCUCGAGCAUACUUCCUUAUAUCAUUUGAUUUGGCAAAUGUUAUCUCCNNNNNNNNNNNNNNNNNNNNNNNNNNNNNNNNNNNNNNNNNNNNNNNNNNNNNNNNNNNNNNNNNNNNNNNNNNNNNNNNNNNNNNNNNNNNNNNNNNNNNNNNNNNNNNNNNNNNNNNNNNNNNNNNNNNNNNNNNNNNNNNNNNNNNNNNNNNNNNNNNNNNNNNNNNNNNNNNNNNNNNNNNNNNNNNNNNNNNNNNNNNNNNNNNNNNNNNNNNNNNNNNNNNNNNNNNNNNNNNNNNNNNNNNNNNNNNNNNNNNNNNNNNNNNNNNNNNNNNNNNNNNNNNNNNNNNNNNNNNNNNNNNNNNNNNNNNNNNNNNNNNNNNNNNNNNNNNNNNNNNNNNNNNNNNNNNNNNNNNNNNNNNNNNNNNNNNNNNNNNNNNNNNNNNNNNNNNNNNNNNNNNNNNNNNNNNNNAGAAUCUUACAGUGUCAUUCCGUCAAUUUGUGUUGCACCUUUCUUCUCAGGCAUCCUGAGCCUGAGGUAUCCUAACACCAAUCAUACCUGAAUCUCCGUCAGAUAUGAUGAUUGGGACAACUUUCCAAGAGUUAUGAUGUUGAUCCUUUGAUGACCCGGUAACCUGAUGUCAUGCCUAGCACCCCCCCCCCCCCGGCUGGAGGACCUAUCAUCAUAGAUUCCUUUUCAGCAAGGUUAUCCAUUCAUCCAUGAGGAAAUUGUAAGACUUAUUCUACAAGUUAUUCCUGAUGGAUCCUUCGUGUUUCCAAAGUCUGAUCUUCACAUGAAGACCAUGUCAAUGCUAUCUCGAAGCAUGUCUGCGAUACUCUGAUUUUCAACAAGAACAUCCGAAGCCCAAUGCUAAAUGUUUCUUGCUCAAUUAUCCGAACACCGUUAUAUGGGUAAUGUCAUGAAAUUUCUCUCCCCUUACCUAAAGGGUUUUCUACAUUAUAUCCUGUCAUGGAUAUCAUGCUCUGCUUAUCCUUGGGAAGGAUAUACCCCCGAAAUAUGUGUUUAAACACAUUUUCCUUUCCAUUGUUCUGUUUAAACAUAAUAAUCACUUUUCCUUUCCAUUGGUUUGUUUAAACCUUCUUGUGAUCUAUAUAAUAUAAACAGUAAUAUCCCUGCUUAUGUAAACACCUCGGUGUACCAUCUUGCCUGGUGUAAUCCUGUUACUAUUGUUGAUGACAUUCCGGUAGUCAUCGAUGGACGAGAACUUUGCCUAUUGGUCCGCCUCGUUCAACGAGCAGGAAAAUAGUUCUCUUCGUCCCUCGCCCUUGGUAUCGACGUUGUCGCUGACAUAAUCGACAGGCUACCCCCCUGACAUGCCUUGCUUGCAUGAUCACGCAAGACGUCUCCGCCCUUCCUACUUCUAACCCACAUGGUGGGCCCAUAACCCACAGGUCCACUGGAUCGAAACCUGACUCUCCUGCACCCCUAUUACUAAAGUUAAUCCUCACGCUUGGCUUCGUAUGAAAGAUCACGAGCCACCUUCCUAGUGAUCUAUUCUGGUAUCGGACACAAUACUUAUUCCCGUUGCUCUGAACCCCUUUCGCACUCUGCUUCAGGUAAUGAACGAUUGCCUAUCCGCUUGAAACUUCUUAUCGCACUGUCUUACUUUGCUCUCGAUGUGUGUCAUUUGUUCAACUCGAGAGAUACUCAUAAGUUCAUUCUUGGGAUACCCCCAGAUGAAUUUCCCUUAUAACAUCCUAUCAUUGUAGAGCUGCCCCUUACCUAUUCUUAAGUAUGAUGGAGUUCCCUGAAGAAAGGACGACAACUUCAUCAUGAUGCUUUGGGAUAAAGAAUUGAAGACAUCAACGAAAGGGAUUAACUUCUUCGAGAAGAUCCGUUAGAUUAUCGUAACUAGAACUUUCCCCCUUGCUCCCCUCUUAAAUCUCGGGACGAGAUUUCUUGUAGUGGAGGAGAAUUGUGACACCCGGAUAAUUAGACUACAGUAAUCCCAAGCUAAUGAUGCCACGUCACCUCCAUUUCUGUGAUUAAACUCACGUUGAUUCGAACCCGAUUCAAAUUCAAAUUUAAAACAUAGGCAAACAACAAAAGUUUCCAACUUUAAAGCUAAAAUGUUCGGAGUGAACUAAAUAAUGCAGUGGUAAUUAUGGUGGAGAAACCAAACUUUGAUAAAGUGUUUAAAGGCUCUAAGAUAAUUAAAACAGUAGUUAAAACAGUUAAAUACAUGCCUAUUGAAUUUUAUAAAAUAAUAAACUAUUUUAUUUUCGGUUGAGAAUUAAGGUGGCAGUAGUAUAUCUAUAAAUACAAAUUUAGGUGCUAGUGUUUUUUAUAAAACUAUAAUAAAAGGGAACUUAAAAUAAAACAGAAAAGAAAAUACAAAAGAGAAAAACUAAACAGACAAAAAAAAAGGAAAAGGGAAAAGGACCCCCCCUAGCUGGGCCUUGGCCCAGCAGGCUACUGGGCCGCCAGGCCGGCCCAACCGCGCCCGCUACUACUCCCCACCGGGAGCCAGAAACCCUAGCCCCUCUUCCCCACUACCCCGACCCCCCCACCAUCAGGUUGACCAAGUCAACCCCUGUUGACUGCUGACGUCAGCAUGACAUCAUGCUGACGUCAUUAAUACAUUUUUUCGAAUUAAUUAAAUAAAUAAUUAAAUUUCAGAAAUUAAUAAAAUCUUUAGAAAAUCAUAUCUUUUAAUCUGUAACUCGGAUUGAAAUAUUUUCAACAUGAAAGUUGCUCAGAACGUCGAGGCGAUUCCGGAUACGCAGUCCGUUCGUCCGCCACACCCCUCUAACCUAUCGAACCCACAACUUUCCCCCUCCGGCUCCUCUGCCCGAAAACACGAAACACCGGGAAUACUUUCCCGGAUGUUUUUCCCCCUUCACCGGUAUCACCUACUACGGCCUUAGGGCACACCGAACAUCGCGUAUUGCCUUGUUAUAUUUUGUGAUGCUUUGUUUGCUCUGUAUUCAUUAUUUCUUCCCCCUCUUCUCUCCGGUAGACUACGAGACCGACGCUGCUGCUGACCAGUUCGACUACGGAGUUGACGACCCCUCUCUCUUGCCAGAGCAACCAGGCAAGCCCCCCCCCCUUGAUCACCAGAUAUCGCCUAUUCUCCUCUAUACUGCUUGCAUUAGAGUAGUGUAGCAUGUUACUGCUUUCAUUAAUCCUAUUCUGAUGCAUAGCCUGACAUUGUCGCUACAUCUGUUGAUACCUUACCUGCAAUCCUAAAUGCUUAGUAUAGGAUGCUAGUUUAUCAUCAUUGGCCCUACAUUCUUGUCAGUCUGCCUUGCUAUACUAUCGGGCCGUGAUCACUUGGGAGGUGAUCACGGGUAUAUAUUAUACAUACAUACAUACUAUACAGAUGGUGACUAAAGUCGGGUCAGCUCAUUGAGUACCCGCAAGUGAUUUUGAUGAGGGGGCUGAAAGGACAGGUGGCUCCAUUCCGGUAGAGGUGGGCCUGGGUUCCCGACGGCCCUCGACUGUUACUUUGUGGCGGAGCGACAGGGCAGGUUGAGACCACCUAGGAGACAGGUGGGCCUGGCCCUGUUCGGCGUUCGCGGAUACUUAACACGCUUAACGAGAUCUUGGUAUUUGAUCUGAGUCGGCUACGAGCCUAUACGCACUAACCAUCUACGUGGGAGUAGUUAUGGGUAUCCCGACGUCGUGGUAUCAGCCGAAGCACUUCAGACGUCAGCGACGGAGCGGCGCGCGCCGAAUUGGACUGGAACGCCACUAGGCUAGGUCUGCUUUCGGCCGCCCUCGCAACGUGCAGGUGUGCUAUGGGCGAUGGGCCCAGACCCCUGUGCGCUUAGGUUUAGACCGGCGUGCUGGCCUCUCUGUUGUGCCUAGGUGGGGCUGCGACGUGUUGAUCUUCCGCGGCCGGGCAUGACCCAGGAAAGUGUGUCCGGCCAAAUGGGAUCAAGCGUGUUGGGUUAUGUGGUGCACCCCUGUAGGGAAGUUAAUCUAUUCGAAUAGCCGUGAUCUUCGGUAACAGGACGACUUGGAGUUGUACCUUGACCUUAUGACAACUAGAACCAGAUACUUAAUAAAACACACCCUUCCAAGUGCCAGAUACAACCCGGUGAUCGCUUUUCCGCAGGGCGACGAGGAGAGGAUCGCCGGGUAGGAUUAUGCUACUCGAGAUGCUACUUGGAGAUGUUACUUGGAGAUGCUACUUGGAGGACUUCCAUCUACUCUCUUCUACAUGCUGCAAGACGGAGGCUGCCAGAAGCGUAGUCUUCGACAGGAUUAGCUAUCCCCCUUUUAUUCUGGCAUUCUGCAGUUCAGUCCACCGAUAUGGCCCUUUACACAUAUCGCCAUGCAUAUGUAGUGUAGCUCCUUGCUUGCGAGUACUUUGGAUGAGUACUCACGGUUGCUUUUCUCCCUCUUUUUCCCCUUUCCCUUCUACCUGGUUGUCGCAACCAGAUGCUGGAGCCCUGUAGCCAGACGCCACCGUCGACGACGACUACUACACCGGAGGUGCCUACUACUACGUGCAGCCCGCUGACGACGGCCUGGAGUAGUUUAGGAGGAUCCCAGGCAGGAGGCCUGCGCCUCUUUCGAUCUGUAUCCCAGUUUGUGCUAGCCUUCUUAAGGCAAACUUGUUUAACAUAUGUCUGUACUCAGAUAUUGUUGCUUCCGCUGACUCGUCUAUGAUCGAGCACUUGUAUUCGAGCCCUCGAGGCCCCUGGCUUGUAUUAUGAUGCUUGUAUGACUUAUUUUAUUUUUAGAGUUGUGUUGUGAUAUCUUCCCGUGAGUCCCUGAUCUUGAUCGUACACGUUUGCGUGUAUGAUUAGUGUACGAUUGAAUCGGGGGCGUCACACUUCCACACAAAAAAAAGAGAGAGAAAGGUGUGGUGCAUGCAGCCAACAAAUUAGCCGGUCGUCAGCUAAUCCUGCGCACCCUUUUAUUGCCGGCUUCACCCGUGAUUACUUGAAAACUUGAACGUACCGUCCCAUCAGGGACUCCAUUAUCCCUAGAUUUUUUUCAUUGGCCUAAUUAGGUACGGCUGCUAGUGGGUUAUAGGGUCCUGCCCAUGUUCCCUACCCCCAGCGCACCCAGUUGCCUCGCUGCUAUUAACGGGGACACGUGGAGGCCAAAGAAAAUGGUGGUAACUACCACUGCUUGUAGAUAAAAUUUAUCAUAUAUAUAUAUAUAUAUAUAUAUAUAUAUAUAUAUAUUGGAUGUGAGUAUUCAUGAACUAUUAUUGUUGACAUUACCCUUGAGGUAAAACCUUGGGAGGCAAAACUAUAAGACCCUAUCUUUCUCUGUGUCCGAUUAAAACUUCAUACCCAUAAAUAUUGCAUGAGUGUUAGCAAUUGUGAAAGAAUAAACGAUGGUUGAGUAUGUGGACUUGAUGAAAAGCUCUUACAUUAACUCUUUCCUAUGUUAUGAUAAAUUGCAAUUGCCUCAAUGACUGAGAUUAGAAUUUGUUGGUUCUCAGUGAAGUUUAUGAUUCAUACUUGAAAUUGUGGUUGAAUUGUUAAUUUAGCAUAAGAGAUCAUACGACAAUAUAUAUAUAUAUAUAUAUAUAUAUAUAUGUUGUUGUUGUUCUAAGAAUGAUCAUCAUGCCAUCAUGUUCGUAUUUUAUUUUUAUCGACACCUCUAUCUCUAAACAUGUGGACAUAUUUUUCGUUUUCGGCUGUCGCUUGAGGACAAGCGAGGUCUAAGCUUGGGGGAGUUGAUACGUCCAUUUUGCAUCAUGCUUUUAUAUCGAUAUUUAUUGCAUUAUGGGCUGUUAUUACACAUUAUGUCACAAUACUUAUGCGUAUUCUUUCUUAUCUUACAAGGUUUACAUGAAGAGGGGGAAUGCCGGCAGCUGGAAUUCUGGGCUGGAAAAGGUGCAAAUAUUUGAGACCUAUUCUGCACUUCUCCAAAAGUCCUGAAACUCCACGGGAGCACUUUUCAGAAUAUAUAAAAAAUAUUGGGCACAAGAAGUACCAGAUGGGGGCUACACCCUGGCCAUGAGGGUGGGGGUGCGCCCCUUGCCCCGUGGGCUCCCUGGUGGCCCUCCGAUGCCCAUAUUCUGCUAUACGAGGUCUUUCGUCCGAGAAAAAAUAAUAAGCAAGUUUUCGGGACGAGACUCCGCCGCCACGAGGUGGAACCUUGGCGGAACCAAUCUACGGCUCCGGCGGAGCUGUUCUGCCGGGGAAACUUCCCUCCGGGAGGGGGAAAUCAUCACCAUCAUCAUCACCAACGAUCCUCUCAUCGGGAGGAGGGUCAAUCUCCAUCAACAUCUUCACCAGCACCAUCUCAUCUCAAACCCUAGUUCAUCACUCGUAUCCAAUCUUUGUAUCCAAACCUCAGAUUGGUACUUGUGGGUUGCUAGUAGUGUUUAUUACUCCUUGUAGUUGAUGCUAGUUGGUUUACUUGGUGGAAGAUCAUAUGUUCAGAUCCAUUCUGCAUAUUAAUACCCCUCUGAUUAUGAACAUGAAUAUUCUUUGUGAGUAGUUACGUUUGUUCCUGAGGACAUGGGAGAAGUCUUGCUAUUAGUAGUCAUGUGAAUUUUGUAUUCGUUCGAUAUUUUGAAGAGAUGUAUGUUAUCAUCUCUGUAGCGGUGUCAUGUGAACGUCGACUACAUGACACUUCACCAUUGUUUGUGCCUAGAGGGAGGCAUUGGGAAGUAAUAAGUAGAUGAUGGUUUGCUAGAGUGAUAGAAGCUUAAACCCUAGUUUAUGCGUUUCUUCGUAAGGGGCAGAUUUGGAUCCAUAUGUUUCAUGCUAUGGUUAGGUUUACCUUAAUACUUCUGUUGUAGUUGUGGAUGCUUGCAAUGGGGGCUAAUCAUAAGUGGGAUGCUUGUCCAAGUAAGGACAGCACCCAAGCACCGGUCCACCCACAUAUCAAAUAUCAAAGUACCGAACGCGAAUCAUAUGAUCGUGAUUAGAACUAGCUUGACGAUAAUUCCCAUGUGUCCUCGGGAGCGCUUUACUUCAUAUAAGAGUUUGUCCAGGCUUGUCAUUUGCUACAAAAAGGAUUGGUCCAUCUUGCUGCACCUUAUUUACUUUUAUUACUUGCUACUCAUUACAAAUUACCUUAUCACAAAACUAUCUGUUACCGAUAAUUUUAGUGCUUGCAGAGAAUACCUUACUGAAAAUUGCUUAUCAUUUCCUUCUGCUCCUCGUUGGGUUUGACACUCUUACUUAUCGAAAAGGCUACGAUAGAUCCCCUGUACUUGUGGGUCAUCACUAAUCUCCACAUGAACACCUUGAUUUUCGAGGGGGCUUUUAUAUGCCACAAGUUUGUCCAUCCUGGACAAUGAGCCUCUGAGUUUGAUCGGCCGCCCUGCUCAUAUACAACCAUGAUUCUCUACUGAUCUUGGUUCACCGUAUGAUCUUGUAAGAAGAAUGCACAGUGAACAUACCCCUUCCAUCCUCACUCCAAGCACAAAAUCUAAUAUCUAUCUCGUGCAAAGAGGGAUCUUCAAUAUAGUCUCGGCAUCAAUCGGAAUAAGUAAUGAUUAAAUAAGUUGUUCAUCCGUUGAUGACACAGUGUGAUCAGUGUGUUCAGCGACCCUUGUCGGUGGCUGUGGUAUUUGUGAAGUUCUCAUCCUCUUUAUAUGCUCUCUAGUUAUCCAGUUGUCGUUCCAAAUAUCAGGGGCUUCUCUGUCUCCUAAUCUACUUAUCAAACCAUGAGGCAUUAUGUCUUUCCCAUGCAAAAUAGCCCGCCAUAUCUGUGAUGGAUGUGGUCCCAAGGUUGCAUCAGAAAGAGAGUUAUUUGGAUAGUAUACAACUUUUAUGAUUAAUGAACUCGGAAAACGGGGAUGGUCUAGCAAGUGCCAGGAUUGCUUGGCAAGUAGGGCUAGAUUACAGAUCUCAAAUAGUCGGUCUCGUCAUAACAUCCCAUGAGACCCAGCAUGGCUUCCUUCUCCCCUGUUUACUUCCCUACCAAAAUUGUAGGAUUGAAGAGGUGACACUAGCAUAACAUCCUCGCGGGAAAUGGAAACAUGCCAUUGAAUAUACCAGAAUUGCCUAAGCCACAGACUUUAUCAAAACCUCUUUACCUGUAGUUGACAGGAGCUUUUCCAUCCAACCUCUCAGCUUUUCCGAAACUCUGUCACGUCAGUAUUUGAAAGUCCUGUUCUUGGACUGCCCCACAUCAGUUGGCAUACACAAUUUCCUGUCAUUGAGCGACUCAUUUUAGAUGUUCAAAGUAUUCUUGGCAUCUUCCUUGAGAGCCUAAGGGCAUCCUCUCUAUUGCAAAAUAUAAAGGACUUUUCAUGAUUUAUUCUACGUCUGGAUGCAAACCAAUAAUUCUCCAGUAGGUUUGAUACUUCAAAUGCCCCAUCAUGACUUGACUUAAAAAGCAAGAUGUUGUCAUCUGCAAAAAGUAGAUGGUUCACAGCCAAAGCUGUUGGUGCCACUUAAGCAUGAUGAAGAAGAACUGGAUUUCAGGAGGCAUUAAAGGCCCUCUACUGCAAUUAAGAAAAGAUAUGGGGAUAUUGGAUCUCCCUGCCGGAUAACUCUGUUGGGUUGUAAUUGAUCAAGUAUCUCACGAUUAAAAAGAACCGAGAAAGAUACCGUCUGAACCAUGCACAUAUAUAACUAUUUGUACCCAUGUAGGAGAAAAACGCAAUUUGAACAUCAUGGCUUUAGAAUAGUCCCACUCCAACCUAUCAUAUGCCUUCCUCAUAUCGAGCUUCAAUGCAUAGUAGCUACUAACUUUUUCCCUCGUUGUAUUUCAUGAAAUGUAAGCACUCAUAUGCACUAAUAAUAUUAUCCAUGAUCAUUCUUCCAAGGGAAAAAGUUGAUUGCUCCUCAGAUAUGAUAUCAGGUAAAAUUUGCUUCAAUCUAUUUGCAAUAACCUUGGAAGCUAUCUUGUAUAAAACAUUGCACAACUGAUAUGCCUAAAUUUUGUUAAGAGGUGUUGGGUUUGUUAUCUUUGGAAUCAAAACCAGAAUUGUAUCAUUGAUGCAUUCAGGACUAUCUUCCCCUCUCACGAUUCUCGAAACCGCCUCUAUUGCUUCUUUACCACAAAUAUCCCAAUGACGCUGAUAAAAAUGGGCAGGGAACCCAUCAGAGCAUGGAGCCUUCAUUGGGAACAUUUGAAAUUGUGGCACCCUGUCUCAGAGUAACCAGUUUACCUUGCAUUGCCAGCCCAGAGAUCAAGUCUUGUGGCAACACAUAACAACUUGGUACAUAUAUAACCGCUUUAUUGAUCUCUUGCGGAUACAUAGGUUUGAUGAUUACAUAAGAAAGCAAGGGCAAGCGGCACACUUGGUUCGGCUCCACUAUGUACAUUAUUUAUUAAACAUCUCAGGGGACUUGAUGCCAGAGGAUACAACUACUUAGUAGCAAAACAACAAGGUAGCAGAACUCCAUGCCACAGGGACGCUGCUAGGACACAACCUAGAUCGUGAAGUACCGAUUAACCUCAACUCCUUGCAUGGUUUCUCCUGCAUCUAGCAUGACACGCCAGGUGGGUACUUUGAAUGUACUCGCAAGCUUACAGCAAAUAUGACCAAUCGCAGUGUGCAAGUGGAAUACCGUCAUGGUCCCUUGGACCAACUUACCCAUCUCAAGGGUUACCUCGUAACCACCAUUGGUAUCAACAAUACCAUCGUGAUCAACACACGAUCACCUCAAGAUCAACCGGCUUCUUCAUGUGCAAGCUCGAGGUUCAGAAGUGUGCAAGUUAAUUAUUUAUGUUGACGCAUAGUGUGACCUACUACAAACUGUGUCCAUAAUCGAGGACGUGGCCAUCGAUAGAUUACACGAUAUGUAGAGGUUAGUACACUUUACCCACACUAUGUAACUCAUGGCCUCAUGCUCCCAUUCGGGUGGACUAACGACGUUCCAAUAAAACCAAUCUAUUGUAUACACUCUCCCGGCCACUCCGAAGAACUCUCGUCUGGGCUAUGCCAUGGGUCACCCCUAUGUCAACUCGUGAAUCCGCCAUCUUUGUGGCCGCCACCGCCAUGGGCAAACUAAACUUUAUCAUCCCAAUCGGGGACCUUGGUACCAUAAAACUUGGGCUCACAAGGUUAUUGACGCCUACCGGGCUAGGGUAGCACAUGCACAUAACAUUCCCUCAUUCGAGGUACCACGAGAGGCAUGACAAUAGAGCGAAUUAUAGCAUCCUCAUCCAGGAAAGUGUGCUUGCACUAGUGAGCUCGAUUUGGUGGCACUAUGACUCGAUUAACAUCUUUGAUCAAGUUGUAUUAUACUCAAGUUUCACUUGAAUGAAAAUGAUUCAAGCCAUAGAAUGCAAUUGGGUGCAUGAUAGCAAUCUAAAUGGUGGAUGAAUCCUAACUUAACGAUAUAACAUUUACUCUACUCUCUACAACAUACAUAUGACAUGGAAAUGAGCAUAAUGUAAAAAGUAGCAUGCAGGUAAUAAUUUAAAUUCAUAAGGCAUAUAAGUAAUCAAUAUUCAAUAGGAACCAUUGCCAUUGCAAUGCCAUCUUGCAAAUGAAUGUUGCGGCUUGCAUUAGUUCAGAGGAGUGUCACGAUACUCCUGGUCUUCUCCCACACAAUUAGUUUCUUCUAAAAAUAAAUUUAAUAACAAAAAUAAAAUGUCACAUAAAGCCUUUUCUAAUACCAUAAACUCUAGACAGCAAGGGAUAAUCUCAAAUUGCACCAACAGAAAGUUCAGCUCAUGAAAAAAUUAUAGAAAAAAGUUCAACUCAUUCGGACUUUUGGUUUAUAAAUCAUAGCUAGUCAAAGUUUGGGUCAAAAUCUAAUUUUAAAUUGAAUUAACAGAAGUUCCAGGGAGGGCCACAUCGAAGGCGUAUUUUGCUAGGGCGCCUCCACUAGAAAAUGAUUCGGAGGGGAAGAGAGAAGCUGACGAGUAGGGUCCCCAAGUUAGGUUUAGGAGAAAGAGAGAGAGAGAGAGAGAGGGAGGGGGGAGAGAGAGAGAACAGAGGUGGGCGGUGCUAUUGCUGAUGAUCAUCCAGUGAGGAGACCAUGGCGGCUGUCGGCGAUGGUCGUGAUGGGUUUAGAGCAGCGUGUGGAGCACGCACGUCCCCAUGGCUUGGUCGGAGGUGGACGAAUGGCGAGGUUAGCUUCCUCUCCAGAUAAGAUGGGAAGUGGAGAUCGUCGGAGUCGGUGUUCCUGAUCUUGUUCCGACUGAUCAAUGAUAACCCACAAGUAUAGGGGAUCGCACAGUUUUCGAGGGUAGAGUAUUCAACCCAAAUUUAUUGAUUCGACACAAGGGGAGCCAAAGAAUAUUGUCAAGUAUUAGCAGUUGAGUUGUCAAUUCAACCACACUGGAAACAUAAUAUCUGCAAUAAAGUAUUUAGUAGCAAAGUAAUAUGAUAGUAGUGGUAACGGUAGCAAAAGUAAUACUUUUGGGUUUUGUAGUGAUUGUCACAGUAGCGACGGAAAAGUAAAUAAGCGAAGAACAAUAUAUGAAAAGCUCGUAGGCAUUGGAUCGGUGAUGGAGAAUUAUGUCGGAUGUGAUCGAUCAUGCAACAAUUAUAACAUAGGGUGACACAGAACUAGCUCCAGUUCAUCAAUGUAAUGUGGGCAUGUAUUCCGAAUAUAGUCAUACAUGCUUAUGGAAAAGAACUUGCAUGACAUCUUUUGUCCUACCCUCCCAUGGCAGCGGGGUCCUAUUGGAAACUAAGGGAUAUUAAGGCCUCCAUUUAAUAGAGUACCAGACCAAAGCAUUAACAAAUAGUGAAUACAUGAACUCCUCUAACUACGUUCAUCACUGGAAAUGGUCCUGAUUAUUGUCACUUCGGGGUUAACGGAUCAUAACACAUAACAGGUGACUAUAGACUUGCAAGAUAGGAUUAAGAACUCACAUAUAUUCAUGAAAGCAUAAUAGGUUCACAUCUGAAAUCAUGGCACUCGGGCCCUAGUGACAAGCACUAAGCAUAGCAAAGUCAUAGCAACAUCAAUCUCAGAACAUAGUCGAUACUAGGGAUCAAACCCUAACAAAACUAACUCUAUUAUAUGAUAAAUCUCAUCCAACCCAUCACCGUCCAGCAAGCCUACGAUGGAAUUACUCACGCACGGCGGUGAGCAUCAUGAAAUUGGUGAUGGAGGAAUGUUGAUGAUGACGAUGGCGACGGAUUCCCCUCUCCGGAGCCCCGAACGGACAACAGAUCAGCCCUCUCGAGAGAGUUUAGGGCUUGGCAGUGGCUCCGUAUCGUAAAACGCGAUGAAUCCUUCUCUCUGAUUUUUUUUCUCCCCAAACACGAAUAUAUGGAGUUGGAGUUGAGGUCGGUGGAGCAUCAUGGGGCCCAUGAGGUAGGGGGGCGCGCCCUGGGGGUAGGCGCGCCCCCCACCCUCGUGGACAGGGUGUGGGCCCCCUGACAUGGAUUCUUCUUCCAGUAUUUUUAAUAUAUUCCAAAAAUAAUCUCCAUUGAUUUUCAGGUCAUUCAGAGAACUUUUAUUUCUGCACAAAAAUAACACCAUGGCAAUUCUGCUGAAAACAGCGUCAGUAUGGGUUAGUUCCAUUCAAAUCAUGCUAGUUAGAGUCCAAAACAAGGGCAAAAGUGUUUAGAAAAGUAGAUACGACGGAGACGUAUCAACUCCCCCAAGCUUAAACCUUUGCUUGUCCUUAAGCAAUUCAGUUGAUAAAUUGAAAGUGAUAAAGAAAAACUUUUACAAACUCUGUUUGCUCUUGUUGUUGUAAAUAUGUAAAGCCAAAAUUCAAGUUUUCAGCAAAGAUUAUGAACUAACCAUAUUCACAAUAACAUUUAAGUCUCAUGUUUACUCAUAUCAAUGGCAUAAUCAGCUAGCGAGCAAUAAUAACAAAUCUCGGAUGACAACACUUUCUCAAAACAAUCAUGAUAUGAUAUAAAAAGUUGGUAUCUUGUUAGCCCUUUCUGAGACUGCAAAACAUAAAUGCAGAGCACCUUUAAAGAUCAAGGACUGAAUAGACAUUGUAAUUCAUGGUAAAGAGAUCGAGUCACAGUUGUACUCAAUGUAAACUAACAGUAAUGGAUGCAAAUGACAGCGGUGGUCUCCAACUGGUGCUUUUUAAUAAGAGGGUGAUGACUCAACAUAAAAGUAAAUGGAAAGUCCCUUCGCAGAGGGAAGCAGGGAUUUGUAGAGGUGCCAGAGCUCGGUUUUGAAAUAGAUAUGAAUAAUAUUUUGAGCGAUAUACUUUCAUUGUCAACAUAACAACCGAGAGAUCUCGAUAUCUUCCAUGCUACACGCAUUAUAGGUGGUUCCCAAGCAGAAUGGUAAAGUUUAUACUCCCCCACCACCAACAAUCAUCAAUCCAGGGCUUUCCCGAAACAAUGGGUGCCUCCAACUAACAAUAAUCUUGGGAGAGUUUUGUUUGCAAUUAUUUUGAUUUGAUUUGAGCAUGGGAUGGGGCGUCCGGUGAGCAGCCAUUUUCUCGUGAAUGAGGAGCCGAGUCCACUCCUCUUUAGAAUAACCCACCUAGCAUAGAGGAUACAGACAGCCCUAGUUGAUACAUGAGCUAUUGGAGCAUACAAAAAAUGUUUAUUUGAAGGUUUAGAGCUUGGCACAUACAAAUUUACUUGGAACGGCAGGUAGAUACCGCAUAUACGUAGGUAUGGUGGACUCAUAUGGAACAACUUUGGGGUUUAUGGAGUUGGAUGCACAAGCAGUAUUCCCGCUUAGUACAAGUGAAGGCUAGAAAGAGAAUGGGAAGCGACCAACUAGAGAGUGACAAUAGUCAUGAACAUGCAUGAAAAUUAAUCAACACCGAAUUCAAGCAUGAGUAGGAUAUAAUGCACCAUGAACAUAAAUAUCUGCAGCAAAGUAUUUAGUACCAAAGUAAUAUGAUAGUAGUGGUAACUGUAGCAAAAGUAAUAUUUUUGGGUUUUCUAGUGAUUGUAACAAUAGCAACGGAAAAGUAAAUACGUGAAGAACAAUAUAUGAAAAGCUCGUAGGCAUUGUAUCGGUGAUGGAGAAUCAUGUCGGAUGCGAUCGAUCAUGCAACAAUUAUAACAUAGGGUGACAUAGAACUAGCUCCAGUUCAUCAAUGUAAUGUAGGCAUGUAUUCCGAAUAUAGUCAGACGUGCUUAUGGAAAAGAACUUGCAUGACAUCUUUUGUCCUACCCUCCUGUGGCAGCGGGGUCCUAUUGGAAACUAAGGGAUAUUAAGGCCUCCUUUUAAUAGAGUACCGGACCAAAGCAUUAACACAUAGUGAAUACAUGAACUCCUCAAACUACGGUCAUCACCGGUAAUGGUCCCCAUUAUUGUCACUUCGGGGUUAACGGAUCAUAACACAUAAUAGGUGACUAUAGACUUGCAAGAUAGGAUUAAGAACUCACAUAUAUUCAUGAAAACAUAAUAGGUUUAGAUCUGAAAUCAUGGCACUCGGGCCCUAGUGACAAGCAUUAAGCAUAGCAAAGUCAUAGCAACAUCAAUCUCAGAACAUAGUGGAUACUAGGGAUCAAACCCUAACAAAACUAACUCAGUUACAUGAUAAAUCUCAUCCAACCUAUCACCGUCCAGCAAGCCUACGAUGGAAUUACUCACGCACGGCGAUGAGCAUCAUGAAAUUGGUGAUGGAGGAAGGUUGAUGAUGACGAUGGCGAUAGAUUCCCCUCUCCGGAGCCCCGAACGGACUCUAGAUCAGCCCUCCCGAGAGAGUUUAGGGCUUGGCGGCGGCUCUGUAUCGAAAAAUGUGAUGAAUCCUUCUCUCUAAUUUUUUUCUCCCCGAACACGGAGUUGAGGUCGGUGGAGCGUCAGGGGGUCCACAAGGCAGGGGGCGCGCCCAGGGGGGUAAGCGCGCCCCCUCCCUCGUGGACAGGGUGUGGGCCCCCUGACAUGGAUUCUUCUUCCGGUAUUUUUAAUAUAUUCCAAAAAUAAUCUCACUUGAUUUUCAGGUAAUUCUGAGAACUUUUAAUUCCGAAAACAGCGUCAGUCCGGGUUAGUUCCAUUCAAAUCAUGCAAGUUAGAGUCCAAAACAAGGGCAAAAGUGUUUGGAAAAGUAGAUACGACGGAGGCGUAUCAAUCCACUCCACCAUCGUGCUCUGGAGAUCAACACGAGCUCGCCUGAAGGAGUCGUGGAAGCAGAGGAGGGCAGGAGCGAGAGAAUGGCCGACGGGGAUCCGCAGGCAACUCCGGCGAUGAUCGGAGGAGGAGGCCCUCCUGGCCUUGCCCCGCUCGUCGGUGGUCAAUUUGUGGCCAGUGGUGGAUGGUUUGAGCAGCUUGUGAGGGGUCUAUUUAUAAAAGAGGGAGAUGCCGAGCACCGGGCACCACUGUGAGGAAGCUACUUGAGCUCUAGCAAGGUGUGUGGCUCGGGCACGGGUGGUGAAGUGACUAGAGGGGCACGGGGGAGCUGUAGAUGCACGUGGGUGAUGAUUCACAAGUAUAGGGGAUCUAUCAUAGUCCUUUCGAUAAGUAAGAGUGUCGAACCCAACGAGGAGCAGAAGGAAAUGAUAAGCAGUUUUCAGCGAGGUAUUCUCUGCAAGAACUGAAAUUAUCGGUAACAGAUAGUUUUUUGAUAAGAUAAUUGGUAACGAGUAACAAGUAACAAGUGUAAAUAAAGUGCAGCAAGAUGGAACAAUCCUUUUUGUAGCAAAGGACAAGCCUGGACAAACUCUUAUAUUAAGUAAAGUGCUCCUGAGGACACAUGGGAAUUAUCGUCAAGCUACUUUUCAUCACGAUCAUAUGAUUCGCGUUCGGUACUUUGAUAAUUUGAUAUGUGGGUGGACCGAUGCUUGGGUGCUGUCCUUACUUGGACAAACAUCCCACUUAUGAUUAACCCCCAUUGCAAACAUCCGCAACUACAACAAAAAUAUUAAGAUAAACCUAACCAUAGCAUGAAACAUAUGGAUCCAAAUCAGCCCCUUACGAAGCAACGCAUAAAAUAGAGUUUAAGCUUUUGUCACUCUGGCAACCCAUCAUCUACUUAUUACUUCCCAACGCCUGCCUCUAGUCCCAAACAAUGGGGAAGUGUCAUGUAGUCGACGUUCACAUGACACCACUAGAGGGAUGACGACAUACAUCUCAUCAAAAUAUCAAACGAAUACCAAAUUCACAUGACUACUAAUAGCAAGAUUUCUCCCAUGUCCUCAGGAACAAACGUAACUACUGACAAAGCAUAUUCAUGUUCAUAAUCAGAGGGGUAUUAAUAUGCGUAAUGGAUCUGAACAUACGAUCUUCCACCAAGUAAACCAACUAGCAUCAACUACAAGGAGUAAUCAACACUACUAGCAACCCAGAGGUACCAAUCUGAGGUUUGGAUACAAAGAUUGGAUACAAGAGAUGAACUAGGGUUUGAGAUGAGAUGGUGCUGGUGAAGAUGUUGAUGGAAAUUGACCCCCUCCCGAUGAGAGGAUCGUUGGUGAUGACGAUGGUGAUGAUUUCCCCCUCCUGGAGGGAAGUUUCCCCGGCAGAUCAGCUCCGCCGGAGCCCUAGAUUGGUUCUGCCAAGGUUCCGCCUCGUGGUGGCGGAGUCUCAUCCCGAAAGCUUGCCUCUGAUUUUUUUCCUCGACGAAAGACUCCAUAUAGCAAAAUAUGGGCAUCAGAGGGUGAGGGAGUCCUGUAUUAGGGGGUCUCCGGAUAGCCGGACUAUCUCCAUUGGCCGGACUGUUAGACUAUGAAGACACAAGAUUUAAGAGUUCGUCUCGUGUCCGGAUGGGACUCUACUUGGCGUGGAAGGCAAGCUAGGAAAUACGUAUAUGGAUAUCACCUCCUUUGUAACCGACCUUGUGUAACCCUAACCCUCUCCGGUGCCUAUAUAAACCGAAGGGUUUUAGUCUGUAGGACGACAAUCACAACAUACAAUCAUACCAUAGGCUAGCUUCUAGGGUUUAGCCUCUCUGAUCUCGUGGUAGAUCUACUCUUGUACUACCCAUAUCAUCAAUAUAAAUCAAGUAGGACGUAGGGUUUUUACCUCCAUCAAGAGGGCCCGAACCUGGGUAAAACAUCAUGUCCCUUGCCUCCUGUUACCAUCCGGCCUAGACGCGCAGUUCGUGAACCCCUACCCGAGAUCCGCCGGUUUUGACACCGAUAUUGGUGCUUUCAUUGAGAGUUCCUCUGUGUCGUCACCGUUAGGCUUGAUGGCUCCUACUAUCAUCGAUAGCGAUGCGGUCCAGGGUGAGACAUUUCUCCCUAGACAGAUCUUCGUAUUCGGCGGCUUUGCACUGCGGGCUAAUUCGCUUGGCCAUCUGGAGCAAAUUGAAAAGCUACGCCCCUGGCCAUCAGGUCAGAUUUGGAAGUUUGAACUACACGGUCUACAUCCGCGAUGACUUGAUCUUCGACGAAUUCGAGCCAUAGCCGGGCGCGCCGCACUAUCGCGAUGGGUAUGACCUAGCUCUGCCGCCGAACAGUAACCCAGAAGCCGCGCCUGCAUCAGCUCCGACCCUUAGUUCGGAGCCAACUGUGCCAAUCGAGGACGGAUGGUUAGACACCGCCUCAGGGUCUGCAGUUUCAACGGCGAUCAAGCCGAACACCAGCAUAAUCCUCUGCGCAGCCCGUGACUCCAAGGUGUCGGACUCUUUUUCUGACUCCGAACCGCCCGCGCCCCUGCCAAUCAAAUCCGAUUGGGCACCGAUCAUGGAAUUCACUGCCGCGGAUAUCUUUCAGCACUCGCCCUUCAACGACAUUCUGAAUUCACUAAGGUCUCUCUCUUUGUCAGGAGAGCCCUGGCCGGAUUAUGGCCAACAGGAUUGGGAUUCGGACGACGAAGAAAUUCGACGCCCACCCACCACCCACUUAAUAGCCACUGUCGAUGACUCAACCGACAUGCUCGACUUCGACUCCGAAGACAUCGACGGUAUGGACGACGAUGCGGGAGGCGAAGAGGAACCACCGCCCACAGGGCGCUGGACGUCCACUUCAUCAUAUGACGUAUGCAUGGUGGACACAAUAAAAGAAGACGACGACGAGGAACGAAAGGACGCAUCGAAGGCUUGUUACCUCGAGAAGCAGUCAAAGCAGCGACACAAGCGCCGCCCCAAAUCUCGCCUCGGCAGAAAUAACGAUCAUACAGACCCAGCGUUGGAGCAGGGCGAACCACUGCUGGACCACGGCAAUACGGAGAAUCAAACCGAACAAACUAAUUCUGUCAAAGAUAAUAGUCCGGACGACAUAACGCCGGACAGGCACCCAGAGCAGCAGAAUUCCCAUCAAAGGCUUGUUGCCACCGCGAGGAGUCUGAAAAAGCAGAAGCAAAGGCUCAAGGCUGCGCAAGACACACUCCAAAUCAGAUGGAGUAAAGUACUCAACACAGCAGCGAGGUACGGCGACAAUCGCCCCACCAAGAGCUACCCAAAGCGGAAGUUGCUACCUGAAUUCGAUGAGGAGGCCUCAGACCCCCCACAACCAAAAAUCAAAACAGCCACCUGGCCGGAUAGACGACCUCAUGGCCAACUUCGAGCUGCAAACAACGCCACUCACAAGCCAAUACGCGAUCCAUGCGAGGGCUCACACCAAAAGGAUGGCGCAACCAGAUCCAUCUAUGGACCACGCAAGCGCGCCCCAGCAUACAACAUAAUACAACAAACAUCCGAACAACGCGGUACACCUAGAUACAGGGGUGCCACACACCCCCUAUGUUUCACCGAUGAGGUGCUGGGCCAUGAAUUUCCAGAGGGAUUCAUACACGUAAACAUAGAGGCAUACGACGGAACAAUAGACCCUGCGGUCUGGAUUGAGGAUUAUAUCCUCCAUAUCCAUAUGGCUCGAGGAGAUGAUCACCACGCCAUCAAGUACUUACCCCUCAAGCUCAAAGCGCCAGCUCGUCACUGGCUUAAAGGCCUCCCCGAAAACUCCAUAGGAAGCUGGGAAGAGCUCGAAGACGCUUUUCGGGAAAAUUUUCAAGGGGCUUAUGUCCGACCUCCAGAUGCGGACGAUUUGAGCCAUAUAACUCAACAGCCCGGAGAGUCAGCCCGAAAACUUUGGAAUAGGUUUCUUACUAAAAAGAACCAAAUUGUCGAUUGUCCGGACGCCGAAGCCCUGGCAACUUUUAAGCAUAGCGUCCGUGAUGAAUGGCUCGCCAGACACCUCGGCCAAGAAAAGCCGAGAACAAUGGCAGCAUUAACAAGCCUCAUGACCCGGUUUUGCGCGGGUGAGGAUAGCUGGCUAGCCAGAUGCAGCACCAGCGACCCUAGUACAUCUGAAGCUAGAGAUGGAAACGGGAAAUCAUGGUGCAACAGCAGUAACAAACGGCGGAACUAAGAAGACAGCACGAAGAGCACGGCAGUAAACGCCGGAUUCAAAAGCUCUCAGCCAGGUCAGCAAAAGCCGCCCUCUAAAGGCGCCAGAGACGAAUUGUCCAGCCUAAACAAAAUUCUGGACCAAAUAUGUCAGAUGCAUAGCACCCCUGGUAAACCUGCUAAUCAUACCCACAGAGAAUGUUGGGUCUUCAAGUAGUCCCAUAAGCUCAACGCCGUACACAAAGGGGAGGAUACACCAAGCGAGGACGAGGAUGAGCCUCUCAAGCAAGACACUGGGGAACAAAAGAAAUUUCCACCAGAAGUCAAAACAGUAAACGUUUUACACGUGAUCAAGGGAAGAAACAAAACAGCACUCCCAGAACAAUAUGCCCAAGGGCCUAUCAGCGCGGAGUCCUGCCACUGGUCGUCUCAACCGAUCACUUUCGACCAUCAUGAUUACUCAGCAAGUAUCCGGCGUGUAGGAUGGGCUGCCCUGGUAUUAGACCCAAUAAUUGACGGAUAUCACUUCACACGAGUUGUGAUGGACGGUGGCAGUAGUCUAAACCUGAUAUAUCAGGAUACAAUCCGCGAAAUUGGGAUAGACCCAACAAAAAUUUGCCAUAGCAAUACUACCUUUAAAGGAGUAACGCCAGGCCCAGGGGCUCAUUGCAGGGGCUGCCUGCUACUAAAAGUUAUAUUCGGCUCCCCCGAUAACUUCCAUAGCGAACAUUUAACCUUCCACAUUGCUCCGUUCCAAAGUGGCUAUCAAGCACUACUCGGACGCGAAGCUUUCGCUCGCUUUAACGCAAUACCGCACUACGCUUCCCUCAGACUCAAGAUGCCCGGACCAUGUGGCAUCAUUAUAGUAAAUGGAAGUAUUAAGCGAUCUUUGUGCGCGGAAGAGAGUGCGGCUGCCUUGGCAGCCACACACUAAAAACGGCCUCACCAACUAAAGCAUUUAACAGGUCGUCAAGACCUCGAACACGGUUAGAUGAGUCCGGCACAGGUAUAUGUAAUUCAUACCGGAUCAAUGGUCACACCCCUAUACAAGGGGCUCAACGCGCCAAACAAGUGGCAAUUUUUACUCAUCUGGAAUUAUACUUGGUUCCUUUAAAAACUACCUUUUGCACGACAACUUUUUCACCUAAGUUCCUCUCUUUUACAGAUGAUCAUCGUGCUACACCCGUCCAGGAUACGGCACAACGGAGACACAGGCGCAGACGUGCAGCAGGGACCCGCUCCAAGGAUUCUUUUUAGAUUAAGACCCUGCGUAAACCUUUUUUACUGUCUCUUGCUGAUACAUAUCCACCGAAUUCUCAGCACAGUUGAGAAGGAUGCUGACGUCUUGGCAUGUGGCCACGUCAGAAUAAUGCACGUACCUGGACACAAGGGGCUUCUUACGAAGGGCACUAUUUAGGUCCGGUUUAUACCAUAAAGACCGAAUACCUUAGGGAGUGUUCGGCGUCGCGAGUUUGGCCUUAUAUGCAUCAGCUUCGAAUCAUUGUCUUUGGUUAAAUGUUGGGUUUGCCCGGCUCCUGUGUUUUGGUGCCUUAGGUUCCGCUUUACCGGCCAAGGUAGCACCAGGAGAACUACUGCGAUUGUGCCCUGGUUCAUCCGGACGAGCACCUCAGUAGAGAAAGCCGAAAACUGACUGUCAUGAUAUAGCGUGAGACUGGUCAACCACUCGGUGACCUAUCGGAAUGUUAGAAUUCCUCCGCCUUAACGAAGGGCUGUUUUCCGGCCGGGCAUGUACGCAUCCCACGAUCGGGAGAGUGCGGAGCCACCAGGGGCUAUCUAGUAGCCCCAAUGUCAAACUCCUAUGGCUAAGUGAAAGUGUUAAAGCAUUAUAGUCCGGUUGCCUCGCUCGCUAUGCUAUCACCUCCUUAAUAGGACCAAGACAUUGGGUUAAGUGUGAACACGCCUUUUUUGCAAGCACCCCCGCAUUCUAUGCGUGGGGGUUGAAGCCGACGGCUGCAAUCUUUCAGGUUAUACACAGGUAUACAUAAACGGCCGCACAGGAGGCAUCAUACUACUUUUAGGAAAAAGUAUAAAAAUUACCUUAUAAAAAAUUCAUAAAAGCAAUGUGCUUACAAUGAGAAUACAUAUCACUCAAACAUAAUAUUUUUCGAGCACUGAGCCUCUAUCAAACGAGCACCCUCGAGAACCUCCUCGAAAUAGUGCUCUGCAGCCACCCGGCCUAUGGUCGAACCCUGCGCCGCAACAGUGGUAGCGUCCAUCUCCGCCCAGUAUGCUUUAACACGGGCAAGGGCCAUCCGCAAGCCUUCUAUGCAUGUCGACCUCUUCAUUGCAUUAAUGCGCGACACCGCAUCAAGGAACUGCUGCACUAAGCUGAAAUAGCUGUUCGGCUUUGGCCUUUCCGGCCAUAGCUGAUCCACAACAGACCUCAUGGUGAGUCCGGACAACCUAUUCAGUUCGGCCCAUUCGGCUAGCUGGUCAGUCAAUGAAAGCGGACGCUCUGGAACGUGGAAUUGCGUCCAGAACAACUUGUCCACUUCACGAUCUGUCUGACCUUGGAAGUACUUGGCCGCAUCGGCAGCGCUCGCCGCCAAAUCCAUAUACGCAUCUGCCGAACUCCAUAGCCGAUCCAGAGGGGCAUACCGUGGAUCUCCGAACUUCCUCCGUAACAUGAAGGGUUUCCCAGCCGCAAUAUCCCCGGCUUCCCGCAGCUCCUCCUUCUUUGCUCUCAUAGCAGAACGAGUGUCUUUUGUCCGCCGUCGCGGCAUUCUCAAGGUCCGUUGCCUUCGCUCGGUUUUCUUUCUCAAGGACCCGGCAAUGGUCGGCAGUGUCUUUUAAUUCUACUGCCAUCUUGGCCAUCUUCUCCUGGCUCUCGCAAUGUGCGGCCUUCUCGGCUUUCGACUCUUCGGCCGCCUUCAAAGCAGCCACAUUACUAAUCCUCGCUUGUUCCUUGGCUCGGGCAAGUUCCUCCCGCAAGGCUUCCAUGGUGGCAGCUCCAUCUGGAGUCACAACAUAUUAAAGAUACUGGCAUUAUGCUGCUCUUACUAUGUGGCGUUCACCGGAUAAUAACACUUACCCUGUGCCUCGUCAAGCCUCUUGUUAACAAGCUCGAUGUCGGCGUCUGCCGCAUACGGUUGCCGUUUUAAUUUGGCAAACUCACUAGUCCGGCUAGCCACCGGAGCUUCCACCACCUGCACAUAGGGGCAGUCUGGUUAUUGCCUGGGAAUAUGAUCCUCUAUUCGCCGCCGUUCUCGACGACAACCAGAGUCUCAGGGGCUACUAUCUACACAGGGCACACAUAACAUGUGCAGUACUAUCACAUAUUAUCUCACGUACCUCAAAGCCCGUUAGUAGACUCAUAAAGGCUUCAUGUAAUCUGUUUUCAGCGGACGAGGUUCUCUCCAUCACCGUACCCAUCAGCAUACGGUGUUCUUCUGAGAUGGCCGCUCGCCCCACCAACUCCCUUAGAACGUCCGACCGCACACCAAACGGUGAAGGACUCUUUUGUAUGCUCUCUUCGGGAGCCGGACACUAGGGACUUUGGGGGUCUACGGGAUUAUCUUCUGGCCUCACCGGAUCCGGAGAGGCCCUCCGUGACGACACUUCGGGGUCGCCCACUUCUGGAGUGGAGGAGUUCGGGGGAGGCGUUUCGCUCUCCAUCAUCUCUGGAAGAAGAUCCUCCGAAGAGGAGCUCAUUUGAGAGGGGCUAAGGCCCGAACUGCAAGAUAUAUGCGGUGGUUAUUUUCUCAGAGAAAAAAGAUAGCAUACCUUUACUAUUAAAGUAUUUUGGAUCACUUACGACUCGUUGGAGGGCUGAUCCCCCCGCGGACUUUGUGCGGUAAAAGCACCCCCCGAGGCAAGACCCUCUGUGGGAGACUUCUUCUCCCGUUUGGAGGCUUCAGCUUCCGGAUCCUCGGAAGCAGUCCUUUUCCUCCCCCGGUCGUCCUCCUUCAUGGACACACUCAUUCCCUUGGUUGGAACGGGCAGCGAUGGGGGCCCGCGUCCGCCCGUAUUAUCCCCCCCCCCCCCGGUAUCUUCCUUCAAGGGCGCCGGGCAAGGUGCGACCUCGAGCAUCUUUUCCAAUACCGGAUUUUCCAAACCAUCAGGGAGGGGGGCCAAACACUGAGUCAUCUUCGCCUUUGUUACCCAGUCCUGGUCAAAAAGCAAACUCUCAGAAAUAACUUCGAAUAAAAGACAGUGUGUUCGGCUAGAGGGUUUCUUACUUGUUCGGCGGCGCGGUUACUGCUCAGGCCCGCGUCCUCGGUAAUAUCCGGACAUUCUACUUGAGGUCCUAAGAAUGACUUGUACAUCUCGUCGUGCGUCAGGCCGAGGAAACUUUGAAUGUCACGUGGUCCCUCUGGGUUGAACUCCCACAAGUGAAGGGGCCGGCGUUUGCAAGGCUGGAUUUGCCGAACCAGCAUAACUUGUAUUACCACAACCAAAUUAAAAUCUCCCUCGAAGAGAUCUCGGAUGCGGCUUUGCAGUAUAGGCAUGUCCUUGGCUGGACCCCAGCUCAGACCCCUGCUAAUCCAUGACAUCAGUUGUGGUGGGGGGCCCGAGCGGAAAGCGGUGGCAGCCGCCCACUUGGCACUUCUGGGAGCCGUGACGAAAAACCACUCCCGUUGUCAUAAUUCGGACACCUCUGGAAAGGAACCUUUCGGCCAUGGAGCUCCUGCCAUCUUGCCUAUUGAUGCACCUCCACACGCUACAUGUUGCCCCUCGAUCAUCUUCGGCUUUACUUCAAAGGUCUUGAGCCACAGGCCGAAGUGAGGGGUAACGCGGAGGAAGGCUUCACACACGACAAUAAAUGCCGUGAUGUGGAGAAAGGAGUCCGGAGCUAGAUCAUGGAAAUCUAGCCCGUAAUAGAACAUCAAACCCCUGAUGAACGGAUCCAGAGUGAGGCCUUGACCUCGGAGGAAGUGGGAGACGAACACAACAUUCUCGUUGGGUUCGGGAGUAGGGACGAUCUGCCCUCGAGCAGGCAGCCGAUGCGAAACCUCAGCGCUCAGAUAUCUAGCCUCCCUCAACUUCUUAAUGUCCUCUUUUGUAAUGGAGGAGGGCAUCCAUCAGCCUUGAAGUCUGGAUCCGGACAUGGUUGAAGAUCCGGAGCACCUAACCUAGGCUUUGGGUGUUAGAACUCGAGGCGGGGGAAGGGUUUGAUUGAGUACGAGAGGGAAAAAGCGAAAACCUUGUCCCCUUAUAAAGAGGGUGAAUAUCAAGCGUCCUCUCCGUAACCGUUUGGGACAUGCCAAUAAUCUAGGAGUCCUAGACACGGUUGGGUUACCCACAACCGCAUUAAUGAGAAUCUCGUAAUUAGGGGAACACGAUCUCCGCUUCGGCAAGACGUGUCAAGAAACCACCUCGCAUUAUGUGUGGAGCUGGUUAAAAGAAACGUUCGAAUAAUCACCCGGCCAUGACAUAACAUCAUGCUGCCAAAACAAGCCAGCAAAUUAGAUCUGCAGAAAAAUUAUUCUCUCUGCGGUGGAACGUGCAACUUAUUUUGCAGGGUCGGACACUAUCCUCGUAUUCAAAUUCUUCUGUGAUGUAUUCGGAGAAGGAACCCGCCUUGCAAUGCCGAAGACAAUACUCAUCGUCAUUGAAGCCUGGUUCAGGGGCUACUGAGGGAGUCAUGUAUUAGGGGGUCUUCGGAUAGCCGGACUAUCUCCAUUGGCCGGACUGUUAGACUAUGAAGAUACAAGAUUGAAGACUUCGUCUCGUGUCCGGAUGGGACUCUACUUGGCGUGGAAGGCAAGCUAGGCAAUACGUAUAUGGAUAUCUCCUCCUUUGUAACCGACCUUGUGUAACCCUAACCCUCUCCGGUGCCUAUAUAAACUGAAGGGUUUUAGUCCGUAGGACAACAAUCACAACAUACAUUCAUACCAUAGGCUAGCUUCUCGGGUUUAGCCUCUCUGAUCUCGUGGUAGAUCUACUCUUGUACUACCCAUAUCAUCAAUAUUAAUCAAGCAGGACGUAGGGUUUUACCUCCAUCAAGAGGGCCCGAACCUGGGUAAAACAUCGUGUCCCUUGCCUCCUGUUAACAUCCGGCCUAGACGUGCAGUUCGGGACCCCUUACCCGAGAUCCGCCAGUUUUGACACCGAUAGAGGGCCACCAGGGGGCCCACGAGGCAGGGGGCACGCCCCCACCCUCGUGGCCAGGGUGUGGCCCCCCUCUGGAACUUUCUUCGCUUAAUAUUUUUUAUAUACUCUGGAAAUAACUUCCGUGAAGUUUCAGGACUUUUGGAGCUGUGCAUAAUAGGUCUCUAAUAUUUGCUCCUUUUCCAGCCCAGAAUCCCAGCUACCGGCAUUCUCCCUCUUCAUGUAAACCUUGUAAAAUAAGAGAGAAUAGGCAUAAGUAUUGUGACAUAAUGUGUAAUAACAGCCCAUAAUGCAAUAAAUAUCGAUAUAAAAGCAUGAUGCAAAAUGGACGUAUCAACUCCCCCAAGCUUAGACCUCGCUUGUCCUCAAGCGAAAGCCGAAAUUGAAAAAUAUGUCCACAUGUUUAGAGAUAGAGGUGUCGAUAAAAAAUAAAAUAUGGACAUGAGGGCAUCAUGAUCAUUCUUAGAACAGCAACAUAUAUAUAUAUAUAUAUAUAUAUAUAUAUAUAUUGUCAUAUGAUCUCUUAUCCUAAAGUAACAAUUCAAUCACAAUUUCAAGUAUGAAUCAUAAACUUCAUUGAGAACCAACAAACUCUAAUCUCAGUCAUUGAGGCAAUUGUAAUUUAUCAUAACAUAGGAAAGAGUCAAUAUAAGAGCUUCUCAGCAAGUCCACAUACUCAACCAUCUUUUAGUCUUUCACAAUUGCUAACACUCACGCAAUACUUAUGGGUAUGGAGUUUUAAUCGGACAUAGAGAAAUAUAGGGGCUUAUAGUUUUGGCUCCCAAUGUUUUACCUCAAGGGUAAUGUCAACAAUAAUAGUUCAUGAAGACUCACAUCCAAUUAGCUAUAUAUAUCAGGAUCUUUCCAACAUAUUGUGCUUGCCAAAGGAUAAAAUGUAAAAAAGGAAAGGUGAAGAUCACCAUGACUCUUAUGUAAGGUAGAAGAUAAAAUUAAAAGAUAGGCCCUUCACAGAGGCAAGCAGAGGUUGUCAUGCGCUUUUCUGGUUGGAUGCACAAAAUCUUAAUGCGAAAGAACGUCACUUUAUAUUGCCACUUGUGAUAUGGACCCUUAUUAUGAAGUCCGUCGCUUUUAUUUCUUCCAUAUCACAAGAUCGUAUAAAGCUUUUUUUUCUCCCACACUAAUAAUUCAUACAUAUUUAGAGAGCAUUUUUUAUUGCUUGCACCGAUGACAACUUACUUGAAGGAUCUUACUCAAUCCAUAGGUAGAUAUGUUGGACUCUGAUGGCAAAACUAGGUUUAGGGAUAUUUGGAAGCACAAGUAGUAUCUCUAAUUGGUGCAAAGAAAUUGGCUAGCAUGAGAGGGAAAGGCAAGCUCAACAUGUUGGAUGAUCCAUGACAAUAUAAUGUAUCUCAGAUGUAAGAAAACAUAACCCAUUACGUUGUCUUCCUUGUCCAACGUCAACUCUUAGCAUGUCAUACUUUAAUGUGUGCUCACAAUCAUAAAAGAUGUCCAAGAUAGUGAAUAUAUAUGUGAACCUCUCUUUCUUUAUUACUUCCUAUUAAUUGUAACAAUGACCAAAACUAUGUUUAUCAACUCUCAACAACUUUUAUUCAUCAUACUCUUUAUAUGUGAGCUCAUUACUCUCCAUGAGAUCCAUAUGAUCUCUUUGUUUCUUUUUUAUUUUAGUUUUCUUUUAUUUUAUUCCCUCAAGAUCAUAGCAAAAUAAUGAAGCCCUUGACUCAACACUAACCUUUAUUAUAUAUAACUCACGGACUCGAUUACAUAGAAGGAUCAUAAAGCAAAACUCACAACUAGAUCAUACUAACACUUUAUUCUACUAGAUCAAGAUAUUAUCAACAGGAUCGAACUCAGAAAAACGGUAAAGAUAAAAGUGAUGGUGAUACGAUACCGGCGCACUCCCCAAGCUUGGCAUUUGCCAAGGGGAGUGCCCAUACCAAUGUGUUUAUAUCUCCUUUGUCAGUGAAGAGGAUGUUGGUGAUGAUGGAUGAUACGUCUCCAACGUAUCUAUAAUUUUUGAUUGCUCCAUGCUAUAUUAUCUACUGUUUUGGACUAUAUUAGGCUUCAUUUUCCACUUUUAUAUUAUUUUUGGGACUAACCUAUUAACCGGAGGCCCAGCCCAGAAUUGCUGUUUUUUGCCUAUUUCAGUGUUUCGGAUAAACGAAAUAUCAAAUGGAGUCCAAACGGAAUAAAAUCUUCGGGAACAUGAUUUUCUCACCGAACAUGAUCCAGGAGACUUGGACCCUGCUCCAAGGAACAAAAGAGGUGGUCACGAGGGUGGGGGUGCCCCCCCUAGGGCGCGCCCCCCUGCCUCGUGGGCCCCUCGUUGCUCCUCCGGCGUACUUCUUCCUCCUAUAUAUGCACACAUACCCCCAAACGAUCAGAACAGGAGCCUAAAACCUAAUUCCACUACAGCAACUUUCUGUAUCCAUGAGAUCCCAUAUUGGGGCCUGUUCCGGAGCUCCGCCGGAAGAUGGCCGUCAUCACGGAGGGCAUCUACCUCAUCAUAGCCUCUCCGAUGAAGUGUGAGUAGUUUACCUCAGACCUUUGGGUCCAUAGUUAGUAGCUAGAUGGCUUCUUCUCUCUAUUUGAAUCUCAAUACAAAGUUCUCCCCCUCUCUUGUGGAGAUCUAUUUGACGUAAUCUUCUUUUUGCGGUGUGUUUGUUGAGACUGAUGAAUUGUGGGUUUAUGAUCAAGUCUAUCUACGAAUAAUAUUUGAAUCUUCUCUGAAUUCUUUUAUGUAUGAUUGGUUAUCUUUGCAAGUCUCUUCGAAUUAUCCGUUUGCUUUGGCCAACUAGAUUGGUAGUUCUUGCCAUGGGAGAAGUGCUUAGCUUUGGGUUCGAUCUUGCGGUGUCCUUACCCAGUGACAGAAGGGGCAGAAAGGCACGUAUUGUAUCGUUGCCAUCGAGGAUAACAAGAUGGGGUUUAUUUCAUAUUGCAUGAAUUUAUCUCUCUACAUCAUGUCAUCUUGCUUAAGGCGUUACUCUAUUUUUAACUUAAUACUCUAGAUGCAUGCUGGAUAGCGGUCGAUGAGUGGAGUAAUAGUAGUAGAUGCAGAAUCGUUUCGAUCUACUUGUCACGGACAUGAUGCCUAUAUACAUGAUCAUGCCUAGAUAUUCUCAUAACUAUGCUCAAUUCUGUCAAUUGCUCAACAGUAAUUUGUUCACCCACCGUAGAAUACUUAUGCUCUUGAGAGAAGCCACUAGUGAAACCCAUGGCCCCCGGGUCUAUUCUCAUCAUAUCAAUCUCCAUUACUUUAAUCUUGCUUUGCUUUUUACUUUGCCUUUAUUUUUUACUUUGCAUCUUUAUACCAAAAUUACAAAAAAUAUUAUAUCUAUCAUAUCUCACUCUCGUAAGUGACAGUAAAGGGCUUGACAACCCCUAAUCGCGUUGGUUGCGAGUAGCUAUCGCUUGGUGUAGGUACGAGGGACUUGAGCAUGGGCUCCUACUGGAUUAAUACCUUGGUUCUCAAACACUGAGGGAAAUACUUACGCUACUCUGCUGCAUCAUCCCUUCCUCUUCGGGGAAAACCAACGCAAGCUCAAGACGUAGCAAGAAGGAUUUCUGGCGCCGUUGCCGGGGAGUCUACGCAAAAAUUUAACAUACCAAGUACCCAUCACAAUCCCUAUCUCUCGCAUUACAUUAUUUGCCAUUUGCCUCUCGUUUUCCUCUCCCCCCAAUUCACCCUUGCCGUUUUAUUCGCCCUCUCUCUCCCUAUCCCCCCUCUCUAUUUGCCUUUUUGCCCGUUUGCUUUUUGUUUGCUCGUGUGUUAGUUUUCUUGUUUGUCAUGACGGCUCAAGAUACUACUAAAUUGUGUGACUUCACCAAUACGAACAAUAAUGACUUCCUUAGCACUCCGAUUGCUCCUCUUACCGAUGCUGAAUCUUGUGAAAUUAAUACUGCUUUGUUGAAUCUUGUUAUGAAAGAUCAAUUCGCUGGCAAAUGCAAAGAUGCUUUUAUCUCUAAGUAUUUUCCUCCCGCUAAGAUCAUCUCUCUUAGAAACGAUAUUAUGAACUUUAAACAACUUGAUCAUGAACAUGUUGCACAAGUUUGGGAGAGAAUGAAAUUAAUGAUACGUAAUUGCCCUACUCAUGGUUGCAAUUUGUGGAUGAUUAUACAAAAAAUUUAUGCCGGAUUGAAUUUUGUUUCUAGAAAUCUUUUAGAUUCGGCCGUGGGAGGCACUUUUAUGGAAAUCACUUUAGGAGAUGGUACUAAACUCCUAGAUAAUAUUAUGGUUAAUUAUUGUCAAUGGCAUACUGAAAGAUCUUCUAAUAAAAAAGUGCAUGCGAUAGAAGAAAUUAAUGUGUUGAGUGGAUAGAUGGAUGAACUUAUGAAAUUAUUUGCUACUAAGAGUGUUUCUUCUGAUCCUAAUGAUAUGCCUUUGUCUACUUUGAUUGAGAAUAACAAUGAAUCUAUGGAUGUGAAUUUUCUUGGUAGGAAUAAUUUUGGUAACAACGCUUAUAGAGGGAAUUUAAUCCUAGGCCAUAUCCUAGUAAUCCUUCUAAUAAUUAUGGGAACUCCUACAAUAACUCUUAUGGAAAUUAUAAUAAGAUACCCUCUGAUUUUAAAUAUAAUAUUAAAGAAUUUAUUUUUUGCAAAAGAAUUCUAAUGCUAUGAUUGAAGAAAAAUUGCUUAAGAUUGAUGAUUUGGCUAGGAACGUUGAUAGAAUUGCUCUUGAUAUUGAUUCUUUGAAAUUAGAUCUAUUCCACCUAAUCAUGAUAUGAAUGAGUCUCUAAAAGCCAUGAGAAUUUCAAUUGAUGAGUGUAAGGAAAGAACCGCUAGAAUGUAUGCGUCCAAAGAUGCCUUUAUUAAAGCGUGUUCUUCCAAUACCUAUGAAAAUCAAGAUGGAGAUCUAAAAGUUAUUGAUGUGUCUCCUAUUAAAUCUUUAUUUCGCAAUAUGAAUCUUGAUGAAACUGAAUAUGAUCUUCCUUUACCUAGAAGGCGUUCUAAAAAUCGGAGUAUUUAGAUCUUUAUGAUGAAAUUGAUGAAAGUGGGAUUGAAAGAAAUAAAAAUCUAGAUGUUGCUAAACCCACUAUAUUGGAUUUCAAGGAAUUUAAUUAUGAAAGUUGCUCUUUAAUUGAUUGUAUUUCCUUGUUGCAAUCCGUGCUAAAUUCUCCACAUGCUUAUAGUCAAAAUAAAGCCUUCACCGAACAUAUUGUUGAUGCUUUGAUGCAAUCUUAUGAAGAAAAACUUGAGUUGAAAGUUUCUAUCCCUAGAAAACACUAUGAUGAGUGGCAACCAACUAUUACAAUUAAAAUUAAAGAUCAUGAGUUUUAUGCUUUGUGUGAUUUGGGUGCUAGUGUCUCUACUAUUCCCAAGACUUUGUGUGAUUUACUAGAUUUCCGUAACUUUGAUGAUUGCUCUCUAAACUUGCAUCUUGCGGAUUCCACUAUUAAGAAACCUAUGGGAAGGAUUAAUGAUGUUCUUAUUGUUGCAAAUAGGAAUUAUGCACCCAUAGAUUUCAUUGUUCUUGAUAUAGAUUGCAAUCCUUCUUGCCCUAUUAUUCUUGGUAGACCUUUCCUUAGAACGGUUGGUGCGAUUAUUGAUAUGAAGGAAGGGAAUAUUAGAUUUCAAUUUCCAUUAAAAAAGGGCAUGGAACACUUUCCAUGAAAGAAAAUAAAAUUACCAUAUGAAACUAUCAUGAGAGCCACUUAUGGAUUGCCUACCAAAGAUGGCAAUACCUAGAUCUAUCCUCGCUUUUAUGCCUAGCUAGGGGCGUUAAACGAUAGCGCUUGUUGGGAGGCAACCCAAUUUCAUUUUUAUUCCUUGAUUUUUGCUCCUGUUUAGUAAUAAAUAAAUUAUUUAUCCUCUGUUUUGGUUGUGUUUUUUUGUGUUUCAUUAGUGUUUGUGCCAAGUAGAACCGUUGGGAAGACUUGGUGAAAUUCUUGUUGAACUUGCUGUAAAAAACAUAAACUUUAGCGCUCACGAGAACUGCUGCCAUUUUUAUUUGAAAAGUUCUAUUUAGUUAAUUAUUUUUGCAGAUGAUUAAUAGAUAAAUUCCUCACGUCCAGCAAUUUAUUUUAGAAUUUGCGGGGUUCCAGAUCUUGCGCUGGCUACAGAUUACUACAAACUAUUCUGUUUUUGACAGAUUCUGUUUUUCGUGUGUUGUUUGCUUAUUUUGUUGAAUCUAUGGCUAUUAAAAUAGUUUAUAAUCCUAUAGAAGUUGGAAUACAGUAGGUUUAACACCAAUAUAAAUAAAGAAUGAGUUCAUUACAGUACCUUGAAGUGGUCUUUUGUUUUCUUUCGCUAACGGAGCUCACGAGUUUUCUAUUUUGAGUUUUGUGUUGUGAAGUUUUCAAGUUUUGGGUGAAUUCUUUUUAUGGAUCAUGGAACAAGGAGUGGAAAGAGCCUAAGCUUAGGGAUUCCCAUGGAACCCCCAAGAUAAUCCAAGGACACCAAGAAGUCAAAGCUUGGGGAUGCCCCGGAAGGCAUCCCCUCUUUCGUCCACUUCCAUCGGUAAUUUACUUGGAACUAUAUUUUUAUUCACCAACAUGAUAUGUGUUUUGCUUGGAGCGUCUUGUAUUAUUUGUGUAUUUGUGUCUUAGUAUGCCACAAUCAUCAUUGCUGUACACACCUUUUGAGAGAGCCAUACAUGAAUUAAAAUUUGAUAGAAUACUCUAUGUGCUUCACUUAUAUCUUUUGAGCUAAAUAGUUUUGCUCUAUGUGCUUCACUUAUAUCUUUUGAGCGUUAUAAUUUUGCUCUAUGUGCUUCACUUAGAUCUUUUAGAGCAUGGUGGUGGAUUUUUUUUAAAGAAACUAUUGAUCUCUCGUGCUUCACUUAAAUUAUUUUGAGAGUCUCUUAAUAGCAUGGUAAUUUGCUUAAUAAUAAUAUGCUUGGUAUUCAAGAUUUGUGAAACUUUCUUUUGAGUGUGUUAAAUACUAAGAAAAGAUUGAAACAUGAUAAUUGUUUUGAGAUAUGGAGGUGAUAGUAUUAAAGUCAUGCUAGUUACUUGUGAAUUUAAAGUAUACUUGUGUUAAUGUUUGUGAUUCCCGUAGCAUGCACGUAUGGUGAACAGUUAUGUGAUGAAGUCGGAGCAUGAUUUAUUUAUUGAUUGUCUUCCUUAUGAGUGGCGGUCGGGGACGAGCGAUGGUCUUUUCCUACCAAUCUAUCACCCUAGGAGCAUGCGCGUAAUACUUUGCUUUGAUAAGCUUCUAGAUUUUUGCAAUAAGUAUAUGAGUUCUUUAUGACUAAUUUUGAGUCCAUGGAUUAUACACACUCUCACCCUUCCACCUUUGCUAGCCUCUCUAAUACCUCGCACCUUUCACCGGUAUCAUACACCUACCCUAUAUCUUCCUCAAAACAGCCACCAUACCUACCUAUUAUGGCAUUUCCAUAGCCAUUCCGAGAUAUAUUGCCAUGCAACUUUCCACCGUUCCGUUCAUGACACAUUUAUCAUUGUCAUAUUGCAUAUCCCGGUACACCGCCGAAUGCAUUCACAUAGAGUCAUAUUUUGUUCUAAGUAUUGAGUUGUAAUUGUUGAGUUAUAAGAAAAAUAAAAGUGUGAUGAUCAUCAUUAUUAGAGCAUUGUCCCAGUGAGGAAAGAAUGAUGGAGACUAUGAUUCCCCGAUAAGUCGGGAUGACACUCCGGACGAAAAAUAAAUAAAUAAAAAGAGGCCAAAGAAGCCCAAAUAAAAAGAGGCCAUAAAAAAGAGAAAAGGCCCAAGUCAAAAAAAUGAGAGAAAAAGAGAUAAGGGACAAUGUUACUAUCCUUUUACCACACUUGUGCUUCAAAGUAGCACCAUGAUCUUCAUAGUAGAGAGUCUCUCAUGUUAUCACUUUCAUAUACUAGUGGGAAUUUCUCAAUAUAAAACUUUGCUUGUAUAUUCCAAUGAUGGGCUUCCUCAAAAAUUGCCCUAGGUCUUCAUGAGCAAGCAAGUUGGAUGCACACCCACUUAGUUUCUUUUUGAGCUUUCAUAUACUUAUAGCUCUAGUGCAUCCGUUGCAUGGCAAUCCCUACUCACUCACAUUGAUAUCUAUUGAUGGGCAUCUCCAUAGCCCGUUGAUACGCCUAGUUGAUGUGAGACCAUCUUCUCCUUUUGUCUUCUCCACAACAACCAUUCUAUUCCACCUAUAGUGCUAUAUCCAUGGCUCAUGCUCAUGUAUUGCGUGAAGAUUGAAAAAGUUAGAGUAUGAAACAAUUGCUUGGCUUGUCAUCGGGGUUGUGCAUGAUUUAAAUACUUUGUGUGGUGAAGAUGGAGCAUAGCCAGACUAUAUGAUUUUGUAGGGAUAACUUUCUUUGGCCAUGUUAUUUUGAGAAGACAUAAUUGCUUUAUUAGUAUGCUUGCAGUAUUAUUGUUUUUUAUGUCAAUAUAAACUUUUGUCUAGAAUAUUUAUAAUAUGAAUAUUCAUACCACAAUUAAGAAGAUUUACAUUGAAAUUAUGCCAAGUAGCACUCCGCAUCAAAAAUUCUCUUUUUAUCAUUUACCUACUCGAGGACGAGCAGGAAUUAAGCUUGGGGAUGCGUGAUACGUCUCCAACAUAUCUAUAAUAUUUGAUUGCUCCAUGCUAUAUUAUCUACUGUUUUGGACUAUAUUGGGCUUUAUUUUCCACUUUUAUAUUAUUUUUGGGAAUAACCUAUUAACCGGAGGCAAAGCCCAGAAUUGCUGUUUUUUUGCCUAUUUCAGUGUUUCGGAUAAACGGAAUAUCAAACGGAGUCCAAACGGAAUAAAAUCUUUGGGAACGUGAUUUUCUCACCGAACGUGAUCCAGGAGACUUGGACCCUGCUCCAAGGAACAAAAGAGGCGGUCACGAGGAUGGGGGGCGCCCGCCCCUAGGGCGCGCCCCCUGCCUCGUGGGCCCCUCGUUGCUCCUCCGGUGUACUUCUUCCUCCAAUAUAUACACACGUACCCCCAAACGAUCAGAAUAGGAGCCUAAAACCUAAUUCCACCGCCGCAACUUUCUGUAUCCACGAGAUCCCAUCUUGGGGCCUGUUCUGGAGCUCCGCCGGAAGAGGGCCGUCAUCACGGAGGGCUUCUACAUCAUCAUAGCCUCUUCGAUGAAGUGUGAAUAGUUUACCUCAGACCUUCGGGUCCAUAGUUAGUAGCUAGAUGGCUUCUUCACUCUCUUUGAAUCUCAAUACAAAGUUCUCCCCCUCUCUUGUGGAGAUCUAUUCGAUGUAAUCUUCUUUUUGCGGUGUGUUUGUUGAGACCGAUGAGUUGUGGGUUUAUGAUCAAGUCUAUCUAUGAAUAAUAUUUGAAUCUUCUCUUAAUUCUUUUAUGUAUGAUUGGUUAUCUUUGCAAGUCUCUUCGAAUUAUCCGUUUGGUUUGGCCACUAGAUUGGUAGUUCUUGCCAUGGGAGAAGUGCUUAGCUUUGGGUUCGAUCUUGCGGUGUCCUUACCCAGUGACAGAAGGGGCAGCAAGGCACGUAUUGUAUCAUUGCCAUCGAGGAUAACAAGAUGGGGUUUAUUUCAUAUUGCAUGAAUUUAUCUCUCUACAUCAUGUCAUCUUGCUUAAGGCAUUACUCUGUUUUUAACUUAAUACUCUAGAUGCAUGCUGGAUAGCAGUCGAUGAGUGGAGUAAUAGUAGUAGAUGCAGAAUCGUUUCGAUCUACUUGUCACGGACAUGAUGCCUAUAUACAUGAUCAUGCCUAGAUAUUCUCAUAACUAUGCUCAAUUCUGUCAAUUGCUCAACAGUAAUUUGUUCACCCACCGUAGAAUACUUAUGCUCUUGAGAGAAGCCACUAGUGAAACCUAUGGCCCCCGGGUCUAUUCUCAUCAUAUCAAUCUCCAUUACUUUAAUCUUGCUGUGCUUUUUUACUUUGCCUUUACUUUUUACUUUGCAUCUUUAUACCAAAAAUACCAAAAAUAUUAUAUCUAUCAGAUCUCACUCUCGUAAGUGAUCGUGAAGGGCUUGAGAACCCCUAAUCGCGUUGGUUGCGAGUAGCUAUCGCUUUGUGCAGGUACGAGGGACUUGAGCAUGGGCUCCUACUGGAUUGAUACCUUGGUUCUCAAAAACUGAGGGAAAUACUUACGCUACUCUGCUGCAUCAUCCCUUCCUCUUCAGGGAAAACCAACGCAAGCUCAAGACGUAGCAAGAAGGAUUUCUGGCGCCGUUGCCGGGGAGUCUACGCAAAAAUUUAACAUACCAAGUACCCAUCACAAUCCCUAUCUCUCGCAUUACAUUAUUUUCCAUUUGCCUCUCGUUUCCCUCCCCCCCCAAUUCACCCUUGCCAUUUUAUUCGCCCUCUCUCUCCCUAUCCUCCCUCUCUAUUUUCCUUUUUUGCCCGUUUGCUUUUUGUUUGCUCGUGUGUUAGUUUGCUUGUUUGUCACGAUGGCUCAAGAUACUACUAAAUUGUGUGACUUCACCAAUACCAACAAUAAUGAUUUCCUUAUCACUCCAAUUGCUCCUCUUACCGAUGCUGAAUCUUGUGAAAUUAAUACUGCUUUGUUGAAUCUUGUUAUGAAAGAUCAAUUCGCUGGCCUUCCUAGUGAAGAUGGCGCUACUCAUCUGAAUAGCUUCGUUGAUUUAUGUGAUAUGCAAAAGAAAAAGAUGUCAAUAAUGAUGUCGUUAAAUUGAAGCUCUUUCCUUUUUCGCUUAGAGAUCGUGCUAAAGCUUGGUUUUCAUCUUUGCCUAAGAACAAUAUUGAUUCAUGGAACAAGUGCAAAGAUGCUUUUAUCUCUAAGUAUUUUCCUCCCGCUAAGAUCAUCUCUCUUAGAAACGAUAUUAUGAACUUUAAACAACUUGAUCAUGAACAAGUUGCACAAGCUUGGGAGAGAAUGAAAUUAAUGAUACGUAAUUGCCCUACUCAUGGUUGCAAUUUGUGGAUGAUUAUACAAAAAAUUUAUGCCAGAUAGAAUUUUGUUUCUACAAAUCUUUUAGAUUCGGUCGUGGGAGGCACUUUUAUGGAAAUCACUUUAGGAGAUGCUACUAAACUCCUAGAUAAUAUUAUGGUUAAUUAUUGUCAAUGGCAUACUGAAAGAUCUUCUAAUAAAAAAGUGCAUGCGAUAGAAGAAAUUAAUGUGUUGAGUGGAUAGAUGGAUGAACUUAUGAAAUUAUUUGCUACUAAGAGUGUUUCUUCUGAUCCUAAUGAUAUGCCUUUGUCUACUUUGAUUGAGAAUAAUAAUGAAUCUAUGGAUCUGAAUUUUGUUGGUAGGAAUAAUUUUGGUAACAACGCUUAUAGAGGGAAUUUAAUCCUAGGCCAUAUCCUAGUAAUCCUUCUAAUAAUUAUGGGAACUCCUACAAUAACUCUUAUGGAAAUUAUAAUAAUAUACCCUCUGAUUUUAAAUCUAAUAUUAAAGAAUUUAUUUUUUGCAAAAGAAUUCUAAUGCUAUGAUUGAAGAAAAAUUGCUUAAGAUUGAUGAUUUGGCUAGGAACGUUGAUAGAAUUGCUCUUGAUAUUGAUUCUUUGAAACUUAGAUCUAUUCCACCUAAUCAUGAUACGAAUGAGUCUCUAAAAUCCAUGAGAAUUUCAAUUGAUGAGUGUAAGGAAAGAACCGCUAGAAUGUAUGCUUCCAAAGAUGCCUUUAUUAAAGCGUGUUCUUCCAAUACCUAUGAAAAUCAAGAUGAAGAUCGAAAAGUUAUUGAUGUGUCUCCUAUUAAAUCUUUAUUUCGCAAUAUGAAUCUUUAUGAAACUGAAUUUGAUCUUCCUUUACCUAGAAGGCGUUCUAAAAUUCGGAGUAUUUAGAUCUUUAUGAUGAAAUUGAUGAAAGUGGGAUUGAAAGAAAUAAAAAUCUAGAUGUUGCAAAACCCACCAUAUUGGAUUUCAAGGAAUUUAAUUAUGAAAGUUGCUCUUUAAUUGAUUGUAUUUCCUUGUUGCAAUCCGUGCUAAAUUCUCCACAUGCUUAUAGUCAAAAUAAAGCCUUCACCGAACAUAUUGUUGAUGCUUUGAUGCAAUCUUAUGAAGAAAACUUGAGUUGAAAGUUUCUAUCCCUAGAAAACUCUAUGAUGAGUGGCAACCAACUAUUAAAAUUAAAAUUAAAGAUCAUGAGUUUUAUGCUUUGUGUGAUUUGGGUGCUAGUGUCUCUACUAUUCCCAAGACUUUGUGUGAUUUACUAGAUUUCCGUAACUUUGAUGAUUGCUCUCUAAACUUGCAUCUUGCGGAUUCCACUAUUAAGAAACCUAUGGGAAGGAUUAAUGAUGUUCUUAUUGUUGCAAAUAGGAAUUAUGCGCCCGUAGAUUUCAUUGUUCUUGAUAUAGAUUGCAAUCCUUCUUGCCCUAUUAUUCUUGGUAGACCUUUCCUUAGAACGGUUGGUGCGAUUAUUGAUAUGAAGGAAGGGAAUAUUAGAUUUCAAUUUCCAUUAAAAAUGGGCAUGGAACACUUUCCAUGAAAGAAAAUAAAAUUACCAUAUGAAACUAUCAUGAAAGCCACUUAUGGAUUGCCUACCAAAGAUGGCAAUACCUAGAUCUGUCCUCGCUUUUAUGCCUAGCUAGGGGCGUUAAACUAUAGCGCUUGUUGGGAGGCAACCCAAUUUCAUUUUUAUUCCUUGAUUUUUCCUCCUGUUUAGUAAUAAAUAAAUUAUUUAUCCUCUGUUUUGGUUGUGUUUUUUUGUGUUUAAUUAGUGUUUGUGCCAAGUAGAACCGUUGGGAAGACUUGGUGAAAUUCUUGUUGAACUUGCUGUAAAAAACAGAAACUUUAGCGCUCACGAGAACUGCUGUCAUUUUUAUUUGAAAAGUUCUAUUUAGUUAAUUAUUUUUGCAGAUUACUAAUAGAUAAAUUCCUCACGUCCAGCAAUUUAUUUUAGAAUUUUCGGGGUUCCAGAUCUUGUGCUAGCUACAGAUUACUACAGACUGUUCUGUUUUUGACAGAUUCUGUUUUUCGUGUGUUGUUUGCUUAUUUUGAUGAAUCUAUGGCUAGUAAAAUAGUUUAUAAUCCUAUAGAAGUUGGAAUACAGUAGGUUUAUCACCAAUAUAAAUAAAGAAUGAGUUCAUUACAGUACCUUGAAGUGGUCUUUUGUUUUCUUUCGCUAACGGAGCUCACGAGUUUUCUAUUUUGAGUUUUGUGUUGUGAAGUUUUCAAGUUUUGGGUGAAUUCUUUUGAUGGAUCAUGGAACAAGGAGUGGCAAGAGCCUAAGCUUAGGGAUGCCCAUGGCACCCCCAACAUAAUCCAAGGACACCAAGAAGUCAAAGCUUGGGGAUGCCCCGGAAGGCAUCCCCUCUUUCGUCCACUUCCAUCGGUAAUUUACUUGGAACUAUAUAUUUAUUCACCAACAUGAUAUGUGUUUUGCUUGGAGCGUCUUGUAUUAUUUGUUUAUUUGUGUCUUAGUAUGCCACAAUCAUCAUUGCUGUACACACCUUUUGAGAGAGCCAUACAAGAAUUAAAAUUUUAUAGAAUACUCUAUGUGCUUCACUUAUAUCUUUUGAGCUAAGUAGUUUUGCUCUAUGUGCUUCACUUAUAUCUUUUGAGCGUUAUAAUUUUGCUCUAUGUGCUUCACUUAGAUCUUUUAGAGAACGGUGGUGGAUUUGUUUUAAAGAAACUAUUGAUCUCUCGCGCUUCACUUAAAUUAUUUUGAGAGUCUCUUAAUAGCAUGGUAAUUUGCUUAAUAAUAAUAUGCUUGGUAUUCAAGAUUUGUGAAACUUUCUUUUGAGUGUGUUGAAUACUAAGAAAAGAUUGAAACAUGAUAAUUGUUUUGAGAUAUGGAGGUGAUAAUAUUAAAGUCAUGCUAGUUAGUUGUGAAUUUAAAGAAUACUUGUGUUAAAGUUUGUGAUUCCCGUAGCAUGCACGUAUGGUGAACAGUUAUGUGAUGAAGUCGGAGCAUGAUUUAUUUAUUGAUUGUCUUCCUUAUGAGUGGCGGUCGGGGACGAGCGAUGGUCUUUUCCUACCAAUCUAUCACCCUAGGAGCAUGCGCGUAAUACUUUGCUUUGAUAAGCUUCUAGAUUUUUGCAAUAAGUAUAUGAGUUCUUUAUGACUAAUGUUGAGUCCAUGGAUUAUACACACUCUCACCCUUCCACCUUUGCUAGCCUCUCUAAUACCGCGCACCUUUCACCGGUAUCAUACACCUACCCUAUAUCUUCCUCAAAACAGCCACCAUACCUACCUAUUAUGGCAUUUCCAUAGCCAUUCCGAGAUAUAUUGCCAUGCAACUUUCCACCGUUCCGUUCAUGACACAUUUAUCAUUGUCAUAUUGCAUAUCCCGGUACACCGCAGAAUGCAUUCACAUAGAGUCAUAUUUUGUUCUAAGUAUCGAGUUGUAAUUGUUGAGUUAUAAGAAAAAUAAAAGUGUGAUGAUCAUCAUUAUUAGAGCAUUGUCCCAGUGAGGAAAGAAUGAUGGAGACUAUGAUUCCCCGAUAAGUCGGGAUGACACUCCGGACGAAAAAUAAAAAGAGGCCAAAGAAGCCCAAAUAAAAAGAGGCCAUAAAAAGAGAAAAGGCCCAAGUCAAAAAAAUGAGAGAAAAAGAGAUAAGGGACAAUGUUACUAUCCUUUUACCACACUUGUGCUUCAAAGUAGCACCAUGAUCUUCAUAGUAGAGAGUCUCUCAUGUUAUCACUUUCAUAUACUAGUGGGAAUUUUUCAAUAUAGAACUUGGCUUGUAUAUUCCAAUGAUGGGCUUCCACAAAAAUUGCCCUAGGUCUUCAUGAGCAAGCAAGUUGGAUGCACACCCACUUAGUUUCUUUUUGAGCUUUCAUAUACUUAUAGCUCUAGUGCAUCCGUUGCAUGGCAAUCCCUACUCACUCACAUUGAUAUAUAUUGAUGGCCAUCUCCAUAGCCCGUUGAUACGCCUAGUUGAUGUGAGACCAUCUUCUCCUUUUGUCUUCUCCACAACAACCAUUCUAUUCCACCUAUAGUGCUAUAUCCAUGGCUCAUGCUCAUGUAUUGCGUGAAGAUUGAAAAAGUUAGAGUAUGAAACAAUUGCUUGGCUUGUCAUCGGGGUUGUGCAUGAUUUAAAUACUUUGUGUGGUGAAGAUGGAGCAUAGCCAGACUAUAUGAUUUUGUAGGGAUAACUUUCUUUGGCCAUGUUAGUUUGAGAAGACAUAAUUGCUUUAUUAGUAUGCUUGCAGUAUUAUUGUUUUUAUGUCAAUAUAAACUUUUGUCUAGAAUCUUUCUAAUAUGAAUAUUCAUACCACAAUUAAGAAGAUUUGCAUUGAAAUUAUUCCAAGUAGCACUCCGCAUCAAAAAUUCUCUUUUUAUCAUUUACCUACUCGAGGACGAGCAGGAAUUAAGCUUGGGGAUGCCUGAUACGUCUCCAACGUAUCUAUAAUUUUUGAUUGCUCCAUGCUAUAGUAUGUACUGUUUUGGACUAUAUUGGGCUUUAUUUUCCACUUGUAUAUUAUUUUUGGGAAUAACCUAUUAACCAGAGGCAAAGUCCAGAAUUGCUGUUUUUUUGCCUAUUUCAGUGUUUCGGAUAAACGGAAUCUCAAACGGAGUCCAAACGGAAUAAAAUCUUCGGGAACGUGAUUUUCUCACCGAACGUGAGCCAGGAGACUUGGACCCUGCUCCAAGGAACAAAAGAGGCGGUCACGAGGGUGGGGGGCGCCCCCCUAGGGCGCGCCCCCCUGCCUCGUGGGCCCCUCGUUGUUCCUCCAGCGUACUUCUUCCUCCAAUAUAUACACACGUACCCCCAAACGAUCAGAAUAGGAGCCUAAAACCUAAUUCCACCACCGCAACUUUCUGUAUCCACGAGAGCCCAUCUUGGGGCCUGUUUUGGAGCUCCGCCGGAAGAGGGACGUCAUCAUGGAGGGCUUCUACAUCAUCAUAGCCUCUCCGAUGAAGUGUGAAUAGUUUACCUCAGACCUUCGGGUCCAUAGUUAGUAGCUAGAUGGCUUCUUCACUCUCUUUGAAUCUCAAUACAAAGUUCUCCCCCUCUCUUGUGGAGAUCUAUUCGAUGUAAUCUUCUUUUUGCGGUGUGUUUGUUGAGACCGAUGAAUUGUGGGUUUAUGAUCAAGUCUAUCUAUGAAUAAUAUUUGAAUCUUCUCUGAAUUCUUUUAUGUAUGAUUGGUUAUCUUUGCAAGUCUCUUCUAAUUAUCCGUUUGGUUUGGCCAACUAGAUUGGUAGUUCUUGCCAUGGGAGAAGUGCUUAGCUUUGGGUUCGAUCUUGCGAUGUCCUUACCCAGUGACAGAAGGGGCAGCAAGGCACGUAUUGUAUCGUUGCCAUCGAGGAUAACAAGAUGGGGUUUAUUUCAUAUUGCAUGAAUUUAUCUCUCUACAUCAUGUCAUCUUGCUUAAGGCAUUACUCUGUUUUUAACUUAAUACUCUAGAUGCAUGCUGGAUAGCGGUUGAUGAGUGGAGUAAUAGUAGUAGAUGCAGAAUCGUUUCGAUCUACUUGUCACGGACAUGAUGCCUAUAUACAUGAUCAUGCCUAGAUAUUCUCAUAACUAUGCUCAAUUCUAUCAAUUGCUCAACAGUAAUUUGUUCACCCACCAUAGAAUUCUUAUGCUCUUGAGAGAAGCCACUAGUGAAACCUAUGGCCCCCGGGUCUAUUCUGAUCAUAUCAAUCUCCAUUACUUUAAUCUUGCUUUGCCUUUUACUUUGCCUUUACUUUUUACUUUGCAUCUUUAUACCAAAAAUACCAAAAAUAUUAUAUCUAUCAGAUCUCACUCUCAUAAGUGACCGUGAAGUGCUUGACAACCCCUAAUCGCGUUGGUUGCGAGUAGCUAUCGCUUUGUGCAGGUACGAGGGACUUGAGCGUGGGCUCCUACUGGAUUGAUACCUUGGUUCUCAAAAACUGAGGGAAAUACCUACGCUACUCUGCUGCAUCAUCCUUCCUCUUCGGGGAAAACCAACGCAAGCUCAAGACGUAGCAAUGGAUAAUCGCACAUCAAGCAUAGGAGGUCUUCCAACUUGCGGAUAAUGCCCUUGAGUGCGAUGAUAUGCUCCUUCAACAAAAUAUUUUCACGUGUGAGAUACUUGUUUUGUAUACGAGCUAACUCAAUCAUCUUGAAAGCUUCAAUCUCAGUUGGGGUAAGAAGAUUGUGAUCAAGUUUAAGGAUGUCUUCUGCUGCCGGAACUUGGUCCUCUGUGCCCUUCUUGAUCUCUUCAUCCUUGUUGAUCUCCAUAGGUUCUUCCCUCUUCAGCUCUAUCUUCAUUAGCUAAGCAUCAUUGUCACCAUUGUUGGAGGAGGGGGACGACAUGAUGCCUGACCUUGACAAUCCUGACAGAAAACAGCUCGAAAUAAAGACAAGAGAUAUUUGCGUGAUACGGUGGUCAAAACCUUCGGGAGAUUAUAUAAUGAAUUUUUACUGACCAGAAGAAGUAUCGUGCAAGAAAACAGAGUCCUGAGAGCACACGAGGUGCCCACGAGGCAGGAGGGGGUGCCCUCCACCCUCGUGGAAGCCUCGUGUCCUUUCGGGUCUGCUUCUUAUUUUCCUAUUUUUCUAAGUAUUCCAAAAUGGAGAAAAAUUGACAUUAGAACUAUUUUGGAGUCAGUUUACUUACCGUACCACAUACCUAUUCCUUUUCGGAGUCUGAAGAGUUCUGGAAAGUGUCCCGUAUGUAUUCCUCCGGGGUUACGGGUUCAAUGAUAUUAGUUUCAAUAUUUAUAGGAUUACCUAAAAUAUAAUGUUUGAUUCUUUGAUCAUUCACCACCCUCGGAUUUGUGCCUUCGAAGUUGUUGAUUUUUAUGGCACCGGAAUGAUAGACCUCCUCGAUAACGUAAGAACCUUCCCAUUUGGAGAGGAGUUUGCCUGCAAAAAAUCUUAAACGAGAGUGGUAUAGCAAUACACAAUCACCUACAUUAAACUCAUGCUUUUGUAUCCUUUCGUCAUGCCAUCUUUUAACUUUUUCUUUAAACAGCUUGGCAUUUUCAUAAGCCUGGGUUCUCCAUUCAUCAAGUGAGCUAAUGUCAAAAGGCCUCUUCUCACCAGCAAGUUUUAAGUCAUAGUUGAGCUCUUUAAUAGCCCAAUAUGCCUUAUGUUCUAAUUCAAGAGGUAAGUGACAUGCUUUACCAUAAACCAUUUUAUAUGGAGACGUACCCAAAGGAUUUUUAUAUGCAGUUCUAUAGGCCCAUAAUGCAUCAUCAAGUUUCUUGGACCAAUUCUUUCUAGAUCUAUUAAUAGUCUUUUGCAAAAUUAAUUUGAGCUCUCUGUUACUCAAUUCUACUUGACCACUAGACUGUGGGUGAUAAGGAGAUGCAAUUCUAUGAUUAACGUCAUACUUAGCAAGCAUCUUACGAAAUGCACCAUGAAUAAAAUGUGAACCACCAUCAAUCAUUAAAUAUCUAGGGAAUCCAAACCUCGGGAAAAUAACUUCUUUAAGCAUCUUAAUAGAGGUGUUAUGAUCAGCACUACUAGUUGGAAUAGCUUCUACCCACUUAGUAACGUAAUCAACAGCGAGUAAAAUAUGUGUAUACCCAUUAGAGGAAGGAAAAGGUCCCAUAUAAUCAAAGCCCCAAACAUCAAAUGGUUCAAUAACAAGUGAAUAAUUCAUAGGCAUUUCUUGACGUCUACUAAUAUUACCAAUUCUUUGACAUUCAUCACAAGACAAGACAAACUUAUGGGCAUCCUUGAAGAGAGUAGGCCAAUAAAAACCGGAUUGCAAUACCUUAUGUGCAGUUCUAUCUCCAGCAUGGUGUCCUCCACAAGCCUCGGAGUGACACUUGCCUAGGAUCUGUUACUGUUCAUGCUCAAGUACACAACGUCUAAUAAUAGCAUCUACUCCUUCUUUAUAAAGAUGUGGGUCAACCCAAAAGUAAUGUCUCAAAUCACAGAAGAACCUUUUCUUUUGCUGGUAUGUGAAACUAGGUGGUAUAAAUUUAGCAACAAUAUAAUUAGCAUAAUCAGCAUACCAUGGAGCAGUUCGAGAAGCAUUUAUGACAUUUAGUUGUUCAUCAGGAAAGCUAUCAUCAAUAGGUAGUGGGUCAUCAACAACAUUUUCUAACUUAGACAAGUUCUCUGCAACGGGGUUCUCAGCUCCCUUUCUAUCAAUAAUAUGCAAAUCACAUUCUUGUAGCAAGAGAACCCAUCUAAUAUGUCUAGGCUUAGCAUCUUUCUUUUCCAUAAGGUAUUUAAUAGAAGCAUGAUCAGUGUGAAUAGUUACUUUAGAAUCAAAAAUAUAAGGUCUAAACUUAUCACAAGUAAAUACAACUGCUAAGAAUUCCUUUUCAGUCGUAGCAUAAUUUCUCUGGGCAUUGUCUAGAGUUUUACUAGCCUAUUGAAUAACAUUUAAUUUCUUAUCAACUCUUUGCCCUAGAAUAGCACCUACAGCAUAAUCACUAGCAUCACACAUAAUUUCAAAGGGUAAAUUCCAAUCAGGUGGCUGAACAAUAGGUGCAGAAAUCAAUGCUUUCUUAAGUAUUUCAAAUGCUUCUACACAAUCAUCAUCAAAGACAAAACGAAUAUCUUUUUGUAAUAGAUUAGUCAGAGGCUGAGAAAUUUUUGAGAAGUCCAUAAUGAACCUCUGUAAUGCCCCGAGACUGAUGUGCCAGGUGUCCUCCAAUUAUUCGCCGUCGUUGACAUGUCAUUUGCUUGCGUGUUGCAUCUUGUCAUGUCAUCAUGUGCACUGCAUCAUCACGUUUUCAAAACUUGCAUUCGUUCGGGUUCUCCGAGUUCUCUCUGUGUCCGUUCUGAGCCCAACCACACUUGCACGCGCCCGCGGCAUGUCCGAAAUAGUAUUUUAUAAGUGGCCGGAAAAUGUUCUCGGAAUGGGAUGAGAUUUGACAUGUGGUCUUAUUAUAGUGUAGAUAGACCGCCUGUUAAGUUUCAUCGCAUUCGGAGUUCGUUUGAUAGCCCAACCGUUAAACUAUAGAGGCAUUAUAGCCGGUCAAAUCGUCGGACGUUUUCGGUCUCCGGAAACAGUUGUCGGGUCUCUCUCUUCUCUUCUCUCAACUCAAGACCGUCUACACAGCCCACUGCUUACCGCCAGGCCCAACCUAACCUCUCUCAACAGCCCGCAGCCCUCCUCACGUGCGCGUCCAAAAUUGUCCCGGACCCGACCCGAACUGUCGCCACCGUUGUGUCCGGAGCAUCCCCAAACGUCUACAAAACGUCUCUGUUUUGUUAAUUGGACUUCCUAACAUAUUUUUCUUGACCGUUCGAUUAAGAUCGGAGGCAUCAAAUGCCCCUAAACUUAGCCCUUUUUGCUAUAUAUAGAUCUACCAAUAGCCUAUUUUGGGCAAACCCUAGAAAUUAGGAGGCUUGUCCCAUCAGUCCAAUUCAGCCGCCGCCACAUUCCAAAUCCCCCUCGAAAUCUCCCCCUGCCGGAUCCAACCAACCAGUGCUCCUCCUUGGAUCCCGCAGCGCACCCACCAACCAAAGUUUCUCCCGAUCCUCUCUGUCCCAUCCACCCCAUCGAUCGACUUGUCCUUCUCCUCGCCUCUCCCUCAACCGGACGUCGCUGCCGGCGACCAGCACCCCCGGGCCGGCCUUGUCUCCCUUCUCCUCGGUCGUCUCUUUCCGUUUCUCCUUCCCCGUGCUCACCCGCUCUUCCGUCGUCGUCUGCCUGCAGGGAACGAGGAGGACGUCGUCCGACGCCAUGGACGGCCUCGAGCUCGUCCCCAUCGCCAGCCUCCUCUCCUUGAAUCUCCAGCCUCAUCCCGCCUCCGUCUCCCCUGGUUAUGCGAGAGCUCAAGGACGAGGACGAGCCCCUUGCCUCGUCUUGAUCCUGUGGAUCCGAAUGCCCAGCGCCGCUCGUCGUCGUCCGCCAGGAUUCUGCGCCCCGCCGAGUUCCCUUCCACGCCACUGGAGCUCCAUUCUCGUGCCCAGAUUCGCCGGAUCCCGCCGUCCUAGUCCCCUCCGGCCGGUCCUCGCCGGAGCCCUCGCCGGUCUUCGCGCCAUCGCCGGCCUCCCCUGCAUUGCCCGGAGUGCUGCAUUGCCAAGGAUAAAGAGAGGAACACACACAACCAGCGCCUCCGCUCGCCUGCGUUGCCCGGAGUGCUGCGAUGGCCUACCUCUUUGCCUCGAUCCGGCCCAACUCCCCCCCAAGCCAGCCAAUGCCAGAUCGAACCAAGGCCCAGCUGCGCCCCAGCGUGCCUCCUCUUCAUCGAUUUGGGCCAGACCCACUGGGUGAGGCCACACCCCAGCGCCCCACCUUUUAUUUUUUUUCUGUUGGGCUUGUCUCAGUUUUGGCCCAUAUAGUGUUUUUCCCUGUCUGCGAAAUUUACCUAUUAUCCAGAGUUUGCCUGUUUUGCAGAAUAGUCCCUAGAGUUCAUGCAUUUAAAAACUCACAAAUGGUGCAUCGGAUUAAAACAAUUUAAAUAUGUAAAAUGCUUAGAAUUUUAUAUAGUUUCAUAAUAUGUCAUUUUCACCCAUGUUUAAAAUGUUUAAAAUGCUGUUUGUGUAACUUUGUCCAUAUGCCAUGCUAAAAUGGUUUAAUUCAUAACUAAAUAACCGUAGCUCCAUUUUUAACAAACUUUAUAUGUAAAUGGGGUAGAAAAAUGCCUAGUUUAACAUGGUGCACUCAUCUUGCAUGUUAAACAACUCUAAAAUAUGGUUUAGGGCAGAACAGGACCUAACCUAAUAUAUGCACAUGAGGAGUUUCCGGAUUUGUUGUUCGUUGCUUCCGGCCUCAUUUAAACUUGACUAGAUAGGUAGUUUACUUUGCUUCACCCUUGCCAUGUUAAGAGCAUUUAAUUUUGUUGGGGUACAUAAACGAGAGAGAACUAAAUAAUUGAUGUGGUGUUCCGUCAAUAUGCAACCCGUUGCAUAUUGAGCUCCACUUAACUUGUAGUGUUGCUUGUGCAUUUUGCCAUGUCAUUUAUCAUUAAACCGGACAUGCAUCAUACUUGUUUGCGCAUCAUGCCAUGUCUAUGUGGUGGUUGUUUACUAUGUUGUGUGCUUCUUUUCCGGUGUUUGCUUCUUCGGGUUGGUUCCGAUAACGUCGCGGUUGUGAGGAACCGUUCGUCUACGUCCGUUUGUCAUCUUCAUGGACUCGUUCUUCUUCCUUGCGGGAUUUUAGGCAAGAUGAUCAUACCCUCGAAAUCACUACUAUCUUUGCUAUGCUAGUUUGCUCGCUCUUUUGCUAUGCCUAUGCUGCGAUACCUACCACUUGCUUAUCAUGCCUCCCAUAUUGUUGAACCAAGCCUCUAACCCACCUUGUCCUAGCAAAUCAUUGUUUGGCUACGUUACCGCUUUGCUCAGCCCCUCUUAUAGCAUUGUUAGUUGCAGGUGAAGAUUGAAGUUUGUUCCUUGUUGGAACAUGGAGAUGUUGUUCCUUGUUGGAACAUGUUUACUUGUUGGGAUAUCACAUUAUAUCUUAUUUAACUUAAUGCAUCUAUAUACUUGGUAAAGUUUGGAAGGCUCGGCCUUAUGCCUGGUGUUUUGUUCCACUCUUGCCGCCCUAGUUUCCGUCAUAUCGGUGUUAUGUUCCCGGAUUUUGCGUUCCUUAUGCGGUUGGGUUAUAAUGGGAACCCCUUGAUAGUUCGCCUUGAUUAAAGCUUUUCCAGCAAUGCCCAACCUUGGUUUUACCAUUCGCCACCUAGCCUCUUUUUCCCUUGGGUUUCCGGAGCCCGAGGGUCAUCUUAUUUAACCCCCCUGGGCCAGUGCUCCUCUGAGUGUUGGUCCGACUGAGUAGACUGCGGGGCCACCUCGGGGCAACUUGAGGGUUGGUUUUACUCGUAGGAUUUCUCAUCUGAGUGUGCCCUGAGAACGAGAUAUGUGCAGCUCCUAUCGGGAUUUGUCGGCACAUUCAGGCGGUGUUGCUGGUCUUGUUUUAACCUGUCGAAGUGUCUUGAAUUACCGAGAUACCGAGUCUGAUCGGAACGUCUUGGGAGGAGGUCUAUUCCUUCGUUGACCGUGAGAGCUUGUCAUGGGAUAAGUUGGGACUCCCCUGCAGGGAUUAGAACUUUCGAAAGCCGUGCCCGCGGUUAUGGGCAGAUGGGAAUUUGUUAAUGUCCGGUUGUAGAUAACUUGAACCUUAACUUAAUUAAAAUGAAUCAACUGAGUGUGUUACCGUGAUGGCCCCUUCUCGGUGGAGUCCGGGAAGUGGACACGGUGUUGGAGUAAUGCUUGCGCAGGUUGUUCUCUAGUUUCUCUCUCGUGCUUUGCCUCCUCUUUUCGCUCUCUUUUGCGAAUAAGUAGCCACCAUACUUGCUAUUCGCUUGCUGCAGCUCCACUCAUAUUUUACCUUGCCUUACCUAUAAGCUUAAAUAGUCUUGAUCGCGAGGGUGCGAGAUUGCUGAGUCCCUAUGGCUCACAGAUUACUAUUACACCAGAUGCAGGGCCUCAUGAUUCCUCUCCAGGUGACGCGUAUGAGCUCAAGUGGGAGUUCGACGAAGACUCUCAACGUUACUAUGUUUCCUUUCCCGAUGAUCAGUAGUGGUGCCCAGUUGGAGGUGAACGGGACCGAUGUCGCAUGUUGGGUUCUCUUUUAUUUUGGCGCCGUAGUCGGGCCAUGAGUGUUUGGUUGAUGUAAUGUUAUUUAUGUACUUGAUUGACGUGGCGAGUGUAAGCCAACUAUGUUCUCUCCCCUUUUAUUAUUAUAUUACAUGGGAUGUUUGUGAAGAUUGCCAAACUUGCGACAUAUGCCUUCAAUGCGAUUAUGUCUCUAAGUCGUGCCUCGACACGUGGGAGCUAUAGUCGCAUCGAGGGUGUUACAUCCUCCUAUAAAAACCGACAUAACCAAGGAAACUUCUUAUACCUUUGAUGUCCUUGGGACACGGCAUCUUUUCAAUAGCAUCAACUUUAGCUUUAUCAACUUCAAUACCUCUUUCAGAAAUUGUAUGCCCCAAGACAAUUCCUUCAUUAACCAUAAAGUGAUAUUUCUCCCAAUUCAGAACAAGAUUAGUUUCUUCACAUCUCUGCAAAACUCGAUCAAGGUUGUUCAAGCAAUCAUCAAAAGAGGAUCCAUAAACUGAGAGAUCGUCCAUGAAAACCUCACAUAUCAUUUCACAAAAUUCAGAAAAUAUAGCCAUCGUGCAUCUUUCAAAGGUAGCAGGUGCAUUACAUAAACCAAAAGGCAUGCGUCUAUAAGCAAAAGUACCAAAAGGGCAAGUAAGAGUGGUGUUUGAUUGAUCAUCAGCUGAAACGGGUAUUUGAGAGAAGCCAGAGUAACCAUCUAGAAAGCAAAAUUGUGUAUGUUUGGAUAAUCUUUCUAGAAUUUGAUCUAUAAAAGGCAACGGGUAAUGAUCUUUUUAGUAGCCUUAUUUAAUUUGCGGAAAUCAAUUAACAUCCUAUAACCUGUAAUAAUUCUUUGCGGGAUCAAUUCAUCUUUAUCAUUAGGAAAAACAGUAAUACCUCCCUUCUUAGGGACACAAUGGACAGGACUUACCCACUUACUAUCAGCAACGGGAUAAAUUAUACCUGCCUCAAGGAGCAUUAAUAUUUCCUUUCUUAUGACUUCUUUCAUCUUAGGAUUCAGCCAUCGUUGGUGAUCAAUAACUGGUUUGGCGUCUUCCUCCAAAUUUAUUUUGUGUUGACAUAGGGUGGGACUAAUGCCCUUAAGAUCAUCAAGAGUAUAUCCAAUAUCAGCACAGUGCUUCUUCAGAGUUUUCAAUAAUUUCUCUUCCUCCUUCUCUGAAAGGUUAGCACUAAUAAUAACAGGAUAUAUUUUCUUUUCAUCAAGAUAAGCAUAUUUAAGAGUAUCAGGUAAUGGUUUAAGCUCAGACACGGGAUCACCCUUGGGUGGAGGAGGAACCCCUAGGAUUUCAACAGGCAAAUUGUGUUUCAGAAAAGGUCCUUGUUUAAAGAAUACUUCAUCUAUUUACCUUCUUUCAUUCAUGAACAUAUCAUUUUCAUGGUCUAGCAAAUAUUGUUUUAAUGGAUCAGUAGGAGGCACGGCAAUAGAAGCAAGACCAAUAAUUUCAUCUUUACUAGGCAAUUCUUUAUCAUGCGGUUGUCUACAAAAUUUAGCAAAAUUAAACUCAUGAGACAUAUCCCCUAAAAACCAAAAAAAACAAUAUCCUUAUUGCAGCCUAUCUUAGCAUUGAGAGUAUUUAAGAAGGGUCUACCAAAUAUAAUGGGACAAAAGCUAUCUUGAGGGGAACCAAGAACAAGAAAAUUAGCAGGAUAUUUAACCUUCCCACACAAGACUUCAACAUCUCUAACAAUCCCAACUGGUGAAAUAGUAUCUCUAUUGGCAAGCUUAAUGGUAACAUCGACAUCUUCUAUCUCAGCUGGUGCAUUAUCAUGCAUAAUUUCUUUGUAUAAGGAAAUAGGUAUUGCACUAGCACUAGCACCCAUAUCACAUAAGCAAUGACAACAAUGAUCUCCUAUUUUUAACAGAAAUAACAAGCAUGCCUACAAUAGGCAUGUGUUUAUUUCUAGCAUCAGGUCUAGCGAUUCUAGCAGCUUCAUCACAGAAGUAAAUAACAUGCCCAUCAAUAUUACCGGUCGAUAGAUCUUUAACCAUAGAAAUUUUAGGGUCAACUUUAAUUUGCUCAGGGGGUUUAGGUGUCUUAAUAUUACUUUUGUUGACCACAGUUGAAGCUUUAGCAUGAUUCUUUAUUCUAACAGGGAAAGGUAGUUUCUCAACAUAAGCAGUAGGAACAACAGGAUCAUUAUAAGUGAUAGUCUUUUCUUCAACUUUAAUAGGUGCAACUACUUUUACUUCAAUGUGAGGAUUAUAUUUAAACCACUUCUUCUUAGGGAGAUCAACAUGAGUAGCAAAGGAUUCACAAAAAGAACCUACUAUCUCAGAGUCAAGUCCAUAUUUAGUGCUAAAUUUACGGAAAACAUCGGUGUCCAGAAAAGAUUUAACACAAUCAAACUUAGGUGUUAUACCUGACUCUUUACCUUCGUCGAGAUCCCAAUCUUCAUAGUUGCAUUUAAUUCUCUCCAACAAAUUCCAUUUGUAUUUAAUAGUCUUCAUCAUAAAGGAACCAGUACAAGAAGUAUCGAGCAUGGAGCGUUAGAAAGCCAAGCAUAAAAAUUUUGAAUAAUCAUUUCUCUUGAGAUCUUAGGAUUGGGGCAUGAAUAUAACAUUGACUUAAGCCUCCCCCAAUCUUGAGCGAUGCUUCCUCCUUCGCGAGGCCAAAAAUUAUAUAUAUAAUUACGAUCACGAUGAACAAGAUGCAUAGGAUAAAACUUCUGAUGGGAUUCCACUUUCAAUCGCUUAUAGUCCCAUGAUCCCAUAUCAUCACAUAGCCUAUACCAUGUCAAUGCAUCUCCCUUCAAAUAUAAAGGGAAGACCUUCUUCUUGAUAACAUCAUCGGUCAUACCUGCAAACUUAAAUAAUCCACAAACUUCAUCCACACAGAUUAAGUGUAAGUCAGGAUGCAAUUUUCCAUCUCCUGCAAAAGGAUUAGCUAGCAGUAUCUCUAUCAUACCUGAAGGAAUUUCAAAGUAAACAUUUUCAUUUUCAGUAGGUCCAGUAGGUUGAGGAGCAACUAUUUGCUCUACCGGUCGGGGUGAAGAUACCCCGAAAAAAUGCCUCAAAGGAUUACUUUCCAUAGUAACAAGUGAUAGUAAAUUUCAGCACACAAUAUAAAUUUUUCCUUACCAAAUUCCACCUACCAAAGGCGCUUCACUCCCCGGCAAUGGCACCAGAAAAGAGUCUUGAUGAGCCACAAGUAUAGGGGAUCUAUCGUUGUCCUUUCAAUAAGUAAGAGUGUCGAACCCAACGAGGAGCAGAAGGAAAUGAUAAGCGGUUUUCAUCAAGGUAUUCUCUGCAAGCACUGAAAUUAUCGGUAACAGAUAGUUUUGUGAUAAGGUAAUUGGUAACGAGUAACAAGUAGCAAGUGUAAAUAGAGUGCAGCAAGAUGGCCCAAUCCUUUUUGUAGCAAAGGACAAGCCUGGAAAAACUCUUAUAUUAAGUAAAGCGCUCCCGAUGACACAUGGGAAUUAUCGUCAAGCUAGUUUUCAUCACGAUCAUAUAAUCCACGUUCGGUACUUUCAUAAUUUGAUGUGUGGGUGGACCGGUGCUUGGGUGUUGUCCUUACUUGGAAAAACAUCCCACUUAUGAUUAACCCCCAUUGCAAGCGUCCGAAACUACCACAGAAGUAUUAAGGUAAACCUAACCAUAGCAUGAAACAUAUGGAUCCAAAUCAGCCCCUUACGAAGCAACCCAUAAACUAGGGUUUAAGCUUCUGUCACUCUAGCAACCCAUCAUCUACUUAUUACUUCCCAAUGCCUCCCUCUAGGCCCAAACAAUGGUGAAGUGUCAUGUAGUCGACAUUCAGAUGACACCACUAGAGGGAUGACAACAUACAUCUCAUCAAAAUAUCGAACGAAUACCAAAUUCACAUGACUACUAAUAGCAAGACUUCUCCCAUGUCCUCAGGAACAAACGUAACUACUCACAAAGCAUAUUCAUGUUCAUAAUCAGAGGGGUAUUAAUAUGCAUAAUGGAUCUGAACAUAAGAUCUUCCACCAAGUAAACCAACUAGCGUCAACUACAAGGAGUAAUCAACACUACUACCAACCCACAGGUACCAAUCUGAGGUUUGGAUACAAAGAUUGGAUACAAGAGAUGAACUAGGGUUUGAGAUGAGAUGGUUCUGGUGAAGAUGCUGAUGCAGAUUGACCCCCUCCCGAUGAGAGGAUCGUUGGUGAUGACUGUCGGUGUCAAAACCAGCGGAUCUCGGGUAGGGGGUCCCGAACUACGCGUCUAGGCCGGAUGGUAACAGGAGGCAAGGGACAUGAUGUUUUACCCAGGUUCGGGCCCUCUUGAUGGAGGUAAAACCCUACGUCCUGCUUGAUUAAUAUUGAUGAUAUGGGUAGUACAAGAGUAGAUCUACCACGAGAUUAGAGAGGCUAAACCCUAGAAGCUAGCCUAUGGUAUGAUUGUAUGUUGUGAUUGUUGUCCUACGGACUAAAAUCCUUCGGUUUAUGUAGGCACCGGAGAGGGUUAGGGUUAGACAAGGUCGGUUACAAAGGAGGAGAUAUCCAUAUACGUAUUCCCUAGCUUGCCUUCCACGCCAAGUAGAGUCCUAUCCGGACACGAGACGAAGUCUUCAAUCUUGUAUCUUCAUAGUCUAACAGUCCGGCCAAUGGAGAUAGUCCGGCUAUCCGGAGACCCCCUACUAUAGGACUCCCUCUGUAGCCCCCGAACUAGGCUUUAAUGACGAUGAGUCCGGCGCGCAGUAUUAUCUUCGGCAUUGCAAGGCGGGUUCCUUCUCUGAGUACAUCACAGAAGAAUUUGAAUACAAGGAUAGUGUCCGACCCUGCAAAAUAAGUUCCACGUUCCACCGCAGAGAGAAUAAUUUUUCCUCAGAUCUAAUUUCUGGCUUGUUUUGGCAGCAUGACGUUAUGUCAUGGACCGGUGAUUAUUCAAACCGUUUCUUUUAACCAGCUCCACACAUAACGCAAGGCGGUUUCUUGACACGUCUUGCCGAAGCGGAGAUCGUGUUCACCUAAUUACGGGAUUCUCAUUAAUGCAGUUGUGGGUAACCCGACCGUGUCUAGGACUCCUAGAUUAUAGGCAAGUCCCAAACGGCUACGAAGAGGACGCUUGAUAUUCACCCUCUUUAUAAGGGGACAAGGUUUUCGCUUUUUCCCUCUCGUGCUCAAUCGAACCCUUCCCCCGCCUUGAGUUCUAACACCCAAAGCACAGGUUAGGUGCUCCGGAUCUUCAACCAUGUCCGGAUCUAGCCUUCAAGGCCGAUGGACGCCCUCCUCCGUUAUGGAAGAGGACAUUAAGAAGUUGAGGGAGGCCAGAUAUCUGACCGCUGAGGUUUCGCAUUGGCUGCCUGCUCAAGGGCAGAUCGUCCCUACUCCCGAACCCAACGAGAAUGUUGUGUUCGUCUCCCACUUCCUCCGAGGUCUAGGCCUCACUCUGGAUCCUUUCGUCAGGGGUUUGAUGUUCUAUUACGGGCUAGAUUUCCACGAUCUAGCUCCGGACUCCUUUCUCCACAUCACGACAUUUAUUGUCAUGUGUGAAGCCUUCCACCGCGUUACCCCUCACUUAGGCCUGUGUCUCAAGACCUUUUAUGUAAAGACGAAGAUGAUCGAGGGGCAACAUGCAGUGUGUGGAGGUGCAUCAAUAGGCAAGAUGGCAGGAGCUCCAUGGCCGAAAGGUUCCUUACCAGAGGUGUCCGAAUUAUGGCAACGAGAGUGGUUUUACGUCACGGCUCCCAGAAGUGCCAACUGGGCAGCUGCCCCCGCUUUCCGCUCAGGCCCCCCACCACAACUGAUGUCAUGGAUUAGCAGGGGUCUGAGCUGGGGUCCAGCCAAGGACGUGCCUAUACUGCAAACCCGCAUUCGAGAUCUCUUCGAGGGAAAUUUUAAUUUGGUUGCGGUAAUACAAGUUAUGCUGGUUCGUCAAGUCCAGCCUUGCAAACGCCGGGCCCUUCGCUUGUGGGAGUUCAACCCAGAGGGACCACGUGCCAUUCAAAGUUUCCUCGGCCUGACACACGAGGAGAUGUACAAGUCAUUCUUCGGACCUCGAGUAGAAUGUCCGGAUAUUACCGAGGACGCGGGCCUGAGCAGUAACCGCGCCGCCGAACAAGUAAGAAACCCUCUAGCAGAACACACUAUCUUUUAUUCGAAGUUAUUUCUGAGAGUCUGCUUUUUGACCAGGACUGGCUAACAAAGGCGAAGAUGAUUCGGUGUUUGGCCUCCCUUCCUGAGGGUUUGGAAAAUCUGGUAUUGGAAAAUAUGCUCGAGGUUGCACCUUGCCCGGCGCCUUGAAGGAAGAUACCGGGGGGGAUAAUACAGGCGGACGCGGGCCCCCAUCGCCGCCCGUUCCAACCGGGGGAACGAGCGUCUCCACGAAGGAGGAUGACCGGGGGAGGAAAAGGACUGCUUCCGAGGAUCCGGAAGCCGAAACCUCCAAACGGGAGAAGAAGUCUCCCACAGAGGGUCCUGCCUCGGGGGGUGCUUUUGCCGCCCAAAGUCCGCAGGGGGAUCAGCCCUCCAACGAGUCGUAAGUGAUCCAAAAAACUUUAAUUGAAAAGGUAUUCUAUCUGUUUUCUCUGAGAAAAUAACCAGUGCAUAUAUCUUGCAGUUCGGGCCUUAGCCCCUCUCAAAUGAGCUCGUCUUUGGGAGAUCUUCUUCCAGAGAUGACAGAGAGCGAAACGCCUCCCUCGGACUCCUCCGCUCCAGAAGUGGGCGACCACGACGAAGUGUCAUCAUGGAGGGCCCCUCCGGAUCCGUUGAGGCCAGAAGAUAAUCCCAUAGACCCCCGAAGUCCCCAGUGUUCGGCUCCCGAAGAGAGCAUACAAAAGAGUCCAGCACCGUCUGCUGUGUGGUCGGACGUUUUGAGGGAGUUGGUGGGGCGAGCGGCCAUCUCAGAAGAACACUGUAUGCUGAUGGGUACGGUGAUGGAGAGAAUCUCGUCCGCCGAAAGCGGAUUACAUGAAGCUUUUAUGAGUCUACUAAUGGGCUUUGAGGUACGUGAGAUAAUAUGUGAUAGUACUACACAUGUUAGGUGUGCCCUAUGUAGAUAGUAGCCCCUGAGACUCUGGUUGUCGUCGAGAACGGCAGCGAACAGAGGAUCAUAUUCCCAGGCAAUAACCAGACUGCCCCUAUGUGCAGGUGGUGGAAGCUCCGGUGGCUAGCCGGACUAGUGAGUUUGCCAAAUUAAAACGGUAACUGGAUGCGGCAGACGCCGACAUCGAGCUUGUUAACAAAAGCCUUGACGAGGCAGAGGGUAAGCGUUAUUAUCAGGUGAACACCACAUAGUAAGAGUAACAUAAUGCUAGUAUCUUUAAUAUGUUGUGACUGCAGAUGGAGCUGCCACCGUGGAAGCCUUGCGGGCGGAACUUGCCCGAGCCAAAGAACAAGCAAGGAUUAGUAAUGCGGCUGCUUUGAAGGCGGCCGAAGAGUUGAAAGCCGAGAAGGCCGCACAUUGCGAGAGCCAGGAUAAGAUGGCCAAGAUGGCCGUAGAAUUAAAAGACAAUGCCGACCGUUGCCGGGUCCUUGAACCGAGUGAAGGCAACGGACCUUGAGAAUGCCGCGACGGCGGACAAAGACACCCGUUCUGCUAUGAGAGCGAAGAAGGAGGAGCUGCGGGAGGCCGAGGAUAUUGCGGCUGGGAAACCCUUCAUGUUACGGAGGAAGUUCAGAGAUCCACGGUAUGCCCCUCUGGAUCGGCUGUGGAGUUCGGCAGAUGCGUAUAUGGAUUUGGCGGCGAGCGUUGCCGAUGCGCCCAAGUACUUCCAAGGUCAGACAGAUCGUGAAGUGGACAAGUUGUUCUGGAUGCAAUUCCACAUUCCAGAGCGUCCGCUUUCAUUGACUGACCAGCUAGCCGAAUGGGCCGAACUGAAUAGGUUGUCCGAACUCGCCAUGAGGUCUGUUGUGGAUCAGCUAUGGCUAGAAAGGCCAAAGCUGAACAGCUAUUUCAGCUUAGUGCAGCAGUUCCUUGAAGCGGUGUCGCGCAUUAAUGCGAUGAAGAGGUCGGCGUGCAUAGAAGGCUCGCGGAUGGCCCUUGCCUGGGCGGAGAUGGACGCCACCACUGUUGUGGCGCAGGGUUCGGCCAUAGGCCGGGUGGCUGCCGAGCACUAUUUCGAGGAGGUUCUCGAGGGUGGUCGUUUGAUAGAGGCCCAGUGCUCGAAAAAUAUUAUGUUUGAGUGAUAUGUAUUCUCAUUGUAAGCACAAUGCUUUUAUGAAUUUUUUAUAAGGUUAUUUUUAUACUUUUGCCUAAAAGUAGUAUGAUGCCUCCUGUGCGGCCGUUUAUGUAUACAUGUGUAUAACCUGAAAGAUUGCAGCCAUCGGCUUCAACCCCCACGCAUAGAAUGCGGGGGUGCUCAGAAAAAACGUGUGUUCACACUUAACCCAAUGUCUUGGUCCUAUUAAGGAGGUGAUAGCGUAGCGAGCGAGGCAACCGGACUAUAAUGCUUUAACACUUUCCCUUAGCCAUUGGAGUUUGACAGUGGGGCUACUAGAUAGCCCCUGGUGGCUCCGCACUCUCCCGAUCGCGGGGUGCGUAUAUGCCUGGCCGAAAAACGGCCCUUCGUUACAGCGGAGGAAUUCUAACAUUCCGAUAGGUUACCGAGUGGUUGACCAGUCUCACGCUAUAUCCUGACAGUCAGUUUUCGGCUUUCUCUACUAAGGUGCUCGUCCGGAUGAACCAGGGCACAAUCACAGUAGUUCUCGUGGUGCUACCUUAGCCGGUAAAGCGGAACGUAAGUCACCAAAACACAGGAGCCGGGCAAACCCAAUAUUUGACCAAAGACAAUGAUUCGGAGCUGAUGCAUAUAAGGCCAAACUCGCGACGCCGAACACUCCCUAAGGUAUUCGGUCUUUAUGGUAUAAACCGGGCCAAAAUAGUGCCCUUCGUAAGAAGCCCCUGGUGUGCAGGUACGUGCAUUAUUGUGACGUGGCCCCAUGCCAAGACGUCAGCAUCCUUCUCAACUGUGCUGAGAAUUCGGUGGAUAUGUAUCAACAAGAGACAGUAAAAAAGGUUUACGCAGGGUCUUAAUCUAAAAAGAAUCCUUGGAGCGGGUCCCUGCUGCACGUCUGUGCCUGUGUCUCUGUUGUGCCGUAUCCUAGACAGGUGUAGCACGAUGAUCAUCUGUAAAAGAGAGGAACUUAGGUGAAAAAGUUGUCGUGCAAAAGGAUAGUUUUUAAAGCAACCAAGUAUAAUUCAAGAUGAGUAAAAAUUGCCACUUGUCUACGCUUUAAGCCCCUUGUAUAGGGGUGUGACCAUUGAUCCGGCAUGAAUUACAUAUACCUGUGCCGGACUCGUCUAACCGUGUCCGAGGUCUUGACGACCUGUUAAAUGCUUUAGUUGGUGAGGCCGUUUUUAGUGUGCGGCUGCCAAGGCAGCCGCACUCUCUUCGGCACGCAAAGAUCGCUUAAUACUUCCAUUUACUGUAAUGAUGCCAUGUGGUCCGGGCAUCUUGAGUGUGAGGGAAGCAUAGUGUGGUAUUGCGUUAAAGCGAGCAAAAGCUUCGCGUCCGAGUAGUGCUUGAUAGCCACUUUGGAACGGAGCGAUGUGGAAGGUUAAAUGUUCGCUAUGAAAGUUAUCAGGGGAGCCGAAUAUAACUUUUAGUAGCACGGAGCCCGUGCAAUGAGCCCCUGGGCCUGGCAUUACUCCUUUAAAGGUAGUAUUGCUAUGGCAAAUUUUUGUUGGGUCUAUCCCCAUUUCGCGGAUUGUAUCCUGAUAUAUCAGGUUUAGACUGCUGCCACCGUCCAUCAGGACUCGUGUGAAGUGAUAUCCGUCAAUUAUUGGGUCUAAUACCAGGGCAGCCCAUCCUGCACGCCGGAUACUUGCUGAGUAAUCACGAUGGUCGAAAGUGAUCGGUUGAGACGACCAGUGGCAGGACUCCGCGGUGAUAGGCCCUUGGGCAUAAUGUUCUGGGAGUGCCGUUUUGUUUCUUCCCUUGAUCACGUGUAACACGUUUACUGUUUUGACUUCUGGUGGAAAUUUCUUUUGUUCCCCAGUGUCUUGCUUGAGAGGCUCAUCCUCGUCCUCGCUUGGUGUAUCCUCCCCUUUGUGUACGGUGUUGAGCUUACCGUACUACUUGAAGACCCAACAUUCUAUGUGGGUAUGAUUAGCAGGUUUACCAGGGGUGCUAUGGAUCUGACAUAUUUGGUCCCGAAUUUUGUUUAGGCUGGACAAUUUGUCUCUGGCACCUUUAGAGGGAGGCUUUUGCUGACCUAGCCGAGAGCCUUUGAAUCCGGCAUUUACUGUCGUGCUCUUCGUGCUGUCUUCUUUGUUCCGUCAUUUGUUACUGCUGUUGCGCCGUGAUUUCUUGUUUCCAUCUCUAGCUUCAGAUGUACUGGGGUCACGGGUGCUGCAUCUGGCUAGCCAGCUGUCCUCACCCGGGUAAAAGCGGGUCAUGACGCUUGUUAAUGCUGCCAUUGUUCUCGGCUUUUCUUGGCCGAGGUGUCUGGUAAGCCAUUCGUCACGGAUGCUAUGCUUAAAAGCUGCCAGGGCUUCGGCGUCCGGACAAUCGACAAUUUGGUUCUUUUUAGUAAGAAACUUGUUCCAAAGUUUUCAGGCUGACUCUCCGGGCUGUUGAGUUAUAUGGCUCAAAUCGUCCGCGUCCGGAGGUCGGACAUAAGUCCCUUGAAAAUUUGCCCGAAAAGCGUCUUCGAGCUCUUCCCAGCUUCCUAUGGAGUUUUCAGGGAGGCAUUUAAGCCAGUGACAAGCUGGCCCUUUGAGCUUGAGGGGUAAGUACUUGAUGGCAUGGAGAUCAUCUCCUCAAGCCAUAUGGAUAUGGAGGAUAUAAUCCUCAAUCCAGACCCUAGGGUCUGUUGUUUCGUCGUAUGCCUCUAUGUUUACGGGUUUGAAUCCCUCUGGAAAUUCAUGGCCCAGCACCUCAUCGGUGAAACAUAGGGGGUGUGCGGCACCCCUGUAUCUGGGUGUACCGCAUUGUUCGGAUGUUUGUUGUGUUACGUUGUAUGCUGGGGCGCGCUUGUGUAUUAGCUUGUGAGUGGCGUUGUUUGCCGCUUGAAGUUGGCCGGGAGGUCGUCUAUCCGGCCAGGUGGCUGUUUUGAUUUUUGGUUGUGGGGGGUCUGAGGCUUCCUCAUCGAAUUCAGGUAGCAACUUCCGCUUUGGGUAGCUCUUGGUGGGGCGAUUGUCGCCGUACCUCGCUAUUGUGUUGAGUACUUCACUCCAUCUGAUUUGGAGUGUGUCUUGCACAGCCUUGAGAGCCUUUGCUUCUGCUUUUUCAUACUCCUCGCGGUGGCAACAAGCCUUUGACAGGCAUUCUGCUGCUUUGGGUGCCUGUCCGGCGUUAUGUCGUCCGGACUAUUAUCUUUGACAGAAUUGGUUUGUUCGGUUUGAUUCUCCAUAUUGCCGUGGUCCGGCAGUGGUUCGCCCUGCUCCAACGCUGGGUCUGUAUGAUCGUUAUUUCUGCCGAGGCGGGAUUUGGGGCGGCGCUUGCGCUGCCACUUUGACUGCUUCUCGAGGGAACAAGCCUUUGGUGCGUCCUUUCGUUCCUCGUCAUCAUCUUCUUUUGGUGUGUCCACCAUGCAUACGUCAUAUGAUGAAGUGGACGUCCAGCGCCCUGUGGGCGGUGGUUCCUCUUCGCCUCCCGCAUCGUCGUCCAUACCGUCGAUGUCUUCGGAGUCGAAGUUGAGCAUGUCGGUUGAGUCAUCGACAGUGGCUAUUAAGUGGGUGGUGGGUGGGCGUCGAAUUUCUUCGUCAUCCGAAUCCCAAUCAUGUUGGCCAAAAUCCGGCCAGGGCUCUCCUGACAAAGAGAGAGACCUUAGUGAAUUCAGAAUGUCGUCGAAGGGCGAGUGCUGAAAGAUAUCCGCGGCAGUGAAUUCCAUGAUCGGCGCCCAAUCGGAUUUGAUUGGCAGGGGCGUGGGCGGUUCGGAGUCAGAAAAAGAGUCCGGCACCUUGGAGUCACGGGCUGCGCAGAGGAUUAUGCUGGUGUUCGGCUCGAUCGCCAUUGAGACUGCAGCUCCUGAGGUGGUGUCUAACCACCCGUCCUUGAUUGGCGCAGUUGGCUCCGAACUAAGGGUCGGAGCUGAUGCGGGCGCGGCUUCUGGGGUACUGUUCGGUGGCAGAGCUAGGUCAUACCCAUUGCGACAGUGCGGCGCGCCCGGCUGUGGCUCCAAUUCGUCGAAGAUCAAGUCUCCGUGGAUGUAGGCUGUGUAGUUCAAACUUCCAAAUCUGAACUGAUGGCCAGGGGCGUAGCUUUCAAUCUGCUCCAGAUGGCCAAGCGAAUUAGCCCGCAGUGCAAAGCCGCCGAAUACGAAGAUCUGUCUGGGGAGAAAAGUCUCACCCUGGACCACAUCGCUAUCGAUGAUAGUAGGAGCCAUCAAGCCUAACGGCGACGACACAGAGGAACUCUCAAUGAAAGCACCAAUGUCGGUGUCAAAACCGGCGGAUCUCGGGUAGGGGGUCCCAAACUGCGCGUCUAGGCCGGAUGGUAACAGGAGGCAAGGGACACAAUGUUUUACCCAGGUUCGGGCCCUCUUGAUGGAGGUAAAACCCUACGUCCUGCUUGAUUAGUAUUGAUGAUAUGGGUAGUACAAGAGUAGAUCUACCAAGAGAUCAGAGAGGCUAAACCCUAGAAGCUAGGCUAUGGUAUGAUUGUAUGUUGUGAUUGUUGUCCUACGGACUAAAACCCUUCGGUUUAUAUAGGCACCGGAGAGGGUUAGGGUUACACAAGGUCGGUUACAAAGGAGGAGAUAUCCAUAUAUGUAUUGCCUAGCUUGGCUUCCACGCCAAGUAGAGUCCCAUCCGGACACGAGCCGAAGUCUUCAAUCUUGUAUCUUCAUAGUCUAACAGUCCGGCCAAUGGAGAUAGUCCGGCUAUCCGGAGACCCCCUAAUACAGGACUCCCUCAAUGACGAUGGUGAUGAUUUCCCCGUCCCAGAGGGAAGUUUCCCCGGCAGAACAGCUCCGCCGGAGCCCAAGAUUGGUUCUGCCAAGGUUCUGCCUCGUGGCGGCAGAGUCUUGUCCAGAAAGCUUGCCUCUGAUUUUAUUUCCGCGACAAAAGACUCCAUAUAGAAGAAGAUGGGCAUCGGAGGGCCACCAGGGGGCCCACGAGGCAGGGGGCGUGCCCCCAACCUCGUGGCCAGGGUGUGGCCCCCCUCUGGAACUUUCUGCACUCAAUAUUUUUUAUAUAUUCUGCAAAUAACUUCCGUGAAGUUUCAGGACUUUUGGAGCUAUGCAGAAUAGGUCUCUGAUAUUUGCUCCUUUUCCAGCCCAGAAUCCUAGCUGUUGGCAUUCUCCCUCUUCAUGUAAACCUUGUAAAAUAAGAGAGAAUAGGCAUAAGUAUUGUGACAUAAUGUGUAAUACCAGCCCAUAAUGCAAUAAAUAUCGAUAUAAAAGCAUGAUGCAAAAUGGAUGUAUUAGCGAGCAAAGCUAGGGCGCAUGAUGUGGGUCAGGCGACACAAUAACGCACACUGUUCCCGCACGGGCACGCCAUGUCCGCGUCCGGUGAGCCGCUUGCUGACGUCGGGAAGGACUUGGAGCUGGCCAGGUGGAAGAAGGAGAGCAAGUGAGGUGGUGCGGGCAAGAUGUAGUGUCGCAAGGGCGGCGUUUGGGUGGCGGCCGAGGGUCCCGACGUCCAGAGCGCGCGCAUUGCAUGUCGAACAACUGCAUCCUGCAUGGUCACUGUAUGCAGUGGCAUAUGUGGGACUUUAGGCCAACAGGCCAAAAACCAGGGUGUCACAAAGAAAGAGUGCAUUUUUGACUUCCUCGAGUGUGUAAGGGGAAACUAGCAUAUCAUUCAUCUCAGUUGUGACCUUGCUUGGGACAUUUUUUAUUACUGUAUCCAUAUAGCUUACACCCUCAGACGUAUACAGAGAUUUCUAGAAUUCAUGGACCAUGUUUUUCAACUCCUCGGAUCCUCCGCUAUUACACCAAGAGAAUUCUGCAAAGCUUUGGUCAUAUGUUUCUUCCUCAAGAUGCUAGCCUGAAGAUGGAAAAACUUCCAGUUUUUGUCUCCUGAGGCCAACCACUCAGCUCUUGCUCGUUGUCACCACAUCACCUCCUCACGAUGGUAGAUCUGUACUAAUUUUUCACUGAUUUUUAGCUCUGCGUGAGUGGGAAUCGUCCUGUUUCAAUCAGACCAAAGCUUUUCUAAUUAUUGCAUUGUUUUGAUGUCCAUGCAUACACUACCAAAUGUAUCAUUGUUCCAGCGCAAGAGAGGGCUGCCAACUUCGUACUCAACUCGUUUGUUCCGAAGGUGGUAACCGAUGCAGCCAUGUCGUGUUAAUCGUAUCACCCCAUUGCUCAUGUCCUUCCAUCAUAACCUUGUAACUAAAGGUCUUGGCCCUUGUGUUUGUUGGGAAACGUAGUAGAAAACAAAAAAAUGCCCCUAUGCACACCCAAGAUCAAUAUCAAGAUGCAUUACGGAUUGAGAUCAUGAUCGUUACCGUCACCGAGUUGCAGCAGAAGAAGAACGUGUCAGUUUAGAUCAUACCUGGAGUCCCUUGAACCUUCGAGGAACGAUCCCGCAAACCGCCGACGAACAGUCCCUCGAAUUGAAGACCGAAAGCACAGUCUCUCUACUUGGUUGCAAGCGUGCAGCCUUCAUGACCUGGCAGUGCUUCGCCAUUGCAAGCUAAUCGUCGCCACAGAAUUAGAGGUAGGAGAUUAGAACCACACUGGGAUUCUACUUAUGAGGAUUAUAGGAUCUAGGUCUAGCUCUAAUUAGAUCAACUAGGAUCGACUAGAACUAGAACUAAAGGGAACUAGAGGAGGCUCCAAACUUGUAUAUGUCCAUAGAGUAAAAACCCCUGGUAUAUAUAGGUUGGAGGGGAGGGAGAGGGCAGCCAAGGAGGGAAAUUCUCUCCUUGGGGCGCUAGCCUUAGGAGGAGGAGUUGGACUCCUCCCACACUCCAAUUCGCCCUCCCUCCCCCCCACCCACACACACACAAGGAAGGGCCUCCACUUCCUAUUGGGCCAAGUUGGCCUGAUGCUCCUUCCCCAGUUUGGCCUUUUGAGGACCGUUUGUAUCAAAAGCCUUAUAAUAUAUAUUAGACCCUUUUAUAUAUCAUUUAACAGCCCCGGAAACAUUUUACACCUAUAUAUUAUUUAUCGGUAAUACCCGAUAUUAACCGAUACUCUAUGAAACCCUUUCAGUGACCCCAAACGCUUAGGGAUAUUUAUGAAACAAUUCCACAAAUAUAUACUCAUCAUUCCCGUCCUACUAACACUCAGCAGAUCGUAAUUUCCUUAAGCUUGUUUCCCCGUAGGUUCGGUAACUCAUAGACAUGAACAAAACCACUUCGCUCAAUGACCGAUAACGAAAACGUGGACGUCCGUAUCGAUCCCUAUGAGCACCGGAAUGAUAUUCAAGUGAAUAUUUGGUUAUCAUGUGAUGCUCCCAUUGCUUCGCAAUAUUUCACAAAACCCAGAUACAUCGGUGUCCUCCUGUGUCAUCACAUGCUCAUGAUACCAUUAUCCUCGUUACAGGUUUUGUUCUUCUUUCUCGUUGUCAUGUUCCGGCAUCCCCGUGACAUAGUCACAUGUGUCGUGCUAGAUAAUGAUUGAUACCAUCACACCGAGAGGGCCCUAAGAAUAUCUCUCCAUCUUCAUAGGAGGCAAUCCCACUCUCGGGCUAUCUAGUCCCUUGUCAAAAUUUCUGAUAGGCCUGUAAGUUGUCAUUAUGAUCACCAUGUUACAGGUGACGUUUGAGCAACCCCAAAGUCCACCGUACGGUAAGAAGUGAUUACGGUACUCUCAUGGUCUAAGGAGAAAAAUCACACGUUAACACUAGGUGUUGCUACAAUUUAUUACAGACGAUAUAAACUCAAUUCUUUACACACAAAUUUUGGUCGAUUCAAUAUGAUCGUUCUUCUAACGUCAUACUCUGAAUGUUGUUUUAGGACUAUCGUUACACUUAGCGAUAUCCUAAGAUCUGGAAAACAUGACCACCAACAACACUUGAGCCAGUCUUAGAGGCAAGAUUAGGAACCUAUUCUCUAUCGUUUAUCAUUCCACACAUGCAUAUGAGUUUUCCACUGAGUCGUCUAUUCCAGGAUCAUAGCAGUUAUAGCGUGAAAUAUAAACUCUUAAUUAUGAAAAUGAAAUUAUAAUAAUACAAUAUUAUUGCCUUUAGGGCAUAUUCCCAAUAGUAUUAUGUUGUUGCUGCCGAUGUAAAGUCCACCAAUAUCGCAUCAUGAUCUGAAGUCACGACUGUCAGGUGAGAUUAAUCAGCAAGUGAAACCUUCGCUGCCAGUCCACAGAAACCAGCACUCGGUCUAGGCGCACCAUUGUGAAAGUACCACACAUGUAACCUUCAUCUCAAAGGUCGGUCCUGAGUAACCCAAAUCUAGCAGCAUGCAAACAUCAACCUUGUCUUGAAAAGCUUGGAUCUGCACACUGCUGUGUUGUCCAACUCCUUUGUGCUCAUCCGUAUGUAGAACCUCAUUGAAAUCGCCCAAGAAAAGCCAUGGGAGAUUGUUGGAAGUACUGAUGUUUUUAAUAGUGUCCAUUGUUUGGUGCCUCAAGUGGGUUUGAGCUUCACCAUACACUAUUGUAACUCUCCAAGGAUCAAGGCUUGGUUCAAGAAUGGAGCACUCAAAAUGAUACACAGAGUAACCAAGAAUUUAUUUCAUUAUUCCAGAAAAUGCCAAUACCACCACUUCUUCCCUGGCUAUCAAUCACAUAUCCAUUAUCAUACCCUAAUGUUCCUGCUAAAGAUUCUACCCUCGAGCCUCUUGUUGGGUUUCUACUAUGUAGAGGAUGGCAGGGGAAAAUUUCCUUGUGAAAUCACAAAGCUCACUGAUUGUCGUGGCUCUGCCCGCACCGCAAUAAUUCUAGCAGAAGACACGCAUUGGACAUGGCGGCACUCCUCUAGGGAGCCUAACAAUUUUGCCAUUGGGUUUUUUGUGUUGCCACCGUUCUUAUGCAACGUGUUCUUAUCUGCUGCAAUUACUUGUCCUUGACCUGUUUUGUUCCUGCCGAGACGAGGGGCUCGAAGGGGUUUGAGGGGAAGGUAGCGUCGGUGUUUUGCCUUGGGCCGACAUAGCUGUUAUGGCUAACUCAUCUGCCACUGGAUCAACUUUCGUUGCAAGCUCUAAAGCUCGUUUUUUGUUCAGUUCGGCCUUGUGCAUGUAGGCAUCAGGGUCCUCAUACUCUGAUUCCCCCUGGGUGCGCCUAGGUCCAUGAUCAGUCCUGCCGCUGUGGCCACGGCCUCGCCCUCUCCCUCCUCCAGGUCCUCUCCCCGCUCCCUUGAACCAGCUAGCUCACAGAUUUUUGAAAACUAGGGCUAACGGUGGAUGCACUCCAUCCCGACAUUCCUUGAACAUGUGGCGCAAAUAACCACAAACCACGAAUGAAUCUGGUAGCCGCUCAUAUGCGACUGUGAAGACCAUAUGUUCAUACACAUUUAACAUUUUUCAAAUGCUUGAGUUACAUUUUUUCAAAUACUUGUUCAACAUUUAUUUUAGAUACUUGUUCAUCAUCUUUUGAACAUAUGGUCAACAUUUCUUCCAUACUCCCGCCGUCCGGUGAAAUGUCUACAUAUAACAAAUUAGGACAAAUAAUGGAGUGGAGUACAAAAUGCAAUGGGAAGAUGCAAGCCACCAUCUCUUUUUUUUUAUUACCAAAACCCCAAUGAGCUAAAUGUAGAAUGUUAUUGGUCUUGUACCGUGUGAUGACAUAGAAGCAUUUUUUCUACUUUCAUGUGCAUUGGGAGGAUAGAAAUACACUCUUUUGUGGACAAAAUUUAAAGCCAAACGUACACCCUUCAGCGGAUGGAGGGACUACACAGUUAAUAUUUUCCAUAUGCUUGGUUAACAUUUAUUAAAUACAUGUUCAUCAUUUUUUUCAAAUACUUGAUUAAAAUUUGUAUACAUAUUAUAAAAAAUCAUCAUUGUUUCCAUACAUGGUCAACAUUUUUCUAUACACAUUUAACAUUUUCAAAUGCAUAACUAUUUUUAGAAUAGAGUAUAUUUUUGUCAUAUAUAUCUUUAGAGUAUUUGGAGGCGUAAAUGAAAGUAGAAACCAAAAAAGGAAUAGCAUAUCAUUAAUACUAGGAAUAUUCCGAAAACGACAACAAUUUAUCCUCAUCAUUGAUAUUAAUCAGGAUACCGGUAACUCCGUUACACUAAACGCAACUAAACUCGAUUCUUCUAAUGACGCCUAUGGGGAAGUGCAACCGGCAAAUAAGAAUCAUUCGCCCAGUAUAAUAAAUAGAUCUGAAUCGCACGACAUUGACGCGGCGGGCAAACAAACCUAGAGUUAAAAAUAAGCAGGUGGAAGAGAGAGAAAGGGUUUAUGAUGGUCAUCACGUGGAGGUGCACCGCGUGAGCUGCUGCGUCAGGGCUUGCACCUCGUCAAAGUCCACUUCAGGCUCCUCCCUGCGAUUUUCAGAGCAGGUAAUUAAGAUGAGUCAGUACCGAGACAAAGAGCAGAGGGAGAGAUGAUAGAGGGCGUGGGAGCGGACAUCAGGAUGUCGAUGUCGUCGAUGAUCUCGGAGGCGCCGUAGAUGAAGAGGCGGGAGACCUUGACGGCGGUGCCCUCGUCCCACAGCUCCACAAAUGUGUCCUCGUCCACGACACCCUGGAUCGACGUCGACCACGGCAAGGCAAACUCAUAGGCCAAGUCAGGCCAAAUUCCACAACCACACGACUAGAGGGCAGGGGAGGGGCCUCACCUAGGUGUACAUGCCGGUGAGAUGGGCGUUGAGCUGGGCCCUAUGGUAUGAUGUUCCAACGAUCAUCGUUGGAGCUGUAAUUGGCGACUUAAUUAGCCAAGACUUUUCAUACCAAUGCAAAUACACCUAAGCCCAGAGAUGCUCUUCACGCUGUCUCGCGAACCGACAGCUUUGUGAUCCCUGGAUGUGACCUCGCAGACCAUCCAUUCUGUUUUUUCCCUCCUCUGGCUACUGCUCAUGGUGCCAUCAUACUCUUAUAAGAAGGCCACACUGAAAUUUCAGACCGAAAGGACAUGUUUAACAUGCGCAAAUAUGGUGAUUGGCUACACUCUGGGUACAACGACCAACAACAAGACUUGCUUAUAGAGAAAAACAAACCGAGCCUACAGCAAAACAAAGUCACUAGAGGACUAACAAACCAGGUAUAGGUUUUAUAAACAGCCCAUAGGAAGGGCGGGAACACAUCCACGACACACUAAAAUAUGGACUUCACACUGACAUCAACACACGACAAUAGUUUUAUUUCACAGGGUUACGAGCCCAAAGUUCCGACACAAGAAUAUUCAUCUAAGUUUUACGCGCACCCUUUGAAAACCGCUACAUCUUCGGAGGCACAUGGAACACAUAAUGCAAGGGAUUGCAUGGGGCCACGUUCUCCCCCCUUCACUUGCCGCUACUUAGGAGUUAGGACCGCAUGCCGCGAUCUGCUCUUCAAGCUGCAUCAAAAGAUGAAUAAUAGGUCAAUGAUUAAGAUAAGUCUAUGGCACAUAAUGAUGCUCAAGUCACGUGGUUUCACUAAUCAUCCUUGUUACAAGUUAGCUAGUUUCUUAUUUGCGCAUUUGGCGAAGCUUAAUUUAAGCUGGGAAACAAAGAAUUUCUACCAAUUUUUUUAGCUACCAUGUGCAUCUACCAAGCAUGAUCACAAAAUUACCACAUAAUCAUUUAACGGCUAAAUGAGACUUUUCGGUACCUCAAACUAAGUGAUCCAAAUCUAAAUGUCAAAAGAAUUAGAUUAAGUAUUAAACAUUGUUCCCUUUUCUCUAUCUUAAUAUGACCAAUCUAUGAGUUAUGGAACUAGUGGGAAUUUGGUAUCAAAAUCCAACAUUAGGCACAUAAGGUGCUACCUGCAUCAUGAUCUCCAACUCAUGUCGCACAAUAUAGAACUCAUUCCUAACAAGAGCCAAUGACACGAGACACCUGAAAUAAUGCAAAAAUACAACAUUGUCAAAUUCUGAAGAGGUUAAUAGAACUGAGAUGAAAUGGUUCAAAAAUUGUAACCCUAUACUUCAAAAGAGAAAAAUCUGUAGCCAUAUAUGAAUUUAGUUGUGCGAUAAACAGAAGUCUAGAGCCAAUAAAUUACAAGAGAACCAUCAAAAUAUAGCAUAUUCAGAUAAUGAACUGAGUAAUAUCAACAACGUGAUUGCAGAUGAAGUGAAAAAGCAAAUCAGGUUACUUCUUAACAACAUUAGAUUGGUAUGAGCUGAAAAUAACGACAGAAAAGACAACAUGAGCUGGCAGGUUUACAUGGAGACAUUCAAAAACAAUGUUGUGAAUAAUUAUUGUGUAACAAUAUUUAAUAAGCUGUUGAGUUCUGGCCCAUGUUUGUAUUGUAUGGCAUAGAAAUUGCCGAAGUGCAUGCAGGCAAGGUUCACUUGCUGUGCACCAACAUUGAAACAUGCAAAAAAAAUGCAGAUCAGGAAAUUAGGAACUUAUCAAACUUAUUUUAAACUGAGACGUCAACUCAAUAAUAUUCCCAAGGAGCCAUUUCCUAUCAUGAUUGUCAACUCCAUGAAUUGUUUGAUGAACCAGAAAAAAACACCAUUGCCAUUAUGUGCAAUUGUCAUGAAUACCGACAAUUACGCUACACGAGACACAACUACAAUUAGGUCUUCUAAUUUUGGAUAUACGACACCCGAAUCACGUCCAUGGCGUAGACACCCUGCGUCUGACAUAUCUGAAUAGAAACAACACUGUUCCAAUGGAGAAACAGAAAAAAUGGCCAUUGGUGUUAUGUAGAAUUGCAGAUCAUUAAUACCAGCCAUGCUUAUAAAACAACAAUUUUUUUCAUGCUCGGACUAGAAUAAUGGCAUUGCCCGAAGAACAGACAUGAUAGUAGAACAAACGUUUGCAAAAUGACAAAAAUUCCCCUCGCCAAGCUAUACGAUUUGAUUGAAAUUGGGAAGAAUACCAAAAAAAUUCGUUACACGAUAUAUGACUAAACUCAGCUCUUCUACCUAUGGCUAUACGGCACCUGUAGAACGACACCGAACCUCAAUUGUGCGGCCGUGUCGUGAGGUACGCACCCAGUGCCGACACAUCCAAAUAAAGAACAACAUCGAUGCCGUGGAAAAACUAGAAAAAACACAAUUAGAGAUACAUAGAAUAGCAGAUCAUUAAUACCAGAAAAAACACCAUUAGUAAUACACGGAAUAGCAGAUCAUUAAUACCAGGAAUAUUCUGAAAAUGACAACAAUUUAUCCUCAUCAUUGAUAUUAAUCGGGAUACCGGUAACUCCGUUACACUAAAUGCAACUAAACUCGAUUCUUCUAAUUACGUCUAUGGGGCAGUGCAACCGACAAAUAAGAAUCAUUCGCCCAGUAUAAUAAAUAGAUUUGAAUCACACGACAUUGAGGCAGCGGGCAAACAAACAUAGAGUUAAAAAUAAGCAGGUGGAGGAGAGAGAAAGGGUUUAUGAUGGUCAUCACCUAGAGGUGCACCGCAUGAGCUGCUGCGUCAGGGCUUCCACCUCAUCAAAGUCCACUUCGGGCUCCUCCCUACGAUUUCCAGAGCAGAUAAUUAAGAUGAGUCAGUACCGAGACAGAGAGCAGAGGGAGAGAUGAUAGAGGGCGUGGGGGCGGACAUCAGGAUGUCGAUGUCGUUGAUGAUCUUGGAGGCGUCGUAGAUGAAGAGGCGGGAGACCUCGACAGCGGUGCCCUCGUCCCACAGCUCCUCGAACGUGUCCUCGUCCACGACACCCUGGAUCGACGUCAACCACGGCAAGGCAAACUCAUAGGCCAAGUCAGGACAAAUUCCACAACCACAUGACUAGAGGGGAGGGGAGGGGCCUCACAACAGUGUACAUGCCGGCGAUAUGAGCGUUGAGCUGCGCCCUCAGUGCUGCGGCUGCCAUGGCAAGGCGAGGAGAAGUCCGGCGGUCCGAGGGACUGAGCGGUGGAGACGGGGGGAAUUCGGCUGCGGAUGCGGAGUGAACGAGGACGGGAUCAAGGAGGAGCGGAGGUUGUAUAGCUGGGCUCACGAGGGUCUCUCAUGUAGGCGUUUGGCAGCGAGUGCUCUACUAGCUGUACUGCGUCGUCGGCCGGGCGCCAUUAGUUAGCUUGGAAACGGCCCGCGUGCGUAAUGCGUGCAUGCAUCAUGCAUUCAGGCAUGGAACCACCGGUUGUGUGUCCACGUGUUCAUAGAAGUGAGCGUCUGUUUCAACUUUAAUCUCUUUUCCUUUCAGAAAAAACUUUAGUCCCUCACAAUGUUUAUAGGGACGAAUAGAAGACCAUCCACUCUCCUCUGUCUCACUUGAGUGAAUUGGUUUCGAGAGCAUUCCACCACUUUUUAUGACUUUCACAGUUUCACUUUCAACCCGAUUCACCGCCUACACGCCCUUUACGUCCAGUCAUUCCAAAGAGUACUUGCCCCCCACCCCUUGUCUUAGCGCGGCUGCUGGCACGCAGUUACCGGGACUUCUUCCUCUAGUUCUGCCGUGAUCGCGCACUCGACGUAAGAACUUUACAAGGAGCAUUGACCUUCUCACUCACGCGAGAUUGCUGGAUUGGGCUUUCGCCCAUUGUCCAAGAUUCCCCUCUGUUGCCCCCCAUGGGAGUCUGGGUUGUGUCUCAGUCCUAGUGUGGCUAAUCAUUCAAAAAGACCAGCUAAGCAUCAUUGGCUUGGCCAACCUUUACCUGACCAACUAACUAAUGCUACGCAGGCUCAUCAAACAACGCUUUGAACUUUCUUCAGGAUUUGGCCCAAACUAUUCAACAGAUUCCCACGCAUUAGGCAUCCGUUCGUCACUUUGUUCUCACCUAUUCCGAUUAAUUCCAGCAAACGGAGGCUGUUAGGUCAAAGCCGCAGCGCACGCCCUAUAGUUUUGAAGCAAGGCGAGAGAACUUUAGCUAUGGGGAGACCUAACCAAACAUGGCGGUCAACCCCUAGGGAUAAAUCAUGCUUCACGAGUUUGUGAGCUUCAACAUUCAAGCUCCUAAAUUCAUGGCUAAUGAUACAAUUAGUAAAAGUAGCCUUCCGAUCUAUGAUCCAUGUAUGAUUGCUCUGCAUAUAGCUGUGCUCUUCUGAUGUAUAUCUGCAAUGCUACCUUGAAAUCUGAAGCCACCUUAAUCUUCCUCUCAUAGAGAUUAUCAGCAAGCGCAAGUGCCACCCUUAUUGCUGCAUAUUCGACAGUAGCAAGAUCUAAUAUAUGUGGGAACACAAUGGCUGACACACCCAGAAAAUUACAUGCUUGAUCUCUGCAUAUAGCUCCCAUUGCGCCUCGAGUGCCGCCUGGUCCAACCACCGAACCCACAUUGACCUACACCAUUUCUUUGGGUAGCGCUCAUCUUAGUUAAGUAACUCUGCACAAAAGCCUGAAAAGUGAAAGGACUUUUAUAUAUCUCCUCAUGUAUAGCUUUGUGCCCAGCUCCCCAUAUCAUCCGCAAAAGUGAUCGUAAACAUGAUAAAAUCCUCAUCAUGUGAUAACACCUCAUGCAUGGUGAAUAGCCAUUGUUUGGCGUCAUCAUUUACAUUCAGACUCAACCGCUCGACAAUUUGCUCGUAUGAUAGUGCCCACGUGCUCCUUGAAACCAAGCAAUUCAGCAGGGCGUGCCUGCAUGUAUCGUUAGACCCGCACAAACAACAAGCACUCAUCGUCGACAUGUUUCUAUGAUGAAGAAGGACAUUGCGAGUAUAGUGCUAAUCUCCACAUGAACACCUUGAUUUUUGAGGGGCUUUUAUAUGCCAUAAGUCUGUCCAUCCUGGACAAUCAGCCUCUGAGUUUGAUCGGCCGCCCUGCUCAUACAGCCAUGAUUCUCUUCUGAUCUUGGUUCACUGUAUCUUCUUGUAAGCGGAAUCCACAGUGAACAUACCCCUUCUAUCCUCACUUCAAGCACAAAAUCAGAUAUAUGUCUCGUGCAAAGAAGGAUCUUCAAUAUAGUCUCGGCAUCAAUGGGAAUAAGUUAUGAUUACAUAAGUUCAUCCCUUGAUGACACAGUGUAAUCAGUGUGUUCCGCGAACCUUGUCGGCGGCUGCGGUAUUUGUGAAGUUCUCGGCCUCUUUAUAUGCUCUCUAGUUAUCUAGUUGUCAUUCCAAAUAUCAGGGGAUUCUCUAUCUCCUAAUCUCCAUAUCAAACCAUAAGUCGUUAUGUCUUUCCCAUGCAAAAUAGCCCGCCAUAUCUGUGAUGGGUGUGGUCCCAAGGUUGCAUCAGAAAGAGAGUUAUUUGGAUAGUAGAAAACUUUUAAGAUUAAUGAACUCGGAGAACCGGUAUGGUCUAGCAAGGUACAGGCUUGCCUGGAAAGUAGGGCUAGAUUAAAGAUCUCAAAUAAACGGUCUCAUCGUAACAUCCCAUGAGACCCAGCAUGUCUUAGUUCUCCCAUGUUUACUUCCCUACCAAAAUUGUCGGAUUCAAGAGGUGACACUCGCGCAACAUCCUCGCGGGAAACGGAAGCAGGCCAUGGAAUAUACAGGAAUUGCCUAUGCCACAGAGUUUAUCAAAACCUCGUUACCUGCAGUUGACAGGAGCUCUUCCAUCUAUCCUCUCAGCUUUUCGGAAACUCUGUCACGUAAGUAUUUGAAAGUCCUGUUCUUGGACUGCCCCACAUCAGUUGGCAUACACAAUUUCCUGUCAUUGAGUGACUCAUUUUAGACGUUCAAAGUAUGCUUGACAUCUUCCUUGAGAGCCUGAGGGCAUCCUCUCUAUUGCAAAAUAUAAAGGACUUGUCAUGAUUUAUUCUUCGUCUGGAUCCCAACCAAUAAUUCUCUAGUAGGUUUGAUACUUCAACUGCCCCAUCAUGACUCGACUUAAAAAGCAAGAUGUUGUCAUCUGCAAAAAGUAGAUGGUUCACAGCCAAAGUUGUUGGUGCCACUUAAGCGUGACGAAGAAGAACUGGAUUUCAGGAGGCAUUAAAGGCCCUCUACUGCAAUUAAGAAAUGAUAUGGGGAUAUUGGAUCUCCCUGCCGGAUAACUCUGUUGGGUUGUAAUUGAUCAAGUAUCUCAUGAUUAAAAAGAACCGAGAAAGAUACCAUCUGAACCAUGCCCAUAACUAUUUGUACCCAUGUUGGAGAAAAACCCAAUUUCAACAUCGUGGCUUUAGAAUAGUCCCACUCCAACCUAUCAUAUGCCCUCCUCAUAUCGAGCUUCAAAGUAUAGUAGCUACUAACUUUUUCCCUCGCUGCAUUUCAUGAAAUGUAGGAACUCAUAUGCACUAACAAUAUUAUCCGUGAUCAUUCUUCCAAGGGAAAAAGUUGAUUGCUCCUCGGAUAUGAUAUCAGGUAAAAUUUGCUUCAAUCUAUUUGCAAUAACCUUGGAAGCUAUCUUGUAUAAAACAUUGCACAACUGAUAGGCCUAAAUUUUGUUAAGAGGGUUGGGUUUGUUACCUUGGGAAUCAAAACCAGAAUUGUAUGAUUGAUGCAUUCAGGACUAUCUUCCCCUCUCACGAUUGUCAAAACCGCCUCUAUUACUUCUUUACCACAAAUAUCCCAAUGACGCUGAUAAAAAUGGGCAGGGAACCUAUCAGAGCAUGUAGACUUCAUUGGGAACAUUUGAAAUUGUGGCACCCUGGCUCAGAGUAACCAGUUUACCUUGCAUUGCCAGCCCAGAGAUCAAGUCUUCUGGCAACACAUAACAACUUGGUACAUACAUAACCGCUUUAUUGAUCUCUUGCAAAUACAUAGGUUUGAUGAUUACAUAAGAAAGCGAGGCCAAGCGGCACACACGGUGCGACUCCACUAUGUACAUUAUCUAUUAAACAUCUCAAGGGCCUUGAUGCUAGAGGAUACAACUACUCAGUAGCUAAACAAUGAGGUAGCAAACUCCGUGCCACAAGGACACUGCUAGGACACAGCCUAGAUCGUGAAGCACCGAUCAACCUCAACUCCUUGCACGGUUUCUCCUGCAUCUAGCAUGACACACCAGGUGGGUACUUUGAAUGUAGUCGCAAGCUCACAGCAAAAAUGACAAACAAUAACAUGGAAUGGACAAAUUAAACAUGAUCAUUAGCAUGAUGUUACCAAUCGUAGUGUGCAAGUGGAAUACCGUCAUGGUCCCUUGGACCAACUUACCCAUCUCAAGGGUUACCUCGUAACCACCAUUGGUAGCAACCAUACCAUCGUGAUCAACACACGAUCACCUCAAGAUCAAGUGACUUCUUCAUGUGCAAGCUCGAGGUUCAUAAGUGUGCAAGUUAAUUAUUUAUGUUGACCCAUAGUGUGACCUACUACAAACUGUGUCCAUAACCGAGGAUGUGGCUAUCGAUAGAUUAUACACUCUGCAGAGGUUAGUACACUCUACCCACACUAUGGAACUCAUGGCCUCAUGCUCCCAUUCGGGUGGACUAACGACAUUCCAACAAAACCAAUAUAUUGUAUACACUCUGCCUGCCACUCCGAAAAACUCCUGACUGGGCUAUGCCAUGGGUCACCCCUAUGUUAACUCGUGAAUCCGCUACCUUUGUGGCCGCCACCGCCAUGCCCAAACAAACUUUAUCAUCCCAAAUGGGGACCUCGUUACCAUAAAACUUGGUCUCACAAGGUUAUUGACGCCUACCGGGAUAGGGUAGCACAUGCACAUAGCAUUCCCUCGUUAGAGGCACCGGCGAGAGGCAUGACAAUAGAGCGAAUUAGAACAUCCUCAUCCAGGAAAGUGUGGUUGCACUAGUGAGCUCGAUUCGGUGGUACUAUGACUCUAUUAAUAGCUUUGACCCAGUUUGAUUAUAGUCAAGUUUAACUUGAAUUAAAAUUAUUCGAGCCAUAGAAUGCAAUAGAGUGCAUGAUAGUGAGCUAAAUGGUGGAUGAAUCCUAACUUAACCAUAUAACAUUUACUCUAUUGUCUACAACAUACAUAUGACAUGGAAAUGAGCAUAAUGUAACAAGUAGCAUGCAGGUAAUAGUUUAAAUUCAUAAGGCAUAUAAGUAAUCUAUAUUCAAUUCGAACCAAAUCCAUUGCAAUGCCAUCUUGCAAAUGAAUGUUGUGGCUUGCCUUAGUUCAGAGGAGUGUCACGAUACUCCUGGUCUUCUCCCACACAGUUAGUUUCUUCUAAAAAUAAAUUUAAUAACAAAAAUAAAAUGUCGCAUAAAGCUUUUUCUAAUACCAUAAAUUCUAGACAGCAAGGGAUAAUCUCAAAUUGCACCAACAGAAAGUUCAUCUCAUGACGAAACUAUGGCAAAAAGUUCAACUCAUUUGGACUUUUGGUUUAGAAAUCAUAGCUAGUCAAAGUUUGGGUCAAAAUCUAAUUUUAAAUUGAAUUAACAGAAAUUCCAGGGAGGGACACGUUGAAGGCGUAUUUUGCUAGGGCGCCUCCAUAGAAAAUGAUUCAGAGGGGAAGAGAGAAGCUUACAAGUAUGGUCCCCGUGUUAGGUUUAGGAGAGAGAAAGAGAGAGAGAGAGAGAGAGAGAGAGAGAGAGAGAGAGCAGAGGUAGGCGGCUAUUGCCGUUGGCGAUGGUCGUGAUGGGUUCAGAGCAGCGUGGGGAGCACACAUGUCCCCCUUGCUUGGUCGGAGGUGGACGAACGGCGAGGCUGGCUUCCUCUCCAGAGAAGAUGGGCAAUGGAGCUCGUCGGAGUCGGUGUUCCCGAUAUUGUUCCGACUGAUCAACUGCACCAUCGUGCUCUAGAGAUCAACACGAGCUCGCCUGAAGAAGUCAUGGAAGUAGAGGAGGGCAGGAGCGAGAGAAUGGUCUAGGGGGGGUCCGCAGGCAACUCCGGCGAUGAUCGGAGGCAGGAGGCCAUCCUGGCCUUGCCCCGCUCGUCGGUGGUAAAUUUAUGGCCAGUGGAGGAGUGGUGGAUGGUUUACCAGCUAGGGAGGGGGCUAUUUAUAAGAGAGGGAGAUGCCGAGCACCGGGCACCGCCGUGAGGAAGCUUGCGGAGCUCUGGCUAGGUGUGUAGCUCGGGCACGGGUGGUGAAGUGACUAGAGGGGCACCGGGGAGAUGUAGAUGCACUCGGGCAAAGCUAGGGCGCACGAUGUGGGUCAGGAGACGCACUAACGCACACUAUUCCCGCACGGGCACGCCGUGUCCGCGUCCGGCGAGCCUCUUGCUGACGUCGGGAAGGACUUGGAGCUGGCCAGGUGGAAGAAGGAGAGCAAGUGAGGCGGCGUGGGCAAGCUAUAGUGUCGAAAGGGCGGCGUUUGGGUGACGGCCGAGGGUCCCAGCGUCCAGAGCGCGCGCAUUGCAUGUCGAACAACUACAUCCCGCAUGGUCACUGCAUGAAGUGGCACACACGGGACUUUAGGCCAACGAGCCAAAAACUAGGGUGUCAUAGAGAAAGAGUGCAUUUUUGAGUUCCUCGAGUGUGUAAGGGGAAACUAGCAUAUCAUUCAUCUCAGUUGUGACCUUGCAUGGGACAUUUUUUAGUAUUGUAUCCAUAUAACUUACACCCUCAGAUGUAUACAGAGAUUUGUAGAAUUCGUGGACCAUGUUUUUCAACUGCUUGGAUCCUCCGCCGUUACACCAAGAGAAUUCUGCAAAGCUUUGGUCAUAUUUUUCUUCCUCGAGAUGCUAGCCUGAAGAUGGAAAAACUUCAAGUUUUUGUCUCCAGAGGCCAACCACUCAGGUCUUGCUCGUUGUCGCCAGAUCACCUCCUCACGAUGGUACAUCUCUACUAAUUUUUCAUUGAUUUUUAGCUCGGCGUGAGUGGGAACCGUCCUGUUUGGAUCAGACCAAAGCUUUUCUGAUUCUCCCUUUGUUUUGAUCUCCUUGCAUACCUGCCAAAUGUAUCAUUGUUCCAGCGCAGGAAAGGACUGCCAACUUCGUACUCAACUUGUUUGUUCCCAAGGUGGUACCCGAUGCAGCCAUGUCGUGUUAAUCAUAUCACCCCAUUGCUCAUGUCCUUCCCUCAUAACCUCGUAAAAAAGGUCUUGGCCAUUGUGUUUGUUGGGAAACAUAGUAGAAAACAAAAAAUGCCCCUACGCACACCCAAGAUCAAUAUGAAGAUGUAUUACGGGUUGAGGUCAUGAUUGUUUCCGUCAUCGAGUUGCAGCAGAAGAAUAACGUGUGAGUUCAGAUCAUACUUGGAGUCCCUUGAACCGUCGAGGAACGAUACCGCAAACCGCCGAUGAACAGUCCCUCGAAUUGAAGACUGAAACACAGUCUCUCUACUUGGUUGCAAGCGUGCAGCCUUCAUGACCUGACAGUGCUUCACCAUUUACUCUUGGCUACUUAUGUUGAUCUAAAGCAACUCUAAUGGUGUUAAAUCUAGCAACAAGAGUAAGAAAGAUUCUUCUUCUAGUAGUAACAAUAAUCAUGCCAAACCCAAUGUUGUUGCUUCUAGUAGUUCUCUUGAGUCCACUAAUGAUUCUCUUAGCCAAGUUACACUUGAGCAAGAAAAUAGCUUAUUGAAGGGAAUUAUAGAGAAAGGUGUUUACAAGAGCCUUGCCGGGAGUAAGCAAUUUGAGGAAAUUGUACGCAAGCAAGGAAGACACCGGAAGAAUCAAGCAAUUGGUUUUGAACGAAGGUUUAAUGCCAAUGGAGUUGAGUGGGAAGAAGAUCAAUGCCCCAAGACGAAGUUUGUUCCUCAACAAAAGAAGUAUGAUCCUACUUCUUUCCAAGGAACACAAGCUCAAGAUGAUCUUCCACCACAAGACCACAAGCAAAAAGGCAAGGACAAGCUUCAAGAGGAGAUUGAUGCAUUUGAAGAAUCUCCCAAAGCCUUGGUCAAGUGGGUUCCCAAGACUACAUCAAGUUCAACUUCAUCGAGUACGCCUACAACUCCAGGGAUUCCCAUCAAGAUGGUGUGGAUCCCGAAGAAAAAUAACUAGAGAGUUCUUGAGGGUGACUCCGCCAACACUUCACUCAUAUCUUUUGGCAAGGACAUGUGCAAACAACUUCCAUAUCUUGCACUAGUUCAAGGAGUCACAAACCCUCUUGUUGAUAAGACAAGGGACAAGGUAACCUAAUGGUUUCGUGGACAUCAUUUUAUGUGAACAUCACUCUAUGUCUAUGGAUAUCCUUGUUUGAUCCUUGUGGGACUAACCCGUGUAGGUAUUGAAAGUGCAACUCACUCUAAUUGAUUGCUCCAAAUGAUCUACAUCAACAUUGAGCAUCUACAUCUUCAACACCUACAUGAAGUCAUCGUCGACAAAACCCAAGGUUAGUUCAUCCCUCUUAGGGGGGAUAUCACAUUAGGGGGAGCUUUACUCUAAUCAAUUGAGCUAAAGCAACUCUAAUGGUGUGAACACAACAAUGCUUUAUGUAAAAGUGGCAACCCCACUUAUGCUUAAACGAUGAGUAUGACCUAUGAUCAAAUGUUCUCAUUUGACUCCUCAGUCAAUAUACUCAUAUAUGGAUGACCUAGUCAUCGCCAAUUGCUUGAUAGAUUCUAGAGUGUUUGUGCAUGCUCUGCCACAAAUUUCAUUUGCCAUUUUAUUGUGUGAGCAUGUUGGUCGCAUAUUUUACUCAUUCAAGGACAUCCACUUGUUGUUUUGAUUGGUUGGCAUUUUUCUAUUUUGCCAAGUGGAUGAACAAGAAUGCCUAAGAACCUCCUCUAGCUAUCUAUGCUUUUCUCGUCUCAAACUCUAUUCAUGCUACAUCACAAAGUUUGAUCAAGUCAGAUUCGAACCACUCUGUGUGAGGAGCACUCGGAGUCCCGGAUUCAUCAUAGACUUAAACUUCCAAAACCUCUUUGUGCAUUUCAGUAUGACCGAGUCAUCCACUUCGAUCACACCGAGUUCACUAAGUUAAUCUAGGUUUUCCAUCUCGGUACAACCGAUUUGAACUUUUCGGCCACAUCGAGUUGCAGUAACCGCUCGUGAUUCUGCAUCUCGGUGCCACCGAGUUGUUCCACUCAGUCACACCGACAGGGUCGGGAUAUAUAUACCGACGGGUUGAAUUUUAGAAAUUUCUCUCAAACACUUCACCCCGCGCAUGUCCUGCUCUGCCUCCUCGGGUCUCUAGAUCGUCUCCUCGCCGCUAGUGACCUCCCGCCGCUAGUCUCCGUCGCCGUCAAUGGAAUUCUGCUCCGCCGUUGUCGCCGUAGCGAACUCCCGCCGAACUAGGGUAUGAGUUCGACUCUUUGUGCUAUUUCCCAACUCCGAUUUGUAGCACAUUACUUUGCCAUGAUAAUGACCACGUAUGCAAACAAUCCAUCCACUAAAAACCUCCUUUAGAUUAGAUUGGAUUUGAAAAUUUAGUGUUAGGUCUCCGUCGGACUCAUCUCGGACCGACCGAAUUGUAGAAAUCGGUCUCACUGAUUUGGCUUAGGCCGUAGCACAUGCAUUUUCGGUCUCACCACAAAUUGCAAAUCAGGGUGACCGAGUUCGAUUCUCUGUGAAACCCUAGCAGUCUUGGUGCCACCGAACUGUGACUCGGUCUGACCGAGUUCACUAGUUUAGGUUCCAAAAGUUGCUUCGGUAUCACCGAGUUUAUCAAAUCGGUAGCUCCGAAAUGCUUUCUGUGGAGAACUAAAACUAGAUCUAGUUCUAGCUCUAGCUCUAAUUAGAUCCUACACACUAGGAUUCUACUUAUGAGGAUUAGAGGAUCUAGGUCUAGCUCUAAUUAGAUCGACUAGGAUCAACUAGAACUAGAACUAAAGGAAACAUGAGGAUACUCCAAACUUGUAUAUGUCCAUAGAGAAAAAACCCUGGUAUAUAUAGGUUGGAAGGGANNNNNNNNNNNNNNNNNNNNNNNNNNNNNNNNNNNNNNNNNNNNNNNNNNNNNNNNNNNNNNNNNNNNNNNNNNNNNNNNNNNNNNNNNNNNNNNNNNNNNNNNNNNNNNNNNNNNNNNNNNNNNNNNNNNNNNNNNNNNNNNNNNNNNNNNNNNNNNNNNNNNNNNNNNNNNNNNNNNNNNNNNNNNNNNNNNNNNNNNNNNNNNNNNNNNNNNNNNNNNNNNNNNNNNNNNNNNNNNNNNNNNNNNNNNNNNNNNNNNNNNNNNNNNNNNNNNNNNNNNNNNNNNNNNNNNNNNNNNNNNNNNNNNNNNNNNNNNNNNNNNNNNNNNNNNNNNNNNNNNNNNNNNNNNNNNNNNNNNNNNNNNNNNNNNNNNNNNNNNNNNNNNNNNNNNNNNNNNNNNNNNNNNNNNNNNNNNNNNNNNNNNNNNNNNNNNNNNNNNNNNNNNNNNNNNNNNNNNNNNNNNNNNNNNNNNNNNNNNNNNNNNNNNNNNNNNNNNNNNNNNNNNNNNNNNNNNNNNNNNNNNNNNNNNNNNNNNNNNNNNNNNNNNNNNNNNNNNNNNNNNNNNNNNNNNNNNNNNNNNNNNNNNNNNNNNNNNNNNNNNNNNNNNNNNNNNNNNNNNNNNNNNNNNNNNNNNNNNNGUAACUCAUAGACAUGAACGAAACCCCUUUGCUCAAUGACCGAUAGCAGAAACGUGGACGUCCAUAUCGAUCCCUAUGACCACAUGAAUGAUAUUCAAGUGAAUAUUUGGUUAUCAUGUGAUGUUCCCUUUGCUUCGCAAUAUUUCACAAAACCCAGGAUACAUCGGUGUCCUCCUGAGUCAUCACAUGCUCACGAUACUAUUAUCCUCGUUACCGGUUUUGUUCUUCUUUCUCAUUGUCGUGUUCCGGCAUCCCCGUGACGUAGUCACAUGUGUCGUGCCAGAUGAUGAUUGACACCAUCACACCGAGAGGGCCCUAAGAAUAUCUCUCCUUCUUCAUAGGAGCCAAUCCCACUCCCGGGCUAUCUAGUCCCUUGUCAAACUUUCUGAUGAACCUGUAAGUUGUCAUUAUGAUCACCAUGUUACGGGUGAUGUUUGAGCAACCCCAAAGUCCACCGUACGGUAAGAAGUGAUUACGAUACUCUCAUGUUCUAAGGAGAAAAAUCACACGUUAGCACUCGGUGUUGUUACAGUUGAUUACAGACGAUAUAAACUCAAUUCGUUACACAGAAAUUUUGGUCAAUUCAAUAUGAUCGUUCUUCUAACGUCAUACUAUAAAUGUUUUUUAGGAGUAUCAUUACACUUAGCGAUAUCCUAAGAUCUGGAAAACAUGAUCACUAACAACACUUGAGCCAGUCUUAGAGGCAAGAUUAGGAACCUAUUCUCUACUGUUUAUCAUUCCACACGUGCAUAUGAGUUUUCCACUGAGUCGCCUAUUCCAGGAUCAUAGCAGUUAUAGCGUGAAAUAUAAACACUUAAUUAUGAAAAUGAAAUUAUAAUAAUACAAUACUAUUGCCUCUAGGGCAUAUUCCCAAUAGUAUUAUGUUGUUGCUGCCGAUGUAAAGUCCACCAAUAUCGCGUCAUGAUCUGAAGUCACGAUUGUCAGGUGAGUUUAAUCAGCAAGUGAAACAUUCAUUGCCAGUCCACAAAAACCAUCACUCGGUCUAGGCGCACCAUUGUGAAAGUUCCACAUGUAACCUUCAUCUCAAAGGUCGGGCCAGAGUAACCCAAAUCCAACAGCAUGCAGACAUCAACCUUGUCUUGAAAAGCUUGGAUCUGCACACUGCUGCGUUGUCCAACUCCUUCGUGCUCAUCUGUAUGUAAAACUUCAUUGAAAUCGCCCAGGCAAAGCCAUGGGAGAUUGCUGGAAGUACUAAUGUUUUUAAUAGUAUACCAUGUUUGGUGCCUCAAGUGGGUUUGAGCUUCACCAUACACUAUUGUAACUCUCCAAGGAUCAAGGCUUGGUUCAAGAAUGGAGCACUCAAAAUAAUACACAGAGUAACCAAUAAUAUCUAUUUUUAUUUCAUUAUUCUAGAAAAUGCCAAUACCGCCAUUUCUAUCCUGGCUAUCAAUCGCAUAUCCAUUAUCAUACCCUAAUGUUCCUACUAAAGAUUCUACCCUUGAGCCUCUUGUUGGGUUUCUACUAUGUAGACGAUGGUAGGGGAAAAUUUCCUUGUGAAAUCACAAAGCUCACUGAUUAUCGUGGCUCUGCCCGCACCGCAACAAUUCUAGCAGAAGACACACAUUGGACAUGGCGGCACUCCUCUAGGGAGCCUAACAAUUUUGCCAUUGGGUUUUUUGUGUUGCCACCGUUCUUAUGCAACGUGUUCUUAUCUGCUGCAAUUACUUGUCCUUGACCUGUUUUGUUCCUGCCGAGACGAGGGGCUCGAUGGGAUUUGAGGGGAAGGUAGCGUCGGUGUUUUGCCUUGGGCCGACAUAGCUGUUAUGGCUAACUCAUCUGCCACUGGAUCAACUGUCGUUGCAAGCUCUGAAGCUCGUUUUUUGUUCAGUUCAGCCUUGUGCAUGUAGGCAUCAGGGUCCUCAUACUCUGAUUCCCCCUGGGUGCGCUUUGGUCCAUGACUAGUCCUGCCGCCGUGGCCACGGCCUCGCCCUCUCCCUCCUCCAGGUCCUCUCCACGCUCCCUUGAACCAGCUAGCUCACAGAUUUUUGAAAACUAGGGCUAACGGUGGAUGCACUCCAUCCCGACAUUCCUUGUACAUGUGGCGCAAAUAACCACAAACCACGAAUGAAUCUGGUAGCCGCUCAUAUGCGACUGUGAAGACCAUAUGUUCAUACACAUUUAACAUUUUUCAAAUGCUUGAGUUACAUUUUUUCAAAUACUUGUUCAACAUUUAUUUUAGAUACUUGUUCAUCAUCUUUUGAACAUAUGGUCAACAUUUCUUCCAUACCAAAACCCCAAUGUAUUGGGAAGAUGUCUACAUAUAAAAAAUUAGGACAAAUAAUGGAGUGGAAUAAAAAAUGCAUUGGGAAGAUGCAAGCUACCAUCUCUUUUUUUAUUACCAAAACCCCAAUGAGCUAAAUGUAGAAUGUUACUGGUCUUGAUUACCGUGUGAUGACAGAGAAGCAUUUUUUCUACUUUCGUGUGCAUUGGGAGGAUAGGAAUACACUCUUUUGUGGACAAAAUUUAAAGCCAAACGUACACCCUUCAGCGGACGGAGGGACUACAUAGUAAACAUUUUCCAUAUGCUUGGUUAACAUUUAUUAAAUACAUCUUCAACAUUUUUUUCAAAUACUUGAUUAAAAUUUGUAUACAUAUUAUAAAAAAUUCAUCAUUUUUUCAUAUAUGGUCAACAUUUUUCUAUACACAUUUAACAUUUUCAAAUGCAUAACUAUUUUUAGAAAAAACUUUAUGUAGAGUAUAUUUUUGUCAUAUAUAUAUAUAUAUAUANNNNNNNNNNAAAUGCUUGAGUUACAUUUUUUCAAAUACUUGUUCAACAUUUAUUUUAGAUACGUGUUCAUCAUCUUUUGAACAUAUGGUCAACAUUUCUUCCAUACUCCCGCCGUCCGGUGAAAUGUCUACAUAUAAAAAAUUAGGACAAAUAAUGGAGUGGAAUAAAAAAUGCAUUGGGAAGAUGCAAGCCACCAUCUCUCUUUUUAUUACCAAAACCCCAAUGAGCUAAAUGUAGAAUGUUUGGUCUUGAUUACCGUGUGAUGACAGAGAAGCAUUUUUUCUACUUUCGUGUGCAUUGGGAGGAUAGGAAUACACUCUUUUGUGGACAAAAUUUAAAGCCAAACGUACACCCUUCAGCGAACGGAGGGACUACAUAGUAAAGAUUUUCCAUAUGCUUGGUUAACAUUUAUUAAAUACAUCUUCAACAUUUUUUUCAAAUACUUGAUUAAAAUUUGUAUACAUAUUAUAAAAAAUUCAUCAUUUUUUUCAUAUAUGGUCAACAUUUUUCUAUACACAUUUAACAUUUUCAAAUGCAUAACUAUUUUUAGAAAANNNNNNNNNNNNNNNNNNNNNNNNNNNNNNNNNNNNNNNNNNNNNNNNNNNNNNNNNNNNNNNNNNNNNNNNNNNNNNNNNNNNNNNNNNNNNNNNNNNNNNNNNNNNNNNNNNNNNNNNNNNNNNNNNNNNNNNNNNNNNNNNNNNNNNNNNNNNNNNNNNNNNNNNNNNNNNNNNNNNNNNNNNNNNNNNNNNNNNNNNNNNNNNNNNNNNNNNNNNNNNNNNNNNNNNNNNNNNNNNNNNNNNNNNNNNNNNNNNNNNNNNNNNNNNNNNNNNNNNNNNNNNNNAAACGACAACAAUUUAUCCUCAUCAUUGAUAUUAAUCGGGAUACCAGUAACUCCGUUGCACUAAACACAACUAAACUCGAUUCAUCUAAUUACGCCUAUGGGGAAGUGCAACCAACAAAUAAGAAUCAUUCGCCCAGUAUAAUAAACAGAUCUGAAUCGCACGACAUUGACGCAGCCGGCAAACAAACCUAGAGUUAAAAAUAAGCAGGUGGAAGAGAGAGAAAGGGUUUAUGAUGGUCAUCACCUGGAGGUGCACCGUGUGAGCUGCUGCGUCAGGGCUUGCACCUCGUCAAAGUCCACUUCGGGCUCCUCCCUGCGAUUUUCAGAGCAGGUAAUUAAGAUGAGUCAGUACCGAGACAGAGAGCAGAGGGAGAGAUGAUAGAGGGCGUGGGGGUAGACAUCGGGGUAGACAUCAGGAUGUCGAUGUCGUCGAUGAUCUCGGAGGCGUCGUAGAUGAAGAGGCGGGAGACCUUGACGUGGUGCCCUGGUCCCACAGCUCCUCGAAUGUGUCCUCGUCCACGACACCCUGGAUCGACGUCGACCACGGCAAGGCAAACUGAUAGGCCAAGUCAAGCCAAAUUCCACAACCACACGACUAGAGGGCAGGGGAGGGGCCUCACCUCGGUGUACAUGCCGGCGAUAUGGGCGUUGAGCUGGGCCCUACGGUAUGAUGUUCCAGCGAUCAUCGUUGGAGCUGUAGUUGGCGACUUAAUUAGCCCAGACUUUUCGUACCAAUGCAAAUACACCUAAGCCCAGAGAUGCUCUUCACGCUGUCUCGCGAACCGAUAGCUUUGUGAUCCCUGGAUGUGACCUCACAGACCAUCCAUUCUGUUUUUCCCUCCUCUGGCUACUGCUCGUGGUGUCGUCGUACUCUUAUAAGGAGGCCACGCUGAAAUUUCAGACCGAAAGGACAUGUUUAACAUGCGGAAAUAUGGUGAUUGGCUACACUCUGGGGACAACAACCAACAACAAGACUUGCUUAUAGAGAAAAACAAACCGAACAUACAGCAAAACAAAGUCACUAGAGGACCAACCAACCAGGUAUAGGUUUUAUAAACAGCCCAUAGGAAGGGCGGCAACACAUCCACGACACACUAAAAUAUGGACUUCACACUGACAUCAACACACGACAAUAGUUUUUGUUCACAGGGUUACGAGCCCAAAGUUUCGACACGAGAAUAUUCAUCUAAGUUUUACGCGCACCCUUUGAAAACCGCUACAUCUUCGGAGACACAUGGAACACAUAAUGCAAGGGAUUGCAUGGGGCCACGUUCUCCCCCCUUCACUUGCCGCUACUUAGGAGUUAGGACCGCUUGCCGCGAUCUGUUCUUCGAGCUGCAUCAAAAGAUGAAUAAUAGGUCAAUGAUUAAGAUAAGUCUAUGGCACAUAAUGAUGCUCAAGUCACGUGGUUUCACUAAUCAGCCAUGUUACAAGUUAGCUAGUUUCUUAUUUGCGCAUUUGGCGAAGCUUAAUUUAAGCUGGGAAACAAAGAAUUUCUACCACUUUUUUAGCUACCAUGUGCAUCUACCAAGCAUGAUGACAAAAUUACCACAUAAUCAUUUAACGGCUAAAUGAGACUUUUCGGUACCUCAAACUAAGUGAUCCAAAUCAUAAUGUCAAAAGAAUUAGAUUAAGUAUUAAACAUUGUUCCCUUUUCUCUAUCUUAAUAUGACCAAUCUAUGAGUUAUGAAACUAGCGGGAAUUUGGUAUCAAAAUCCAACAUUAGGCACAUAAGGUGCUACCUGCAUCAUGAUCUCCAACUCAUGUCGCACAUUUUAGAACUCAUUCCUAACAAGAGCCAAUGACAUGAGACACCUGAAAUAAUGCAAAAAUACCACAUUGUCAGAUUCUGAAGAGGUUAACAGAACUGAGAUGAAAUGGUUCAAAAAUUGUAACCCUAUGCUUCAAAAGAGAAAAACCUCUAGCCAUAUAUGAAUUUAGUUGUGCGAUAAACAGAAGUCUAGAGCCAAUAAAUUACAAGAGAACCAUCAAAAUGUAGCAUAUUCAGAUAAUGAACUGAGUAAUAUCAACAAUGUGAUUGCAGACGAAGUGAAAAAGUAAAUCAGGUUACUUCUUAACAAUGUUAGAUUGGUAUGAGCUGAAAAUAACGACAGAAAAGACAACAUGAGCUGGUAGGUUUACAUGGAGACAUUGAAAAACAAUGUUGUGAAUAAUUAUUGUGUAACAAUAUUUAAUAAGCUGUUGAGUUCUGACCCAUGUUUGUAUUGUAUGGCAUAGAAAUUGCCGAAGUGCAUGCAGGCGAGGUUUACUUGCUGUGCACCAACACUGAAACAUGCAAAAAAAAAUGCAGAUCAGGAAAUUAGGAACUUAUCAAACUUAUUUUAAACUGAGACGUCAACUCAAUAAUAUUCCCAAGGAGCCAUUUCCUAUCAUGAUUGUCAACUCCAUGAAUUGUUUGAUGAACCAGAAAAAAACACCAUUGCCGUCAUGUGCAAUGGCAGAUCAGUAGUACCAGAAAUAUUCAGAAAACGACAAAGUUUUUCUUGACAAACCAUGAAAUUGUCAUGAAUACCGACAAAUCCGCUACACGAGACACAACUACGAUCAGGUCUUCUAAUUUUCGAUAUACGACACCCGAAUCACGUCCAUGACGUAGACACCCUGCGCCUGACAAAUCUGAAUAGAAACAACACCGUUCCAAUGGAGAAACAGAAAAAAUGGCCAUUGGUGUUAUGUAGAAUUGCAGAUCAUUAAUACCAGCCAUGCUUAUAAAACAACAAUUUAUUUCAUGUUCGGACUAGAAUUAUGGCAUUGCCCAAAGAACAGACACGAUAGUAGAACAAACAUUUGCAAAACGACAAAAGUUCCCCUCGCCAAGCUAUAUGAUUUGAUUGAAAUUGGGAAGAAUACCAAAAAAAAUUGUUACACGAUAUAUGACUAAACUCAUCUCUUCUACCUAUGGCUAUACGGCGCCUGUAGAAUGACACGAACCUCAAUUGUGCGGCCGUGUCGUGAGGUACGCACCCCGUGCCGACACAUCCAAAUAAAGAACAACAUCAAUGCCGUGGACAAACUAGAAAAAACACAAUUAGAGAUACAUAGAAUAGCAGAACAUUAAUACUAGAAAAACCACCAUUAGUAAUACACAGAAUAGCAGAUCAUUAAUACCAGGAAUAUUCCGAAAACGACAACAAUUUAUCCUCAUCAUUGAUAUUUAUCGGGAUACCGGUAACUCCGUUACACUAAACGCAACUAAACUCGAUUCUUCUAAUUACGCCUAUGGGGCAGUGCAACCGACAAAUAAGAAUCACUCGCCCAGUAUAAUAAACAGAUCUGAAUCGCACGACAUUGACGCAGUGGGCAAACAAACAUAGAGUUAAAAAUAAGCAGGUGGAAGAGAGAGAAAGGGUUUAUGUUGGUCAUCACCUGGAGGUGCACCGCAUGAGAUGCUGCGUCAGGGCUUCCACCUCAUCAAAGUCCACUUUGGGCUCCUCCCUGCGAUUUCCAGAGCAGAUAAUUAAGAUAAGUCAGUACCAAACAGAGAGUAGAGGGAGAGAUGAUAGAGGGCGUGGGGGGCGGACAUCAGGAUGUCGAUGUCGUCGAUGAUCUUGGAGGCGUCGUAGAUGAAGAGGCGGGAGACCUCGACGGCGGUGCCCUCGUCCCGCAGCUCCUCGAACGUGUCCUCGUCCAUGACACCCUAGAUCGACAUCAACCACGGCAAGGCAAACUCAUAGGCCAAGUCAGGCCAAAUUCCACAACCACACGACUAGAGGGGAGGGGAGGGGCCUCACAUCAGUGUACAUGCCGGUGAUAUGAGCGUUGAGCUGCGCCCUCAGUGCUGCGGCUGCCAUGGCAAGGCGAGGAGAAGUCCGGCGGUCCGGGGGACUGAGCGGUGGAGAUGGGGGAAAUUCGGCUGCGGAUGCGGAGUGAACAAGGACGGGAUCGAGGAGGAGCGGAGGUUGUAUAGCUGGGCUCACGAGGGUCUCUCACGUAGGCGUUUGGCAGCGAGUGCUCUACUAGCUGUACUGCGUCGUCGGCCGGGCGCCAUUAGUUAGCUUGGAAACGGCCCGCGUGCGUAAUGCGUGCAUGCAUCAUGCAUUCAGGCAUGGAACCACCGGUUGUGUGUCCACGUGUUCAUGGAAGUGAGCGUCUGUUUCAACUUUAAUCUCUUUUCCUUUCAUAAAAAACUUUAGUCCCUCACAAUGCUUAUAGGGACGAAUAGAAGACCAUCCACUCUCCUCUGUCUCACUUGAGUGAAUUGGUUUCGAGAGCAUUCCACCACUUUUUAUGAUUUUCACAGUUUCACUUUCAACCCGAUUCACCGCCUACAUGCCCUUUACGUCCAGUCAUUCCAAAGAGUACUUGCCCCCCACCCCUUGUCUUAGCGCGGCUGCUGGCACGCAGUUACCGGGGCUUCUUCCUCUAGUUCUGCCGUGAUCGCGCACUCGACGUAAGAGCUUUACAAGGAGCAUUGACCUUCUUCACUAACGCGAGAUUGCUGGAUUGGGCUUUCGCCCAUUGUCCAAGAUUCCCCUCUGUUGCCCCCCAUGGGAGUUUGGGUUGUGUCUCAGUCCCAGUGUGGCUAAUCAUUCAAAAAGACCAGCUAAGCAUCAUUGGCUUGGCCAGCAUUUACCUGACCAACUAACUAAUGCUACGCAGGCUCAUCAAACAAUGCUUUGAACUUUCUUCAGAAUUCGGCCCAAACUAUUCAACAGAUUCCCACGCAUUACGCAUCCGUUCGUCACUUUGUUCUCACCUAUUCCGAUUAAUUCCAGCAAACGGAGGCUGUUAGGUCAAAGCCGCAGCGCACGCCCUAUAGUUUUGAAGCAAGGCGAGACAACUUUAGCUAUGGGGAGACCUAACCAAACAUGGCGGUCAACCCCUAGAAUAAAUCAUGCUUCACGAGUUUGCGAGCUUCAACAUUCAAGCUCCUAAAUUCAUGGCUAAUGAUACAAUUAGUAAAAGUAGCCUUCCGAUCUAUGAUCCAUGUAUGAUUGCUCUGUAUAUAGCUGCGCUCUUCUGAUGUAUAUCUGCAACACUACCUUGAAAUCUGAAGCCACCUGAAUCUUCCUCUCAUAGAGAUUAUCAGCAAGCGCAAGUGCCACCCUUAUUGCUGAAGAUUCGACAGUAGCAAGAUCUAAUAUAUGUGGGAACACAAUGGCUGACACACCCAGAAAAUUACAUGCUUGAUCUCUGCAUAUAGCUCCCAUUGCGCCUCGAGUGCCGCCUGGUCCAACCACCGAACCCACAUUGACCUUCACCAUUGCUUUGGGUAGCGCUCAGCUUAGUUAAGUAACUCUGCACAAAAGCCUGAAAAGUGAAAGGACUUUUAUAUAUCUCCUCAUGUAUAGCUUUGUGCCCAGCUCCCCAUAUCAUCCGCAAAAGUGAUCGUAAACAUGAUAAAAUCCUCCUCAUGUGAUAACACCUCAUGCAUGGUGAAUAGCCAUUGUUUGGUGUCAUCAUUUACAUUCAGACUCAACCGCUCGACAAUUUGCUCGUAUGAUAGUGCCCACAUGCUCCUUGAAACCAAGCAAUUCAGCAGGGCGUGCCUGCACGUAUCAUUAGACCCGCACAAACAACAAGCACUCAUCGUCGACAUGUUUCUAUGAUGAAGAAGGACAUUGUGAGUAUUGUGCUAAUCUCCACAUGAACACCUUGAUUUUCGAGGGGCUUUUAUAUGCCAUAAGUCUGUCCAUCCUGGACAAUCAGCCUCUGAGUUUGAUCGGCCGCCCUGCUCAUACAGCCAUGAUUCUCUAUUGAUCUUGGUUCACUGUAUCAUCUUGUAAGCGGAAUCCACAGUGAACAUACCCCUUCUAUCCUCACUUCAAGCACAAAAUCAGAUAUAUGUCUCGUGCAAAGAGGGAUCUUCAAUAUAGUCUCGGCAUCAAUGGGAAUAAGUUACGAUUAAAUAAGUUCAUCCGUUGACGACAUAGUGUAAUCAGUGUGUUCAGCGACCCUUGUCGGCGGCUGUGGUAUUUGUGAAGUUCUUGGCCUCUUUAUAUGCUCUCUAGUUAUCUAGUUGUCAUUCCAAAUAUCAGGGGAUUCUCUAUCUCCUAAUCUCCAUAUCAAACCAUGAGUCGUUAUGUCUUUCCCAUGCAAAAUAGCCCGCCAUAUCUGUGAUGGGUGUGGUCCCAAGGUUGCAUCAGAAAGAGAGUUAUUUGGAUAGUAGAAAACUUUUAAGAUUAAUGAACUCAGAGAACCGGUAUGGUCUAGCAAGGUACAGGCUUGCCUGGCAAGUAGGGCUAGAUUAAAGAUCUCAAAUAAUCGGUCUCAUCGUAACAUCCCAUGAGACCCAGCAUGGCUUCCUUCUCCCAUGUUUACUUCCCUACCAAAAUUGUUGGAUUGAAGAGGUGACACUCGCGCAACAUCCUCGCGGGAAACAGAAGCGGGCCAUGGAAUAUACCGGAAUUGCCUAUGCCAUAGAGUUUAUCAAAACCUCUUUACCUGUAGUUGACAGGAGCUUUUCCAUCUAUCCUCUCAGCUUUUCCGAAACUCUGUCACGUAAGUAUUUGAAAGUCAUGUUCUUGGACUGCCCCACAUCAGUUGGCAUACACAAUUUCCUGUCAUUGAGCGACUCAUUUUAGACGUUCAAAGUAUGCUUGACAUCUUCCUUGAGAGCCUGAGGGCAUCCUCUCUAUUGCAAAAUAUAAAGGACUUGCCAUGAUUUAUUCUUCGUCUGGAUCCCAACCAAUAAUUCUCUAGUAGGUUUGAUACUUCAACUGCCCAAUCAUGACUUGACUUAAAAAGCAAGAUGUUGUCAUCUGCAAAAAGUAGAUGGUUCACAGCCAAAGUUGUUGGUGCCACUUAAGCGUGAUGAAGAAGAACUGGAUUUCAGGAGGCAUUAAAGGCCCUCUACUGCAAUUAAGAAAAGAUAUGGGGAUAUUGGAUCUCCCUGCCGGAUAACUCUUUUGGGUUGUAAUUGAUCAAGUAUCCCACGAUUAAAAAGAACCGAGAAAGAUACCGUCUGAACCAUGCCCAUAACUAUUUGUACCCAUGUAGGAGAAAACCCCAAUUUCAACAUCGUGGCUUUAGAAUAGUCCCACUCCAACCUAUCAUAUGCCUUCCUCAUAUCGAGCUUCAAAGCAUAGUAGCUACUAACUUUUUCCCUCGCUGCAUUUCAUGAAAUGUAAGAACUCAUAUGCACUAAUAAUAUUAUCCGUGAUCAUUCUUCCAAGGACAAAAAUUGAUUGCUCCUCAGAUAUGAUAUCAGGAAAAAUUUGCUUCAAUCUAUUUGCAAUAACCUUGGAAGCUAUCUUGUAUAAAACAUUGCACAACUGAUAGGCCUAAAUUUUGUUAAGAGGGUUUGGUUUUUUACCUUUGGAAUCAAAACCAGAAUUGUAUCAUUGAUGCAUUCAGGUCUAUCUUCCCCUCUCACGAUUGUCAAAACCGCCUCUAUUACUUCUUUACCACAAAUAUCCCAAUGAUGCUAAUAAAAAUGGGCAGGGAACCCAUCAGAGCAUGGAGCCUUCAUUGGGAACAUUUGAAAUUGUGGCACCCUGGCUCAGAGUAACCGGUUUACCUUGCAUUGACAGCCCAGAGAUCAAGUCUUCUGGCAACACAUAACAACUUGGUACAUACAUAACCGCUUUAUUGAUCUCUUGCGGAUACAUAGGUUUGAUGAUUACAUAAGAAAGCGAGGCCAAGCGGCACACACGGUGCGACUCCACUAUGUACAUUAUCUAUUAAACAUCUCAAGGGCCUUGAUGCUAGAGGAUACAACUACUCAGUAGCGAAACAAUGAGCUAGCAGAACUCCAUGCCACAAGGACACUACUAGGACACAGCCUAGAUCGUGAAGUACCGAUCAACCUCAACUCCUUGCACGGUUUCUCCUGCAUCUGGCAUGACGCACCAGGUGGGUACUUUGAAUGUAGUCGCAAGCUCACAGCAAAAAUGACAAACAAUAACAUGGAAUGAACAAAUUAAACAUGAUCAUUAGCAUGAUGUUACCAAUCGCAGUGUGCAAGAGUGGAAUACCGUCAUGGUCCCUUGGACCAACUUACCCAUCUCAAGGGUUACCUCGUAACCACCAUUGAUAGCAACCAUACCAUCGUGAUCAACACACGAUCACCUCAAGAUCAACUGACUUCUUCUUGUGCAAGCUCGAGGUUCAUAAGUGUGCAAGUUAAUUAUUUAUCUUGACCCAUAGUGUGACCUACUACAAACUGUGUCCAUAACCGAGGACGUGGCUAUCGAUAGAUUAUACACUCUACAUAGGCUAGUACACUGUACCCACACUAUGGAACUCAUGGCCUCAUGCUCCCAUUCGGGUGGACUAACGAGGUUCCAACAAAACCAAUCUAUUAUAUACACUCUCCCGACCACUCCGAAAAACUCCUGUCUGGGCUAUGCCAUGGGUCACCCCUAUGUCAACUCGUGAAUCCGCCACCUUUGUGGCCGCCACCGCCGUGGCCAACCAAACUUUAUCGUCCCAAACGGGGACCUCGAUACUAUAAAACUUGGGCUCAAAAGGUUAUUGACGCCUACUGGGCUAGGGUAGCACGUGCACAUAACAUUCCCUCGUUAGAGGCACCGGCGAGAGGCAUGAUAAUAGAGCGAAUUAGAACAUCCUCAUCCAAGAAAGUGUGGUUGCACUAGUGAGCUCGAUUCGGUGGCACUAUGACUCUAUUAAUAGCUUUGAUCAAGUUUGAUUAUAGUCAAGUUUAACUUGAAUGAAAAUGAUUCGAGCCAUAGAAUGCAAUAGGGUGCAUGAUAGUGAGCUAAAUGGUGGAUGAAUCCUAACUUAACCAUAUAACAUUUACUCUACUGUCUACAACAUACAUAUGACAUGGAAAUUAGCAUUGUUUGACAUGAAAAAUAAUAACAAACAACAAUGGUUAUCGUGUUAUUAUCUCUCAAUGCGCCAGGGGAAAUAAAAAAUUGCGGGCGUGCCAGUGUACUAAGUACACAAAUAAACAGAGGGAAACAUGCACUUUAUUAAUCUCUCAGUGGAGAAACAAAAUUACAAGAUCCCUUUACAUAUGCGCUCCGUGGCCUACUAGCGCGGCCUGCCUGACUGUGGCGAUUGCGGUCUCCUGGUUCCCAGGGCCUCGGAAGGCUCCCGGUUAAUUACUCCCGCGGGUUGCUUCGCGAGAUACCUUCAAUUAAGCUGUGUGGUCGUCUUCGUUGUCUUCGCUUCUCGUCCUCCAUGCAUGAUGAUGGUGAUGUGUGUGUGGGCAGCGGCAGAGCCCGUGUCCUCGUCGGUACACACGCCGCAAGUGGCGUGGUCUUAGCGGUGGCCGCGCCUGCCCUGGCCGUCGUGCCUCGUCGGUCUUGGCGGCGUUGGAGUAGUUGGUGUUGGGGUAGCAUGGGUCGCGGUCGGCUCAGACUUCUUGAUGACAUGUUGCUUCAUCGGGGUGUUCAAGAGGCUACGCCUUGCGGGAGUAACAGUUUGGGGAGACCGGCGUCAGUGUAAAAACUAACGGACACACGCUCACAUUGGCGUGGCCGGGGUGGUUGGCGCCUCAUCUUGACUAGACGCCAAGUAUUUGGCGGUCUGCCAAGGCAAAGGCGCCGCCUCACAGGGCCGUGGAAAGUGGUGUCGCAAAGGCCGCAUCGCCUUGGGCUGGUACUACGUGAAAGAGUGACCUGUGCGCCGGCGAUGCCAUGGACCUAUACACUAAGGACCUGUCCGCCAUGGUGGGUGUGCCUCUCGAAGGAGGGACUAUCUUGGACAGCGUCGUUGCAACAUUCGUUUCAGUGAAGGAUCUGUACGCCAUUGACCUGUUCGUCGGGGACGCGGGCCUCAUGAAGGAGGGACCGGUCUUAGACCCGUCGUUGCGGAUAUUGGUUCCACCAAGGAUCUGUACGUCGUGAUGGGAAAGGCGGGGGCUGCGUUGUCGGCGAGCUCCGGUUCCGCCGCACCGUCCCCUCCAAGAGUGUGACGCAAAACCUGUCCACCGUGGCCUUGUUCGUCGCAAUCUGUGCGUUAUGAAGGGAAAAGCGAGACUCGGGCUGCGUCGUCAGCGAGCUCCGGUUCCGCCAUGCCGUCUCCUCCAAGAGCGUGAUGCAAAACCUAUACGCCUGUGUAUCCUUUGCCAUGAACCUGUUCACAAUGGCCCUGUUCGUCGCAAUCUGUGCGUCGCGACCUGUACACCAUGGGCUAUUCGCCGAGCGCCAUGAAGGCCGCCAUGGUAGAGCGCCGGGGCUAGCGGUUGGGCCGCGUCGUUGGCGAGCUCCGGCAGCUCCCGAGUCAUCUCCAGCCAAGAACAUGACACCUGAAAAUAAAAGGCUUGGCGUAGACGAUCUCCGGCGGUGUCAGUGCAGUCUACUGUUUCGGUGCAGUCAUCUCCGGCGGCGGCGAUGGGAUCACACGAGGGUCAUCUCCGGUGACCGGCACAUACUCUCCGCGUAGCGAAUGCAUGCUAGAGAGGAGACAGAAGAAAAUAGAUGUAUUAGAUCAAAAUCUCACCCUUCGGGAACAUAAGCUUGGUGUCCAUGUCGCUGGCGCUGGUGUUCUCGCCCGGCUGCGUUGGCCCGUCGAUGCUAUCUGGUCUUCUGCCUGGUGAGUUAUGGUGGAUGAAGUGCAGCGUGAUGGAUGAGUACGAUCUAUGUGGGCGCUCGCAAAUUGAUGUGCAGCCUUGCGGCGUGGGUUCUCCCUCUCUGGCCGUGCGUGCGUGUGCAGGGCGACGGCGUCUACGCGUGCGUGCCUCUCUCCUCGUGCCUUUUUUUCCUGCGAAUGGCCUUGUGCCUCUUUAUAUAGGCAGCGGGGUGGGAGCUGGCGAUGCUCAGCCAAGGCCACGGCCUAGAUAUGGACUGUAACCAAUCCAUCUAUCUUCGCUGCUUAUCAUUUCAUUAUUUUUCUUGGCGCACACUUCUGCCAAAAACAAAACAAGACCGAACCAAAUAACACACGUACAUGGCUGGCUGUAGGUGGGCCGAUUCGACUGCCGAAAAUAUGACUCUCUGGCCGUCUCCAAAGCUCACCCAUUUGUAAUUUAUUUUAUACAGAUUAUACGGGUAUUCGGGUAUGUAUGCAUGCUUGCCGGCCGGUACAUGGGUAUUCAGAUACGCAUACGAUCCGACCGAGACGUCUUCUGGGACGUGAACUGCACCAAGUCUUACAUCUACCUGAUUAACUCGUGAGUAGCCUAGCUCAUACCAGGCAUGUGAUUGGCAAAACAAAUACACUUGCAUGCAUGCAUGGUACGUCAAGCGAACCUAGUCAAAUAUGUGCAGGCAUGUACGUGUACAUCCAAAUAUCAACAUGGACGUGUAACUUGCACUAAAAUAAAUUGCAUUUAGACUUAGAUUUCUGAAAGCAAGAAGCACAAAAACACCUCAAACAAGCAUAAUGUAAAAAGUAGCAUGCAGGUAAUAGUUUAAAUUCAUAAGGCAUAUAAGUAAUCUAUAUUCAAUUGGAACCAAAUCCAUUGCAAUGCCAUCUUGCAAAUGAAUGUUGUGGCUUGCCUUAGUUCAGAGGAGUGUCACGAUACUCCUGGUCUUCUCACAUAGAAUUAGUUUCUUCUAAAAAUAAAUUUCAUAACAAAAAGAAAAUGUCACAUAAAGCUUUUUCUAAUACCAUAAAUUCUAGACAGCAAGGGAUAAUCUCAAAUUGCACCAACAUAAAGUUCAGCUCAUGACGAAACUAUAGCAAAAAGUUCAACUCAUUUGGACUUUUGGUUUAGAAAUCAUAGCUAGUCAAAGUUUGGGUCAAAAUCUAAUUUUAAAUUGAAUUAACAGAAAUUCUAAGGAGGGCCACGUCGAAGGCGUUUUUGCUAGGGCGCCUCCAUAGAAAAUGAUUCGGGGGGAAGAGAGAAGCUUACCAGUAUGGUCCCCGUGUUAGGUUUAGGAGAGAGAAGGAGAGAGAGAGAGAGAGAGUAGAGGUGGGCGGCUAUUGCCAAUGAUCCUCCUGUGAGGAGACCAUGGCGGCUGUCGGCGAUGGUCGUGAUGGGUUCAGAACAGCGUGGGGAGCACGCACGUCCCCCUUGCUUGGUCGGAGGUGGACGAACGGCGAGGCUGGCUUCCUCUCCAGAGAAGAUGGGCAAUCGAGCUCAUCGGAGUCGGUGUUCCCGAUAUUGUUCCGACUGAUCAACUACACCGUCGUGCUCUAGAGAUCAAUACGAGCUCGCCUGAAGAAGUCGUGGAAGCAGAGGAGGGCAGGACCGAGAGAAUGGUCUAGGGGGAUCCGCAGGCAACUCCAGCGAUGGUUGAAGACAGGAGGCCCUCCUAGCCUUGCCCCGCUCGUCGGUGGUCAACUUGUGGCCAGUGGAGGAGUGGUGGAUAGUUUGACCAGCUAGGGAGGGGUCUAUUUAUAAGAGAGAGGGAGAUGCCGAGCACCGAGCACCGCCAUGAGGAAGCUAGCGGAGCUCUGGCGAGGCGUGUAGCUCGGGCACGGGUGGUGAAGUGACUAGAGUGGCACGGGGUGAUGUAGAUGCAUGCGGGCAAAGCUAGGGCGCGCGAUGUGGGUCAGGCGACGCACUAACGCACACUAUUCCCGCACGGGCACGCCGUGUCCGCGUCCGGCGAGCCUCUUGCCGACGUCGGGAAGGACUUGGAGCUGGCCAAGUGGAAGAGGAGAGCAAGUGAGGCGGCGCGGGCAAGCUGUAGUGUCGCAAGGGCGGCAUUUGGGUGACGGCCGAGGGUCCCGGCGUCCAGAGCGCGCGCAUUGCAUGUCGAACAACUGCAUCCCGCAUGGUCACUGCAUGAAGUGGCACACGCGGGACUUUAGGCCAACAGGCCAAAAACCAGGGUGUCACAGAGAAAGAGUGCAUUUUUGAGUUCCUCGAGUGUGUAAGGGGAAACUAGCAUAUCAUUCAUCUCAGUUGUGACCUUGCUUGGGACAUUUUUUUAGUAUUAUAUCCAUAUAACUUACACCCUCAGAUGUAUACAGAGAUUUGUAGAAUUCAUGGACCAUGUUUUUCAACUCCUUCGAUCCUCCGCCGUUACACCAAGAGAAUUCUGCAAAGCUUUGGUCAUAUUUUUCUUCCUCGAGAUGCUAGCCUGAAGAUGGAAAAGCUUCAAGUUUUUGUCUCCCGAAGCCAACCACUCAGGUCUUGCUCGUUGCCGCCACAUCACCUCCUCACGAUGGUACAUCUCUACUAAUUUUUCAUUGAUUUUUAGCUCGGCGUGAGUGGGAACCGUCCUGUUUGGAUCAGACCAAAGCUUUUCUGAUUCUCGCUUUGUUUUGAUCUCCUUGCAUACACUGCCAAAUGUAUCAUUGUUCCAGCGCAAGAGACGGCUGCCAACUUCGUACUCAACUCGUUUGUUCCGAAGGUGGUACCCGAUGCAGCCAUGUCGUGUUAAUCAUAUCACCCCAUUGCUCAUGUCCUUCCCUCAUAACCUCGUAAAACGGUCUUGCCCUUGUGUUUGUUGGGAAACGUAGUAGAAAACAAAAAAGUGCCUCUACGCACACCCAAGAUCAAUAUGAAGAUGCAUUACGUGUUGAGGUCAUGAUUAUUGCCGUCUCCGUGUUGCAGCAGAAAAAUAACGUGUCAGUUUAGAUCAUACUUGGAGUCCCUUGAACCUUCGAGGAACAAUCCCGCAAACCGCUGACGAACAAUGCCUCGAAUUGAAGACUGAAAGCACAGUCUCUCUACUUGUUUGCAAGCGUGCAACCUUCAUGACCUGGUAGCGCUUCGCCGUUUACUCUUGUCUACUUACACUGAGCUAAAGCAACUCUAAUGGUGUUAAAUCUUGCAACAAGAGUAAGAAAGAUUCUUCUUCUAAUAGUAACAAUAAUCAUGCUAAACCCAAUGUUGUUGCUUCUAGUAGUUCUCUUGAGUCCACUAAUGAUCCUCUUAGCCAAGUUACAUUUGAUCAAGAAAAUAGCUAAUUAAAGGGAAUUAUAGAGAAAGGUGUUUACAAGAGCCUUGCCGGAAGUAAGCAAUUUGAGGAAAUUUUAUGCAAGCAAGGAAGACACCGGAAGAAUCAAGGAAUUGGUUUUGAAUGAAGGUUUAAUGCCAAUGGAGUUGAGUGGGAAGAAGAUCAAUACCACAAGAAGAAGUUUGUUCCUCAACAAAAGAAGUAUGAUCCUACUUCUUUCCAAGGAACACAAGCUCAAGAUGUUCUUCCACCACAAGACCACAAGCAAAAAGGCAAGGACAAGCUUCAAGAGGAGAUUGAUGCAUUUGAAGAAUCUCCCAAAGCCUUGGUCAAGUGGGUUCCCAAGACUACAUCAAGUUCAACUUCAUCGAGUACGACUACAACUCCAGGGGUUCCCAUCAAGAUGGUGUGGAUCCCGAAGAAAAAGAACUAGAGAGUUCUUGAGGGUGACUCCGCCAACACUUCACUCAUAUCUUUUGGCAAGGACACGUGCAAAAAACUUCCAUAUCUUGCACUAGUUCAAGGAGUCACAAACCCUCUUGUUGAUAAGACAAGGGACAAGGUAACCUAAUGCUUUCAUGGACAUCAUCUUAUGUGAACAUCACUCUAUGUCUAUGGAUAUCCUUGUUUGUUCCUUGUGGGACUAACCCGUGUAGGUAUUGAAAGUGCAACUCACUCUAAUGGAUUUCUCUAAAUGAUCUACAUCAACAUUGAGCAUCUACAUCUUCAACACCUACAUGAAUUCAUCAUCGACAAAACCCAAGGUUAGUUCAUCCCUCUUAGGGGGGGAUAUCACAUCUAGGUGGAGCUUUACUCUAAUCAAUUGAGCUAAAGGAACUCUAAUGGUGUGAACACAACAAUGCUUUAUAUAAAAGUGGCAACCCCACUUAUGCUUAAACGAUGAGUAUGACCUAUGAUCAAAUGUUCUCAUUUGACUCCUCAGUCAAUAUACUCAUAUAUGGAUGACCUAGUCAUCGCUAAUUGCUUGAUAGAUUCUAGAGUGUUUGUGCAUGCUCUGCCACAAAUUUCAUUUGUCAUUUUAUUGUGUGAGCAUGUUGGUUGCAUAUUUUACACAUUCGAGGACAUCUACUUAUUGUUUUGAUUGGUUGGCAUUUUCUCUUUUGCCAAGUGGAUGAACAAGAAGGCCUAAGAACCUCCUCUAGCUAUCUAUGCAUUUCUCGUCAGUUUGAUCAAGUUAAACUAGAACCACUCUGUGUGAGGAGCACUCAGAGUCCCCGAUUCGUCGUAGACUUAAAUUUCCAAAACCUCUUUGUGCAUUUCGGUAUGACCGAGUCAUCCACUUUGUUCACACCGAGUUCACUAAGUUAAUCUAGGUUUUCCAUCUCGGUGUAACCGAUUUGAACUUUUCACUCACAUCGAGUUGCAGUAACCGCUUGCGAUUCUGCAUCUCGGUGCCACCGAGUUGUUCCACUCAGUCACACCGACAGGGUCGGGAUAUAUAUACCGACGGGUUGAAUUUUUGAAAUUUCUCUAAAACACUUAACCCCGCACAUGUCCUGCUCUGCCUCCUCGGGUCUCUGGAUCGUCUCCUCGCCGCUAGUGACCUCCCGCCGCUAGUCUCUGUCGCCGUCAACGGAAUUCUGCUCCGCCGUUGUCGCCGUAGCGAACUCCCACCGAACUAGGGUAUGAGUUCGACUCUUUGUGCUAUUUCCCAACUCCGAUUCGUAGAACAUUACUUUGCCAUGAUAAUGACCAUGUAUGCAAACAAUCCAUCCACUAAAAACCUCCUUUAGAUUAGAUUGGUUUUGAAAAUUUAGGGUUAGGCCUCCGUCGGACUCAUCUCGGACCGACCGAAUUGUAGAAAUCGGUCUCACUGAUUUGGCUUAGGCCGUAGCACAUGCAUUUUCGGUCUGACCAAAAACUGCAAAUUGGUGUGACCGAGUUCGAUUCUCUGUGAAAUCCUAGCAGUCUUGGUGCCACCGAACUGUGACUCGGUCUGACCGAGUUCACUAGUUUAGGUUCCAAAAGUUGCUUCGGUAUCAUCGAGUUUAUCAAAUCGGUAGCUCCGAAAUGCUUUCUGUGGAGAACUAAAACUAGGUUAUUAAGUCAUUUGUUUUGCAAAAACUUUGGACUUUGUGAUGCUCAUCCACUCUACCUCAUCGACAUCUAUUCAUAGGGUUUGCUGUCAGUGAUUUCCAGGAUGUCUGACCAGAGUGACAGUCGGAACAAAUCUGAGGAACAUGUGAGGGUUCAGAUCCAUCAAGCACCUCAGAUGAUGGCAGCAGGAGCACUCCUAGUAACUUGCCAAAGGCAGCCACCAGGACAAGGAAGAAGAAAACCUCAGACUGUGAGGAUGAAGACUAUGUGGCUGUUGAGGAUGAGGCCACCUCAAAGAGGAAAGUGUUGAAUAAGGAGUAUGGCUCAGCUGGUACAACAGAGUCAGGGAUGCACAAGAAGGCUCCUACCAAGAGAAUGCCAACAUCCAAGCCUAGGAAAGCAGCCUUGGAAGAAAUUAUGGAGUUCACUCUUGAACCCAAAGAGGCUGGAGAAGGCAAGAAGAGAAAGGAGAGGGUCAAGAAGACCACUGCCAGAGUUCUAGGGAGAUCAUCCAUGUUCAAGGAUCCCGCGGAAGAAGAGGAAGAGGAAGAGGAUGCUCCAGCACCCAAAGCUCAGAAAAUUAUGGGAGAUGCAAUUAAGUCAAGGGCUGCAACAUCGAAGCCCAAGUCUGCUCCCAAAGCUCGAGCUCAGAAGUCAAAGCCCAAGGGAAACACUAGAAGUAUUCCUGCAGAAGAGAAGGACAAGGCCCAGUGCCUCAAGCUGAAGAAGAGGAUGAUGAGUCUCUUGUUUUGAGGAAAUUGAAACCCAAGAUCCUAGACCACAAUGAUACUCAUCUAGUGGCUGAAGACAUGCACAUCAGAAAAGAUGUUGGACUGAGAUUGUGGAGACAGUCUGAUCCCUAUGCUAUGAGGAGAAAGACUGCAAUUGACUACAUGUUCCACACAAAAGAAUAGCAAGACUUCUAUGAAACUAUUUUGCUUGACAAGAAACCCAUUGUUUCUGACAUGAUAUGGGUUGAUUGGGAAUUCAUCAAGGAUAAUGAAGAUCAUUUCCCAGGAGUAUAUGACAGCUUCAAAGCAUGUGGAGUAGAUGAGUUUGUUGGACAGAAGCUCACAAAAUGGAAUGAUGAGCUGAUCAUGCAGUUUUACUCCACUACUCAUUUUUACCCAGAUGGGAAGAUCAUAUGGAUGUCUGAAGGUACUAGGUACCAAUCCACUGUUGAAUAAUGGGCCAAGCUGAUCAAUGCCCCAGAGGAACAUGAGGAUGACUUGGAUGUGUAUGCCAAGAAGAAGAAACACCGCAACUCCAUGGCAAACAUGUACAAAGAGAUCCCUGAUAAAGCUUUGGAGACUCACAGGCUUGGAUCUGUACAUUACUUGAUGUGUGGUCUGCCUACCAUCAACUGGAUCCUAAGGCACACAUUACUACCCAAGUCAGGAGAUCACAAGAUGAUCAGAGGACAUUCCAUCAACAUGCUGCAAAUCUUUGAUGUCCCUCAGAAGUUCAAGGUCAUGAGUUUGAUUGUAGAGACAAUCAAGAGGACUGGUACUGACCAAAAGAGAAGUUGUGGGUAUGCUCCGAAUAUUCAGGAGCUCAUCAAUUCUAAGAUGGGCACAGGAACAUACUUGUUGGACAAGGAGCAUCUACCCCUUUAUCCUGAAUUUGAAGACAACACAGUUGUGAUGAAUGAGGAGGAACCAUCUUCAGUACAAGCACAAGAGAAGUGAGCCAAAGCUAAGGCAGAGAAAGCUGCAAGGAUGCCAAGUGCAGAAGAAGCAUCUCAGGUGUUCCUCAAGUCAAAACAAGAUCAAUUAGGCUAUCUGUUUCAAGCUGCACUAAGGAUUGAGAAGGGCUUGGCCACCCUGACUCAGAAUCAGGAGAGCCUGGAGAGGAUUGUUGAGACAAAAUUCUAUGACCUUGACCUCAAGGUAACUGAGAUAUAGACUGUAGUUGAGCAGCUCCAGGAGGAAGCAGAAGAGAGGAGAGGGAAGGCAACUACUGAUGCUUUUUAGCAUGUGCCACGAGGUCAGAGGUCUACCGCAGUGCCAGUACCAGUCUCUAGAACUACUCUGUUAGCACCAGCAGCUACAGCCUCAGUACCACCUCCUACAGCCACUCCACCAGCUCCAACUACAUCGACAGAUGCCUUCGUCCUUGGAGUUCUCUCUACACCACCUCCCGAAGACCGAGCCUGAGAGACGCAUAGCACUAUGCAUUUUCAAACUUUUUGGUAACUUCUUGCCAAAGGGGGAGAAAUAUGUAUAGAUAAUAGGCUUCAAGAGAGUGUGUGUUGUUUUUUAUCUCUCUUGUUUUUGGUUGAACCUUUUUAUGCGCUUGGUUGAUACACUAUGUCUUUGUCUGUGUGAGAUACUUGUUUGAUCAUGUGUUUGAUCAUAUGCUACCUUAAUGCUUGCUUGAUUGAUAUUAUCUGUUAUAUUCUUAUAUGAUCAUUCACUUUGCUUGGUGAUGAGUGCAUGCUUUUAAGUUAUAUCAUUUUGAGCGCUCCACCAAGAUGUAUGUGACAUGGAAGAGUAACUCAUGAUCCUAAUCGAUUGUGCAUUUGCAUUCAAAAGAAAAUUUUAAAUAAUGCACAAAUUUAGGGGGAGCUCUUGCUUAUCACAUACUUCUCAAAGUGACGAUGUAUUUCAAUCUUAUAAUCAUUUGUUGAAGCUUUGAUCUAUAUGUUGUCAUCAAUUACCAAAAAGGGGGAGAUUGAAAGUGCAACUAUCCCUGGGUGGUUUUGGUAAUUCCUAACAACAUAUAGCUCAUUGAGCUAAUACUAUUUCAAGAUAAAUAUUUCAGGAAAGCUCAAUGAUUGGCAUGGCAUGGAUUAGAAAUGUGGACCCCUCAAACUGCUAAGGACAAAAGAUUGGCUCAAGCUCUAAAGCUCGAGACUCUACAUCUUACCUUUUAGUGAUCCAAGAUCACAUUGAGUCCAUAGGAAAAGCCAAUACUAUUAAAAGGGGAUGAGGUGUUGCCUAAUGGGUUACUUGCUAAAAUGCUUAGUGAUAUGCUCCAAAACCCUUAACCACUUUCUCAUAUCCACAUUUGUCCCAAACCAAAAGUCAAACUCGGCCCCACCAAAACUUUCCAUCCAGCACCACCGAGUUCAGUUGACAUAGCCACUGCCACAAAACCCUAGUCUUUUCAGUCUCACCGAUAGGAUCUCGGUCUCACCGAGAUGGGAUUGCAAACUCUCUGUUUCCCUUCGUAAUGUUUCGGUCUAACCGAGAUGAGCGAUCGGUCCCACCGAGUUCACAAUGCAAACUCGGUGUUUCCCCAUCCGAACGUUUCGGUCCAACCGAGAUGAGCAAAUCGGUCCCACCCAGUUUGCCUGACCAACUCUCUGAUUAGCUUAUUACCAAAAUCGGUCCCACCGAGUUUGUGUAACCAGCCUCACCGAGAUUACGUUAUGACCUAACCCUAAUGAAAUCGGUCCCACCGAGUUUGUGUAACCAGCAUCACCGAGAUUACGUUAUGCCCUAACCCUAAUGAAAUCGGUCCCACCGAGUUGACGUGUCGGUCCCAUCGAAAAUCCUAACGUUCACAUUUUGAACUGAAUCGGUCCGACCGAGUUUCACGAUUCGGUCUCACCGAGUUUGGUAAAUUGUGUGUAACGGUUAGAUUUUGUGUGGAGGCUAUAUAUACCCCUCCACCCACUCUUCAUUCAUGGAGAGAGCCAUCAGAACAUGCCUACACUUCCAACAUACAUUUUUUGAGAGAGAACCACCUACACUUGUGUUGAGGUCAAUAUAUUCCACUCCAACCACAUAAAUCUUGAUCUCUAGCCAUCUCUAAGUUGCUUUCCACUCAAAUCAUCUUUCGACCAAAUCCAAAUCAGUGAGAGAGAGUUGAGUGUUGGGGAGACUAUCAUUUGAAGCACAAGAGCAAUGAGUUCAUAAUCAACACACCAUCUAUUACCUUUUGGAGAGUGGUGUCUCCUAGAUUGGUUAGGUGUCACUUGGGAGCCUCCGUCAAGACUGUGGAGUUGAACCAAGGAGUUUGUACGGGCAAGGAGAUCGCCUACUUCGUGAAGAUCUACCCUAGUGAGGCAAGUCCUUCGUGGGUGAUGGCCAUGGUGGGAUAGACAAGGUUGCUUCUUCGUGGACCCUUCGUGGGUGGAGCCCUCUGUGGACUCGAGCAACCAUUACCCUUCGUGGGUCAAAGUCUCCAUCAACGUGGAUGUACAAUAGCACCACCUAUCGGAACCAUGCCAAAAAUCUCCGUGACUACAUUGCGUUUUCUCCCUCCAAACUCCUCCCUUUACCUUCGUGUGCAAUGUUUUACAUUCCGCUGCUAUACCCUUAGACUUGCAUGUGUAGGUUGUUUACUUGACUAGUGCUAAGUUGCUAAAAUCUGUCAAGACUUAAAAUUGGGAAAAGGCUAGUGUUUUAUUUGGUCAAGUAGUCUAAGCACCCCCCCUCUAGACAUAAUUUCGAUCCUACACACUGGGAUUCUACUUAUGAGGAUUAGAGGAUCUAGGUCUAGCUCUAAUUAGAUCAACUAGGAUCAACUAGAACUAGAACUAAAGGAAACAUGAGGAUGCUCCAAACUUGUAUAUGUCCAUAGAGAAAAAAACCCUGGUAUAUAUAGGUUGGAAGGGAGGGAGAGGGCAGCCAUGGAGGGAAAGUCUCUCCUUGGGGCGCCUCCCCCGCCCUCCCACCCACAUACACACACACACACGAGGAAGGGCCGCCAGUUCCUAUUGGGCCAAGUUGGCCCGAUGCUCCUUCCCCGGUUUGGCCUUUUAAUGACCGUUUGUAUUAAAUUUAUUAUAAAAUCCUUCCAAUAAAUAAUAGACCCUUUAUAUAUCAUUUAACAGCCCUGGAAACAUUUUACACCUAUAUAUUAUUUAACAGUAAUACCCUAUAUUAGUCGAUACUCUCCGAAACCCUUUCGGUGACCCCGAAACGCUUACGGAUAUUUAUGAAACAAUUCCACAAACAUAUACUAAUCAUUCCCAUCCUACUAACACUUAGCAGAUCAUAAUUGCCUUAAGCUUGUGACCCCGUAGUUUCGGUAACUCAUAGACAUGAACGAAACCCCUUUGCUCAAUGACCGAUAGCGGAAACGUGGACGUCCAUAUCGAUCCCUAUGAGCACACGAAUGAUAUUCAAGUGAAUAUUUGGUUAUCAUGUGAUGUUCCCUUUGCUUCGCAAUAUUUCACAAAACCCAGGAUACAUCGGUGUCCUCCUGAGUCAUCACAUGCUCACGAUACCAUUAUCCCCGUUACUGGUUUUGUUCUUCUUUCUCGUUGUCGUGUUCCAGCAUCCUCGUGACGUAGUCACAUGUGUCGUGCCAGACGAUGAUUGAUACCAUCACACCGAGAGGGCCCUAAUAAUAUCUCUCCAUCUUCAUAGGAGCCAAUCCCACUCUCAGGCUAUCUAGUCCCUUGUCAAACUUUCUCAUGAACAUGUAAGUUGUCAUUAUGAUCACCAUGUCACAGGUGACGUUUGAGCAACACCAAAGUCCACCGUGCGGUAAGAAGUGAUUACGAUACUCUCAUGGUCUAAGGAGAAAAAUCACACGUUAACAGUCUGUGUUGUUACAAUUGAUUACAGACGAUAUAAUUUCAAUUUGUUACACACAAAUUUUGGUCGAUUCAAUAUGAUCGUUCUUCUAACAUCACACUCUAAAUGUUGUUUUAGGACUAUCGUUACACUUAGAGAUAUCCUAAGAUCUGGAAAACAUGAUCACCAACAACACUUGAGCCAGUCUUAGAGGCAAGAUUGGGAACCUAUUCUUUACCGUUUAUCAUUCCACGCGUGCAUAUGAGUUUUCCACUAAGUCGCCUAUUCCAGUAUCAUGGUAGUUAUAGCAUGAAAUAUACACUCUUAAUUAUGAAAAUGAAAUUAUAAUAAUACAAUAUUAUUGUCUCUAGGGCAUAUUCCCAAUAGUGUUGUGUUGUUGUUGCCGAUGCAAAGUCCACCAAUAUCGCGUCAUGAUCUGAAGUCACGACUGUCAAGUGAGUUUAAUCAGCAAGUGAAACCUUUACUGCCAGUCCACAGAAACCAGCACUCGGUCUAGGCGCACCAUUGUGAAAGUACCACCUGUAACCUUCAUCUCAAAGGUCGGGCCUGAGUAACCAGCAUGCAAACAUCAACCUUUUCUUGAAAAGCUUGGAUCUGCACACUGCUACGUUGUCUAACUCCUUCGUGCUCAUCCGGAUGUAGAACAUCAUUGAAAUUGCCCAAGCAAAGCCAUGGGAGAUUGCUGGAAGUACUAAUGUUUUUAAUAGUAUCCCAUGUUUGGUGCUUCAAGUGGGUAUGAGCUUCACCGUACACUAUUGUAACUCUCCAAGGAUCAAGGCUUGGUUCAAGAAUGGAGCACUCAACAUGAUACACAGAGUAACCCAGAAUAUCUAUUUUAUUUCAUUAUUCCAGAAAAUGCCAAUACCGCCAUUGCUUCCCUGGCUAUCAAUCGCAUAUCCAUUAUCAUACCCUAAUGUUCCUGCUAAAGAUUCUACCCUCGAGACUCUUGUUGCGUUUCUACUAUGUAGAGGAUGGCGGGGGAAAAUUUCCUUGUGAAAUCACAAAGCUCACUGACUGUCGUGGCUCUGGCCGAACCACAACAAUUCCAGCGGAAGACACACAUUGGACAUGGCGGCACUCCCCUCGGGAGCCUAACAAUUUUUCCAUUGGGUUUUUUGUGUUGCCAUCGUUCUUGUGCAACGUGUUCUUAUCUGCUGCAAUUACUUGUCCUUGAGAUGUUUUGUUCCUGCCGAGACGAGGGGCUCGAUGGGAUUUGAGGGGAAGGUAGUGUCGGUGUUUUGCCUUGGGCCGACAUAGUUGUUAUGGCUAACUCAGCUGCCACUGGAUCAACUGUCGCUGCGAGCUCUGAAGUUCGGUUUUUGUUCAGUUCGGCCUUGUGCACAUAGGCAGCAGGGUGCUCAUACUCUGAUUCCCCGCUAGCUUCCUCCUGGGUGCACCCUGGUCCAUGACCGGUCCUGCCACAAAGGCCACGGCCUCGCCCUCUCCCUCCUCCAGGUCCUCUUCCCACUGCCUUGAACCAGCUAGCUCGCAGAUUUUUGAAAACUAGGGCUAACGGUGGAUGCACUCCAUCCCGACAUUCCUUGUACAUGUGGCGCAAAUAACAACAAACCAUGAAUGACUCUGGUAGCCGCUCAUAUGUGACUGUGAAGACCAUAUGUUCAUACACAUUUAACAUUUUUCAAAUUCUUGAGUUACAUUUUUUCAAAUACGUGUUCAACAUUUUUUUCAGAUACUUGUUCAUCAUCUUUUGAGCAUAUGAUCAACAUUUCUUCCAUACUCCCGCCGUCCGGUGAAAGGUCUACAUAUACAAAUUUUAGGACAAAUAAAUGAGUGGAGUAAAAAAUGCAUUGGGAAGAGGCAAGUCACCAUCUCUUUUUUUAAUUACCAAAACCCCAAUGAGUUAAGUGUAGAAUGUUAUUGGUCUUGAUUACUGUGUGAUGACAGAGAAGCAUUUUUUCUACUUUCAUGUGCAUUGGGAGGAUAGAAGUACACUCUUUUGUGGACAAAAUUUAAAGCCAAACGUACACCCUUCACCGGACGGAGGGACUACACAGUUAACAUUUUCCAUAUGAUUGUUUAACAUUUAUUAAAUACAUGUUCAACAUUUUUUCAAAUACUUGAUUAAAAUUUGUAUACAUAUUAUAAAAAAUUCAUCAUUUUUUUCUUACAUGGUCAACAUUUUCCUAUACACAUUCAACAUUUUCAAAUGCAUAACUAUUUUUAGAAAAAACUUUAUGUAGAGUAUAUUUUUGUCAUAUAUAUCUUUAGAGUAUUUGGAGGCGUAAAUGAAAGUAGAAAUCAAAAAAGGAAUAGCAGAUCAUUAAUACCAGGAAUAUUCCGAAAACGACAACAAUUUAUCCUCAUCAUUGAUAUUAAUCGGGAUACCGGUAACUCCGGUACACUAAACGCAACUAAACUCGAUUCUUCUAAUUACGCCUAUGGGGCAGUGCAACCGACAAAUAAGAAUCAUUCGCCUGGUAUAAUAAACAGAUCUGAAUCGCACGACAUUGACUUAGCGGGCAAACAAAUAUAGAGUUAAAAUAAGCGGGUGGAAGAGAGAGAAAGGGUUUAUGAUGGUCAUCACCUGGAGGUGCACCGCAUGAGCUGCUGCGUCAGGGCUUCCACCUCGUCAAUGUCCACUUCGGGCUCCGCCCUGCGAUUUCCAGAGCAGAUAAUUAAGAUGAGUCAGUACCGAGACAGAGAGCAGAGGGAGAGAUGAUAGAGGGCGUGGGGGCGGACAUCAGGAUGUCGAUGCCGUCGAUGAUCUCGGAGGCGUCGUAGAUGAAGAGGCGGGAGACCUCGACGGCGGUGCCCUUGUCCCACAGCUCCUCGAAUGUGUCCUCGUCCACGACACCCUGGAUCAACGUCGACCACGGCAAGGCAAACUCAUAGGCCAAGUCAGGCCAAAUUCCACAACCACACGACUAGAGGGGGGGAGGGGCCUCACCUCCGUGUACAUGCCGGUGAUAUGGGCGUUAAGCUGGGCCCUACGGUAUGAUGUUCCAGCGAUCAUCGUUGGACCUGUAAUUGGCGACUUAAUUAGCCCAGACUUUUCGUACCAAUGCAAAUACACCUAAGCCGAGAGAUGCUCUUCACGCUGUCUCGCGAACCGACAGCUUUGUGAUCCCUCGAUGUGACCUUGCAGACCAUCCCUUCUGUUUUGCCCCUCCUCCGGCUACUGCUUGUGGUGCCGUCGUACUCUUAUAAGAAGGCCACGCUGAAAUUUCAGACCGAAAAGACCUGUUUAACAUGCCCAAAUAUGGUGAUUGGCUACACUCUGGGUACAACAACCAACAACAAGACUUGUUUGUAGAGAAAAACAAAUAGAACAUACAACAAAACAAAGUCACUAGAGGACAAACCAGCCAGGUAUAUGUUUUAUAAACAGCCCAUAGGAAGGGCGGCAACACAUCCACGUCACACUAGAAUAUGGACUUCACACCGACAUCAACACACGACAACAGUUUCCGUUCACAGGGUUACGAGCCCAAAGUUCCGACACGAGAAUAUUCAUCUAAGCUUUACGCGCACCCUUUAAAAACCGCUACAUCAGCAGAGACACAUGGAACGCAUAAUGAAAGGGAUUGCAUGGGGCCACACUCUUCCCCCUUCACUUGCCGCUACUUAGGAGUUAGGACCACAU